CUUGAUUUUUAUGGGCAUGUUGUGUAGUCCAUGCAGACAAAAAUCAUAUUUUAGUUUACUCUUACUCAAUGCUUGGAUUAAAGGUUUUUUUUUUGGGGGGGGGGGGGGGGGGGGGGGAUUGAAGCAGACUAAAAUGACACAAAAAAUAGUUGAACGAGUGUGGGUUUUGUCUUCAUUUUAGGAGAUCUUUAUAAAUUUUAGGAUUUUUUUUCCCGAGAAAAUUUAUGCCAACUCAUUCUUUGCUUCUUUUAUGAAGGGACAGAUGCAACUGAAAGUAUAUUCUUGAAUUCUAUAAGAGACAGCAGUUUAGAUUCUCGAGCCUUCAAAAAAAUAUCAAAUUCUAGAUUGCUGAAAUUUUAUAUAUCCAAGUAUGAUGGUGCACCAAUUAUUAACUCCAGGGUGCAACUUCACCGCGGAUUAGAAUGUCUUCCUGCAGAAUUGAGAAAUCUCCAUUGGCAUAAAUAUUUUUUUGAAAAUACUGUCAUUAGAUAUUUUUAUUAUUCAUACUUCAUUGCACAAGGCACCACCUGGCUUCUAUUUCAAGCCCUAAUAAUGAUCCGCUGCUGGAAAAGAAUUUGUGCAGCAUGUACGCUCCUUGACCACAACAGCAAAGUUUAUUGAUGUUAUUUCAUAUUCUGCUGUGAGUCAAAUAAAAAUUUACUAUGCCCUUUCGGCAUGGCUUGCCUUUCAGCAAAAAAAGAAAAAAAAUCUUUCAAAUUGUGGAAGCAUGCUUACAUUAAUCAGCUCAGUAUGUUAUGUUUCAAGGGAUGCAAAAUUCGUUUUGUUUCUCAUGGAAGAAUUGACUUGUCUGGAUGUAUUAAUCUCAUAGAUUUUCCACAGAUUCGUGGGAAUAUAACAAAGCUAGACUUAAGUGAGAUCCCAAUAGAAGAAGUUCCGUCAUCAAUAAAAUGCCUAGCUGAUCUUAAAACGUUGCGUUUGAGUAAGUGCACGAGGCUGAAGAGGCUUUCCAUCAAGCAUUUGUAAAUUGAAAUCUCUUCUUGAGCUUUAUCUCUAUAACUGCUCAAACCUUGAAAGUUUUCCAGAAAUCAUGGAGAAAAUGGAACGUUUAAAGAUAUAAAUUUAGCAAGGACGGCCAAUUACAGAGCUGCAAUCUUGAUAGCCUUCGGGAUAACAUUAGCAAUUUAAAAUCUUUGAGGUACAUCUCUACUAAUGGAUCAGCCAUUAGUCCUCUGUCGCAGGUUCGGUUGUACUUAAAUAUCUAUCAUUUUCUCAAUACAGAGGUUUGGUAUCAUUGCCUCCAAUAUUAUUGUCAGGUUUAGGUUUAUCGAAUUUGUUACAGCUAAAUUUAAGAGACUCUGCUAUAAUGGAAAUUCCCCAAAAUAUUGUUCGUCAAUCCUCAUUGAAAAUUUUAAAUCUAAAGGCUUGUUUGUUAACUACUUGAAGUAUGUAGUUAAUGCUUUUUUUUUUUUUUUUGUAAUUUAUGUUUGAUUUGAGAUAUUUACAUUUGAAUAAAAAAAUUAAACUUUUGUUACAUUUAUCUAAAAAAAAAAAAGGCUGAAUGGGAAGUAAAUAAUUCCCUUUUUCGUUUUAACUUACAAAAACAUAAAUGUUAACUAUGUUUAAGAAAUUUUUUAUUUAUAAAAAGAAACCAAAUACUACUUAUAUUCGUAUAUCAAAAAAUGAAAAACAAACAUGUUAUUCAUACGUUCACAUACAAACUCAUUCAGACCUCAGCUAAAUACAAAUCCAUUUACAUUUCAAAAAAAUAAAUAAAUACUUCCUAAGCGGGAAUAACUUUGAGAGUUGACUUGCAAGGCUAGAAUAUCUUGACUUGAAGGGUUGCAAUGAUUUCUCAUCAUUGAGAGUUUAUCAUUGUGCUUCAUCAUCAUCAUCAUUAUUAAUAAAAAGGUAAGCAAUUAAGAGUCAAAUUAAACCAGAAAAUCACUCAUCCACGCUUUUGGGACAUCAUUCUGCUCAUUAUUUUUAUUCCGUAUCUUCAUUGUUUUAUUUGGUAAUUAUUACCAUUAGUAAAUAAAGGGAUUAGUUGAUUAUUAUGAACUAACUAAAUGGAGCUCACCCUUAAAUGUCGGCUUGUAUCAGGGAGGUGCCUUAGGGUUAAUAAAUCAACUAAUCCCAUAAUUUGUCGAUGUAGGUGAUGGUUGUUAAAGCCAACAAAAACAAAUACCUACUCUAAAUAAAUUGUGUAUAGUGAUUGAGCAGGGUCGUGUUUACAGAGAUCGGUAAUUAUUUAAAUCCUUUUAAAACGUAAAACAUAAAAUGGGGGUUUUGUUGACAAUAAUAAAAAUCAAAUUAAAAUAACAAGAAUGCAAAUUAAAGUUGUAAUUCAAAUUUGGAGAAAGCUCUGGUUGAAGGAAUUAACUCAGCUUAAUUCGACUACUGAUCAUUUAUUCAAAUAUAAAUUAUUACUACUUAUGAAUAGACCGGUUAUGGCUACUGAGAACCUCUAAUAGCCAAUAUCUCCUUAACUAGUCGAUAACCAAGGUACGACCAUUGAUUAUUUCCCUAAUCAAUAGACAACCCUAGAUACGAUCAUAUGAUUUAAUCAAUUGACAGCCUAAAAAACCAGAGAGACCCAAAUCCUAAUCAACAAACACAUACGAUGGUUCAUUUAAAUUAGAUUGUUUAUUCUCAUAACACAACUCUCUGCUAUGUUAUUUGUCACAAACAUUAAAAUCUUCAUACAAUGAAUCCUUUAAUUGACAAUAGAUUAAGUUGAUAAUUAAAUAGUGGCCAAUUACCUAAUUAACAAACAUAAUCAUGAAAAUAAUUCAGAGAAUAAACAAAUACCCAAAAAGCAAUAAAACAAUUAAAACAUAAGAAAGAUCUCACAGUAGUGAUGAAUCAAAGCUUCAUUAACCUUCAACUAGAAAAAUAGGUUUAGUUCUUCAUAGAGAGAAGAGAAAAGUUUAGAUCUAGCGUUUCUUUCUUUUUCUCCAAUCCCCCCUUUUUCACUAUAGAUUCCUCCCUUAAAUACUCUCUCUCUCUUCUCCUCUAGAGUUCUAUUUAAAAUAAAAUACUAAUAUAUGAAAUAUUAAAUUCGUAAUUACAAAAAUAGCCAAAAAUACAAAACAUGUUAAACUAAAAACUGCAGGUCCGUAGUUGACAGCACGCGCCCACGCCUUAUCAAUAAAGUUCUUCUGACGCUCUAAAUUUCUCCAAGAGAACAAUCAUCUUUAAACAUCAUCUUAUAGCUCAAUUUUAUCACAAAUCAAUAAAAUUGCACCUACAAAAGUAAAACACAAGUAAAUCAUUAUUAUUAAGUGCAAAACAUCGAUAUUAAGGGAAGUAAACAAUGCAAAACUAGUGCAUAAAUUGCACUCUAACAGUAGGGUAGCAAAUUAUUGCCAUAGAUCAGCACACAUCUCGAAAACAUAUUUGAUCCACACAGUGAAGAUGAUUCAAUAUUAAGCAUGUCAUAUAAUCUGGAGUUGGAUAUUGGAUCAAUUUGAUGAUAAUGAGUUUCUUUCAAUCUCAAUAUGUAUCUUCUUCGCAACAUGACUAGCCAUUGCAAACUCAAACUCUGACAAUGAUUUCUCAAUCGCUUUCUAAGACGAUGAGCAUGUAUGUAUAUAUAUGUGUGUGCACGUGCGCGUGUGUGUUUGUGUACGUAUAUAGAGAGAGAGAUAUAUAUAUAUCACACAUGUGCGCUUUCCUUUUGUCAAUAAGAUAUGCAGAGAGCUUAAUAAUCAUAGAUUAGCUUAUAUCCUUCAAACCAUGUGCUAUGAAGUAAUUUCACAAACACUUGUUGAACGUUAUUGAAUCAGUAGUUCACAGUUCAAUACAAUGUAGGUUUCCUAUUUGAAGUAAAUGAUUAUGGUGUGUGCAUUUUUCAUAAAGCUAACUACUGAAUUUACCAUUGAAACUUGCAAAAUGUAACAGAGAGAUGCAGAUAGCAGCCACGAAACACUAAGAUUGAAAAUCAGGACUACUGAAUUCUAUUACAAGCCCUUAAAAUAGACAACAAUCAUCCUCAAAUGUAUAUACUGAAAGUAAAAAAUAUUAAUCGUAAAGUUAUGCAUUAACAAAACUAUUGAAUACUUAUCUUUAGCUAUAUAUUUUUAAUUGUAGCUCCCUACUUUGUUCUAAGAACUAGGCAAAAGUAGCAUAUCUUCAAUCCAAUCAGCAUAUAUACCGCUCAUCUUCUCCAGUUCUUUCCACUUUGAUUUGCAUUUCAUACCCUGCACUUGCUGCUUAGAAAUAGUCAUAGUUUGCACAUUGACAGUAGAAAAAGUACUUGAAACAAUCAUUGGCAUAGCAUGGGAUUCCAUUGAGUCGCGGUCUCCAAGCUUUCAUGGUUCUGUAAAGAAAAUGACAAAAACAUCAUGCUAUUGGCAUUCUACUUUUAGCAAUUUUCCACAAGCUGAGCUUUUUCAUAUCUCUCUAUAAAUUAUGCUGGUUCAACCUUCAGAUAAGUUUGUGAUAAAGGCAUCUAUGAUUACAAUGGGAAAAUUACAUGAACUUAUGUUAUCAAUCAUUGUUUUGCCUUCUCGUGAUAGAAUUCUGCGCAAUAUAAAACAUGACAUAUCUGUUACUUACCAUGCCAUGUCGUGAACCUAGAAGCAAUGCAAAUUGCAAGGAACAUAUUAAGCUAUCUACUGUAUAUAACAAAUUCUUAUUAGCCCACAAUCUUGUGCCCCAACAUUGAUCAAGUAACACUAUUAUUUCAUUUCCAAAAUGGCAUAUAUAAUCUGAUGUUGAACAAACCAAAUUGGGAAUCAUCAUUCCUUACAUUGAGCUGACAUUCGUACCUGCUAGUCCAUGAGCAAAGUUGCUUAUAUUUCCACACAGGCAGCUCCCCUUAUCUCUCGGUUCCGACAGAGCUUUGUUUUCCCAUCACCAGCUUUGGAUUCAUUCGAUCACUGAUGCUCCGAGUUAGCAAGCCCCUUGUUGUGUUCCCAUUUAACAGACCCACUUCUGUUAUCCACAGAAGAUCCACCACUCAAAAUGCUUAUCACCGAACUAUUCCUAAACUGAGUAGAAACUUCCGCACAUCUCUCGGCAUUUACAUGAAGAAAUCGACACCCACCCUCAUAUUUGUAAGUUUUCUGAUAAUAGAAAUGUCUACAAAGCUGCAUUUCGUUAGGCAAUCUAGUCUCUCCAUUCCUAGCAAAGUGACAUUGAUUCCCGUAUUUGUAAUUGCCUAAUUGGGGUUUUGGCAAUAGCCUGGUCUUAAAAUUACCACCCAUUACUUUGUUCAAUGCCACUGGCAUCCUCUGAUUAGGAACAUUUUCACAAUUUUUAGCCCUGUUAGUCGAAUCACAUUCAAGGGGAUAGUGAGACAGUAUUUCACUAAAAGAUUCAAUUUGACUACACAUAUAAGAAUUUGAAAUCACUUUUUCUUGGAAUAUUUAAUGACCCACCCAGGGUGAAAGUUUUUGAAUGGAAAUUAUUUAAUUUGAUUUGUUUUCCAACAAAUUCAAGAAACCCCAGAUAGUAACAUAAAAAAAAAAAAUCAACCAAUAAUACGCAAUGGGUUUCUUUCUUUUUGCUUUUGGAGGGCCAUGAAGAUCUGGAGUGGGCUGUAAGUAAUAGCCUUUAUCACUGGAGUGACAAAUUUGCAGAAGAUGAUGCAUGGGGAAGGAUUGGGCGAGCAUAAAAAUGGCUUUACACUCUUUGGAUUAGCGCCUCAUUUAGGUUGUAGCGAGAUAAAGAUAUCAUUUAAAGUUUUAUAAUCCUUGUUAUGCUUAAGGCUUCACUUAGUAUAGCAUAGAGCUUUUCUAGUUUAGCAUUUUACAAGUAGAAUUUUUUUAAAUUAUUAUUUAUUUGGUUGUUUUGUUCAGAAGAGCUUUUAAAGCUCCAAAAUCUUUGAUAGUCAGGUUUUUUUUUGGUAAGUAAAACUUUUAACAAAAAUUUAUUAUUCACUUGAUCGUUUACAAGAGUUUUCAUUAGAAGUUAUGUAAAGUUCUUUAAUUUUUUUUAUCAGUGCAUCUUUUUACAAGUAUAAUUUUUAUUUUUUAACAAAAAUUAAUUCAAUAAUAUUAAUAAUCUCAAUAUUUGAGUUUUAAUAUCAUAUGUCACUCAUUUAUUGGAUGACAGAUUUCAUAACUUAUAAAAUUAUUUAACUAACAUCCACUAAGCUAAUGUCACUAUAGUGAAGAUUGAAGUUGAAAUUUAGAUGUUACGUUGGGUAAUAUUGCGCUUAUUUGGUUGUUUAUGAGAGUUUUUUUGUACAAAUUUAUUUUUAUACAAAUUGAUAUAGUCUAAAUUCAUUAAUUAGAUGAAAAUAGAAAAUAAUAAAAAUAAAUCUUGUGUACUAAAAGUUAUUUAAUCUAUUUAAUUGAAUUAUCCUACGUUUGUUUGUACUAAAUAAAUUUAUAUAAAAAUUAAUUCUAUUUUUUGAUGUGCAACUAAACUUUUAGUCUCUUAUUAUUCGUAAAAUUCAAAUUCAGUGGCUUAUCAAAUAAAAUUAAAACUAUUGGUUAAUCAAAUAAAAUUAUUUGAAAUCAUUGGGUGUGGUAGCUGGAGCUCUUGAAAGUUGAAACUAUGGAAGCCAUGAAAUAUACCAGCGAAAAGAGUUCUAAUUUUUAAAUGUCUAUUUUAUAAAAAUUUUAAUAAUAAAAGUGUCGCAUCGACAUUGAACAGUAUAAAAAUUUUUAAUAAUAAUUUUUUUACGUUUGGGGUAUUUUUGUAAUUAUACGAAGGUAAACUAAUCGCAAAAUUCAUUUGGCUUACACUUGCUCUGUGUAUGGUUAUGGCGGUAUCAUUAUCAUCUUCUCCAUUCGUACUGACACCAAACCUUAACCGUUCAGAUUCCCUUUCUCGACUGUCAUACCCUACGCCCCGUCUCCGUGUCUCCGAUAAACAGUGCUCAAUUAAGGCCAUCAGAUUAUCCCGGACCCACAUUGAUCCAACGGCUCACAAUGACCGACGACCUCUCCAUCUCCAUUACAAGCUUCCUCUUCAACUGGCUUCUGCCUCUAUCGUACUCUUUCUCGGAUUCGGAGCCCGUAUAUGCUCGGCUGGUCCUACGGAGCUACCUCUCACUCCAGCUGUCAACCAACAAGACCAAUUGCUUAAUCCAGACACAGAACAACAAGAGGGUGAGAAAUUGAAUCAAGAAUUUGAGAAUUGGAAAUCGAAAACGUACGCAUUGACCGUGCCUUUAAGGGUCGUUUCUCUUCAGAAUUCAGUGCCUCAAUCUUGGGUUAAGGAUUUUAUGCGAAGUCAAGGAAAGAGAUUGAAGUUUCAGAUGAAUUUUUGUGCUAGCACUGAUGGGAUCGUUAAAAAUUUAUCUAUGCCCUCUAACAAAGUUAAGGCUAACUCAGCUUCGUAUAUGGCUGCUGAUUUGGUUAGUGUUGGUGAUUCAUGGCUCAGUUUUGCGAUUAAAAAGAGAUUGAUUGAGCCAAUAGCUGAAGCUGAAGAUCAAGAUUGGUUCAAAUGCUUAAGUCACAAAUGGAAGGUAACAUCUUUGUCUUUGACCGGAUGAUUUUUAUUGUCUUACAUUGAAAUUUGGUAAUGUAAUUUGUUCUCUAUCUGUGUUACCUUUGUAGUGAUUUUUUUUUUUAUUUGCUUUUAUUUGCACUAACAAAGUCUUAGGUAUAUCUACGCAGGAAUGAUGCAGAAGAAAUUGAUCCUCGAGGUAAAAUAUGGGCGGCACCAUACAGGUGGGGCACAAUGGUGAUAGCCUACAAGAAAAGUAAAUUUCGAAAGCAUAAUUUGGCUCCGAUUGAGGUAAUAAUUGUCUUUAAACUCAUUUAGUUUUAUAUGAAACAAAAUCAAGACUGCCUUUCUCUUCAAUAUUUUUGAUGAUAAUAUCUUUAGAAGCAUCUCAUUGACAGGUAAUAAUGGUAUCCCUGAAAGAGUCUAUAAACUCAAUGAUAUUAUCUUCUACAAAUGGUUCAUUAAACUUCUUCGUUGCAGUCAAAUGUACACUAAGAACAAUGAGAAGCUAUGCCACUGUAGCAUGUAGUGAUGGCACUUAAUAAGUGAGUUGCUAGGAUGUGAACUAGAAAAAUUAAAUAUUGUCUCCUUGGGUAUGCUAGCUCGUAAGUCAGGGUUAAUAUUAGAACUUAUGAUACUAUAACCAUGAGAAGCUAUUGACUGCCAAUUAAAAUAUCCAUUAAAAUGUCUAGGGAGUUAUGAAGGUGGAGGUAACUUCCAAUUUCUAAGGCCACAUAGUAGACAUCAUGCAGGAUCCUAGGAAAGUGCAGUUAACCUCCUGGUCGAUGCCAUUAAUAAAUUUGAUCAAUGCCACUGAAACCUGCUAACUGAUGUCACAAUGCGACAUGAGCACUUCAAAAUGGGACAGACGGUCAGUAGCACUAAAUUUUUCUUGUCUAAGAUUGAGCAAUUGGUCUAACUACUAACCCCUAUUGUAGGUUGAUCAUUAUGUUUUUCAAUUAUGUUCAGUUUGACCCAAAACAUUACAGAAUCUUGAUCUGAAUAUUGUCACUGAACACUGUCAAUGUCGUUUGGCAUAGCCAACUAACUUGAGUUUGGUAAAACAAACACACAGUGUGUCUCAUGUCUCACAAUUCAAAUUAUCAUCUGUAAUGAUGGAGAAUUUUUCCAAUGUAUGAAGUAUGCUUUGAUACGUGGGUUACCUUGGGGAAGGUAUCUCAAAAUAAAGAAUAUGGGGAGAAAACAGUGCAGUAGUUUAUUAUUCCGUAGUCAAGUUUUGUCUCAAAAAUGGUCAAAAUUUAAAUGAAUAAGGACAGGGGAUCUUCAGUCUUUUUUCCCUUUUUUUAUACCAAGAUAUCUCUCAACCUUUAUAUAAUCCCACUGGAUAUCUGCUUCUAAUAAUUAAAAUAAAAUUUCACCCACACAAAUAAGUACUGACCAAGCUCUAACAAUAAAAAGUAACAUCUUUAGUCAAGUAAUUUACAGUUCCUCAUCAUCUUAGUGUGAGACUAUCAGUACGAUCCAAGAGCAAAAUAAAACUGGUUUGACCCUGUUUAUUGAUGUUUAAAUGUUGUUCAUUGUGACAUGUAGAAAUGAUGAGGUGAAGUUUCUUUGGUCAUCAAUUAGUAAGAUCUCGUUUGAAGUUGUUUUCUGAAAUGAACUGGCAAAUGGUAGUUUUUUUGGGGCAUUUGAUGGCUCUUUUUCUUUUUUCCUCAUUUUAAACAUGUGCCUGCUUGGAACGGGAUGGAUUAAGCUGCAGGUUAUAUAUUUUGACAUGCUCUGGUCAUUACACAAUUUGUUCACACUGGGAAUUAGGAUGAGAAAUUUGUUGAUGCUGUUUUGAGAGACCUGCAUUCUAUGCACAAUAACCUGAUUAAUGAAAAUGGAUUGUAGAACUGGAAAGAUCUGUGGCGGCCUGAGCUCGCAGGAAGAAUUUCAAUGGUUAAUUCUUCCCGAGAGGUUAUUAUUGGUUCAGUUUUUAAGUAUAUGGGAGCAUCAUACAAUUCAAACAAUAUUGAUUCGCAAGUUGCUGGUGGGAAGAUUGCUGUUCAGCAGAAUCUGGCAUUACUGGCAAACCAGGUACUCUUAAAGAAACGAUAUCUGGUCAUUGCAUGUUAUUGCCUGACAACUGAUUUUGUUUGUAAAAGUCUGCUUCUUCAUACAUAUGAAUGCAUAUGUUAGUGUUUUCUUCUCCUUUUCAUAAUAUAUGAAUGCAUAUGUUAGUGUUGUCUUUUCCUUUUCAAACAUAUUAUACAGAUGUUGGUGUUCUCUCCUGAGAUGGAUGCAAUAAAGGCAUUUGCUGCUUAAUUUAGCUGAAGAAAUGGCAAGGGAUGUGAGAUUCUGUCUCAUUAAAUUAACAAAAACCCAAAACAAUGAAAGCCCAUAAUAAUGUAGUGUGGGUAAAUUGGCGCCAUUUGGUUCGUUUCCUUAAUGUGAAUAUGCGAGCAAUAGAGACUAACAAAAUGAAGUGAGAACAGCAAGUCAGUGUCCUUUGAUGGAUGCUUUUUUAAGCAGAAAUAGGUUUGUAAUUGACCAAAUUUGUCUGGCAUGCCAAUUUCAAAAAAAUUAAAUUGUGUGGUUAUUAGCUGUAAUGAAGGGGCAUAGUAGGUGCAAUUAGGCGGAUCCAGGAAAGUUCAACAAAGUUCUGGUAUGGCCUAUUGAAAUUGGUUUUUGCAAUUCAAGAGUCUUUCAAGUGAACGAUGAGGGGUUUUGAUUUAUAAAUGUUAUAAAUCUACUGUGCAUAGUAUUCUAGUAGAAUCAUCUAUAAGUUCUAGUUAUUGAAAUUGUCUACCUUGUUCAGUUUGAGUUAAGGGCAUAUGUAAUAUGAAAAAUAGUUGUCGCAUCUUUUAGGUUACCUAACAUUUGAUCAAUCCUAUUAUGAGGGCUUCAAGAUGUCUAACAAUAUGCAGAAUGCCCAUGCUCCUCCCCAUUGUUUAUCUUAUACAAUAAUUUGUUUUAGAUGCUAAUAUCUUUGUUGAUACCGGUAACAAUAUUGCAAUAUCUGCGUUUAUUGGGUUUUACAUAGGUUCGACUGUUUGACAGUACACACUAUCUGAAGGCAUUUGGAAUUGGAGAUGUAUGGGUUGCUGUUGGGUGGAGUAGUGAUGUUCUUCCUGCUGUCAAACGUAUGUGAGUAUGUCUAAUGUUGCAUUGUUAUCUCCUUCAUAUUAGCGAUCAGUAAACACGAUAAUGUGACUAAUAAGUUUGUAUUCUCUUUUAUAGAUAAAAAAAUAUUAGAUGACUAGUAAUUAACAUUUAAUUAUAGUUGAAAUAUUGUUUAUUAAAUUAGUCUAUUGUCUAAGAACGGUUAUAAAAUUAAUUUCAACAUAUAAUAAGAACUAUUACAAUAAUUUAUUUAGAUUUAUAUAUAUAGCUUAACUAUGAAUUAUUAAAACCAAUAUAGCUUCAUAGUUUGUGUGUUAAUAUCUAUUUUAAUCUUUUGUUUAUCUUAUUAAUUUUUCAUUUAAAUUUAAAUCUAUGUUAAAGAUGUUCUAUCAAUCAAUUUGGACUAGAGAGUAAAUAAACAAUCUAGUAAUCACACAAUAGAUAUUGUAUAUAAUUGUUCAAUUAUAACAAACUUUAAAUUUGCAUUAAUAUGAUUAGAAGUAUUGUUUUGCAAUUAACCGAAUCAUAGGCUAAUAAUUUUCAAUAUGAAAUAACUAACUUAGGAUAAAUUAAUUAAUUGACUGAUUUUUUUUUUAAUUUGAAUAUCUUGUGUUAUCUCUAGUAAACAAUUAAAUUUGUCCUUCAAGACUUGAAACAAAACAAAUUGGAGGGCGAGUCAGAGGUCCCUCUCCCUUAAUCCAUCAAUGGAUAGAGUUCUGCUUGCAAACAGCAAGAGCAUUGCCUUUCAAGCAAGAGGUUAUGCCGGGCGCAUCUCCCUCUGCCCUUGAAAGACUCUGGUUAAGUUGCCUGAAGAACUUCUGAAGGGUAAACCAAGCCUGGAUACUAACUUAAUUGCUGGAGUACCCCCGGCUGAAAUUCUGGCCAGAUGUGAGUUUUUGGAGCCAUUAUCUGAAGCUACUUUGUCAGAUUAUGAGUAGCUGGUUGCUAAUCUGCAAAAACCUGCUCCUGUCUUGAUGAAAAGGGUGCAACAUUACUUGUCAUCAUUAAUCCAAAGCUUUCCAGCAAAAGCUACACUGAAAAGUUAAUGGCACUGCAUGCCAGUCAUUAUAAUGCUGUCAGGGCAAUUGGUUCAGGGCAACUGGGUCAGAGCAUAACUUCAUUGGGAAAAAAGGCUUCAGCUAGUUACCUAUUACAGUGCGCACUGAGAUGGCAGUUCUUGAGGUUUUAUAAGAAAUGAAAGAUGAGUGCUUGUUUGAACAAAGUUGUUGCCAAUCUCGCAGAGUUCAAGAAGAAAGAUCACAGAGCUAAUGCCACCAAUUUCUUCAUCAUUGUAGCCUGCAUAGUUGAAGUUUCCUCACUUGAAGCUGUUUAUGCAAACGCUUUUUCCCUGCUCAAGUACAGGAAAUUGAAGAAUUAACCAGAUAUGAUAUGCUGAAAGAGGGAAUUUCUUCCUUAGUGGCCUUUUGAUUUGUAGUGAAGGAGUAGGAUGAUCACUAGCAAGAACCCUAUCAAGGUAGAUUUUAUGAUGUUAACAUAUUAUUAAGCAUUUGUCACUUAGGAAUGAUACAUUCAUAGCAUGAAAUUAAUUAUAUGAUCCUGAUUAAUCAAUUAAUUUUCAUGAGUUUUAACCUAGGUAAAACUAAGUACAAUCGUCGUUAACAACUACUGAAAUUGGGUAAGUAUGAUCUUGACAUUGAAGAAUUUGAAAACACAACCCACAGAGGAAAUUACCUAUUGCAUGGGGAUGGAGAUGUUUACCGCAGCGAUACAGAGCAGUGUUGUCCACUGCUCUUUGGGCUAUGGUGUCACUAAUUCUGAUUACGUAAUUGACUCUGGAUCGGGUGGAAAUAAUAACACUUUAUUAACAUUGCAUAGUCCGAGUACUUUUCCAGGAUCAGAUACGACGUGGUCUAAUGUUGAUAAUAAUAGUUUAUUAAAUGACAAAUCGUUGUUCAAGUAGAAGAUGAAGGUUGUGCAGGUGAUUUCAGAAAUAAAAUACAUUCUAAGAGAUGCUGGUCUACUAUUGCAUGCCCCCAGAUUUAAGAAUCUUUUGAUUGGGGCAUUUGGCAACGAUUCGACAAAUUCUAGAUUCAAGCUCCUCCACCAAGGGAUACCAACUGAGUUAUCAAUUAUCGUAGCAGUUUCUAUGAACUAAAAUUUGCAAAAUAAUUUCUAGCCCCGUUGACUCCACCAACUAAAGUUUACAACUCUACAAUAAUAAUUUCUAGCCCCGUUGACUCCACCAACUAAAGUUUUUUAAAAUUUAAAAAAGUACAUAGAAUUCCACAACAAGCAAAACGUGUGGAAUUUAAUUUUUUGCCGAAAAAGGACAAGAAAAAUGAUAAGAUUUUUAAAAUGAGUGGAAGGUGAUCCAUAUUUUACUAAAACGACUUACCUCGAACAUUAAGAUAAUUGAUUUUUAUUUUUUAUUUUUUAAUAAUAUCAACUUCCAUAUCUUUCUAGCGGGUCCAGCUAUGUUGCAACAGUGAUACUGUACCAUUGUUGCUUUCAGCCAUUGGAUCUUACUAAUGUAACAGUACAACUAUAGAUCCAAUGACUGGUUGCAACUGUAAUACCAUACCACUGUUGCAACAUAAUUUUGCCCCUUUCUAACCCCCAGAAUAUGCUCACGUUCAAGUCUAUCUUGCUAAUUUAAAAAAAGAAAAUCAAAUCAACACCAAAACAAUGAAAAGUAAAGCUUUUGAAUUUCAACUCGAGCUAGCAAACGUAUUCAGCUUUUUCAAAUUCUUCCCAUUGCAUAUCUUCUUCCUCCAUCAAUGCAAUAUUUGAACGAUUAUGAAAGAGUUUAAGAACAUAAAAAAUCUCCAAGGUUUAUACGGUAUAACAAAUUUAAAUUCUCAAUUACAAUAGAUAAUAAUUAAACUAAUAAUUUUUUAUGUACUUAUUUUAGUAAUUUCACCUAAGAAUAAUAUUGUAAUUAGAAAAAAAAUCUAAUAAGUAGGGUGGUCUUAUAAAAAAUCAACUGGUCUCCCCCCCAUAUAAUUAUAAUCCUUCUAGAAAGCUAAUUUUUAUUAAAUAUUUGCUUUUUAAGUUAAUUUCAAUUAAAAAAUGUUUUAAGUUAUAUAUACUCUAAUGAGAUUCUGAAUUCCUUUAUUCCAAUAAUAAUGAAAACGUAUUAAAUUAGAAAUGAAAAAAUUGGUGUUGACGAUUCAACCUAUUUGGAUAGAUUACGUGAAUAAAAUUGAAAUUUUGAUUUAAUUUUUGUUUAUUGUUAAUUCUCAGGCUAUCUUAAUUUCAAGAAUUUAGAAUGUUAAUUUGGUCAUGGAUUUCAGCCCGUGAGUGUCAUAUUCUAGACUUAAUGGUAUCAUUCUUUGAUUGAGGGCAAUGACUCUCACUCCUCUUGUAAAAAAAUAUUUUCAACUAUUUUGAUGACUUAAAAAUUGAUAGAUUUAUUGUUGUCAUGACCAAAUUAUUCAUUUUAAUGAAAUAUAAUUAAUGCAUCAAAGUUACCAGGUUUAUGUUCUAUCUUAAUGCGCUUUUUUUUUUUUUUCAGUUAUCAGCUAUGCCCCUGAGGCAUUUUGUAGAGUAUAGCUUCUGCUUACCUCUGUUUCAUUUUUUUUUAAUAAAAAAACAAGGGAAGGUUUUUCCGAGUCAUCCAUUAUUUGAUUACCGUCAAUCAAGAAAACGACCAAAUUAAUUUCUCUCCAAAAUUUCCAAAAGCUAGAAAAUUUUGUUAUUUGAAAAUAACAUCAUUAAUUAUAGAGUGGAUCAAACCGCGUUAUUGUCUUUUAUAAAAUUGAUGUCUUUUUAAGAGUCAAUACAUUUUAUUUACGCAAACCAGUCGACAUCAACUUGAACUUCCAUAUUUUUAUUAUUAUGUUAUUUAUUUUAAUCCCCGAUUAUUUGAUUAGCCACUAUAUAUAUCAAGAAAGCGACAAAAUUUAUUUCUCAUGACUUCCAAAAACUAGAAAACAACAUCAUUUAUUAUUUUUUUGCAACCCUAAUUGACAUCAACUUUAACUUUAUUAUGUUAUUAUUUCAAUCCCCCAUUAUGACCUUUCUAAUCCUCCAUUAUGCAUCUUUUAUAGUGCAAAUUUAAUUGCACAUCUAAAUAAAUUGAUUAUUGUCACUCCACCACCAAUAUUUCAAAUAGUCACUAGACCAUUUCUGCCUUUAAUUUUCCCUUAAUUUUAACUGUUGACUGUUUUUAGCAUCUUAAAAUAUACAUUUAUUCCUUGAUUAUGUGAUAAAAUUAUGAAAAUAUCCAUUUUAGCUUAAAUUAAUUGGAAUAACCAUAAGCGUAACAUAAAUUAAUAGAACAAAAUUAUCAAGUGUAUGUUCUAUCUUACUUUUUGAAGAAUUUAACAUAUAUAAUGCUAUACUAUUAAUAAAUUUAUCAUUUACUAUAUAUGUUCAAAUAUUUUAUAUAUUUAUUAAUUGUUAUAUAGUCAAAGGAUGAAUGAUUUUUCAGGUCUACAUGAGUUGGUGCAUCUGCAAGACUCAAUUUUGACAACAAUGAUCUAAGGGGUAAUUUACCUUGGCGUUUGACAAAUAUAACCUCUCUUCAAGAUUUACUUCCAAUCUACUUACUGUAAAUAUCUCCUCAUCUCCUCUCAUUUAUAUGAUAACCCUUGAAGAUCUCACAUUUUCAAACGAUCAUAUUAGGGUUUUUAUUAUUAGCAUCAUUGUGUCAAUAAUAUAUGUUGCAGUAAGAUUUUUUCAGACCAAUUCCCUUCUUCAAAUAAUAAUGGAAAAGUAUUAAUUUAAAAAUAAAAUGAAUAUGCAUUGAUUAUAUCCUGAUUUUCAUCGAUUAUAGAGAGAGUUUCUCCAAAUCAACUCCCUUAUUCAAAUAAUACAGAAAAAAUAGUAAUUUAAUAGUAAAAUUAACAAGUGUUGAUUAUAUAUCCUAAGUUUCAUCGAUUAUGUGAUCAAAGUGGCAUUGUUGAUUUAUUUCUUCUUCAAUGUAAAUUUUUAGGUUAUCUAAAUUUCAAGGAUUUAAAAUCUUUGUUCAUGGAUUACACGCUUAUUAAUUUUUCUGCCAUUGACUGUCAUAUUCUAGACUUAAUGGUACCUUCCUUGAUCAAGGAUAAUUACUCUCUGCUCUCCUCUUAUAAAUUCUUCUUCCAUUAACAUCACUAGGAGUAUGUUGAUCUCUCAGACGUUAACUUCAGUGGAGAGUUUCCAAAUUGAUUGUCACAAAACAACACAAAAACUAGACACACUUGAUCUGUCUAUUAAUUCUCUUUCGGUAAAAUUAAUUAAUUUUAGGGGAAUAUUCGACCAACCUAUAUAAUUUUAGAUUGAUCAUUAAUUAAUUGGACGAAAAAAGUGCUUGUGCUUUUGUGGCGACAAUUGAACCAGAGAAGUGAAGCUGUAAAGAUUUGGCAGUAGUAAAUUGUUAGAAAGACAUAAAGACGAGUUCCCAUUAUUAUAAUUUUUUCAAAAAACUUUUUUACAACACAUGCACCUGGCCAAAAAUUUUAUUUUGCUAACUAACAAUAAUUGAGUAGCUGACCGUAUUGACUCCACCUACUUGCUAAAGUAAAAAAAUAGAAAUAGAAUUUCCACAAAAUGGCAAACAUGUAAAAUCUAAUAUUUGGCCGUGUGGAACAAAAUACAAAUAAAAAAAAAAGAAAAGAAAAAAGGCCUAAAGACUUUUAAAAUGUGUGGAAGUCUUUCGGCCCUUUUAUAAUGGUGUGUUUUUCAAAGGAACAAAUAAUAAUAAUGACACUUCUACGGUUUGUUUUGAUAAUCACACAUAUACUCUUUAAUUUGAUAAAUGGUUACACAAAUUUUGUUUACAAAAAUAUAUUAUUCAUGUUCUGUGUUAUUUUUUAACAUCAUAUUUUUAUUUAUUAUAAUUGUUUAAAGUUAAUUGUUAGGUUGAUAUAUAAUAAAAACGUAUAAUCGUUCUCUUACUAAACACACAUACUCAUAGUUUCUGUUCAUUUGUCAUCUCAAUCUCUCUCAUUUAUCCUUUAUUGAUAGCUCAAAACGCGUCACUGUGGAAAAUUAUAGCAAAACGACAAAUAUGGAAAAAAAUGGGAAGAAAAUUAAUGCAUGAAAGAGUUGCAGAAGACAACCAAAUAAGUCAACUAUACGCUAGCUGGGUGUAUAAAUUGUUAGAUGUGUUAUAAACAAAUAGCAUAGAGCCCUUUGGUUGGUUACAAAGAUAGAAAGAGUGUGUGUGUUUUUUAGAACUUAAAGAUACAGUUAGAAUGGGUGGUUCAAAAUAAAAAAUGGUGAUAAUGUUUGUUCUGUUAUUAAUAAUAUUAGAAGGUGGGGGGAGUGAGGGAUGUUUGGAUCAUGAGAGAUUUGCUCUUUUGCGACUUAAACUUUUCUUUGAUGAUCCUUUUAAUUAUCUUCACGAUUGGAUAGAUGAUGAGGGAGCAACUGAUUGUUGUCAGUGGGAAAGGGUUGAGUGCAGCAACACCACAGGCCGAGUGAUAGCGCUAUACCUUUUUCACACGUAUGGGGGAGAGGACAGCUGGUAUCUGAAUACUUCUUUUUUUACUCCCUUCCAACAACUUGAGUCACUUGCUUUACAUGGCAACAACAUAGCCGGUUUUGUUGAGAAUGAAGGUGCUUCGUCUAAUUCAAUUAAAUUACAUUUCGCUCUCGUAAUUUAAGACGAAUAUCAAGACUGAGCAGCUAUAUGCAUAUUCAUUCAAUUGACAAUUUUUGAAAUUACACCAAACAUCAUAUGUGAUCUUUGUUUUGAUUUUACUUGCAGGUCUAGAAAGAUUGAGCAACUUGAAGGGGCUUGAUUUAAGAGGAAACUUGUUCAACAAUAGCAUCUUAUCAUCUGUGGCUCAUCUUUCAUCACUAACAUCAUUAUAUUUAUCUGAAAAUAGAUUGGAAGGAAGUAUUAAUGUUAAAGGUACGUAAUUAAAACGUCAUCGCUUCUACCAACUCUUUCAUUAACAUGCUAAAAUAAGAUUCAAGGCUUUGAAUUCAAUUUUUUUUAUGAGUAAUAUUAGAAAAAUAGUUUUAAGCAAUUCAUAAAUACAAUUUUCAAUGUUUCUCAUAAUUUCAUCUUGUACUUUUGUAUGUCUUGACUUUAAGAUUAAAAAAAAAAUUACUCUAACUGUGAAGCAAAUACCCCAUGACUAAUUUACAAUUUUGUCCAGUUAAAAAUGAUAAAAUUUAUCAUUUGUUUAUAUUGAUUUAUUAACUCUAUUUUAAGUCUUAAGUCUUGGCGUCUUGGCAUGUUUGCAGAAUUUGAUUCCUUGAGCAACUUAGAGGAGUUGGACAUGAGCGGCAAUGAAAUAGACAAUUUCGAGGUUCCUCAAGGUACACAAUUAAAAUAUUAUUUAAUUAUAUUAAUUUAAUUCGUUUGAUUAGGGAAGGCCCAAAAUGUACAAAAACAUAAUUAAAAAAAAAAUAAAGAAAUAGAGAAUUCAUAUUAUUUCAAAAAACAAAAGGUAAUACUAUUAUUUCAAAAAAAGAAUGUAAUAAAGAUUUGAUUCCGGUUCUUUAAUCUUUAUAGCAAUUGAAAAACAAUGUUGCUCUUUUCCUAAAGCAUAAAAUAUGAAAUGAGUCAUAAUUGAAUUAGUCAUUUAUUUUGUUUAGAUCUAAAUUUAGACAAUAAAUUUUGAUUUUUUUUUUCAAUCCUAUCCUUAUUAUUAUUGUUAAACAGGUUACAGAGGUUUGAGGAAGUUGAAAAGCCUCUAUCUAUCGGAAGUUAAAAUUAGAGAUGGAAGCAAGUUGUUACAGUCAAUUGGAUCAUUCCCAUCCCUCAACACUCUUUACCUUUCAUCUAAUAAUUUUACCGAUAUAGCGACAACUACUACUCAAGGUAAGUAAAAGGUACAGAUGUGGCCAAAUUUAUAAAUAAAUUGUUAAUUAAUUAAUUUUUCCGUAUUAUUAAUAAAGCUAAAUUCGUCGCUCCUUCCUUCUAAUUCUAAACAGAGUUGGCAAUUUCACCAACUUGGAGUAUUUGACAUUGGACUUGUCCUCACUCCAUUUAAGCCUUCUGCAAUUGCUUGAAGAAUGAAUUUAUAUAUUUAUUUAUUAUUAUUAUUAUUGUUAUUGUUGUUGUUGAAGUGAGGUGGGCAAGCGUUCACUCAAUUAAUAUGUGGGGAAUUAAUAAUUACAAUCCAAGGUAGAAUUGUGGAAAAUUAAAGCAAAAUGAGAAAUAUGGAAAGAAAGGAAGAAAGUUAAGGGCAUGAAAGACUGGGAGAAGACUAAAGACCACCAAAUAAGUCAACUGAAAACUAGCUGGGGCCUGGCUGUACAAAUUGUUAGAUGUGUUUGUUAUAAAUAACAUAGAGCCCUCUUGUUGGUUGCAGAGGCAGAGAGACAGAGAGUGUGCAUUUUGUUAAUUAAAAAUAUAUAUAAAAUGGGUGGUUCAAAAUCCAAAAUGGUGAUAAUGUUAGUUUUGUUAGUAUUAAUAAUAUUAUAAGGGAGGUGGCGUGAGGGAUGUUUGGUGCAUGAGAGAUUUGGUCUUUCGAGACUUAAAACAUUUCUUUAAUUCUCCUUAUAAUUUUUGUCACGACUGACCAUUGUCAAUGGGAUGGGGCUGGGUGCAGGGUUGAUUUACGUUAGAACAAUAUAGCCGGUAGUGUUGAGAAUGAAGGUGUUUCAUUUAAUUUAAUUAAUUUACUUUCUCCCUCCUAAUUUAAGUGGAAUAUCAAGACUGAAUAAUUAUAUGCAUCUUCGUUCAGUUGACAAUUUUGACAUAUUUUUUUAAGUGAUUAAUUUUGAAAUUACACCAAACAUUAUUUGUGAUCUCUGCUUUGACUUUACUUGCAGCGCUAGAGACGUUACCAAGAUUGAGCAACUUGACGAUACUUGAUUUAAGAGGAAACUUGUUCAAUAAUAGCAUCUUGUCAUUUGUUGCUCGUCUUUCAUCAUUAACAUCAUUAGAUUUAUCUUACAAUGGAUUGGAAGGAAGUAUUAAUAUUAAAGGUACGUAAUUAAAACGUCAUCGCUUCUCCCAACUCUUCCAUUAACAUGCUAAAAUAAGGUUCAAGGCUUUGAAUUCAAUUUUUUUUAUGAGUAAUAUUAGAAAAAUAGUUUUAAGCAAUUCAUAAAUACAAUUUUCAAUGUUUCUCAUAAUUUCAUCUUGUACUUUUGUAUGUCUUGACUUUAAGAUUAAAAAAAAAUUACUCUAACUGUGAAGCAAAUACCCCAUGACUAAUUUACAAUUUUGUCCAGUUAAAAAUGAUAAAAUUUAUCAUUUGUUUAUAUUGAUUUAUUAACUCUAUUUUAAGUCUUAAGUCUUGGCGUCUUGGCAUGUUUGCAGAAUUUGAUUCCUUGAGCAACUUAGAGGAGUUGGACAUGAGCGGCAAUGAAAUAGACAAUUUCGAGGUUCCUCAAGGUACACAAUUAAAAUAUUAUUUAAUUAUAUUAAUUUAAUUCGUUUGAUUAGGGAAGGCCCAAAAUGUACAAAAACAUAAUUAAAAAAAAUAAAGAAAUAGAGAAUUCAUAUUAUUUCAAAAAACAAAAGGUAAUACUAUUAUUUCAAAAAAAGAAUGUAAUAAAGAUUUGAUUCCGGUUCUUUAAUCUUUAUAGCAAUUGAAAAACAAUGUUGCUCUUUUCCUAAAGCAUAAAAUAUGAAAUGAGUCAUAAUUGAAUUAGUCAUUUAUUUUGUUUAGAUCUAAAUUUAGACAAUAAAUUUUGAUUUUUUUUUCAAUCCUAUCCUUAUUAUUAUUGUUAAACAGGUUAUAGAGGUUUGAGGAAGUUGAAAAGCUUUGAUCUAUCGGAAGUUAAAAUUAGAGAUGGAAGCAAGUUGUUACAGUCAAUGGGAUCAUUCCCAUCCCUCAACGCUCUUUACCUUUCGUCUAAUAAUUUUACCGAUACAGCGACAGCUACUCAAGGUAAGUAAAAGGUACAAAUGUGGCCAAAUUUAUAAACAAACUGUUAAUUAAUUAAUUUUUCCGUAUUAUUAAUUAAGCUAAAUUUGUUGCUCCUUCCUUCUAAAUCUACACAGAGUUGCACAAUUUCACCAACUUGGAAUAUUUGGCAUUGGACUAUUCCUCUCUCCAUAUAAGCCUUCUGCAAAGCAUUGCAUCAAUAUUCCCUUCGUUAAAAAAUUUGUCGAUGUAUCACUGUGUAGUCAAUGGCGUCCUACGUGGUCAAGGUAAAAGAAAAGUGUUGAUUGUGAACUCGCUCAAUGGUGUCCUACGUGUUCAACAUUUUUAUUUAUUUAUUUUAUUGUUUAAUGUUUCUGCUAGGUUUUCCUCAUUUCAAGAGUUUGGAACAUUUGGACAUGGAUUUCGCGAGCAUUGCACUCAACACCAACUUUCUUCAAAUCAUCGGAGAAUCAAUGCCUUCUCUUAAGUACUUAUCACUAUCAUAUUCUAAUCUUAGCACUGACAGCAAGACUCUUGAUCGAGGUUAAUGAGAUGCUUCAACCCUCCCCUUUAAAUCUAUAAUAUUAAUUUUCGAUUAAAUAUAUAAUUAUAGAAACCAAUCACUUAUAAAAGAAUGCUAUGCAUUUGCCAAUUUUUUUAUAUUUUACUGAUUGAUGAAUUAAUAAAUUUUCAGGCCUCUGUUCGUUGGUGCAUCUACAAGAGUUGUACAUUGCAACUCUUGUAGUAAUUAAUUAAUUAAUUAAUUAAGUAUUAGUUAAUUAAUUAAUUAAUUAAUUUUUUGUAUUAUUAAUAAAGCUAAAUUUGUUGCUCCUUCCUUCUAAUUCUGAACAGAGUUGCACAAUUUCACAAACUUGUAAUAUUUGGCAUUAGACUCUUUCUCUCUCCAUAUAAGCCUUCUGCAAAGCAUUGCAUCAAUAUUCCCUACGUGGUCAAGGUAAAAGAAAAGGGUUGAAUGUGAACUCACUCAAUGGUGUCGUACGUGUUCAACAUUUUUAUUUAUUUAUUUAUUUUAUUGUUUAAUGUUUCUGCUAGGUUUUCCUCAUUUCAAGAGUUUGGAACAUUUGGAUAUGGAUUACACUCGCAUUGUACUCAACACCAGCUUUCUUCAAAUCAUCGGUGUAUCGAUGCCUUCUCUUAAGUACUUAUCACUGUCAAAUUCUGAUCGUAGCACUAACAGCAGCAGGAUUCUUGAUCAAGGUUAAUCAGAUGCUCCCACCCUCCCUUCUUAAUCUAUAAUAUUAAUUUUCGAUUAAACAUUUAAUUACACAAACAAAUCACUUAUUAUAAAAGAACAAUACGCAUUCAUUAAUUUUUAUAUUGUAUUAAUUGAUGAAUUUAAUAAAUUUUCAGGCCUCUGUUCGUUGGUGUAUCUGCAAGAGUUGUACAUUGAUAAUAAUGAUUUAAGAGGUAGUUUGCCUUGGUGCUUGGCAAAUAUGACAUCCCUCCGAAUAUUAGAUGUUUCUUCCAAUCAACUUACUGGAAGCAUCUCCUCAUCUCCCCUCAUUCAUUUGACAUCCAUUGAAGAGCUGAUGCUUUCAAACAAUCACUUCCAGAUCCCAAUUUCACUUGAACCACUUUUCAAUCACUCAAGACUCAAGAUUUUCAAUGCUUACAACAAUGAAAUAAAAGCUGAAAUAACUGAGUCACAUUCUUUGAUCGCCCCAAAAUUCCAAUUAAAUACACUCUUGUUGUCUUCCAGUUACGGAGACAGUUUCAUAUUCCCUAAAUUCCUUUACCAUCAACAUGACCUGGCGUAUGUUGAUCUCUCACACAUAAAAAUGAAUGGAGAAUUUCCAACUUGGUUGUUGGAAAACAACACAAAAUUGAGCCACCUUUCUCUCAUCAAUGAUUCUCUUGCAGGACCUUUUUGGUUGCCAAUUCAUUCACACACGCAGUUAAUACUGUUGGAUAUAUCCAACAACAACAUCCGAGGCCACAUUCCACUAGAAAUUGGAGAUGUUUUACCACGUUUAUACGUUUUCAACAAUUCCAUGAAUGCUCUAGACGGUAGCAUUCCCUCUUCAUUUGGUAAUAUGAAAUUCCUCCAAAUUCUGGACUUAUCCAACAAUCACUUGACUGGUGAAAUCCCCGAGCACUUGGCCGUGGGUUGCGUCAACUUGCAGGCUCUUGCAUUAUCAAAUAACAACCUACAAGGUCAUUUGUUCUCUAGAAAUUUUAACUUGACAAACUUGAAAUGGUUACAAUUGGAGGGCAAUCGCUUCGUAGGUGAGAUCCCACAAAGUUUGUCUAAAUGCUCCUCACUAGAAGGAUUGUCUCUUAACAAUAAUAGUCUUUCGGGUAAGAUUCCACGAUGGUUGGGUAAUCUCACACGGUUAGAAUAUAUUAUAAUGCCCAAUAAUAAUCUUGAAGGCCCUAUUCCAGUGGAGUUUUGUCAGCUUGAUUCGCUUCAGAUUUUGGACAUUUCAGACAACAACAUAUCUGGAAGUUUACCAUCUUGUUUCCAUCCUCUCUCUAUCAAACAAGUUCAUCUUUCAAAAAAUAUGUUACAUGGACAGCUAAAAAGAGGUACAUUCUUUAAUUGCUCUUCCCUUGUGACAUUAGAUCUUAGCUAUAACCGCUUGAAUGGCAGCAUUCCGGAUUGGGUUGAUGGGCUUUCUCAGUUAAGCCACCUUAUCUUAGGUCACAAUAAUCUUGAAGGUGAAGUGCCAGUUCAAUUGUGCGAAUUGAACCAACUACAAUUGUUAGAUCUUUCUAAUAAUAAUCUUCACGGUCCUAUUCCUCCUUGCUUUGAUAACACCACACUUCAUGAAAGUUACAGCAAUAGUUCUAGUCCUGAUGAGCAAUUUGAAAUAUCUUUUUUCAUCCAAGAAACUCAGGGAUAUGUAAAAGAGCAAAUCCAUGAAAUUUUUGAGUUCACAACAAAGAACAUUGCGUACAUUUACCAAGGAAAAGUGCUUAGCCUCCUAUCAGGACUUGAUCUUUCUUGCAACAAGUUAAUCGGUCAUAUUCCUCCUCAAAUUGGAAAUUUGACAAGGAUUCAAACAUUGAAUCUAUCACACAACAACUUGACAGGAUUGAUCCCAUCAACAUUUUCAAACUUGAAGCAUAUCGAAAGUUUGGAUCUUUCCUACAACAAAUUGAAUAGAAAAAUCCCUCAUCAACUAGUGGAGUUAAAGACAUUGGAGGUUUUCAGUGUGGCAUACAAUAACUUAUCAGGCGAAAUUCCAGAAUGGAAAGCACAAUUUGCAACCUUCAACGAGAGUAGCUAUGAGGGAAAUACUUUUCUUUGUGGAUUGCCAUUGCCCAUUUGCAGAUCACCAGCAACUACGCCAAAGGCUUCAAUUGGCAAUGAAAGAGAUGAAAAUUUAAUUGACAUGGACAAUUUCUUUAUCACAUUUACAACAUCGUACGUAAUUGUAAUAUUCGGAAUUGUUAUUGUUUUAUAUGUAAAUCCUUAUUGGCGACGUAGAUGGUUUUACUUUGUUGAAAUGUGGAUAAUUUCAUGUUACUAUUUUGUUGUAAACAAUCUUAUUGCAACAAGAUAUUGUCAGUGAAAUUAAUUAGCAGUUUAAUUACGAUUCUUUAAGUUCUAAUCAAGUUUGCUUAGGAAAUAAAUUUAUUUUUAUUUUUUAUUAAAAUUGUAGUAGUAUUUAGCGCUAUAUAGCUUCCAACUUCCAAGCACUUCACAUUUGUCUCUACACUUCCAAACCCAUAUCUAUCCAACAUAACUUAUACUUCCCUAUACUGUGCAGCAUACUUAAAUAAGAGAAUCAUCUCCAAUGUUAAAACCAACCACUCUAUAACAUUCAUUUAGAAACUAUAUUUAGAAUAGUUUUAUAAUCAUACACAAGAAAUGAAACACCUAGAUGCACUUGAUCGCCUAUUUUACUUUAAAAAAUAAUGAUUAUGGUGCUAUCAUCAUCUUCUUCACUAGCAACAUUAACACCAAAUCCAGCGAUGGACCCAGACAUUUAAUCAAGAAAGGUAUAUAUAUAAUAAAGUUGAAGCUUGACAAAAAAUUCAGGAAGAUUAAUGCAUCGCCACAACAAGAGGCACAACAGCAUCAAAGUAGAGAUGAAGCAAUAUUCUCAAAGCUAAAACUCUCAAAUCCACCCACCAGAAUUUCAUAUCUCCUCAACAAUUUUAAGAACUAAAGAUAAUUAGGAUCUAACAUUAGUUUUUUAUAUAUUAGUUUCAUAAUUUACAAAUCAAUGAAGAUGAAGAUUAUGCUAAUGAAUUCAAAUUAUACCAUACAUUCUCGAGAUGUUACCAAAAAUUUCUAAGUCAAUCCCACAUAUUUCAUAAUUUUAAGACUAGAAAAUUUCAUUAGUUAGAAGUUUCAUUACCUUCAAGUGGAAGAUGAAGAACAUUAUACAAUUGAUUCAGAUUAUAUCAUACAUACUCCAAAUGCAACUAGAAAUUAACAAGUUCAUGCACACAGAUUUCAUAACAUUAUGAUUGGAAAGUUUCGCAAAGAGAAAUUCUAAAUUCAAUCUCUUGCAUCAAGGUAGUUUGAUUGAUUUGAGUUACUUUCAAGUCAGGGAGAAAGUAAAUUAAAACAGGGAAAAAAUAACAGUAAAAAUUUGUUGCUAAACAUGAUGUGUAUUUUUUUUUUAAGGCAAUUUGGAAACACAGUUGUUACUACAGAUAUUCUCAACUUAGAGAUAACUACAAAUAUUAAAAUGCAUAUGAUCGCACAUAUUACUUGGAGCUUAGUAGGAUUUCAUUAAGAGAAGCAAUCAAACCACUUAUCAAUUGUUGCAAUCGUUCUAUAAGCUAAAAUAGCAAUAUAAUACAAGAAAAAGAACAUAUAGAUACUUGGCAAGAGUUCAUUAAGAAGUCGCAUCACAUUCGGGUGAGUUUGCUUCUGAUAUCUUGCUAGCUGGGGCUUUUUCUUGUCUUUCUGCGUAUGCCGAAGGAAACCAACCAGCUUGGCCCUUGCAUUCACCUUCUGACCAUCCAGUAGGAGCCACCUUGAGAAGUUAUAACUAAAACAGUGAAUUAAACAAAAGUUGACCGUUCAAAGACCUAAGGGGAAAACUAAUUCUUUUACGUAGGAGUGAAUUAGUUGUGAUCACUGAAAUAACAGCAUAACUAUGGAAGCAUAACAAGAUAUAAAUUCACACGUCUAUAAGGGUAAACUGGGUGGUUUAGAACUGAGCUAGCAACCCUACUAUAUUCUGAUUUGCACUUCAAUGUAAAAGGGAAUAUAUGGUAGGAAUAAAGAAAACCAACUAUCAUUUGUUAACUCAUUGCUUUUCAAUCAAAAUUUUAAGAACAAAAUGCCAUGUGCUUUGAACAUCAAAUAAGUAUAAGCAUUAGUUCUAAAUUCCACAUAUCAUAAGUUAGAAGGAUAAGUUAAUAGCAUAUUAGAAAAAUCUAUGUGUUGUUAUUUAGAGGGGAAAGUACCUGGCGAACCACAACAUAAUCAGCUAUUGAAAGACUUAGCUCUCCAUUUGCUUGAGCAACAAAUGGAUGUAUAACCUGCAAGAUAAUGGGAUAAAUAGAACUUAAUCUUAAAAAAAGCAUAACAAAAGCAGCAACAGUAGCAGCAACGUUCAUUGUAACCACUAUGAUCAUGGCCAACAAAGAUAUAUUAGAAACAAAAUUCCAUUUAUACUACGACAUUAAUAUGUACUAUAUGAUAUCAUGACGAUUGGGUUACCAAGAGCUAUCAAAGUCCAAUAAAUUCUGUAUAACUUUAUGUAGUUAUUCAAAUUAUGGAUCAGAUUUUAAAUCUGAAAUUUUGACUGCUCUCCACAAAACAUGGCCUAUGCGCAAGAAAGUCAUAGAUAAUGAGGAUUACAAGUGUCUGACAUCUUUUGAGUGAUGGAUUUAACAUGAGAGCUUAUGGUCAGUCAAUUUCCUCUGCCUAGUAAUAUAAGCUUUCUCGGCCAGAUUUAUCAUCAAAUACAUAGAUUGCCCCCAAGUCACAUCCAUAUAAACAUAGUUUUUCUAGGUAAACCAAGUAAGGAGAAUCAUAAUUCAGACAUAAUCAUAAAAAGGAACAUCUAACUUAAGAGAAAAUCUCAAAAAGAGGGAUGCUGAGCUAUCAGUCUUGUAUCUAUAAGCAAUAUCAAGACUUUACAUCACCUGCUACAUCGUGAAUGGCUACACAACUUUCAGUGGUUUGUCUUUCUUUGGCAUGCCUAACUCAGCUUUGAUGUUGCUGAGAUAUUGAUAGUAGAGACACAUGAUACUUCUAGCUCAUGCAUUCUAUCUAGCUCAUCCGACAGCUAUGUCUUUUUUAAUUCAUUAGUGUUUGCUAAACCUCAUGCUUAAAAGUCCUGUUGUUCUAAACAAAGUUUCCUAAGAAUGACUUCCUCAGCACCACAUUUGGACACUUUUAGAGCAAUUUAUUUGGGGGAAAAGAAUUUUCAAGGUGUUAACUAAUAAAUUUUAAAAAAUAAUUACUAUUUGUCCUACGAUUAUAUGACAAUUUAUCUGGGAUGAAAGGAUACAGACAGACAUCUUCCACUUUCAAGACUAAUCACUACUUCCGUAGAUGUUUUGCAAUAAUACAAAUACUUGACCAGAUGGUAGUGAUGGUAGAAAAAAAUUUUAUUGCUCCAAAAUUAAAAUAAGAAUGCAAUAUGUUAAGCAAAAGACUGUGCAACAUCAAAUUAAUUGAUAAGUUUGUAAUUCAGUAAAUUAACAACUUUCAUGGUAAAAUACAACAAAUUUCUUUAAAAAAAAAAAAAUCUUAAAAGACAGCAUUCAAUUUUGUGCGCAUCUUAUUUCUUAAGAUUUUCCAGGAGGGCAAUAGAGGGACUUUCACCUAUGCAAGAGAGCAGAAGCCUUACUUUCGCUAUAAAGUAGACGUCAUUCUGAUUAAUAUGCAUUUGCAAAUCAGCUCCAUUUGAAUCAGUAUUCUGAUAGACACAUGAGGCAUUUACAUCCAUUUCCAAAGUCACAUGUUGAGAGGAGGACUCAUUUGAUUGCUCCUCUAGGACCAUCUAAUUCAAGUAGCAAGGGAUGGAAGAGAAUAAAAAGUCACAAUUAUUCUUUUGCAUAAGUGAGACGAAAAUGAUAAAUGCAAUAUUAUCAGCAGUAAACAAGAAGAGAACACUCCAAGGAAUAGAUAGAUGCGGACAAGCAAGUUAAAAUGCACAGUUCCAAACCUCCGCAUACAACUUCUCUAAAAUAGCAAUAACGUGUUGAUGAUAUGUUUUCUCAGCAUCUACCUGCAAAGGCCCGAGACCAGGAAAACAACAAUAAAACCACUAGCUAAAGGAGAAAGUAAAGAAAGAAAUACACUUGACAUAAAUCUUGACAAGAAGCACAAUUUAAGACAUAACAAACCCCAAUCAUAUUGUUUAGAACUACCAUUCAUUAUUUCGUUAUUGUAGCAUUUCGAACAAGUGUUGACUUAAUUCAACAUUGUUGGAAAGAUAGGCUUUUAGAAGCGGAAGAAAGCCACUCAAACCAAAGUGAUUGUCCUUGUAUUGAUCAAGGGAUGUAAACAUAUUACAUUUGCAGGAUGAGUUUUAAUCACUUCCUGAUUUAUUUGGGUUGCAGUAAAACUAAGCGAGCAACUGUUUGACUUUCAAGCAACAUCUAAAUCAGCUAUUAAAAUUCAAAUAAAAUUAUAAUAGAAUAAUAACAGGCCAUCUUGCAUCAAAAUUAAGUUUAAUUUGUGAAUUUUUUUCUAUAGACAUGUUAGUUCCUGCUAUUGAAAUGUUAAAAGCUUUGAAAAAUUAUUCAAUAAAUUAUGCAAACAUUAAAAUAGAGGACAUAUUAAAAAGUUUCUAAUUACAAUGUUAAGAUUUCCUAUAUUUUAGCAUUUGCAUAUUUUAAUUUAUUUAAAAGCUACGUCGAUCAACUUUGGGCGUGAAGAUUUUAGCUUCUACGAGACUUGAUUGGAAUAUGCAUAAGGAAGAGUGUUAAAAUAUGAUGCAUCCAACGAAAGACAAACCAUGUGUAGUCUUUUAAUUAAGCCAAAGUAGCAGCUCAAACAAAUGACACUUGGACCAACAUGCAAUCAUGAAGUGGCCGGAAAAAGGACAAAUGCAACUUUGGCUUAAAUAAAAAAUAACAUGUGACUUGACUUUUCCUGGACAUGCAUCAUGUUAUUACAAGACAACAGAAAUCAGUAUGAUAGUACUAAAAGUUGACAAUAACAUGAAGAUAAGAGGCAGAAUGUCAACACAUGCAUAGGCACACACAAGAAAGUAUUAACAUAUAUACCAUAGCAAAAAGUCUUUGAUAUGUCAUCUGUUGCUGCUGUGAUUCAACUGACAGCAUGGCAGCUGUUGCUUCUCUACCAAGAGCCAUUAUUGUAGAUUUAAGCUCGGUCAAUCUUGCUUCUGCAUUUCGAAGCUUCACAGCACUCUCUGCUGAUAUAUCAGAUUCCCUUAUCUUUGAUCGGUGCCUAAAUACUUCAGCUGCCUGGUGAAAAUAUUCAAUAUAAAUCUAACAUAAUUCUCAUCUUGCCUUAUACAUGCAUAUGUUACCUCAAAGCUUGCCUGGGCUUCAACUUCAUGUCGAAGUUUGUCAUAACGAUGAGUCAGGUGUCGAGCAUCUUCCAAAGGUGCUCCGUUGAUUAACGCCCAUAGUGGCUUAGAUACCUACAUGUCCAAAAACCUGUAACAUAGUUAGAAAAAUGAAAAGAAAGAGCGAAACCUCAAUUAAAAAGUUCCUCCAACAUAAUCAUGGAAUUUGGGCCUACUUCAAGGAUAUAUAUAAGGAUAAUUUAUGCAAUUUUGGGUCUUAGGAUGAUUCAUAUUAGGUUAGUGUUCUUCUCUUCUGUAUUUAAGGUUAAAAUAGAAAUAAACCUAUGCAAAUAUCUAAAUUAGGGCUGUAAGACUUCCACAUGCAUCCUUCAGUCUCAUGGAUUUGAUUUUACUAUAGAUGCAAGUGUCUUUAUCGAAAAUGCUUGGAGUCAAUUGAGAGAACUCACAGCCAAUAACUUGUCACAUGCUAGUCUUUGCUAGUGAUGCAAGAAGUCACAAGGUCUCUUCAACAUUUGAACCAAUAAAAUUAUUAAGUCAUGGAUGUCACUAGCAAUGAUUUCAAUAUAAAACAUUAAAUAUUUCAAGUUGUAACUUUAAAAUGGAUUCUUUUAUUCAAUAUCUUAGAACUAAGUUUCCUUAUGAGAAGAUAAUAGUUUCAGUAGUAAUUUACAUGAAAUUUUCUAUAUUUGAAUUAUUUUCUAGUUAGGGAUGAACUAACCUGAUCAUGAAGAAUCCCAAGCAAAGUUUCCCUCUCAUUUUCCAUCAAAUCAUGUGAAGUGCCAAAUUGAAGAGCAGCUCUUGCAGCGCAAGAAUUGUCACUUUGAUUCUCCGCUCCAUACUUGCAACAAUCUUCAGCCAACUUUCUCGCUACAAUAUUUGAAUACAAAAAUAUUGUACACAAGAACCAGUCAAGAAAAUAAAAAAAAAUCAAAUAUUAUAACGAGAGCAAGAGCAAACAAACAACCUAUUUCCAUUUGUUUCAAGCUUACUGCAACAAACCCUUCAAUGCCACGGACAAUAUUCCUCUGAAAAUGCUGUGCUACAGAGCAUAUAUUCCAAAUUAUUGUUCAGAUAAAACCAUAGAAACCAUCAUAAUUAUCAACAUACAUUAAGCUCCGUUUGGUAAAUACUUGCAACUUCAGUCUAGAAAAUACAGUUGUUUGUACCAUAUUUGACAAAAUUAUUAUUUAAAAAUCAUAACUAAUUACCAAAAGCCACAAUAAAUCAAUAUCAAACAGAGUCUUAUUAUUAGCUAAAGGAGGAUGGUGCCUUAGCUGCCCUGGUGGAAUUGUAUAGAUUUUAAAGUUGUUGGUGACACUCAAUUUCAGCUUCAUGAACCGCAAUAUUUUCAAUACCAAGAUGGAGCAGAUGCUUCAAUACUGCCUGUACAAAUCAUAAAAAACUAAUAAAAAUAAAUAAAAUCGAGAAAUUUCACUAACUAAAAGUCUAAAUAUAAUUUUUGAAAAAAGAAAAGAAACGGACUUGCUGCUGCUUGGCGACUUGUUCUCGGAGCUUGAUUGCCUGUUUCUUGAUAGCUUCCAUACUGUUUCUUUCAAAAAGCAACGACGGCUCAGCUCAUGGAGGUGGAAAAAAAAAGUGUGAUCGAGAAAAAUAAAAAGGCAUGAAUAAUUUUUGACAAAAAGCGAAAAAUAAAAAGGCAUGAAUAAUGAAUAAUUUUUGACAAAAAGCUCUUUCCAGAAAAUAAAAAAAGAAAAAAGAAAAAAGAAAAUUAUAAGUUUGAAAGGAGUAGAUGAUAGUGGAAGUGUGGGGUAAUUUUUAAAAACCUCCCCUGAGGUUUGGGCUUGUUGCAAGUAGAUGACGAGAAUUGAUUUAUUUGUAAAAAACCCCCUACCGUCAGUUAAUUUUAACAUUGACAGUUAGUUGACCGUGCAAAGACAAUAUUACCCUUAACAAUAGUUUGUAAACGAAAAUAACUAAAAAAAAACCAAAAUUAUUAGCUAUUUUACCCUCUUUAAAUUAUUGAUAUUUUCUUAAAGUUCCUAUAAAAAAGAUAAAAUUAAAAACUUGAAAAAUCAUCUUUAAAUUAUUAAUAUUUUCUUAAAGUUCCUACAAGAAAGAUAAAAUUAAAAACUUAAAAAUGAAAUAGUCAUAAUCUUUACCUAUGAUAUUGUAAAUCUUUAGAAUUGACAAGGAUAAAAUUAUCAAAAAAUAGGGUUUGUGCUUUUCGCGCCAACAAUUUUAAUUUUUUUUUAUAGUUAUUUUCAUUUACAAACUAUUGUUAAGGGUAAUAUUGUCUUUGCACGGUCAACUAACAGUCAAUGUUAAAAUUAACUGACGGUAGGGGGUUUUUUACAAAUAAACCAAUUAUCGCCAUCUACUUGCAACAAGCCCAAACCUCAGAGGAGGUUUUUAAAAAUUACCCUGGAAGUGUGCGGUGUGGCUGCCAGCUACUUGGAUUGUAUUGUCGGGUAAGGUAAUAGUAGAGAAUUUUGUUUUUGAAGAAAAAUGGGUAAUUUUUAAAAACCUCCCCUGAGGUUUGGGCUUGUUGUAAGUAGAUGGCGAGAAUCCAUUUAUUUGUAAAAAACCCCCUACGUUUUUGCUCCGCUUGGUUGCCGUUUGUGCAAUUAUGGGCAUUGUUGACAUUUCUCAAUAAAACAAAUCUUUUGCAACUUUCGUUGCCUUGAGAACAAUAGCUAGAUUUCUCAAUCUGUUUCAUCCAACACUUCAAAAAUUUCAACUUUUAUGAGUUAUUGCAUUCUCUGGCAAAGUAGACUUCUUCUAAUUUUAUCACAGUGCUUUCAGGAACAAGAAUGGGAUCCAUUAACAUCCCCUCAAAUUUUACAGCUUCCUUACAGCUAUACACUGCUGUAACACGAAGUUUAAUGAUUCCAUCGCCAAAUAGUCCCCAAAAUCUAUUCUUCCCCAUAUUGAACAACUUAAGUUCACAACACUUGCAUUCUAAAGGCUUCCCACUAACAUCUAAUAUCUCAAGACUCAACGUUGCUUUACAAUAAUUGUUAUUACUACCAAACAAACAUGAAGAAACCCCGAUUAUCGGAUAAAUCAACCCAAAAUGAACAAGAGAAGAACCCAAAACAAGUGAAUCGCUAGAGCAAAACCCCCAACCCAUAUCCCUAAUCCCACACUCAAAAAAACCCAAUUUCUCUCCAAAGUCAUUGACACUAGCAUCACUACUAGACUCUAAUUCCAAUCCUAGAUUACAUUUAAUGUUAACCCAACUAAAAUGAAUGUUCUUACUACAAUACGCAUCGUUUACACUCUCAAACAACGCGCUGAACUUACUCUUAAACGAUCCCACAUUGGUCAAACACUCAUCACUCACAUCGACAUCCAAGAAUUCACUCAAAAACUUCAUAGACUCGACAAUUGGAGAAAACAAAACCACUAAACUCAACUUUAUACAAGCAUACCCAUCGAGAAUCUUACCGUCAUUAACCGAAUCACAACAAAUCACCGGGUCCCACGCGCAGUCGUGAACGAGCUUACGCAUGGACGGGGCAACAUUUAACCCCCGCGGCAAAAACGACGAAGCUUUGGAAAAAUUGUGUUUUAGAGCUGGGUUGAGGAGUAGAGAUUGGAGAGAUUGGAAGGUGGAAUCGGGACGGUCAAAGGAUAGAGAGAGAGAAGGGAAGGGGAUCUUUAAAAGAGAAGUGGGGAGAGGGAGGAGAAGAAGGAUUUGAAAGAGAAAAGAGAGGAACGGAGAGGCGGGAAUGAGAUUAAGGUUUUCACUGCAACUAAAAGAGUAAUCAUGUAUGGCUCUUGGUCUUGGAGAUGAAGGAGAGGAUUCAGGUCGAUUAAGAGGACUAUACGCUGCAUUUUGGUGUAGUCUGCCGCCAUUGGUAGAAGUUUCGAAGUGGGUUUCUGUUUAGAUCCGAGUUUGACGAAGAAACGUGGUGGUUGCGCUUGGGACAAUAUUGUUUUUGCACUGGUCAAUGUAAAAAUUAAACGACGGUAGGGAGUUUUUUUAUAAAUAAAUGAAUUCUCGCCAUUUAUAACAAGCCGAAACCUCAAAAGAAGAUUUUAAAAAUUACCCGAAGAUUCGAAAAAUAGUAGAGAAUUUUUUAAAAAGCUAGAACAGAGCAUGUUAGGCUUUUGUGGACCAAAUUCAAAAGCCAAAGGGCACGGCCCAAAAGCUUUUGAAUACAAUAACUUACUAGAAAGCUCCAUUUUUUGUUGGCUACAGUAAAAGUAUGUUGUUUUAUGCUUCUUAUAUGUUACGCUUAAUCGCUUGCUUUAACUGCAUCGCUCUCUGUGUACUCUUCUACACAUGUAACGGUUAUGCGGUUGUAGUUCACGGCUGAGGCUACGUGUUGGUUUGACGCGGCAGUUACGUUACGACAUUACGAGUCCGUUAAACAUUCGGUGAUAGAGCAUUAUUAGUUAUUUUAAGGAGACAAAUAAGAUUGGUUGCAAUAAACCCACUAAUUUUAUAAAAUUCGAGUAAUAUAGAAUAAAAUAAAAAAAUAAAUACAAAAUUGGCUUUUAUUUUUUAUGGUUGACUGUAUUUUGUGUUCUCUUCCGGCACUACUACAAUUGUUCCCUAUAUAUCAGUCACACCCAUAUAUCAUCAAUACAAGAAAUGAAAUCUAAUGUCACCUAUUUAGUUAAAGAAUUACUCAUGAAAAAAUUUUACCAUUUUACUUUGAGGAUCCAUAUUUUGAACUGCAAGCUAAUGUUCAUCAAGAAUCACUAAUGUUCAUAAAAAACAGAGCAUGGCCGUUGAGUAGAAAAACUAUUUUUGGACAAAUUAUUUUUGUUGAUAGAAGAAUUUCUUAAGGGACUACUAAUAUUAUGAAUAACAAUGUAGAACACACCCACAUAUCAUCGACACAAUUGACUUUAAGGAUCCAUGCUUUGAAUUGCCACCUAAUGUUCAUCAAGAACAGAGUAUGCCUUGUGAGUAGAAAAUUUUAUGAUUUUGGUCCGAAAUAAAAAGAAAUUAAAUUAGAUGAGAAUCUGCCACUUUCUCAUAAAGAAAGGCAUACGGAGCAUACCAUGGUACCAUACAAUACAAAGAGUCUCUAUUCUCUGGUUUUUCAAACUCUGAAGGGGCCAAUAUUCCCGAAUUCUCCCUUGAAAAUUCUGAUUACAACAUUAUUCAAUUCUUGACACAAUCAAAGUAGCGACAAAGUUAAGAAAAAUAUGAGUCCUAAGUAAUGGCUAGGUAGGGUUCUUGAGAGCAAAAUUGUCCUAAGCAUUAUAUGCAUACAUGGUGUGGUACAUAGAGCACGUUGAAUUCCACACUAUAACACAAACCCAGAAAGACAAGUAAUAACUCAACUGAUAUAAAGACAAAAAGAAGAUAAAAUGAUAUAGAAAAAAGAAUUUCAAAGCGACAGCAACAUACGAUAGACUGAAGCCACUUGAUCUGCUCACUGAUUGCAGCCUUAAACUUACAAAUAGUUACUGUACGCUAGUGCUCUAAGAAGUGAAAAUGAUAAGAGACCUGAUUCCCUUUUGACUUCCAUUUACUGUCAAACAUUCUAGUAAUACAAAAAAUUGUUUAGAUAUCUUGCUAUAAAUAUAGUCGUUUGACUGUCAUAAUAAAGUCACAAAUAACCAUUCAUAUUGAUCCACUGUCACACAGCAUGCUUUAUGCAUACAACAUCUGCAUGUAUACCAACUCCUAACCUUAUCAAUACAUUUGGCAAAAAAUUAAGAAGAAAACUAUUUCUCCAUCUCUUUUUUGAAAUUUCACAAUAAACCAGCACAUUGUGAAAGCUAUGUUCUAAUCUUAUGAUAAAUGCUCUAGACUCCAAAAGGAUUUUAUUUAUGAGAGUUUGUUGCAGCAGAUAUAUUGACUUAUCAAGUAUGAAUCAUUGUCUGGAUGAACUAUCUUUAAAUAAAAGAAUAUUAGAACCACUGUAGAAUAUCUUUACGCUGCUGGUUCUAACAGGAAUCUGCAUGUGGCAACAAUUGCUAGAUCCACAAUUCCCCAACUUGAAAUACAUAGUUGCACACCGUGAGAUAGUGCUGCAAUCUACUGAGAUCUAACUUAUUUGAUACUUUAAGCUACUAAUGUUUGCAUAUUUCUACAUGUUAAAUUGACACUACCAUCUAUAAUCACCCCAAAACGACAAAUGAUAAGCAGCUUUUGGCCACUUAUUACUAGCAUCCACAACACAAUUAUAAAUAAGAGAUCAUGGGUUUACUUGUUGCAACUACUUAAUGAUCUGCAUUUGAGACCCUGACGCAAGGUUUAAAUAGUGACUGCUUAGAACCCUUGUAGUUGGAUCUUGACCUCUCCCAUUGUAGCCAAGAUUGGCUACUCUGGUAAUGAAUCAACACUCUCCUGCUUAUUUUUUUGUUUUUAAAAAAUAACGAAAUCAUAAAAUAAAUAAACACGUGUUUGGUUUUGGGCAUUUUCUUUUGUUCAUUUAAUAUCAUCUGGCUCCCUGAUUUUUUACUAAUUAACAACGGAAUCCUGUUAGUUUCUAAAUUGAAAUAAUAAAAGGUCACGAGAUUAUUUACUCCAUUUAGCACUGUAGACUUAGAGUAUAUUGAAAAAGCUUUGUCAAAUAGUAGUAAUAGGGGCAUAAUAAAUAAGUUUUUCAGAAUUUACAUAAUGUACUUGGCUCUAGGAAGAUUGCCCUCUUAUCACUCAAGUUAGGUUUUGCCUUAGAGUUGAGGUAAAUCAUUAAAAUAAAUUAUAGCUAUUACAAAUUCGUUAGGAGAAUUUCAAUUUUUUUUCCAUUAAAUGGCUAUGAUGCAAAAUUACCUCAGCUUAUAUUGCAACACUAAUACUUCAAAUCCUAACAAUAAAAUUGAUGACAAUGGUUUUUAUGUAUAGUAAUUUUCACUCUUUUGUUUGAUCUAAAAGUAGUUCUUAAAAUGACAAUGAUGACUUAUUUAGAAGAAAUGGCAAACUUAUAGUUUGUAAUAUUGUUUGCACAAACAAUAAAGACUAAUUUGAUAAUAAUGAAGUGUUAAUUACUAUUUAACAUUUUUAAUUAAUUUUUAAAUUUAAAAAAAAAUGAAGGCCGAAACUUGUGCAUUAAAUUUUAAUUAAAAGUUGAUUGCUUCGAAGGUUUGAUCGUGACAAAUUGACAAUUGAAAAAAGAAGUAGGGAAUAUAUAUUCUGAUGAAAGGGACAAGAUUAAGCAAGGGGACAAUAUUGUCUAUUGGACCUACAAAUGGGGGCAAAGAUAUAUAUAUUCCAAAAUUUCUUAUUUGUGGAUUGGCCACCACGUGUAACUAAUAUAAAAAGAGAAAAUUUGGCAUGGUUUUAACCGAUAUAAGGGUCCGUUUGGGAUUGAGGUGUUGUAGCUUUUAAGCUAUAGCUGUUGUGGAAAAAAAACUGUAAGUAUUAAAUAAAAGUUAAUAAUAUAUAGUAAAUAUAAAUUUUAAAUAAUAAUUUUGAUGAAAUUAUUAAAGAUAUAAUAGAUUUUCUAUUAUACAAAUGAAAAUUCAUAUCAACAUAGCUUAAAAGUUACAGCAGUUAGUGUUUACCAAACACUUUAGUGCUGUAGCUUUUAAACUACAGCUGCCCAACCUCAAUCCCAAACGCACCCUAAGAAGAGAAAAUUUUGAGUGUAUAAGAAGAGAAAAUUUUGAGUGCACAACAAGAACAAAGCAAAACCCAUGAAAAUUCACCUUUCAUGUGGGUUGGAUUGGAUAAAAUCAAUAUCUUGAAUCAAACAAAAUGUUUGGUACUUGAAGGUUUUUUUAACAUUUUCAUUUUUUUUUUCCAUUUAUGAAGUCCAAUUUUUUUUUUAAUUUUGAUUUUUUUGAAUGAUUUUGAAGGUGUUGAUAUAAGGUCAUCGAAGGUUUGUGAACUUGGGGUGUUGAAUUAUAAGGCGAAGCGUGUGUUUUAUCCAUUUGAAGCAAGUAAAUUUCGCUGUCGGUAUGAUUACUAUUGGGCUUCUAUCUUCAAGGUAUUCAUACAUUUUCCCCUGUACUAUAAGCUUCUUAGUGGCGGUCUUGUGAGCGGAAGUGAGCGGUGUGGCUGACAGCUUCUUGAAAAUUAUAAGUUUGAACAGAGCAUGUUAGACUUUUGUUAACCAAAUUCGAAAGCCAAAUGGCACAGCUCAGAAGCUUUUGAAUUGAAUAACUUACUAGAAAGCUCCAAUUUUUUGUUGGCUACAGUAAAAAGAGGUUGUUUUAUUCUUCUUAUACUUUACGCUUGCAUCAGCUUAAAUCACUUCUUAAACGCUUUGCUUUAACUCCACCGCUUCGUACUGUUCUAUAUAUGUAUCGGGUAUGCGGUUGUAGUUCACUACUGAGACUACGUGUUUGUUUAACGUGGAAGUUACGUUACGAGUCUGUUAAAACAUUCGGUGAUUAAAGUAUUAUCAGUUAUUUCAAAGGGACAAAUAAGAUUAGCUACAACACACACUAGUUUUAUAAAAUUCGAAUGAGAUGGAAUAAAAUAAAUAAGUAAAUUGACUUUUAAUUUAGUGCUUGAAUAUAUUUUGUAUUCUCUUUGGGCACUGCUGUAAUUGUUCCUUAUCACACCCAUAUGUUAUAGACACAAGAAAUGAAAUUUAAGAUCACCAGUUUAAUUAAAGAAUCACUCAUGAAAAAUUUUUGCCAUUUUGAUUUGAGGAUCCACAUUUUGAACAACCAACUUAUGUUCAUUAAGAACAAAGCAUUGCCUGUGAGUAGAAAAAUGAUUUUUGAACAAAUUAUUUUUUGUUUAUAGAAGAAUUUCUCAAGGGACUAUUAAAAUUACUAAUAAAAAUGUCAGACACACCCAUGUACCAUCGACAAAAUUAACUAUGAGGAUCCAUGUUUUGAACUGCCACCGAAUGUUCAUCAAGAACAUAGUAUAACUUGUGACAAGAAAAUUUUUUGAUUUUGGCCUAGAACAAAAUGAAAUUAAAUUGAAGGAGAAUCUACUACUUUCUCAUUAAGAAAGGCAAACGGGGCAUACCAUGGUACCAUACAAUACAAAAAGUUUCUGUUCUCUAGCUUUUCAAACUCUGAAGGGGGCAAUAUUCCCCAAUUGCCUUGUGAAAAUUCUGAUUACGACAUUAUUCAUCGCUUGAUACAUAAGUAAAAGUAGUGAUAAAAUUAGAAAAAAUAUGACUUAUAAGUAAUUACUAGGCAGGGCUCUUGAGAGCAACAUUGUGCUAGGCUUUAUAUGCAUACAUUGUGUGGUACAUUCUACACUAUAACACAAACCCAGAAAGACAAGUAAUAUCUCAACUUAUAUAAAGACAAAAAGAAGAUAAAACGAUACAGAACAAAGAAUUUCAAAGAGACAGCAACAUACAAUAGACUGAAGCCAGUUGAUCUGCUCGUUGAUUGCAGCCUUAAACUUGCAAAUGUUUACUGUAGCCUGGUGCUCUAAGAAGUGAAAGUGAUGCAAACCUUGAUUCCCUGUUUACUUCCAUUUACUGUCAAACAUUCUAUUCAUACGAAAAAAAUUGUUUAGAUAUCUUGCCGUAAAUAUAGCCAUUUGAUUGUCUUAAUAAAGCCACACACAACCAUUCAUAUUGAUCCACAUUGCCAUAUAGCCUGAUUUAAGCAUACAACAGCUGAAUGCAUACUGACUCCUAACCUUAUCAAUACAUUGGAGACAACUUAAGAAUAAAACGAUUUCUCCAUCUCUUUUUUUGAAAUUUCACAAGAAAACAGCACAACGUAAGAGCUGCAAUGAAAAUGGACCGUCAAGAACUAUGGCGGAAGCUUCAACUAGUGUAGUGAUUUGACCUUCUUAUUAACUUUGCGAUAUCAAGCACUGCCCUUCAUCUUGAACAGAUCAAUACAAUACGCACAACUUAUGAUUGAAUCCAGAAACAAUCAAAUCUUUAGCAAGAAAAAUUAAUCAGAAUCAAGAAACAAGUUCAAUGAAUAUAAACCUAUAAUUGGAACAAACACAGCCAAAGAACCCAAGAAUGACACAACCUACACCACGGGAGAAGCUUUCCAGUGAGAUUUUAUUGAUGAUCAAAGAAGAAUCUUUUUACAAAGCUAACAAAAGAGAUUUCAGAGAAUAAGCUAUGACUCUCUCUCUUCAAUCUCUCUCUAGUUUGUUCACAGUGAUGACCCCAAUCUGCUUCGUUAGCCAGCUUCAUAACUGCGUCAGUGACAAACUAAAAAACCCAGAUUGAGCAGAUUACCGACACGUGGAUAACGGCUAUUAAGAACUUGGUUAAAGAACUGCUCACAUAUUCGUCACGCGUGUUACUUAAAUGAUGGCCAAAACGACUUCAACAAGAUGCCGUUUUGAAGCUUGUGAAUUAUAAUUGAAAACACGUGCUUGUCUCGUGACACUUAAAUACAACAACAAGCCCAAAACACUGCCGUUUCACUUUGUUGAGUUUGCCAUCUCUAAGCUUCACAACUAGCAACGGAGAAGAUGAUAAUUAAAUUGACAUGGAGAGUUUUUAUAUCACUUUUACAACAUUCUAUAUAAUUGUGAUAUUGGGAAUCGUCGAUGUUGUAUAUGUGAACUCUCAUUGGUGACACUGGUGGUUUUAUUUUUGUUGAAAUAUGGAUGACAUUUCGUUACUAUUUUAUUGUACACAACAUUUUGUUACUAUUAACAUGUUAGUUUCAUUAGCCACUAGGCCUUUGGCUGAGUCAUUCGGGUGUCUGCCCUCCAACUUGGAGGGCAGCAAUUUGAACCCCCACAAGCGCAAUGUUGGGUAUUUUUUUCUUUAAUCCCUCGAAUAUUAGUGAAGGUUAAAAUCUAGGCAGAACUCCAUAAGUAUUGAUGUAAGUUGGUUUCAGUAAUAGUCUAAUUUGUAAAUAUCAGUUAUAAUCUCAUAUAAGAUGAGUUGUAAUUUGAGCAAUAGUCUCAUAGAAUAAUAAUAAUAAUAAACAUGUUAGCUUCAUUACAUUUUUCUUCGUUAAAAUUCUCAAGUAUUAGUCAGGUUUGCUAAAGUAAUAAAAUUUUGCCAUUAAAAUUGUAGUAGUAUUUCUGAGCACCUCACAUUUUCAAUGAUUUUUCAUAAAUCAAUUAAUCUGUCGUACCGAUAUCAGGUUUAGUUUUUCAUACUAAACAAUCAAGAAAGCAAACAUACGAAUUCACAGUUUAGAGGGGUAAACUAGGUAGGUGGUUUAGAUUUUAGAACUAGGCUAGCUACCCCACUAAAUUCCAAUUUGUACAGUGAACUACAAGAAAUUGAGAAAACAGUGUAUUUAUAGUUUAAUUGAAUCGUGAGAAAGCAAUGUAGUCAUAGCUCAAUCUGAGAUGAUCACGGAGAGGCAUAUUCUUUUCAAGUUAAUUUGAUCAAUUUAUAAGAGAUGAAGUGGAUUGAAGUUAAAAGUUUAAAUAACAAAUCCUUGUUCUUGAGUUUUACGACGUCGUUACUCCUUCAAGAGGCAGAUUAUUUAUGCAAGUGAAUGCAGAAACGCAAUGCAUCAUCCACGGGGAUGGUACAUCAAAAGGCGGGAUCAUAGUCUAUGCCCGCAGAUUAACAAUUUCGCUCAUAUAGAAAAUUAAUUUUUUAUAUAUACUAAUCAACACUAAAUUGAUUGUGUUUUGUAUGUUUAUAUGCGAAUCAACACUAAAUUAUAUUAAAUGAAGAAAUAAUUCAAUUUUUUCUAAUUUAAUUUAGAAAAUAAAAUUAUUAACAUUAAUAUUCCCAAAAAAAAUUAUUUUCCAUUAGUAUUCAAAGUCUUCACUUAUGGAAAAUGUGUUUUACCUGAAUAUUAGUUACCGUGUAAAUUUGAUUGAUAGUGAAAAAUAAUUUUUUAAUUAUUGUAAAAAUAAUUAACCAUAUCAAAUCCCUUACGUAAAUAAUUUUUAUUUUUCAAAAAGGUAGAAAGAUGGUUAAUGCACAAGCAAAUUUUAAGCCCCUCUCUUCUUGGCCUAAGAUUCAAACUCAGAUGACUAGUUAAAUAAACCUAUGUGAAAUCAUUUGGCCAGGUCCGCGGGGAAAAAAUACAAGAUCCUUAAUUUCAUAAUAUAUAUGAAUUAAUGUCAUUUACUUGAAUUAUCCAAAUUCAUCAGAGGUUAACGAAUUUUCCUGACAUGUAGUAGAUGAAGUUGUUGCUUCCUUCUUGGCAUUAUUUCAGCUCUGGUUGUUGGUCCCGAUGAGCUUUAGUCUUAUUUUAAUUUUAUUUAAACUCAUCAUAAGAUUCGUGGAGCAGCUAACUGACUUAACUGACUGUGCAGAAAUGUCACAUAGCAUAUUUAACCGUUUUAACAGUAAUUUUGAACGGUCUUCGCAAUUAUCAUCUACAAACUCGUUCGUAUUGGUCCAAUCUUCCGGACGAUAUCAUAUGCCUAAUAAUGAAUGAAUGGUCUUGGAUCGGUGUUUCGCAGCAAGAGCAACUCGACAAAAUCUGGAGUCAAGCUCCUCCGAUCGAACAAGGGAUUUCGAUUGAUGAUUGAGUUCCUUUGUGCUCAAGCAACUUCAAAUCAUAGUUUUGAUUCUUUAGAUAUGAAUUCAUCACAUUACAUAUAACAGAUUGAGUUAAACAAAAUUUUAAUUUACUGAGAAAAGAAUUCUAUUUUGUGAACUAAUCAAUUGCAAAGCAUUAGUGUUGAACGAUACAAAAAAUUGGGAAAAGAAUUCUAGCCGUAUUGACUCCACCGAAAUUUCCACAAAAGCAAAAAAAAAAAAAAUAUAUUCCACAAAAUGCAAAACGUAUGGAACUUAAUUUUUGGCCCUGUGAUCACUAAGAUACAAGGCAAAUUUUUUUAGAUCUCUCCGACAAAGUGAUUACCAUCUAAUCGCAAUAUUGAAUAAAAAUAAAAAUUUUAAUGGGAGUUUGACCUUAAAUUUAGAAAAUGAAUUUUCACUUUCUUCAAUUAUUAAACAGAUUACAGACAUUUGAGGAAUUUGAAAACACUUUAUCCAUCGAAAGUUAAAAUUAGAGAUGGAAGCUAGGUGCUACAGCUAAUGGGAUCAUUAAUUCCCCUCCCUCAAAUGUGUAGUUGUUCCUCUUUCCACAGCAUAAGCCUUAUAGUUAGAGUUUCUUUUUAAAAAAAAUGUUAAACAAUUUCGGUUGAGCAUGGUUUUGGUAGUUGAAUAGACACCUCCGCCGUACCUCAAACAAAACUGUCAUUAUUCGAGUCAUGAAACAUGUUUCGGCCGUCAAAGUCAUGAGUAGGAGUGGGCAUGGGUUGGUUUGGGUUAGGUUUUAAGUCAAUUCAAACCAAACUAUAAAAAUUUGGGUUCAACCCAAACCAACCCAAAUAUUUUUAACCCAACCCAAACCAACCUAUUUGGAUUUGGUUUGUGUUUGGGUUUGAUUUGAAUUUUAUAAUUAAAAUAUUUUUUAUUUUAAUAAAUUUAACUAUAUCAAAUUAUAAUAAUUAUUAAUUAAUAUUAAUUAUUAAAUUAAUAUUAAAAUAUGAAAAAAUGUAGUGGAUAAAAAUUAUGAAUAAUGGAUUUUACAAUAACUUUGUUCUUAAAUAUUAACCAUAUUACAACAUAAAUUCUAACAAUGUCAAUACAAAUUAAAGUAAGAUAAGAUAUCUCAACUCAAGUAUCAAAGCAAUCCAUCAAAAUUAAAUUAUUUAAUUUUAUAAAUUUAAAUCUUCCGAGAAAUAAAUCUAAAAUUUAUUGUAAUUAGAAAACGCGUCAAAAUUUUAAACGCAGUAAGAAAAAUUAGACAUAAAAUCUAAUUAGGUUUAAAUUUAAUUAAAAAAUAACAAUAGAAUCAUAUUUUAUUUGAUAAAAUCUUAAAAUCAAUUUCAUUUAUUUUAGUAAGUUACAAUACAAAUAGGAUUAUAAAAUUAUAUUACAGGAUUUCAUAAAAAUGUUGUUUGAGUAAUUUAUUAAAGGACUCACCUACGUUGCCACAGUUGUAGCUUACCACGCUUUUUGUCUUUUUCCAGUAAAAUCGUAGGAUGCUUUCAAAUUUAAUCUAACGGAUGCAAUUAAUUAUUAGAUAAUUUAAUCAGCCAUUGGCAACCUUUACAACCGGUUAUAUUCUCUCGUUACAUUUCUCGGCUACCAAACAAUCCCCAAGAAAAUGACGAAGUGAGUAACUAAUACACACACCGCAGAGAAAGAUGACAGGAGAUGAGAUGACGGUAGGCCCACCGGCACAAAGGUUCUUCGAUUGCUCUAUUUCUUCGGCGCCGGAUUUAUCUACACAACUACAAUCGACAAGUGGCGGGAACUCGAGCGGAAGUCAUUGAAGAAGAAACAUCAAGAGAGCAAUCUAUGGACUGAUGAUAACUCAGCAACUACGGUAAAGAAAGCCGUCAAAUGAUCUUUUUAUUUGACUUUUGAUGGAUUUUCAAGAGUUUUGGUAAUAAAAUGUCUCUUAAUUUUUCAUGUCAAUGGCCUAUUGUUUGAGUUAUUAUUAUGCAUAAUUGUUGGAAGAGUUAGGAUUUUACUAUUGGAUUUUGGAAUUUGUAUUUUGGCUUUGAUAUGUUAUUGUUGUGAUGUCGGUCAAGAAAUUUUUGACAACACUCUCCUCGAGUUUGAUACUAUAGCUAAUGAAUUUUUAUGGCAGAUAUAGCUAAUGAAACAAAAAACACUUUAUAACUGGUUAUGCAUUCAUUUAGGAGCUAUUAACUGAGCGUGAGUUCCAUAAUUUUCCAACCAGUGGUUAGGGUUUCACAGAAAAAUGUCGACAUUGAUCUUUAGGCAGCACUUAAGACUGAAAUUGGUUGUAGAGGAUCGAAUUUGGGGAACUAGAAAUUUCUGAUCAUUAAUAAUUGAAAAUGGCCUCUCACUUGUAGGCAGUUGUUGGAUGUAAUGUAUCCAGUUUUUGAAAUCGAAAGCAGAGUGAGUUCUUAGGUUAGAUGUACCUACAUGCAUUAAGGUUCGAAGAUGUAGAAUAGGCCAAUUGUUUGAUGUCAGCUUUGUUGCACAUGUUCUGAAAUUGAUCAUUUAAGAUGGCUUGGAAGCACUCCGUGAUGUGACUAAGAAGAUUCGAGGAAGUAUUAAAUAUGUUGAAAGUUCACAAUUAAUACAAGGAAAGUUCAAUGAGAUCACCCAGCAAGUUGAAAUCAACAGUCAAAAGAGCCUACAGUGUGAUAUUUUUCUCUUGGAUUGUUUUUUUAUUUUCCAUUUCAAAGCUGAUAGUGUAAAUUUUUUGUUUGCAAAAGUUUCUAAAAAGUACUUGAGUCAAGAUGGUUAGGUAUUUCAUAACUUCCUUUUUACUCUUAACUAGAUUCAUACAGAGUUAUAACAUUAACAUAAUUUUUUCUUUUAAAAGUGAUCAAUUAGACACUGAUGAGAUAUCUCACUUUUGAAUCAUUUAGCUUUAUGUAAUUUCAUUACUAUUAUAUGCCCCCAGGAAUUGUUGAAGUAUAUAUAUCUUGGCAUUUCUUCACCGACUGAAUUAUCUUUCAUAAUAUUCCAGCUUCAAAUGGGUACACUGCAGAGCCGAUUGGAUGCAGAAUUCCUUCUAGCUCAUAUGUGCUCUGUAAAAUUCAAAGACUUAAUAGUGGUUAUGGCAACUCUUUUUAGAUGAUCUAAGGUAUAAUGCCCAAUUAUUGCUUUUGCUUUAUCUGUUUUACCUUGCAACAUUUUGAAAUUUAUGAGAAGCAUAAAAUUACUGAGCCAAAAUUGAGGAUCUGAACUUUCGUAAAAAUAUUCAUAUUUUUAAAUUAUAAAAUAUUGCAUUUGAUGUUUUAGGUGGAACUUAGUUCACUACAGAAAGGAAAAUUAUGUUGGGCAUAACCAGAUGCUUUUCAAGAGAAAGUUUCACUGAUAUUUUUCUGAGGAUUUUACUUGGCCAUCUUAUUUCAAGCUGCUUGAAUUUUUUCUUUAUAUCAUCUUGGUUGUAUACUAUAACUCGUUGAAUUUGCUAGCACUUUUGCUAGUUGUUUAUUCUAUAUGUGAUUGUGGUGGUAAAGUUUGGAAGCUCAAAAAGUAAUGGAACUUAGGAAGAGUAUGACAUAGAAUGCUGGAUAAAAUCAAAAUAAUCAUUCUUCAGGCAUCCAAAGAUGAUGUAUUCAAAAUAGCUAGUUUUGACUUUUGAGGCCGUAUAAAUAACUAUUAUCUCACAUGGUUACAUUAUGAUAGGUAGGCACUAGCUUAAUAACUCCAAUUAACUUAAAGUUGUUACCUGAUUUAUUAUGACAGUGUGCAUUACGAUAAGUAUCCUUGCAUAUUAAGAUUUUCCUUCCAGAUCUCUGCGGUACUUUUUGAUCUUUUCCGACAUGAUAUGCGAUUAUGGGAAGCAUAUGCCAUCACCUUACAGGUAUUCUCUUAAUUUUUAGAUAGUGCUCCAGAUGACAUUCAAGUUGGCUAUUAUUGGGUGCAAGAUUUACCAUGCUCUUAUUUUGCUUUUUUAGUCUAACCCGACAUUUGCUUAAUACCAUGAUCUGCUUCAAGCCUUGGAUGAAAAACUUUCAUUUUUUGUAUAUUCUGCAAUGAGAUGAGGGUAGUUUUUCUGAUGAUAUUUGGCAGUAAAUUGGGACUAACUAAAGUAAUUUUCUUAAUGGCAUGUCUACUUCUCAGAUGAAUGACCGUCUGUUCAGACUCCCAGGUGAUGAAUUAACAACCACCGAUCUAUUCUGGGUAAAGAUGAUGACGUUGACACCAAGCCAGUGGAAUGACUAGGACUUCCCUUUUGUUACAAUAAAUUGCGUUCAUUAGACACACGCAGUUAAUUAGUGUAGAUAAAGGAGGUCUAUGCACAAUAGACUGUUUUGUAUUUCGAGAGUCCUUUUUUUGUUUCUUUCAUUCUCCAUUCUUUUGAAAUUAUGUACAAUGGUUAUAUUGUCUGUAUUAUUACGGAUUUAUGAUGGGAGUAUCCUAAGUUUAUGGAAUAAUUAUAAAUAAGGACUUUAAAUUUUUGUUGAAAGAAGUUGAGUGAGAGAAAAGAAGCUAAAGCAGUAAGCAUUUGUUAUACUUCAUUCGAUUGUAUCUAAAUUACAAAGGUUGGUGGCCUUAUUUAUAGUGAAGUUCCCACAGGCCACUUGCACUCAAAACAUUCGAAAUAUGCAAACAUAUUGAUAUAUAAACAUACAGAAUUAAUAUUCUGGAUCCUUGUAAGUAAUGCAAAUAAAAGUGAGGUUGGGGCAGACAAUAUUUACAUCAUGUAUUAAUAGAAAUAAAAUCAAUUAUUUCCAAAUAAAGUCACUUAGUUCAAAGCACGGGCUUCGGUUAAGUUGAACAAGCAAGCCAAUUUUUGUUGUUACUUCAUGAUUGUCGUAAGCUGUGGGUAGUGGAUCGUGUUCCCUAUAAAAGACAAACAGAAGCAUAAGUUUCUCUCAAUUAAGGCACCUGAAAUGUAUUUCCAUGUCUACUAACCUGGUCAUUCGUCCAUGAACUAAACCCUUCUGAGGAUCUUGAAUAGAUUUAUAGAGAUCUCAGAUAAUUUCCUCACGGUGUGCCUGAGUAAAGACAAGUCUUAUGUACUUGAUUACUUCUGGCCAAUCCAUCGAGGCCACCACCUGUCUCAGUCAAUUCAAUCUUUUAAUAGAGUGAAUUACUAGAAUAAAAUUGAUUAAAGUUGAUAUAAAAUCUAAAUUAAAAAAAUCAGAUAAGAGAAUGAUCCAAAAUCCAAAAAAUGAAAUAUUUAAGGAGUGGACUUGUGACCCUCUAUAGAAUCCAUGGAAGAGUAACUAAGGGAAAAACAUUAGAGGUACUUUUGGCGAUACUAUUAGUAUUCUUGUGUUGAUCAUAAUCUUGGGGGUAGAUCUAGACUAAUUAGCUAUUCAUUGAACAUUCCAUUUCUCCGCAAUUACAUGCAAAAGUGCACCUUGCAGUUGCAGCCUAGACCAUAGAAAUAUAGAAUUCCAAUUAUUAACAUCUAAAGCUACUGUAGUGACUUUGCAACCAUGAGAUGAUAUAUACAUAUGCUGAGAUUCAAAUAUUUGAGAAGUUUAAACAUCCUGAUGAAAAAUAGACUAGUUCACAGCUACUUUGGGGAAGUUGAUUUCUACUAGCAGUAGAAAAUACAAGUUUUUUUAAACAUACCUACUCCAGUAAACUCAAUUAACCAAAACAAAACUCAAAGCAUGAAAAAGAGGGAUUUUAACUAACCUAAUCAUUAUCAUUGAUAUUUUAACAUAUUGAUCUUCACAUGGAGUUAACAAACACAAGACUUAGUGCCUAGUACAUAUGUCUGGGGUUGCACAGUCUGUUCGACAAAUUUAUUGAAACUAUAUCCAUGCUCCUUCUCCAAUAAAUAAAUAUCCUCUUGCUUCUUCCAUCCUACUCUAAUUCUUCCUGGAAAGCAUUCUCCCCUUCUCUAAUUCUUCCGAAAAAACAUAACCGACAAUCCUAAACUAAUUACCACCGUUAAAUCUUUCAAACAAAAUUUACAAUUUCUUAUCAGUAGUUUCCUGCCGCAUCCGAUCGAACGGCUCAUCAACGAAUCAAACAGACUUCUUUCCAUCCUUUUUCCAUAUAAUUACAUUUGCCUAAUUCCUAAAGUUUCGGCUCCGCCCAAUGUCGGCCGCAAUUGGCUGCCACAGCGAUAUGUUCAUCUUCAACUUCUCUGCUGCGAUUUCAAAUUUACUUCAGCCUCGUACCACCACACUUCCACUGGCAAUUAAUUUCAUUAUCCGAUUUUACUAUGUGUGGAAUAGAUUUGAGCAAUUUAUGAGUUUUCGCUACGAUUUCGACGAUGUCCUCUCAACACUAAUUUGAUCACCUAAUUUUAACUGUUUUGGGUUAUUUAUUUUUUAUUAUAUUUAUAUACAGUCUCUGCAGACAACCGACUACUUUACUUAUAUGUGGAACUCAUCUGAGCCAUUAGAUGGAGGCCCUCCAGAUCCUACGGCGAUUAUAUAUGAGGACAAAAAGUGUUGUAUGUUGGAACUGUUGCAACGUAGGAGGAUCCUUUAUUAAAAUGUUAAUUUAGUUUUUUAACUCAAGUUGAGACCGUAAAAAGUUGUUAUAUAAUAGUGUAUUGUAUAACCAAUUACAUAUGUAUUUGACUUGUGCAACACUUCUAUUAUUAUUAUAUAAUAAUAAUUAGUAGUAGUAUAAUUACUAUAUAAUAAUAAUUAUUAGUAGUAUAAUUAUUAUAUAAUAAUAAUUUUAAUAAAAAAUUAUUAUUAAAAUAUUGAUUUAGCCUUUCUUAGUUCCAUAUUUGUUGUUUUGCUAUAAUUUUCCACAAUGACGCAUUAUCAGACUUUCUUAGUUCCGUCAUCUUCUAUUACUCAACUUAACGUCUUAUCAUCUCUAGCUCGUCUUCCAUAGCAUGAAAGUGAAUAAAUUUAACUGAAUGGUUAAUUAAUCAAUUAAGUUUCAUGAGCUUUAAUCGAGUUAUAACCAAGUACAAACAUCGUUAACAAAUACUGAAAUUUAGUAAAUUAAAAAAAUAAAAAACUAAUUCAAGUAAUAUGUAGUUUUUACAUGUUGAUCAUCAGGAUACAACAUUAAAUUUUGUCAUUGACAAUAUUGCAUGCCUGUCAUCUAAAGCAUUACCUCACAAGGUUUUAUGAGAAACGAAAGACUAGUGCUUGCUUUGAACAAUUAAAGUUGCUGCUACCAACCUCCCCAAAGAUCAAGAAGACAGAACAGGAAGCUAAUGCCAUCAAUGUCUUGUUCAUUAUAGCUGUUGGGUAGUUAGGUGUAGUUUCCUCACUUGAAGCUGUCUAUACACAGGCUUUUCCCCUGCAAAUGGACAAAUAAAUGAACAGCCUUGAAGCUUUACUAUUCGCAACACAAAGGGAUUACUAAUUGGAGAAGACUUUACAGAGUUCCUCUCACACUUUCUCUCUCUCAAUUUCAUCUAGAAGUCCCUCCGAAAGCAUCACCCAAAACAGUUAGUCAUCCUUUAUACUCUGUUUUCUGGAAACAGAGUCCUAACUAACUUAACUGACUGUACAGAGCACGUCAACAUAGCAUAUUUAACCAUUUUAACGGUAAUUUGAACCGUCUUCAGAGUUAUCAUCAACAAGCUCAUUCAUAUUUGUCCAAUCUUACGGACGAUAUCAUAUGCUUAACUCGACACAAUCUGGAUUCAACCUCCUCCUAUCCAACAAGGGAUUUCGAUUUGAGUUAAUAAUAAUAAUAACGACAAUAAUAAUAAACUAAAAAACAGAAUUAAUUACUAUUGAAUGGUCGGAAAAAAAAAAAAUUGAAAACGUGUGAACUCCAAUAAUCACCCCACAAAUUCAGUGGCGAAUUUUGGAGAGGGCAAGGCCGGGCUUCUCAGAAAAAAAUUUAUUUAGUUACAAAAUUAUCUUUAUUGAAACCUAUAUAAAUUUUUUUAUAUUAAUUAGUUAUGUUACCUCUUCAAUUAUCAUCAAAUUCUUGUCUGUUCAUCAUUUGGUGAAUAAAUGUGUGUCUAAAUAAUUUCAAAUAACAUUUAGAACAAAUAUUUUGAGAGGUAAAGCUUAUUUUGUCUCGCAUUAUUAGGUGCAUCUAUAAUUUCUUAUUUACAAAAUUAUAUUGUACGAUAAAAAUUUAUUGAAUUAGGGGAAAAAAAAAAGUUCAGCUCACUCAAAAACAAAAAAUGGUAUUAACUUCGCCACCGCACAAAUCUAGAAUAAUAAUUAUUCCUUAUCAUGCUGGGGAUCCUUUAUACUUUCUAGCCGUAUUGACAGCACCAGGUAAAGCUUUGUAAAAUAAUAAGUUACUCAUUAGUGGUUUUUAAUCUUUUUAAUUCUUUUUACCGCACACCUGAUCAAGAAUUUUAUUUUGUUAACUAAUCAAUUGCAAAGCAUAAAUAAGUGUUGAACGGUACACAAGAUUGGAAAAAAAAAUCUUAAAAAACGCGCGGAUUCGGUAGCCACACCAGAAAUCUAUUACAAUAAUUUCUGGCCGUAUUGAAGUUUUUAAAAUAACAAGUUCCCCUUCUCGUUUUUUUUUUUUAAAUAUAUAAGCUUAUAACAAUUUUAGAAUAAUGACUCAUUUGUAGAAGAAUUUAUGAUUUCCCAUUAAUAUUAAUAUUGAAGUGGGGUGGGUGUCAAAUCUCAAUUGCUUGAAGAAUUUAUUUAUUAUUAUUAAUAUUAUUAAUAUUAUUAAUAUUGAAGUGGGGUGGGUAACGGACCAGCGGUUCACUCAGUUCGUGGCGAAUUAAAUAUUACCAUCCAAGGUAGAAUUGUGGAAAAUUAAAGCAAAAUGACUAGUAUGGAAAGGAAGGCUGAAAGUAAGGCAUGACGAAAGGCUUUGAGAAGGCUGAAGACUACCAAAGAAGUCAACUGAAAGCUAGCUGGGGCCUGAGUGUAUAAAUUGUUAGAUGCGUUUGUUAUAAAUAACAUAGAGCCCUUUUGUUAUUUAUAGUUAUAGAGAAAGAGAGAAUGUGUGUUUUUUAAUAGUUAGAGAUAUAGCUAGAAUGGGUGGCUCAAAAUCCAAAAUGGUGACAAUGUUAGUUCUCAUAUUAAUAAUAUUAGGAGGGGGGGGGGGGGACUCAGGGGAGGUCGAGUGAGGGAUGUUUGGAGCAUGAGAAAUUUGAUCUUUUGCGGCUUAAACAUUUCUUCAAUUCCCCUUAUACACUUCAAAACUGGGUAGGUGAACAAAGGGAAAGGGUUGAAUGCGGCAACUCCACAUGCCAAGUGGUACAACUACACCUUGGCCUUACUAGGAAUAUCGAUCUGGGAGAGUGGUAUCUGAAUGCUUCUCUAUUUACUUCCUUUCAAUAACUUGGUAACAAAAUAGCCGGCUGCAUGCGUUGAGAAUGAAGGUCCUUCAUUUAAUUUAAUUUACUUAAUUUCUCCCUCCUAAUUAAUGUCUAUAACCAUUAGGAGGAACAAAGGAUUUUAUUAACUCAAAUAUAUCUAAUGGAGCUCAUUCUUUGGUGUCUAAACAUUCACUCACCACUUAUUUCAUGUCUGAUUAUAUGUUGAAAAGAUAUUAAAGUAAUUUAACGCAAUUAAGGCUUAGUAUAUUUUUUAUUAGUAGAGUGUAGAACUUUUAAGAAAUAUAUUAUUAAAUUAUUAUAACUAACAUAUUAUUUUAAAGUUGUGUUAUGAAAAAAAUAAAAUAAAAGGACAAAUAUGUAUUUAUACGAAGCUUGUAAAUUUUUUUGUACUGAUAUUUGAAUAUUAUCAAUUAAAAAAAAUUAGGGUAAUGGUCAUGCUGCAUUAUUUUUGUAGCACACAAAAGGACAACACCGUUUAUGUUAUAAUACUAUCGCUCUGUUAUGAUAAUAUUUUCUUUUGUGGCCAAAUAUCAUUUUUUAAGUAAAAAAAAGUGGACAAAAUGCAAAUCAGUUUUUAAUCCUCAGUCUCUCCCAAAAUUUAAAUUCGUAGUUAACAAAACAAAAUUGUUGGAAAACCAUUAAGCUAGGUCCAUGGGUUGUUAAAACUAUAGCUGACAAAAAGUUACUAACAAAAACAGAAUGUCCAUUUUAUAACUUUCUUAAAAAACAUUCCUUAACUUUUUUAAAAAGUUACCAACAAAAAGUUAUUUCCAAUUUUUAUUUUGUUAUAAUUUUUAUAAUAAAAUUCGUAGUUAACUAAACUCUUCUUAUACCCUUUCUCAACUGCCAUACCCUAACCCUGUUCCCCAUUUCCCCACUAAACCACGCUCAAUUAAGGCCAUCAGAUUCUCCCGGGCCCACAUUAAUCCAACUGCUCACAGAGACCGACAGCCUCUCUAUCUCCAUUUCAAGCUCCCUCUUCAACUGGCUUCUGCUACCGUCCUACUCUUUCUCGGCUUCGGAGUCCGUAUUUUCUCGGCCGGUCCCACGAAGCUCCCUCUCACUCCAAUUGUCGCCCCACAAGACCAAUUGCUUAAUCAAGACACCGAACAAGAAGAGGAUGAGAAGUUGAAACAAGAAUUUGAGAAUUGGAAAUAAAAAACGUACGCAUUGACCGUGCCUUUGAGAGUCGUUUCUCUUCAGAACUCAGUGCCUCAAUCUUGGGUUAAGGAUUUUAUGCGAAGUCAAGGAAAGAGAUUGAAGUUUCAGAUGAAUUUGUGCGCUAGCAUUGAUGGGAUCUUUAACAAUUUAUCUGUGCCCUUUAACAAAGUUAAGGCUAAGUCAGCUUCGUAUAUGGCUGCUGAUUUGGUUAGUGUUGGUGAUUCAUGGCUCAGUUUUGCAAUUAAAAAGAGAUUGAUUGAGCCAAUAGCUGGAGCUGAAGAUCAAGAUUGGUUCAAAUGCUUAUGUCACAAAUGGAAGGUAACAUCUUUAUCUUUGACCCGAUCAUUUUUAUUGUCUUUUUAAUUGCAAUGAGAAGAAAUGCCACUGUAGCAUGCAGUGAUGGCACUUAAUAAGUGAGUUGCUAGGAUGUGAACUAGAAAAAUUAAAUAUUGUCUCCUUGGGUAUGCUAGCUCGUAAGUUAGGGUUAAUAUCAGAGCUUAAGGUACUAUAACCGUGAGAAGCUAUUGACUGCCAAUUAAAAUAUCCAUUAAAAUGUCUAGGGAGUUAUGAAGGUGGAGGUAACUACUAAUAAAAAAUAUCCAGUUAACCUCCUGCUCGAUGCAAUUAAUAAAUUUGGUCAAUGCCACUGAAACCUGCUAACUGACAUCACAAUGCGACAUGAGCACUUCAAAAUGGGACAGACGGUCAGUAGCACUAAAUUUUUCUUGCCUAAGAUUGAGCAAUUGGUCUAACUACUAAUCCCUAUUGUAGGUUGAUCAUUAUUUUUUCAAUUAUGUUCAGUUUGACCCAAAAAGUUGCAGAAUCUUGAGCUGAAUAUUGUCACUGAACACUGUCAAUGUCGUUUAGCAUGGCCAACUAACUUGAGUUUGGUAAAACAAACACACAGUGUGUCUCAUGUCUCACAAAUCAAAUUAUCAUCUGUAAUGAUGGAGAAUUUUUCCAAUGUAUGAAGUAUGCUUUGAUACGUGGGUUACCUUGGAGAAGAUAUCUUAAAAUAAAGAAUAUGGGGAGAAAACAGUUCAGUAGUUUAUUAUUCUGUAGUCAAGUUUUGUCUCGAAAAUGGUCAAAAUUUAAAUGAACAAGGACAGGGGAUCUUCAUUCUUUUUUCCCUUUUUUAUACCAAGAUAUCUCUCAACCUUUAUAUAAUCCCCACUGGAUAUCUGCUUCUAAUAAUUAAAAUAAAAAUUUCACCGCUCUAACAAUAAAAAGUAACAUCUUUAGUCAAAUAAUUUACAGUUCCUCAUCAUCUUAGUGUGAGACUAUCAGUACAUUCCAAAAACAUAAUAAAACUGGUUUGAUCCUGUUUAUUGAUGUUUAAAUGUUGUUCAUUGUGACAUGUAGAAAUGAUGAGGCGAAGUUUAUUUGGACAUCAAUUAGUAAGAUCUUGUUUGAAGUUGUUUUCUGAAAUGAACUGCCGAAUGGUAGUUUUUUGGGGGCAUUUGAUGGCUCUUUUUUUUUCCUCAUUUUCAACAUGUGCCUGCUUGGAACAGGAAGGAUUAGACUGCAGAGUUGUUAUAUAUUUUGAGAUGCUCUGGUCAUUGCACAAUUUGUUCACACUGGAAAUUAGAAUGAGAAAUUUGUUGAUGCUGUUUUGAGAGAUCUGCAUUCUAUGCACAAUAACAUGAUUAAUGAAAAUGCAUUGUAGGACUGGAAAGAUCUGUGGCAGCCUGAGCUCGCAGGAAGAAUUUCAAUGGUUAAUUCUCCCCGACAGGUUAUUGGUUCAGUUUUGAAGUAUAGGGGAGCAUCAUACAAUUCAAACGAUAUUGAUUCGCAAGUUGCUGGUGGGAAGAUUGCUGUUCAGCAGAAUCUAGCAUUACUGGCAAACCAGGUACUCUUACAGAAAUGAUAUCUGGUCAUUGCAUGUUAUUGCCUGACAACUGAUUUUGUUUGUACAAGUCUGCUUCUUCAUACAUAUGAAUGCAUAUGUUAGUGUUUUCUUCUCCUUUUCAUACAUAUAAAUGCAUAUGUUAGUGUUGUCUUUUCCUUUUCAUACAUAUUAAUACAUAUGUUGGUGUUCUCUCCUGAGAUGGAUGCAAUAAAGGCUUUUGCUCCUAAAUUUAGCUGAAGAAAUGGCAAGGGAUGUGAGAUUCUGUUUCAUUAAAUUAACAAAAACCCAAAACAAUGAAAAUCCAUAAUAAUGUGGUGUGGGUAAAUUGGCUCCAUUUGGUUCGUUUCCUUAAUGUGAACGCGCGAGCAAUAGAGACUAACAAAAUGAAGUGACAACAAGAAGUCAGUGUCCUUUGAUGGAUGCAUUUUUAGGCAGAAAUAGGUUUGUAAUUGACCAAAUUUGUCUGGCAUGCCAAUUUAAAAAUAAAUAAAUUAUGUGGUUAUUAGCUGUAAUGAAGGGGGAUAGUAGGUGCAAUCAGGUGGAUCCUGGAAAGUUCAACAAAGUUUUGGUAUGGCGUAGUGAAAUUGGUUUGUGCAACUCAGGAGUCUUUCAGGUGAACGAUGAUAGGUUUUGAUUUAUGAAUAUUAUAAAUCUACUGUGCAUAGUAGAAUCAUCUAUAAGUUCUAGUUAUUGAAAUUGUAUACUUUGCCCGGUUUGAGUUAAGGGCACAUGUAAUAUGAAAGAUAGUUGUCGCAUCUUUUAGGUUACCUAACAUUUGAUCAAUCCUAUUAUGGGGGCUUCAAGAUGUCUAACAAUAUGUAGAAUGCCCGUGCUCCUCCCCAUUGUUUAUCUUAUACAAUAAUUUGUUUUAGAUGCUAAUAUCUUUGUCGAUACCGGUAACAAUAUUACAAUAUCUGCGUUUAUUGGGUUUUACAUAGGUUCGACUGUUUGACAGUACACACUAUCUGAAGGCAUUUGCAAUUGGAGAUGUAUGGGUUGCUGUUGGGUGGAGUAGUGAUGUUCUUCCUGCUGUCAAACGUAUGUCUAAUGUUGCUGUUGUUGUUCCCAAGUCUGGUGCUAGCUGCCUGCCAUUCUACUUCGAUAUUCACAUUGUUAUCUCCUUCAUAUUAGCGAUCAGUAAACACGAUAAUGUGACUAAUAAGUUUGUAUUCUCUUUAUAGGCAAUCCCUGCUGCCUCAAGACUUGAAACAAAACAAAUUGGAGGGCGAGUCAGAGGUCCAUCUCCAUUAAUCCAUCAAUGGAUAGAAUUCUGCUUGCAAACAGCGAGAGCAUUGCCUUUCAAGCAAGAGGUUAUCCCGGGUGCAUCUCCCUCUGCCCUUGAAAGUACUCUGGUUAAGUUGCCUGAAGAACUUCUGAAGGGUAAACCAAGUCUGGAUACUAACUUAAUUGCUGGAGUACUCCCGGCUGAAAUUCUGGCCAGAUGUGAGUUUUUGGAGCCAUUAUCUGAAGCUACUUGGUCAUAUUAUGAGUGGCUGGUUGUUAAUCUGCAAAAAGCUGCUCCUGUCUUGAUGAAAAGGGUGCAACAUUACUUGUCAUCAUUAAUCCAAAGCUUUCUAGCAAGAGCUACAUUGAAAAGUUAAUGGCGCUGCAUGCCAAUCAUUAUAAUGCUGUCAGGGCAAUUGGGUCAGGGCAAUUAGGUCAGAGCAUAACUUCAUUAGGAAAAGAGGCUUCAGCUACGUUAAAUAUUACAGGAUGUACUGAGAUGGCUGAAGUCGUUGAGGUUUUACGAGAAACGAAAGAUGAGUGUUUGUUUGAACAAAGUUGUUACUGCAGCGAUUUUGAAUAUGUGCAAGAUGUUGUCCACUGCUCUUUGGGUUAUGGUGUGACUUUCGAUUUCAAGGUUGCCCUGAAACAACGGAAAAGAUUUACAUACCCUCCAAGGAAUGACAACGGCUGGACUAAUUCUGAUCACCUAAUUGACUCAGGAUCGGCUGGCAAUAAUAACAGUUUGUUAACAAUGCACAGUCCCGAGUACUUUUCCAGGAUCAGAUACGACGUGGUCUAAUGUUGAUAAUAAUAGUUUAUUAAAUGACAAAUCGUUGUCCUUGGGUGUUGAUUUCAGAAAUAAAAUACAUUCUGAGGGAUGCUGGUCUACUAUUGCAAGCCCCCAGAGUUAAGAAUCUUUUGAUUGGGGCAUUUGGCAACGAUUCGACAAAUUCUAUUUUCAGCCUCGUCCACCAAGGGAUUCCAACUGAGUUAUCAAUUAUCGUAGCAGUUCUAUUAACUAAAAUUAGCAAAUAUAGCACCAGAAAAAGAACAACAAAUACGCAGUGAAGUUGAAUUGAAAAUGAAGUUGCCGUUGCCGCCCAUAGCGGCUGACUAAUAAUAAAACGAGACAAAUUAAUUAAACUAUUUAUGGUAUGCAAAAACAAACAAAAACCCGUAAAAAAUUUCAAAAAAUUAUUAAUCACACUCUAAACUUACCACUCAACUCUUAAUAAUAGUCAUAAUUUAAAACAAUUUACAACUUUUGAAAACAUUUUCAAAGUUGCCUUUGCCCAAGAGUGGAUUGCCAUGAGGAAAAUCAUUUUCUCAGUGGAUUGCCAUUGCCCAGGAGUUGCAAUGAAAACAGACCACCAACUGUGCCGGAAGAUUCAACUAGCACUGAAAAAGAUGAUAAUGGAUAGUGUCCAUAUAAUUUUUAAAUCAUCUUAUGUAAUUGUGAUGUCAGGAAGCAUUAAUGUUCUAUAUGUGAACUCUUAUUGGCAACAUUGGUGGUUUUAUCCUGUUAAAAUGUGGAUGACUUCCGGUUACUAUUUUGUCGUACACAAUUUUAUUCAAUUAACAUAUAGUUUAAAACCAUUAUGCAUGUAUGUGCUUUAUUAAGAUUCUCAAGUACCAAUCACGUUUGCUUAAGAAAUAAAAUUUUGCCAUUAAAAGUGUAGUAAUAUUUCCAAGCGCCUCGCAUUUAUCUCAAUAUUUUGAAGGAAUUUCGAGAAAUACACGUGUCCAAAAGUCUAGUCAUCAUCCUUACUAUUGGGGUAUUGGUAUUGAAAAGCCCUACGCUAAAUGCAGUUUGUAAGAGGAUGGAGAUAUUUACUGUCGCAAUAUUAUGGAAUAUGCACAAGGAGUUUUUCUAUUGUUCUUUUGAUGUUGCAGCUGUUGGUGCUUUCAAUGUUUCCCUGAAACAUAGCGAAAGAACGCACAUAUUCUUCGUAUGAGUUGAUUUUUAGUGAUUAUCUAAUUGACUGAGGUGACAACAACAGAACGCACAACGUGGAAUUCAAUAAUAAAAUUCUUCCGUUCAAUUUGUUUUUAAGUUAAAUUAUUAAUUACUUAAAACUCUGUUUUUUUAAGUCUUUAAUUUUAUGUGUUGGCGUAUAUGCAAAGUUGGAUUCUUAAGUGAGUUGGACAUGACCUACAAUGAGAGUGACAGUAAACAAACAUUAAAACGUGUGGACUCCGGUAGCUGCCCUACAAGUCUACAAUAAUAAUUUCUAGCCCCGUUGACUCCACCAACUAAAGUUUUUUAAAAUUUAGAAAAGUACAUCGAAUUACACAACAAGCAAAACGCGUGGAAUUUAAUUUUUUGCGAAUAAAAUAUAAUUUAACGAAAAACAACAAGAAAAAUGGUAAGAUUUCUAAAAUGAAUGGAAGUUGAUCCAUAUUUUAGUCAGGGUGCGUUUGAGAUUAAGGUUCUGUAGCUAUAAUUUAAAAGUUGUAGUAUUAAAAUGUUUGGUAAACACUAAUUAUUGUAACUUAAAAGUUAAGUUAAUAUAAUUUUUUAUUUAUAUGAUGAAAAAUUUAUUAUAUCUUUAUUAAUUUUGUCAAAAUUAUUAUUUAAAAUUUACUCAUUUUUGUUUCAUAGUUACAACAUUUUUCCCACAACAACUGUAGCUUAAAAACUAUAGCAUCUCAAUCCCAAACGCACCCUCAAACAACUUGCCUCCAACAUUAAGAUGAUUGAUUUUUUUUAUUUUUUUAAUAAUAUCAACUUCCAUAUCUUUCCAGAAUAUGCUCACGUUCAAGUCUAUCUUGCUAAUUUGAAAAAGAAAAUCAAAUCAAAUCAACACCAAAACAAUGAAAAGUAAAGCUUUUGAAUUUCAAUCCAGCUAGCUAACAUAUUCAGCGUUUUCAAUUUCUUCCCAUUGCAUAUCUUCUUCCUCCAUCAAUGCAAUAUUUGAACGAUAGGAAAGAGUUUAAGAACAUAAAAAAUCUCCUAGGUUUAUAAGGCAUAACAAAUUUAAAUUCUCAAUUUUAAUAGAUAAUAAUUAAACUAAUAAUUAUUUAUAUACUUAUUUUAGUAAUUUCACCUAAGAAUAAUAUUGUAAUUAGAAAAAAUCUAAUAAGUGGGGCGGUUUUAUACAAAAUCAACUGCAUACAUAUAUGCAGAUGCAAAUAAUAAUUUUUUUUUUUUAAUAAGCAAAUUGUAUAUUGAGAGGAAUAAGAUGUUUAAUUUAAUUAAUUUCCUUACUUUCAAGUUUCAUAUACAUUGCCUUUCUAUCUAAAGAAAGGUUGGUGUUCAGAAUGACAUGAAGUUGCGAGUUGCUGCCCAUGGCUACAGAUUAAUAAUAAAACGAGACAAAUUAAUUAAACUCAGGCCUUUAUGUAUAUGUUAUCCUAACUUUAAUCGCUCUUGUUUGUUAAUAUUCAUUCUUAGGGAGGUGAAAAAAUUACAAGUCUUGAAUAACAAGGAGGAGUUUAAUUGCCUCUAACUUUACUUGGCUUUCUUUAAUCUCAUUAAUAAUCAAUCUCCCUGCAAUUUCGUAAGCCAAGCGCAAAAUCAUACAGAGAAUUAAUUAUCUUUUUAUUAUUAAACCAUCUUCAAGAAGAUUUUCGUCAAUUUGCCCCAGAGUGGUUGGAGCUGUGUUUCUGAUAAGCCAAAGAAUUAGUAGCAAUUAGUAUUAAUAUUGUCCACCCAAGAAAUAUGAGUGAAUUAAAGUAUUAGCAAGACUUCAUUGAGAGGAGCCAUCUAUUAACUAAAAUGCGAAUUUAAUACAAGAAGAAAUAGUAUGUACAUACUUGGCAAUUGAGUUCGUUAAGAAGUGGCAUCGCAUUCUGGUGAUGAGUUUACUUUUGUUAAUAAUUUUAGUCUAAUUACAAUCGUACUUUGACCACUACUCAAGCUAAGUGAAAGUUACGGAUGUGGCAAAAUAAAUAAUUAAAUUAACAAAAUGCUAACUAAUUUUCCUGACUAAAUAGAGUUGCACAAUUUCACUAAUUUGGAACAAUUGACAUUAAUGGACUAGUUUUCACCCCAUAUAAUUAAAAUCCUUCUGGAAAGCUAAUUUUUAUUAAGUAUUUGCUUUUAAGUUAAUUUCAAUUAAAAAAAAGGUUUUAAGCUAUAUGUAGUCUAAUGAGAUUUUCUUCGGAACUUUUUUUUUUUGUUUAUUUUUAAUUUCAAGUUACCUUAAUUUUAAGAAUUUGGAACAUUGAUUUGGUCAUGGAUUAAUUUCAACUAGUAACUGUCAUAUUCUAAACUUAAUGGUAUCAUUCUUGAUCAAGGGCAAUGACUCUUAACUCCUCUUAUAAAAAAAAAUAUUUUCGACUAUUUUGAUGACAAACCUCUCUAACAGAUAGUAGUCUUUAAAACUGAUAGAUUUGGCCAAAUUAUUCAUUUUAACGAAAUAUAAUUUAUGCAUCAAAAUUAUCAGGCAUAUGUCCAAUGCAGCACUUUUUUUUCCCUUAAAAAAAAUGAAAUUAUCGGUUAUGCCCCUGAGGCAUUUUCUAGAGUAUAGGUUCUGCUUACCUCUAUUUCUCUUGUAACUUUCUUUUUCAUUUUUUUAAUGAAGUUAAUUAAUAAAAGAACAAGGGAAGGUUUUUCAAUCAUGAUUUUCCAAGUCAUGCAUUAUUUGACUACCGAUCAAUCAAGAAACCGACCAAAUUAAUUUCUCUCCAUGAUUUCCAAAAGCUAGAAAAUUUUAUUAUUUGAAAACAACAUCGUUAAUUAUAGAGUGAAUCAAACCGCAUUAUCGUCUCUCAUGAAACUGAUGUGAGUCAUACUUUUUAAUUACGCAAACCAGUCAACUUGAACUUUCUUAUUUUUAUUAUUAUUAUACCAUUCAUUUCAAUCCCCGAUUAUUUGACCAGCAACUAUCAAGACACCGACCAAAUUUAUUUCUCCAUGACUUCCAAAAACUACAAAAUAACAUCAUUAAUUGGAGUUGAUCAAACCACAGUAUUAUUGUCAUGUAUUAUUGUGUAAAAAGUAACUCAUGAACAAUGAUGCAGAAUCGCAUGAAUAGAUCUCUGCGAACAGAGAUUUCAGAGUUAGUUAAUUAGGUUAAUUAAUUUUCAAAGGUUUUAGUUUUCCUAUACUUACUAAAAUAGAUAUAAAUUUUUAACAAAUCACUUCCAAAUCUCAACAUCACUUGAACGAUUCUUAAAGUAAAUUGUUAAUUAAUUUCCCUGACGUAUACAGCUAAAGUUGUUGCUCCUCCUAAUUAAAUAAAGUCGCAUAAUUUCACCAACUUGGAAGAAUUGACAUUAAUGGACUGGUCCCCUCUCUAGAUGUAAAGUCUUCUUAAAAGAUAAUUUUAUUGCCUGUUUGCUUUUAAGUUAAUUUAUAUUUCGAAAAAAAUGUUUAAGUUACAUAUAUGACGGAGGGAGUCUUUUAAGGACAAUUCCCUUCUUCAAAUAAUAAUGAAAAAGGGGUAAUUUAAAAAUAAAAUAAAUAAGUGUUGAUUAUAUCUUGAAUUUCAUCGAUUAUGUGAUCAAAGUGAUAAUUUUGAUUUAUUUUUUGUUCAAUUUUAAUUUUUAGGUUAUCUUAAUUUGAAGAAUUUAGAAUAUUCGGUCAUAAAUUACGCACAUGUAAAUUUUUCUGCCAUUGACUAUAAUAUUUUAGACUUAAUGGUACCUUUCUUGAUGAAGGGUAAUGAGUCUAUAUUCUCCUCUUAUAAAAACUAUAUUAGUUGAUUCUUGUUAUGGUUAAUAGUCUUUAAGAAUGGAUAGAUUUAUUGACUUCAUAACCAAAUUAUGCCUGCCUAGGGCUGCGACUAUUAAUAAAAUUAAUAUUUAAUGUUUAUGUUAACAGAUUUAAGAUUUUAUGCGUUCAUUAAUUGUUAUUAGCUAAAGGAUGAAUUAUAUUUUCAAGCCAAUCAGUUGAUGCAGCUGCAAGAGUUUUUUUUGUUUUACUGACCAUAAUUUUCUCCCAGGUAAAUCUUCUCAUCAGCCCUCAUUUAUCUUUUAUAAAUUGAAGAUCUCACAUUUUCAAACUAUCACUUCCAAACUUCAGUAUCACUUGAGCCAUUCUUGAACCAUUCAAAACUGAACAAGCUUGGAAAUAACCAAAUAUAUGCAAAAAUCGAAUCACAUUCUUUGGCCCCUCAAAAUUCUAAUUAUAUAACUUCUAUAUAUCUCAUUGUCUGGUCACGAAGAUGGUGGCACAUUAAACUUCUCUUCCAUCAACAUCAUUAGGAAUAUGUUCAUCUCUCACACAUUAACUUGAGUGGAGAGUUUCCAAAUUGAUUGUUAGAAAACAAUGCAAAAGCUAGGCACACUUGAUCUGUCUAAUAAUUCUCUUUCGGUAAAAUUAAUUAAUUUUAGGGGUAUAUUCGGCCAAUCUAUAUAAUUUCAGAUUGAUCAUUAAUUAAUUAGACGAUACAAAUUGCUAAAGUGAUUUGAUUUUUGCUGACAAUACAACUAUACAAGUUCAUGACUUGAAAUUUGAUCUCUAUCGAUUGGUUUACAAAUGGACGUACCUGUGCCUUGUGAUGAUAAUUGAACCAGAGAUGUAAAGCUAUAAGGAUUUGACAGCACUAAAUUGUUACAAAGACAUAAAAACAAGUUCCCAUUAUUAUUACUUUUGGCAAAUGUGUGUAAUUUAAUUUUUGACUAUGUGGACCAAAAUGCAAAUGAAAGAAAAAAAAAAACCAAAGAUGUGGAAGUCUUUGGGCUUUUCUUAUAAUUGUGGGUUUUUCAAAGGGAAAAAAUGAGGACACUUCUAAUGUUUGUUUUGAUAAUUACACAUAUACUGUUUAAUUUUAUAUAUGGGCAUAUAAAUCUUUUUUACAAAUAUAUAUUAUUCAUUUUCUGUAUUAUUUUUUAACAUCAUAUUUUUAUUUAUUAUAAAUAUUUAAAGCUAGUUUUUAGGUUGAUAUUUAAUAAAAGGGUAUAAUCGUUCUUUUACUAAACACACACGCUCCUAGUUCCUAUCCAUUUGUCAUCUCAAUCUCUCUCAAUUAUCCUUUAUUGAUAGCUCAAAACGCGUCAUUGUGGAAAAUUAUAGCAAAACAACAAAUAUGGAAAGAAUGGGAAGAAAAUUAACGCGUGAAAGACUUGGAGAAGACAACCAAAUAAGUCAACUAUAAGCAAGCUGGGUGUAUAAAUUGUUAGAUGUGUUAUAAACAAAUAGCGUAGAGCCCUCUAGUUGGUUACAGAGACAGAAAGAGUAUGUGUAUUUUUUAGAACUUAAAGAUAUAGUUAGAAUGGGUGAUUCAAAAUCAAAAACGGUGAUAAUGUUUGUUCUGUUAUUAAUAAUAUUUGGAGGUGGGUGGAGUGAGGGAUGUUUGGAUCAUGAGAGAUUUGCUCUUUUACGACUAAAACAUUUCUUCACUGAUCCUUAUGAUAAGGGAGCUACUGAUUGUUGUCAGUGGGAAGGGGUUGAGUGCAGCAACACCACAGGGCGAGUGAUAGGACUAUACCUUUCUGAAACGUAUUCGGGAGAGUACUGGUAUCUGAAUGCUUCUUUAUUUACUCCCUUUCAACAACUUGAGUCACUUGAUUUAAGUUGGAACAAUAUAGCCGGUUGUGCUGAGAAUGAAGGUGCUUCGUUUAAUUUAAUUAAUUUACUUCCUCCCUCCUAAUUUAAGUUGAAUAUCAAGAUCGAGCAAUUAUAUGCAUAUUCAUUCAGUUGACAAUUUUGACAAUUUUUUUUAAAUGAUUAAUUUUGAAAUUAGACCAACAACCAUGAUCUGUUUUCAUUUUACUUGCAGGUCUAGAGGGGCUGUCAAGAUUGAACAACCUAAAGAUGCUUGAUUUAAGUGGGAACGCAUUCAACAAUAACGUCUUAUCAUCUCUAGCUCGUCUUUCAUCAUUAAGAUCAUUAUAUUUAUCUGACAAUAGAUUGGAAGGAAGUAUUGAUGUUAAAGGUACAAAAUUAAAACUUCAUCUCUUCUCCGAACACUUCCAUUAACUUGCUAAAUUAAGAUUUAAGGCUUUGAAUUCAAUUUUUUUACGAGUAGUAUUGAAAAAAAAUGGUUAUAAACAAUUCAAAAAUAAAUGUCCACUGUUUCUCAUAAUUUUAUGUUGAACUUUCGUAUGUCUUAACUUUAGGGUUAAAACAAAAUUACUCUAAUUGCCAACCAAACACUCAUAGCUAAUUUAUCUUUUUUUUUAAUUAUUUAAAAGUGAUGAAAUUUAUCUUAUUUUUCGUGAGGUUUGAAACAUUCAACUCAAUUUGUACUCUUUACAGAAUUAGAUUCUUUGAGAGAUUUAGAGGAGCUAGACAUCGGCGGGAACAAGAUUGACAAAUUUAUGGUCUCAAAAGGUACUACAAAUACCAUAAAAAAUGUAAACUUUUACAAAUUAGCUAAAUUGUUUGCCAUUUGGUUAUUAUUUUGCAGGUUUAAGUAAGUUGAAGUCUCUCGGUUUAAGUGGUACGGGAUUCAAAGGGACAUUCGAUGUUCGAGGUAAGACUAAGCCACUUUCUCAUUUUAUAUAUGCCAGCUAGACUUGUGUAUCAUCGACAUAAUUUAAUAUUUAAUUUGAUUAGUCUGAAGGAAUUACAUACUAAUUAAACAUACUUUUAUAUACUCUGUCGAUCAAUUAAUUAAAUGCUAUUUGGUUUGGUUUAGACGAAAUUCUUAUGACAUUUUAAUUUCUUUCAAUUUAUUAAUUAAUUUACUCUGUUUUAAGUCUUAAGUCUGGGUAUGUUUGCAGAAUUCGAUUCCUUCAACAACUUAGAAGUGUUGGACAUGAGCGGCAAUGAAAUCGACAAUCUUGUGGUUCCUCAAGGUAAACAAUUAAAAUAUUAUUCAAUUACAUUAAUUUAAUUCAUUGAUUAGGCAGGCCCAAAAGCUACAAAAAUAAUAGUAAUAAUAAUAAAGAAACAAAGAGUUUAUAAUAAUAAUAAUAAUAAUAAGCUGUUAAUUAAUUAAUUUCGCUGCUACUUCCUUCUAAACAGAGUUGCACAAUUUCACCAUCUUGAAUAUUUGAGAUUGGACUCUUCCUCUCUCCAUAUAAGCCUUCGGCGAUUGCUUGAAGAAUUUGUUUAUUUAUUAUUAAAAUGUUUAAUUUUGAAAUUACCCCAAACACAUGUGAUCUCUGUUUUGAUUUUACUUACAGGUCUAGAGAGGCUAUCAAGAUUGAGCAAGUUGAAGAAGCUUGACUUAAGAGGAAACUUGUGCAAUAAUAGCAUCUUAUCAUCUGUAGCUCGUCUUUCAUCAUUAACGUCAUUACAUUUGUCUCAUAAUAUAUUGCAAGGAAGUAUUGAUGCUAAAGGUACAUAAUUAAAACUUCAUCUCUUCUCCCAACUCUUUCAUUAACAUGCUAAUAUAAGAUUGAAGGCUUUGAAUUCAAUUUUUUUAUGAGCAAUAUUAGAAAAAUAGUUUAAGCAAUUCAUAAAUACAAUUUUCAAUGUUUCUCAUAAUUCCAUCUUGUACUUUCGUAUGUCUCGACUUUAAAAAAAAAAUUACUCUGACUGUGAAGCAAAUACCCCAUGACUAAUUCAUCAUUUUUUCCAGUUAAAAUUGAUAAAAUUUAUCACUCGUUUUUAUUGAUUAAUUAACUCUGUUUUGAGUCUUAAGUCUUGGCGUCUUGGCAUGUUUGCAGAAUUUGAUUCCCUGAGCAAUUUAGAAGAGUUGGACAUCAACGACAACGAAAUAGACAAUGUUGAGGUUUCUCGAGGUAAACAAUUGAAAUAUUAAUUCAAUUACAUUAAUUUAAUUCAUUUGAUUAGGAAAGGCCCAAAAAGUACAAAAACAUUUAAAAAAAUAGAGAAACAGAGAAUUUAUAUUAUUUAAAAAACAGAACGUAACACUAUUAUUUCAAAAAUAGAGUGUAACAAAGAUUCGAUUCCAGUUCUUUUGAUAUUUACAUCAAUUGAAAAACGAUGUUGCUCUUUUUCCAAAGCAUAAAAUACGAAUUGACUCCCAAUUAAACUAAUCAUUUAUUUCGUUUAUCUCUAAAUUUAAACAAUGAAUUUUGAUCUUCAAUCCUAUCCUAAUUACUGUUAAAAAACAGGUUACAGAGGCUUGAGGAAGUUGAAAAGCCUUGAUCUAUCGGGAGUUGGAAUUAGAGAUGGAAACAAGUUGUUACAAUCAAUGGGAUCAUUCCCAUCCCUCAACACUCUUCACUUGGAGUCUAAUAAUUUUACCGCUACACUGACAACUACUCAAGGUAAGUAAAAGGUACAUAUGUAGCCAAUUUUAUAAAUAAAUUGUUAAUUAAUUAAGUAAUUUUCCAUAUUAUUAAUAAAGCUAAAUUCGUUUUUCUUCCUUAUAAUUCUAAACAGAGUUGCACAAUUUCACCAACUUGGAAUAUUUGACAUUGGACGAUUCCUCUCUCCAUAUAAGCCUUCUGCAAAGCAUUGCAUCAUUAUUCCCUUCGUUAAAAAAUCUGUCGAUGUCUGGUUGUGAAGUCAAUGGCGUCCUAAGCGGUCAAGGUAAAAGAAAAGUGUUGAUUGUGAACUCACUCAAUGGUGUCCUACGUGUUCAAAAUUUUUAUUUAUUAAUUUAUUUAUUGUUUAAUGUUUCUGCUAGGUUUUCCUCAUUUCAAGAGUUUGGAACAUUUGGACAUGAGGUUCGCGCGCAUUGCACUCAACACUAGCUUUCUUCAAAUCAUCGGUGAAUCGAUGCCUUCUCUUAAGUACUUAUCACUGUCAGGUUCUACUCUUGGCACUAACAGCAGCAGGAUUCUUGAUCAAGGUUAAUCAGAUGCUCCCACCCUCCCUUCUUAAUCUAUAAUAUUAAUUUUCAAUUAAAUAUUUAAUUACACAAACCAAUCACUUCUAUAUGAAAGAAUACUCUGCAUUUGUUAAUUUUUAUGUUGUAGUGAUGGAUGCAUUAAUAAAUUUUCAGGCCUCUGCCCAUUGGCGCAUCUGCAAGAGUUGUACAUUGAUAAUAAUGAUUUAAGAGGUAGCUUGCCUUGGUGCUUGGCAAAUACGACAUCCCUCCGAAUAUUAGAUGUUUCUUUUAACCAACUUACUGGAAGCAUCUCUUCAUCCCCCCUCGUUCAUUUGACAUCCAUUGAAGAGCUGAGGCUUUCAAACAAUCAUUUCCGGAUCCCAGUUUCACUUGAACCACUUUUCAAUCACUCAAAACUCAAGAUUUUCGAUGCGAAAAAUAACGAAAUAAAUGGAGAAAUAAAUGAGUCACAUUCUUUGACCCCAAAAUUCCAGUUAAAAUCUCUCUCAUUGUCCUCCAAUUACGGGGAUAGUGUCACAUUCCCCAAAUUCCUUUACCAUCAACAUGAACUGAAGGAAGCUGAACUCUCACACAUUAAGAUGAUUGGAGAAUUUCCAAAUUGGUUGUUGGAAAACAACACAAAAUUAGAAUUUCUUUACCUCGUGAAUGAUUCUCUUGCAGGACCUUUCCGCUUGCCAAUUCAUUCACAUAAGCGGUUAAGAUUCUUAGAUGUCUCCAACAACAACUUCCAAGGCCACAUUCCAGUAGAAAUUGGAGAUAUUUUACCAAGUUUAGUUUAUUUCAACAUUUCCAUGAAUGCUUUGGAUGGUAGCAUUCCCUCCUCAUUUGGCAACGUAAUCUUCCUCCAAUUUCUGGACUUAUCCAAUAAUAAAUUGACUGGUGAAAUCCCUGAUCACUUGGCCAUGUGUUGCGUCAACUUGGAGUUUCUUUCGCUAUCAAACAACAGCCUAAAAGGUCACAUCUUCUCCAGAAUUUUUAGCUUGAGAAACUUGAGAUGGUUACUAUUGGAGGGCAAUCACUUCGUAGGAGAGAUCCCACAAAGUUUGUCUAAAUGCUCCUCAUUAAAAGGAUUGUAUCUUAAUAAUAACAAUCUCUCGGGCAAGAUUCCACGAUGGUUGGGUAAUCUCAAAGGGUUACAACAUAUUGUAAUGCCCAAGAAUCAUCUUGAAGGUCCUAUUCCAGUGGAGUUUUGUCGGCUUGAUUCGCUUCAGAUUUUGGACAUUUCAGACAACAACAUAUCUGGAAGUUUACCAUCUUGUUUCUAUCCUCUUUCUAUCAAACAAGUUCACCUAUCGAAAAAUAUGUUACAUGGACAACUAAAAGAAGGUACAUUUUUUAAUUGCUCUUCCCUUGUGACGUUAGAUCUUAGCUAUAACUACUUGAACGGGAGCAUUCCAGAUUGGAUUGAUGGGCUUUCUCAGUUAAGCCACCUUAACUUGGCUCACAAUAACCUUGAAGGUGAAGUGCCAAUUCAAUUGUGCAGAUUAAACCAACUGCAAUUGUUAGAUCUUUCUGAUAAUAAUCUUCACGGUCUUAUUCCUUCUUGCUUUGAUAACACCACACUUCAUGAAAGUUACAACAAUAAUUCUAGUCCUGACAAGCCAUUUAAAACAUCUUUUUCCAUCAGUGGUCCUCAGGGAAGUGUAGAAAAGAAAAUCCUUGAAAUUUUUGAAUUCACAACAAAGAACAUUGCCUACGCUUACCAAGGAAGAGUGCUUAGCCUCCUAUCAGGACUUGAUCUUUCUUGUAAUAAGCUAGUUGGUCAUAUUCCUCCUCAAAUUGGAAAUUUGACCAGGAUUCAAACAUUGAAUCUAUCACACAACAACUUGACAGGAACAAUCCCUUUAACUUUUUCAAACUUGAGGCAUAUCGAAAGUUUGGAUCUUUCCUAUAACAAAUUGAGUGGGAAAAUCCCUCGUCAACUUGUGGAUUUAAAUACAUUAGCUAUUUUUAUUGUGGCAUACAAUAACUUAUCAGGCAAGAUCCCAGAAUGGACUGCACAAUUUGCAACCUUCAACAAGAGUAGCUAUGAUGGAAAUCCUUUUCUUUGUGGACUACCAUUGCCUAUCUGCAGAUCACUAGCAACUAUGUCGGAGGCUUCAACUAGCAAUGAAGGGGAUGAUAAUUUAAUUGACAUGGACAGUUUCUUUAUCACAUUUACAAUAUCAUACGUAAUUGUGAUAUUCGGAAUCGUUGUUGUUCUAUAUGUGAAUCCUUAUUGGCGACGUAGGUGGCUUUAUCUUGUUGAAAUGUGGAUAACGUCUUGUUACUAUUUUGUCAUAGACAAUCUUAUUCCAACAAGAUUUUGUCAUUGAAAUUAAUAUGUAGUUUAAUUAAGAUCCUUUAAGUUCUAAACAAGUUUGCUUAAGAAAUAAUUUAUUUUUUAAGUACUAAUCAAGUUUGGUUAAGAAAUAAUUUUUUUUUUAUAUUGAAAUUGUAGUAGUAUUGAGCACUAUAUAGCUUCCAACUUCCAAGAACCUAGCAUGUCUCCACACUUAGAAAGCUGGGUGAUUAUGCUUUGCAGAUCUAGAUUUGAAGUAGGAUGGUCCCAAACCCAUAUCUAUGUAUUGUAGCUUACCUAUGAUGUCCAACAUACUUAAACGAGAGCACCAUCUCUAAUGUUAAUAAUAGCCGCUAUAUAGGAUCCUUUUGGAAACUAUAUUCAGAAUCGUUUUAUAAUCAUACAUAGGAAAUGAAAAAUCUUACUGCAAUUGGUUGCCUAUUUUACUCUGAACAAGAACGAUUAUGGCGUUAACAUCAUCUUCUUCACUAGUAGCAUUAACAUCAAACCACGGGAUAGACCCAGACAUUUCAUCAAGAAAGGCAUACAUCUAAUAAAGUUGAAGCUUUGACAAAAAAUUCAAUGGAAGGUCAAUGUCUCGCCACAACAAAGGGCACAACAACAUCAUUCUAGAAGAGAUGAAGCAAUAUUCUCAAAGCUAAAGCUCUCAAAUACACCACACAAUAAUUUCAUAUCUCCUCAUCGAUUUCAAAAACUAAAGAUAAUUAGGAUUUAACAUUGGUUUGUUAUAUAUUAGUUUCAUAAUUUAAAAGCCAAUGAAGAUGAAGAUUAUGCCAAUGAAUUCAAAUUAUACCAUACAUUCUCCGGAUAUCACAAAAAAUUUACAAGUCAAUCCCACAUAUUUCAUAACUUAAAGACUGGAAAGUUUCAUUAGUUAGAAGUUUCAUUACCUUUAAGUAGAAGAUGAAGAAGAACAUUAUGCAAGUGAUUAAGAUUAUAUUAUACAUUCUCCGAAUGCAACUAGAAAUUAACAAGUUCAUGCCACAUAUUCGAUAACAUUAUGAUUGAAAAGCUUGAUAAGGACUUGAGAAAUUCUGAAUUCAACCUUCUGCACUAAGGUUAUUUGAUUGAUUUGAGCUACUUUGUGAUUAAGCUACUAGUACAACAUUUAAUUCAGGGAGGAAAUAAAUUAAAAUUUGGUAGAAAUAGUAAUAAAAAUUUGUUGCUAAACAUGAUGUGCAGUUUUUUUUCUUAAGGCAAUUUGGAAACACAGUUGUUAGUAAAUAUAUUCUCCUCAACUUGGAGAUAAAUACAUAUAUGAAAAUGCCUACGAUCAGAUAAAUACAGAUAUGAAAAUGCAUAUUGUUUGGAAUUUAGAUCUAUUAGAAAUAGAUGUAGGUAAUUAAAAAUUAAAAAUUAAAAAUUAACAGCUUAAUUAUUUCCGGAAGUACUGUUCACUGUUACUGUUCAUGAAUACUGUUCAUCCGCAUAAAAAAUAUUAAUUUUCCAAAAACAUAAUAAAAUGCAGAAAAUAAAUGACACGGAGAUUUUUACGUGGUUCAGAUUAACCAAUCCUACAUCCAUGAGGCCACGCCUAGAUAAAAAGCAAUUCACUAAGUUGAGAUGUUACAACCUAUGGAUUUACCAAACUUAAUACUCUCACUUACAGUUUAUCACCAUACAGUUUACUCAACCUUAGACUAAAUCUGCUUCUCUUGAAUAAUCGCUACCCCUCUUGAUCCACGAUCCUUAAGGCACUUCGCAAAGUGAUCAAUAGCAAUUCUUCAAUUCUUCAAAGUCUAGUGAUCCAAGAUCCACAUAGACUCUCCGCAGAGAUGAACAGAAGAUAAGAAAACAAAUCAACAUAACAUGAUGCGCCAAAUCCAGAUUCUCUGGGGAGGACGCCGAAUUUUGCUUCUGUGCUUUAUGCUCUGUGUUGUGCCAUCUUCAAUUGUGAAAUACCUCUCUUUAUAUAGGCACUAGGAUUUCACCAAAAUAGCAAGUCUUAAAAGACUUGGAUUCUUUCCAAAUAAGAGUUUCUUUCCUCUUAUAAUUCCCAUGAAUUUGAAUAGGAAUAAAUCUGAUCUUCUUGCCUUGCUUGUCUCCCAAGAAAUAUCUAGAGCAUUUAAUGACUUCCUGUUUGAACCAACUUUUAGCUCUAAAUAAAUCUCAUGCGCCAAUUAUAGAAUCCCACCAUUAAUUGACUUGCUAAAAUAGACAUCUAAUUAAAUUAGGAAACAAAUAUUCCUAAUAAAUUGGAAUCUCACUAAAUUAGGGAAUUAAUAAAUUAAUCCCUAUUACAAGAUAUGCAAUAAAUAAACUUCUAAUUUAAUUAGACUUGCCAUAAAAUAUCAACUCUAUAAAUAAUGACCUUAACACAUAUGAUCACACAUAUUACUUGCAACUUAGCAAGAUUUAAUUAAGGGGAGCAAUCAAACCACUUAUCAGUUGUCGUAGUUGUUCUAUAAUCUAAAAUGGCAAUAUAACACAAGAAAAAGAUAACAUAUAGAUACUUGGCAAGGGUUCAUUAAGAAGUCGCAUCACAUUCGGGUGAUGAGUUUGCUUCUGAUAUCUUGCUAGCUGCGGCUUUCUCCUGUCUUUCUACUCAUGCUGAGGGAAACCAACAAGCCUUGCCUUUGCAUUCACCUUCCGACCAUCUAGGAGGAGCCACCUUGAGAAUUUAUAGCCAAAAAGGGUGAAUAAAACAGAAGUUGACCAUUCAAAGACUUGAGGUGAAAUAAUUGAAGCAAAAUAGGAUAAUUCUUUGACUUAGAAAGAGUGAAUUAGUUGUAAUUACUCAAAUAACUGCAUUAACCAUGGAAGUUUAACAAGAUAUAAAUUCACGUGAAAUUCUUAAAUGAAAAUAUAAGAUUAGGGCUCCUCAAUUUGCUUUUAAAUCAGCUAGACAGCUAAGAGUGUUUUGUAGGUGAAAGUAGUUUGUAUAAGCAUAUAUUUAAUUUUUUAGCAAUUCAGUAAGAGUUAAAUCCUUCUUAAUCAUCAAAAUAUGCAGAUUUAUUGCGCCCCUUUGAACAAAGAAUAUAGCAAUUUCAUUAGGAUUUAUUGUCAAAUUAGGCAAUGCACAACAAAGAUUUUUUUAAAAACAAAUCACCUAUUAAAAGAACACACAUAUAAAGUAUCCACAAAAUUACUCCAUUCUACAACGAAUUAUAAAUUGCUCUCUCACUUGUAUUUUCUCUCUCUUCCAUCAAUCCGUUUAUCUUAUCAAUACAAGAAAAAAAAGAAUACUUGACAUUUUUUAUUUGACAAUUUUUAAGAAAUAUCAAAUAUAUAUGACAUUUUGUGAAAAAUUGAGUAAUUGUGAAAUAUAAAUGACAAUUUAUUUAAACGUCAAAUACUAAUGAUGUUUUACCAAAUAAGUAGAAAAUAUAUUAUAUUUUUAUUGAAUAAUUACCAUUUACCUUUUCCUUUUAUUGACUUAAGAAAAAAACAAAAAACGCACUAUACUGCCUUUGUCUCGUUCUUAGAACAUAUUUGUUUCUUUUAAGAAAAUUCAAACUCGUUCCCCUUGCUUUCUUUUCAAUAAUCACCUCACAUUUUUAUCAAUCACUCAAUUUCGAAUUUCAUCUCAAUCCUCUCUCGAAGAAGAACGCACAAAGAAUUUCAGCUUGCUUUAGCCUCAUUUGCUUCUCGAAUUUCAGGUAUUGUUUCCUUUAAUUUUGAUAAUUUGUUUCUACUUCUCUCUUUCUGGUUUGAUAAUUUUAGGGUCAUAGUUGAAUUAUUUGUAUUUUUAAACAAUCUAGGGUUGAUUUAAUUGAUUCCAAGUGUCGUAUCUGUUCUGCUAUUUGAAUGCACAUUACUUGUUUGAUGAAAUGUCUCUUUAAAAGAUUAUUUUUUUUAACAAGCAUCUUAUUGAGAUGUUUCUCGUGAUAAUAUUAACGUAAUGCACUUAGCUUCAAUUUGGUAUGUUUAAUACAUUUUAACAAAGGAAAAUUACAGAACUGCAACAAUUCUCAAAUUGCUUGCAGAUUAGAAGUAAUGUUAUUGAUUUUUAUUAAUUAAUGAGAUUUUUAUUUAUUGAGUCUGUAAACUCACUAUAAGAAGUGAUUAUUGCUAUAAUUUGGUCUGUUUCAUACAUUUUCAUUCUCAUUAUAAAUGACGGUCAACUCUCAUUUUUUUCAUCAAUCACUCAAUUUUAAAUUUCAUCUCCAUUCUCUCUCGAAGAAGGACCCACGAAGAAGUUCAGCUUGCUUCAGCUUCAUUUGCUUCUUGAAUUUCAGGUAUUUUUCUUUUAAUUUUGAUAAUUUUUUUUAAUUCUCUCUUUCUAGUUUGAUAAUUUUAGUGUUAUACUUGAAUUAAUUGUAUUUUUAAUUGAUACUAAGUCUUAUAUCUGUUCUCAUUCAACAAAGAAAGAACGCACAAAUAAUUUUCACUUUCAUUCUCAAUUUUGAAAGAAUCAAUUUAUUUUAUAAACUAUAUUAGACACACUCUAGUUGCUUAAUUAGUAAAAUUGUAAGCUCAUUGCCUUAUUUUUUGGGGUUAAUUCUAUAAUUUUAUCAGUUGUUCUUGUGGUUGCAAACAAUAUCAUUUUUUAAUAUUAAUAAAACUAAAUGAAUAUUAUGUGAUACAUUUGCAGGAAAGUUAAUAGUUUAAAUAUGGAUAAAUCUUGGAUGUUGAUGGAUAGAAGGUUUAUAGAAUAUGAAAAUGGGGUAAAUGAGUUUCUCAAGUUUGCAAUACUUCAUGCUAGUAAUCCUGAACUUUUAAGAUGUCCAUGCCAAGCAUGUGGUAAUUUGGUCUUUCAUGUACCUGUUGAGAUAAGAAAUCAUCUUUAUUGGAAAUGUAUUGACCAAAGCUAUCAGACAUGGACUUGGCAUGGAGAAAGAGCUUCUAGUAGACGACCAUCAAAUGUAAAAGCUUCAUUUGAUGGCAGUCAACAAGAUGAUGAAGCUGCUGAUACAGUAGAAAUGGUUAAUGGUGCAUUUGACACUUGUAAUGGUGACCCCAAGUCUUUCGAAACUCUACUUAAAGAUGCUGAAAAACCUUUGUUUCCUGGCUGUGUGAAAUUCACUAAGUUAUCGGCCUUAAUAAGGCUUUACAACAUUAAAGGAAGAAAUGGAUGGUCAAACAAAAGUUUUUCAGAUUUACUAAGUUGUUUAUCAGAUAUGCUUCCUGAUAAAAAUGAAAUACCUUUAUCUGUAUAUGAAGCAAAGACGAUUAUGGUUGCAUUAGGCUUAGAAUAUGAAAAAAUACAUGCAUGUCCCAACGAUUGCAUCCUAUAUAGAAAAGAAUAUAAGGAUUUAUCUGCAAGUCCCACUUGUGGAAUGUCAAGAUGGAAGAGUCCCAAUAAAAGUAAGGGAAUUCCUGCUAAAAUCUUAUGGUAUUUUCCUCCUAUACCAAGGUUUAAGAGGAUGUUUCAAUCUCUUCGAAUCGCAAAAGACUUAACUUGGCAUGCCAAUGAAAGGGUGAUUGAUGGCAAACUACGUCACCCAGCUGACUCACUGUCAUGGAGGCUAAUGGGCCAAAAAUGGCUAGAUUUCGCUGCAGAAGAAAGAAAUCUUUGGCUGGCUAUUUCUACAGAUGGGAUAAAUCCCCAUAAAACUUUCGCAGUUCGUAUAGUUGUUGGCCAAUUGUUAUGAUUACUUAUAAUCUUCCUCCUUAGUUAUGCAUGAAGAGAAAAUUCAUGAUGUUGACUAUGCUAAUAUCUGGUCCACGACAGCCCGGUAACGAUAUUGAUGUCUAUUUGUCACAACUGAUUGAUGACUUGAAAACUUUGUGGGAAGUUGGUGUCCAAAUUUAUGAUGCAUAUAGACAAGAAUUAUUUACUCUACGGGCUGUCUUGUUGUGGACAAUUAGUGAUUUUCCUACUUAUGGGAACUUGUCUGGAUGCUCAAUUAAAGGAUAUUUUGCAUGUCCUAUAUGUGGGAAAGAUACACAGUCCUAUAGACUUAAGCAUGGGAAGAAAAAUGUGUACAUGCGCCAUAGGCGAUAUCUCCCAGAAUCUCACUUGUUUCGAGAUUUAACAAAGGCUUUUGAUGGUAAACCAGAAAGAGACUUUCCUUUUAAGCCGUUAAGUGGUGAAGAAACAUUAAGAAAGGUUGAAGGGAUUCAAAACUCAUGGGGGAAGAAAACUAGAAAGCGUAAAAAAUUAGAUUCUGAUGAAAAAAUUUGCUGGAAAAAGAAAUCAAUAUUUUUUUCUCUCCAGUAUUGGAAACAUUUGCAUGUUCGCCAUAUGUUAGAUGUAAUGCACAUUGAAAACAAUGUGUGCGAAAGUAUAUAUGGUACAUUAUUGAACAUUCCAGGAAAAGCAAAAGAUGGACUUAAUUCUUGGUUGGACCUUGUUGAUUUCAAUAUUAGGAAAGAAUUAGAAGGGAAUCACACUUAUUUACCUGCUGCAUGUUAUUCAUUGACUAGAGCGGAAAAAGUAAUGUUUUGCGAAACAUUAUUUAAUCUGAAGGUUCCUGAAGAAUACUGUUCAAACUUUAAAAAUCUUGUAUCAAUGAGUGAUUUAAAGCUUAUUAGGUUGAAAUCUCAUGAUUGUCAUGCUUUGAUGCAACAACUCCUACCAUUGGCUAUUCGAGGAAUUUUGCCAUAACAUGUUAGAUAUGCCAUCACUAGAUUUUGCUUUUUCUUCAAUGAUCUUUGUAGCAAAGUUGUGGAUGUAGAGAAGUUAAACCAAAUACAAAAGGAUCUUGUGGUCACAAUUAAUUUAUUUAAAAUGUAUUUCCUUCCUGAAUUUUUUGAUAUCAUGGUUCAUUUAAUUGUGCAUCUUGUUAGAGAAGUCAGAUUAUGUGGGCCUGUAUAUCUUAGAUGGAUGUAUCCCUUUGAAAGAUUUUUAAAAGAUCUAAAAGGGUAUGUGCGGAAUAAAAAUCAUCCCGAAGGUUGUAUUGCUGAAUGUUACAUUGUAGAGGAGGCAUUGCACAGAAUAUUUACCCAAUGUGGAUCCAAUUGGAAUUCCAAUUGCAAGGACGAAUAAUAUAGAAACUGAGGGUCCGCUUCUUGGUGGUCGUUUAAGUGAUAUUGAUCGCGACGAAUGGAAGCAAGCACACCAUUAUGUUUUGCGAAACACACAAGCAGUUCAACCUUACAUUGAGUAAGUUUUCUUAUCUUAACUUUAUUAAAACCAUGUAGAUUCAUCACUAAUAUAUUCGUUUUAUUAUGAAUCUUAAUCUUAGGAUGCAUAUGACAUGGUUGAAAUUGAAUUAUCCUCGCCAAUCUAAAAACAAGAAGUGGUUACGAGAUGAACAUGCUCGAAACUUCAUUUACUGGUUACAAGAAAAUGUUUAAUAAACUAUUUCCUUUUAUUUCUGAAAUUUCUAUAAAAUGUUAUGUAUAGGCAUAAUUUCAACUAUUUUCUUUUCUAAAUUUUAUAGGUUUCAAAUGGUAACGAUAAUCAGUCAUCCAAAUCAUCUUUAUUGAAAUGGCUAGUACAAGGACAUUGGCCUCAUGCAUUCUUAUAUCCUGGUUAUCUUAUUAAUAAUUACCGUUUUCACAUAAAAGAUCGUGAUAAUGAUAAAACCACUCAAAAUAGUGGAGUGACUCUUGUAGCUGAAACAGAGCAAAUUACAAGUGCCAAGGACAAGAAUCCUAUUUUUGGAGAAAUGCCUUACUAUGGAGUCAUUAAAGAGAUAUGGGUGCUCGAAUAUCACAUGAUCCAAAUUCCCAUAUUUAAGUGUGAUUGGGUUGAGAGUCAUAGUGGUGUUAAAGUUGAUGAGCUUAGGACAAUCUUAGUUGACCUUAAUCGUAUAGGUCAUAAAUCAGAUCGUUUUAUUCUAGCCUCACAAGCAAAGCAAGUCUUUAACUGACCAACUAGAUCCAAGGUGGUCAGUUGUACUCCAUUUCCCUAAAAUGAUGCCAAAUCCUGAAAAUUUUGAGAAAGGGGAGAAGGACAGUAAGAAUUACAAGCGUGAUGAUGGUGAGAAGAUCUGGAUUCAUAAUAAAACAAUUAGGAAAGCUUAAUUGUUUGUGUUGUAAAGUAAGAAUGUAGUUUAUUGUUUCUGAAUUUUAAUGAUUUCACUUCUUUGCUUAUUUAAAUUAAUUAUAGUUAAUGAUGUCCUAAUAGCUAAAUUAUCUAUUGAUAUGUGACAAAUGAGUACUUAAUAUUGGAUUGUGCUUUUGCAGGAUUAUGACCAUGGAGGAAUAUGAUGAUGAUAUUAUGUCCAUGGAUGAUAUAGAUGAUGUUGAUGCUGAUGUAGAAGAUCUUGAUUUAGAAGACUUUGAUACUAAUAAGAAGAUACAUAAGACUAGAGGAAUUGUCAAGAUGGAGAGUGUUACUAAGAAUCGUAGUGAUGGGAAGAGAGAGAGUUAGAUUUAAUAGCGAUGGACAAUUGGUGGGUGAAGAGAGACAUAAUGUUAUUAGUACAAUUGGUGCUGUCACUAAGACAUUAGUUUCCAUUCUUUCGAUGGAUUUGCGAAAAGUACCAAAGAAUUCAAAAGAAAAAAAAUAUGGGAAUACAUUCAGGUAUGCUUUAUAAACAUAUUAUGCAUUUUGCAAAGGCAUGAAAAUUUUUUUUAAACUGUCUUUAUAUUUCAUGUCUUACAGAGUUCGUUUGAUGUGGAUGAUCGAUUUAAAAGACAAUGUUUGCAAAUUGCUUGAAGUUCAUUUCGUUCUUUUAGAUAUAAUCUCACACAACAUGUAAAAAAAUACAAAGCCUAUCCAAAUCGUUUGCGUAACCCACCACUAUUGUACUCUUUCAUACAAAAAGGUCAUUGGGAUGCAUUUGUUAAUGAUCGAUUAUCUAAAGAAUUUAAGGUAAUCCUUUUUUAUUAUUGUGAACAUUAUUUUUUUAUAUUUUAUUUAUGUCAAUGCUAAUAAACAUAUGUAUUAUAUGCAUUAGACACUUAGUGGCCUUCAAAAAGAAAGACGAGCACUAAAUCUUUACAACCAUCACCUUGGUUGAAAAGGUUAUAAUGGAUUAGAAGAAGAAAUAGUAAGUAUUUUUUUCAUAAAAAAUUAUAAUUAUUUUUAGCAGUUGAUGUAUGUUUAACAUUGGUCACAUUGCUAUUGGAAUUAGAAAAAAGAAUGUGGAAAUCCCAAUUUGAAAGUGGAUAGAAGUGUAGCAUGGAAAAGGGCUCGUCAAAACCCAAAUGGUGGAUAUCAUCUGGUUGUGAUACCUGUUGUGGAUACAAUUGUAAGUAUAAUAUUCUUUGAGCAAUUUUCCAUCAAUUCCUUGUAUGUUGCAUGAAUAAUCACUACUAGAAAAACAGGCUACCAUGACAGAGAGUAUCUGUCAUCCGACCCCCCUUAUGAGUUAUGACAGAGUUUUCAUCUAUCAUUGUAGCCCUUGUGAUAAAUCCGAGACAAUAUUUUAUCUAUCACAUGUUCCCAUGACAGUGUAUAUCUAUCACGCAUACAUCACGAACCAAGCGAUGUCGUUUUGCAAGGCUUUUGAGAAUUAGUUGGAAAUUUUAGCAAGUAAUUUAAAUUAUAUUGAAUUUGGUGGGCUUUUUCAAAAUCUUUCAUAUAUUAAUGAUUCACAUUCUCUGUCAUGAGAUUUAAGGUUUUAAAAAAUAAAAUUAUUAUUUUUAAUUUUGAAAUUAUAAUAAUACUAAUUAAUAUUAUUUAAAUUCCAAAAUUUUGAAAUAGAAAUAACAAAAGCCACAUUUUAAAAUUUGAAUUAACUGAAAUAAAAAUUACAUUCAAAUUCAUAAAAACUAUCGAAUACCAAAUAUCACCAUAUACUAAAAAUUUCAAUUACUUGAAACUUCCAACAAAUAGCAUCAUCAAAAUACGUGGUGAAUCAAAUCCGUAACAAUAGCUCAUAAAUUCUCUACAAUAUUCAAUCACUACCCCAUCAUUAGAAAAACAAUUAAUCUGGAAAAAGAACACUGAUAGUAAAUUCACAAGAGCCACCAACAUCACCUGAAACACAUAUUACAUUUAGAUGAGUGCCAGAAGAAUAUAUAUUAGCGUAUUGGCCACUUACAAUUAAUCCAAUUCAUGAUGAAGUAUUUUUCCAAGAUUACAAAUUAAUUAAUGCACAACAUCUAACAACAUAAAACCUCUGUUACAUAAUUAAAUAAAAUUCAUCAAAAUUCUAUCCUCUAUCCUCUUCUCUUGAUUCCCCUGUUCUCCUAAAGUUUCACCAUCCUUUUCUUUAUUUCUACUCUUUUUUUUUUCAAUCUUCUCUUUAUUUUUCUUCCACUGUACUUGUUCAAAUUUGUAUAUCAAUCUAAGUUCUAAAACACAUAUAUUACACUGAGACUCCAAGCAACGCAAAUCCAUUUAACUUGUUCAUUAGGGCAAGACAAUCUUGGCUAAGAAGCAGCAUGUGGAAGUAUUUCAAAAUGACUAGAGAAAGACUUGCUCUAGAACUAUGGAAAUUAGCAUAUAAAAAGAAAUAGAAAAACACUAAAUAAACAAACCACCCAAAGAUUUCAUCACAUAAAGCAAGGGCAAAUUAUGUGAGAUUUCAUCACAUCAUCACAUGAAGCAAGGGCAAAAUUAUUAUCACAUCCCACUUCACACAACUCAUUACAUACCUUACCUCAUGGCAUUACCUCAAGAACAAAUACUCUGAAAAAUCACGGAUAUCAUUUGGCCUGGAAUGAUCAGCAGAAAACAAAAACGUUAACAAAGUGCUGCAGCAAUGAUAUCAGCACAAUUUCAAACUUAGAUAGAAUCUCACUUGGGGAGUCCAAUAUUCUCAUCAAACCUUUGACUUUUAUAAAAUUUCACCAGAUGGAGCAAACCAGCUCAAUCAAUUUCCUAUACAAUAGUGUGUAUUUAUCAUAUAUCAAUAUUGAGAACUGGUAAGUGCAACAUGGUCCACAAACCAAAACAUUUCCAAUUAAUAAAGCACAAUAUGUGACAAAUCAAAUAAAAAAAAAAAAUCUUCCAAAAAGUUCAACAUGUCAAUUAAGAGAAAAAUUAUAGGAUUCAUAUCAGUGCAUCCAUAAAUGGCCUAGUUUCUCUGUCAACAAGUUAGUUAUAAGCACAAGUCAAAAUAAAUCAUUUCACUGAAAUGCUAGAAGACCAAGCAAAUAAGCACAAUCACCACCACACAAAGCAUUUGCAUUUCCAAAAAUGUAGUUCACAAAGAUUUUACAGAAGAUAUCUUUCUAAUAGAAAAACACAAGCACCAAUCAAUUGUAAUGGGUUUGAGAACUACGAAAGUAAUUUUCACAGUUGAAGAAUAGUUUCUCACAAAAAUUCACUUUAUGCGAAUACCUCUGGUGAAUAGAUUUUGCAUACAUUUUGGUAACAUACAAUAUUGGACCUACCAUGUGCUCAAUAUAUUUAAUAAAUAAAGGUGAGAAUAAUAACAAUACCUUAGAUAUUGUAUUAGCUAAGGCAAACGUUGCUUCAAUCCGAACUCUUCAAAAGGCCUAGAAACAACAGAAAAAUUCCUUAAUUGUAUUUCAUUAAAAGUAAGUCAAAUCAAAACCACAUAUACCUCUAAAUUUGGUUAACUUGUCACUAAGGAAAUUAUUCAGUGUGCCAACAACAUUGAAAGAAAGACAGGGCAGAGAGUCUAGACUGCUGUAAUUGGUCGUACCUGAGCAACAACAUCUCCAUUCUUCUCUAAUUGAUUUAUCUAAUAAAUCAAAAUAGUCAUGCAAGAUUGUUAUCCAGUUAAUUAAGUAAACAUUGUUAAAAGUUUGUAUCGUCACCAUCUACUCAAUAAAGAACAAUAAAGAAGUAAAAACAGAGAAGCCAUCACUCCACACCCAAAAAGUUUCUCUCACUUUCUCGCCAGCCAAACACUCCUUUUCCUCCCUCAAAACCUCGUCUUACCACUCAAAACUCACUAAAUUUCAGCUCAAAUUCUGUUACAAUUUUACCCUAAGUCGAAGACGUAGCAGCUAACUCACCGUCUUUCUGACGUCGCCAACUCCUCGCAGUACAAUCUUCUCCGAUCCGACUCCACGUAAAUAGCACGCUGCCACUCACUUGUCACGGAAUCGUUCCACGAAGGCCGUAAAGCGGAGUCAUUGGCACGUUAGUCCACGAACUCGAAGUCAGUCCCUUAAGGCCAUGGAGCGGCUUUAUUUUUUUCCUUUUUUUGGCAUAAUUUUAGGGAUUUUGAUAAAUUUAUGUCGAUGGUUGUCUCUUUAAAAAAAAAGAACUCAUCACUUACCUCUCGCGAAAGAAGUCAAUAACAAUGGCUCGAACUUGAAGAAUAUCGGUUGUUCAAGCUAUAAAAUCUUAGUUAAAGAAAACAAACAAAGGGAAAUGGGAAUAGCUAGCAAGCAGUGGAGUGGGGAUGAAGAUGACGACAAAUAUGAACAACAGCAAUUUGUUGUCGGCAAGUGUGAUAGUGUAUUUUUGUGUGAUUCGGUUUGGAUGUAGAGAUUAGGGUUUUCUGUGUGAAGUUCAAAAGAGUGUCCAAUACUCUUAGAUUUUUUUUUAAAGGCUUCAAGACACGGUGUCGUUCAAUGCCCAAAUUGGCCAAUCUUAAACUCACCGUUUCAUUACUAUAUGAAUAUGCUAUCAUGUGCAAGUGACAGAUAAAGAAACUAUCACAAAUCUAUCAUGCAUUGCUGAUAUAUGAAAAUUCUAUGAAAAUUCUAUCAUGUGCGUGUCAUAUUUUUGUGAUAAAUGACUAAUUUUCUGAUAUCUAUCACAAAAAUUCUGUCAUAGUAGCCUAUUUUUCUUGUAGUGAAUGGUCUUAUAUUCUUGUAGGAUGAGUUGACCCAGCUAGCAAAAUUAGGGGUUAUAACCACAUCUAGUGAGAAUGAUAUUUUGGCCCAAGCAUUAAAGAAGCCUGAGCGUAAUGGGCGUGUUACAAGGAAGGGAAGAGGAGUCAACCCAUCUUCUUUCUUUCACAAUGUUAAUUUAGAAUCUGAUUGGCAAAGAGAGAAGAGGCUAUUGAAUGAAAAAAUAGUGAAGAUGCAAGCUAUUAUUCAUGAUCUCUCAAAAUCUUCACCAAAAGCAAGACACUCCAAUGUCUGUAGCAACAUAUUUGGAUCACAAGAUGUAUCUAAUGAGACAAAUAACAAAACAGAUCCAAUUUUUGAAAAGCAAAAAAAUUAGGUAUGCACACUCAAGUAAUUAAAUUAAUCUUUUGAAUUUAUACUUUAAGUGCAUAUUUAAUAAUCUUAUUACUUUUUUUUGUUAGGAUCAAACUUGUCAGUUGGCUGUAGGAUGUAAAGAAAACAUUGUUGCUAUUGGAACUAUUUUGGAGUAUAGGAAGCCAAAUGUUUUAGUUGUAAUUGAUAUGGUAUUAAGUCCAGAUGCCCAUCUUCCAAUCCGGACUAGUGAGCUUGUUCAGUGUUUACGUCAGUGAUGGGUUAGGACAACACAUAUUAUGGCCAGAAAAGUUUGUUUCCCAGCUGCUGUAGUAAACAAGGUAUUGAAUUUGGCAUAUAUUACUUGUUUUUUUUAAUUCCUUAAUUGAGAAUUUAAAUUGUAACCACAUGUGAAUGCUUAAAUUUCUAGAUGUCUAAGUCAGCUUUAAAGCCUUCCAAGGGGAAAUUAGAUGUGAAUGCUGAAGUAAACACCCCAUUGAUACCUGGCCUAUGUUACUAGCUUUAAUUCUUGUUUUAUUUCUUUAUUUAAAAUUUAAGUAAUAAUCAUAUUUGAAUGUUUGCAUUUCUAGGUGUCUAAAUCAGUCAUCAAGCCUUUUAAGGAAAAAUUAGAGGUGAAUGAGGAAGUAAACUCUCCCAUAGUUCAGCAAACAUUUAAAAAAACCUCCUGACAUACAAGUUUUUGAUAAAAUGGUAAAGAAAGUUAUGAAACCUGGUUCCCAAGUUAAGGUUGAUUUUGAGAACACAUUUAGUUACAAAUUGCAUACAUAUCUCACUUUGGAGGAAAUUCAAGAUCUUAUUGAUAUGCAAGAGCUUUCACAAAACAGCAUUGUUGUAUACAUGAGGUAUGAUACUUCAAUAAUGCUUUAUAUUUUGUCAAAUAUUUUUGUUUCACUUUAAUUGACCUAGCACUUUUUCUUAUAUACUAGAUAUCUUUGUGCUGAAACAAAGGCCAGGCUAAUUAAUGAAAAGUUUGAGUUCAUUCAUCCUACCACUCUUUCUUUUUUGGAUGAGAGUACUUUCAAACAGAAAGCAAAAACUCUUGCUAAUCGCUUCCAAGAAUUGAGUGCAAAACAAUUUAUCUUCUUACCAUAUAAUCCUAGGUUAGUUAUUUUGUUGCUUUAAAUAUCUUUGUUUAUCUACUUAGUUUUUACUUUUUAAUUAGUAUUUUUUUCUAACUCUUUAUUCAUUUGUUAAUAGUUGUCAUUGGAUCUUGCUUGUGAUCGACUUGCCCUCAAUGGUUGUUCAUUAUUUGAAUUCAGUGAGAAAUGAAAUCAGUGUUGAUAUAAAAAAAAAUUGUAACUGUGUAAGUAUAUUAAAGAUAUUUAGCAAUAAGUAUACUAGUGGUUUUUGCUAUAUAUAUAAUUAUUGAGUUUAAUAUUUCAUAUUUGAUUUGUAUUUUUUUGUAGUGGGAUUCGAAUGUUUCUUGCCAAAAAAGGACAGCAAAUGAAAAAGAUUAAUUUGAAAUGGAAUGAUGUUAAGGUGCCUAUGCAAAUUGGUAAUGUUGAAUGUGGCUACUAUGUCAUGCGAUUCAUGAAGGAGAUUAUUGCAUAUCAAAGUAUACUUUGUGCAAAGGUUAGAUCAUUAACAUAGCUUAAACUUAUUGCAGAUUUUACAGGGAAAUGUGGUUAAAAUGAAGUCUAUGAAUUAAAAGAGUGACAAAUAAAUAUAGUUUUUUGUCUAUUGAUGUUAGUUUAAUGAAAAAGAUACUUAUGAUGAAGAUGAGAUCAACGAAAUUCACUUUGAUUGGACAACUUAUGUUAGUGACUUGAUUUGAAAAAAAAAAUGCAAAAGAGACAAGUAAUGCAGGUAAAUAGCAUAUGAUUCAAUUGAAGUACAUUAGUUUAUUGUUAAUAUUUUUCAUGCAUAGAUUUUUCCUUCUCUUUGUGCAUAGAUAUCUUAUGCUUUCAUUGCAUAAGGCAACUAUAUCAUCUAGUUGGAUUCAUAAUAAAAGCUCUCAGUUAAUUCAAUCAAAAUUUGUCAAUGCCUUAUUGGUAACCAUGACUUACUUUUUUAGCCUCUUCCUUAGACAGUAACAAUAGUAUAUGGCAGUAAUUUUGGUUUCUUGAUGUGUAGGGCUAUGCCGUGGAGUUAUAUAGAUCUCAAGACCAAGACACAUUUACAAUCAAAGAGGAUAUAAGGGUUAUAAAAUAUCAGAUCUAUUGGGUUAAUGCAAAAUUUGUUUAAAAGCUUUUCCUUUUGUAUGUACAACGCUGCUAUGAAAAACUUUUGGACCGAUGGUGGAAUGCUAACUAUAGGCUCAAUGUAUAGUUUUAGAAACAACAUCUUAUUUUAGAUUUAUACUUAAGACAUUUGAUACAUUUAUACGUACAAUGCAAGUUCAAGUUAAUAUGAAUUCAGGUUUCCUAUGCUUUAUUAUGGUGUUUGAAGUUAGUUGAAAUUUUUUGAAUUUUAUCAUGUUUCAAUGUUAUAACAUAUAUAAUGUGCAGCCCAAGACAAGGAAUUUCACUAUUGUAAUUUUUUUUUUAAAUUAUAAUAUUUGAUAUUUUUAUCAAGUCAUUUGCAUUUGACCAUUUUGAAUAAUGUCACAUGCAUAUGACUAUUAUUAAGUGUCAUACACAUUUGACAAUCUUAUAUUGUGAAAAAUAUUUGAUUAUUAUUAAUUGACAAAAAUAAAUGACAAUUUUACUAAUUGUCAAAUAAGCAUAUUUGACACAGGAAUAUUUGGCACUUUUUAAUUGUCAAAUAUUCCUUUAUUUGACAGUUUUUAAAUAUUAAUUAUUCUCUUUUUUCUUAUAGUGUAUAGAAAUUGGUUUAGUCAGCAACAACCCCUAUAAUCCUUGAAAUAAAAUUUUUUAUGUAAUUUUCUAUAAAUUUCAACAAUACUUUAAACUGGAGCCAAGAUCAUGUUUGAUUUCUAGACAAAAUAAUCAAUCAAACAUAAAAAUUCAUAGUUUAGAGGGGUAAACUGGGUGGUUUAGAACUGAGCUAGCAACCUUAUUAUAUUUUGAUUUGCACUUCAUUGUAAAAGGGAAUAUAUUAUAGGAAAAAAGAAAACCAAUCAUCAUUUGUUAACUCAUUGCUUUUCAAUCAAAAUUUUAAGAAUAAAAUGCCAUGUGCUUUGAAUAUCAAAUAAGUAUAAACACUAGUUUUAAAUUCUACAUAUAAUAAGUUAUAGCAUAAUAGAAAAAUCUAUAUGCUGUUACUUGGACCAGUAAAGGGGAAAAUACCUGGCGAACCACAACAUAAUCAUCAACUGAUAGACUUAGCUCCCUAUCUGCUUGAGCAUCAAAUGGAUGUAUAACCUACAAGAUAAUGGGAUAAAUAAAACUUAAUCUUGAAAAGAAUAACAAAAGCAGCAGCAAUAGCAGUAGUGUUUAUUAUAAGCACUAUGAUUAUGGCCAACAAGGAUACAUUAGAAACACUAUUUUUAUUAGGAAAAUAAUAUGUAGUACAAGAUAUCAUGACUGUUGGGUUUCCAAGAGCUAUCAGAGCUCCACAAGUUCUAUAUGACUUUAUGUAAUUGUUUAAAUUAUGGAUGGGAUUUUAAUUCUGAAAUUUUGAUUGCUCUCCACAAAACAUGGCCUAUGCCACAAGAAAGUCAUAGAUAAUGAGGGUUACAAGUGUCCAACAUCUUUCGAGUGAUGGAUUUAAUAUGACAGCUUAUGGUCAGUCAAUUUCCUCUGCUUAAUAAGAUAAGCUUUCUAGGUCAGAUUUUUCAUCAAAUACAUAGAUGGCCCCCAAGUCACAUCCAUACAAACAUAGUUUUCUGAGUAAACCAAGUAAGGAGAAUUAUAAUUCAGCCACAAUCAUAGAAAGGACCCAUCUAACUUAAGAGAAAAUUUUAAGAAGAGGGAUCAUACUAUGAGCUAUCAAUCUUGUAUCUAUAAGCAAAUAUCAAGACUUUAGAUCACCUGCUACAUCGUGAGUGGCUACACAACUUUGCGGUGGUUUGUCUUUCUUUGGCAUGUCUAACUCAGCUUUGAUGUUGUUGAGAUAUUGGCAGCAGAGACACAUGAUACUUCUAGCUAUACAUUCUAUCUAGCUCAUCAUGCAACUAUCUCUUUUUAAUCCAUUAGGGUUGGCUAAAACUCUUGUUUAAAAGUCUUGUUCUCCUAAACAAAGUUUCCCUAAGAAUGACUUCUUCAGCACCACAUUUUGACACUUUUUAGAGCAAUUUUAUUUGGGGAAAAGAAUUUUCAAGGUGUUAACUAAUAAAUUUUAAAAGAUAGUCACGACUCUGUCCCGUAAUCAUAUGACAAUUUAUCUGGGAUGAAAGGACACAGACAAACAUCUUCCACUUUCAAGACUAAUCACUACUUUCAUAAAUGUUGUGCAAUAAUAAAAAUCCUUGACCAGAUGGUAGUGAUAGUAGAAAAGAAUUUUAUUGCUCUAGAAUUAAAAUAAGAAUGUAAUGUGUUAAGCGAAAGACUGUGCGAGAUAUCUACAUAAGGAGGAGUGUUAAAAUAUGAUGCAUCCAACAAAAGACAAGCCUUGUGUAGUCUUUUAAUUAAGCCAAAGUAGCAGCUCAAACAAAUGACACUUGGACCAACAUGCAAGCAUGAAGUAGUCGGAAAAAGGACGAAUGAUACUUUGGCCUAAAUUAAAAAGUUAUUACAAGACAACAGAAAUCACUAUCAUUGUAAAAUAAGUUGGCAAUAAGUAAGAUGAAGAUAAGAGGUAGAAUCUCAACACAUGCAUAGGCAUACACAAGAAAGUAUUAACUUAUAUACCAUAGCAAAGAGUCUUUGAUAGGUCAUCUGUUGCUGCUGUGAUUCAACUGACAACAUAUAUGGUAGUUGUCGCUUCUGUGCCAAGAGCCAUAACUGUAGAUUUAAGCUCGGUCAAUUUUGCUUCUGCAUUUCGAAGCUUCAUAGCACUCUCUGCUGAUAGAUCAGAUCCCUUAAUUUUUUAUCAGCGCCUCAAUACUUCAGCUACAUGGUGAAAAUAUUCAAUAUGAAUCUAAUAUAAUUCUCAUCUCCCCUUAUACAUAUGUUACCUUAAAGCUUACUUGGGCUUCAACUUCAUGUAGGAGUUUGUCAUAACAAUGAGUCAUGUUGCGUAAAUUAGCAAGGGCACUAGUCGGCACAAGUAAUAUAAUGAAAAAUAGAAUAUCGUCCCAUAGAGAUUAUAUAUCCUAUUAACUACCGAAAUUAUUCUAACAAUAAUAUAUUUGAAUAACCGAAUAAAUGAAUUUAGAUUAAUAAUUAAAUAAAAUAAAAUAACUAGAAAAAUUAAAUAAAGAUGUAUGCAGUAAUAGAAAUCACUAAGAUAUGAAGACACUAGCACAUCGAAUUUCACCAUAACCAAUCCAAUUUAAUCCUUCAUCUAUGUUAUUAAUGUUUAUUACCCAUGUUGACAGUGAAUUUUCCUAAUCUAUUUAAUAUCCUCUCUCGAGUAAUAUAAAAAAUACUUCACAUAUUAACCCACUAUAUCUCUAUGUGAAUUUAAAUAAGCAAAAAUUCAUUAAGCUCUACGGAAAUUCUUAGAAAAACUGCGUGAACCACAUUGGCACAUCUCUGUCUUUCCUUCAGUUCAUGGCAUCUAUUACGCAAACAAAAAAUAUAUAAAUCUCCUCUUGGUCUCAUUAUGUAUCCUCAAGUCAUUCAAAUAUUUGCCAGAUAUUUAAGGGUACGUUGGGCACACAAUACUGUAUUAUGUUGUAUUGCAUUAUUUUAAUGCUGAUGUAUUGUAUUAUGUUGUAUUGCAUUAGCACUGUAUUAUAACAAUGCUGUACAAUGUUUGGUGCUACACUGUACUUUAUUAAUUUUUUGAUUAAUUUAAAUUAUAUAUUAUAUUAUAUUAAUAUUUUAUAUUAUAUUCAUAUAUUUAAAUUGUAUUAAUAUUUAUAUUAUUAUUUAUAUUAUUAUUAAUUUUAAAUUAAUAUUAUUCAAAUUUAUUCAUAUUUAAAUAUUUAUUAUUAAUUAUAUUAAAUUAUAAAUUUACUAACAAAUUAUAAUGUAAAAAUAAAAAAUAUAAUAUAAUAUUAUUGAUUAAUAAAUUAUAAAUUUAUUAAUUUAUAUCAAUAAUUGUAACGUAAAAUAACAAAAUUAAAAUUAAUAUUACAUUAAAAAAAGGAAGAGGCAAGCUAAUGUGGCAGUUGCCGCAUUAGUUUGGGCCCAUUAAUGCAAUACUGCUGUAGCUUUUUAUAUGCCAAACAUGGGUCUGUAUAAAUUUAAUACAAUAAGGAGGUCUAAUACUUUAACAAACAUGCCCUAAAAGCAUUAAGCAUAAUAAUGAACACUCAACCAUGAAAUAAUAAACUAAAUAUAACACAGAUUUAUAUAAUUAAAUUUUCAUAAUUAGACUACAUUAUAUCCCUAAUAAAAUAUUUUGGAAGUUGCUCCGUUGAUUAACGCCCGUAUUGGCUCAGAUACCUCCAUGUCCAAAAACCUGUAACAUAAUUAAAAAGAUGAAAAAAAAAAGACUGAAACCUUAAUUGAAAAGUUCCUGUAGCAUAAUCAUGAAAUUUGGGCCUACGUUAAGAAUAUAUAUAUAAGGAUAAUUUAUGCAAUUUUGGGUGUUAGGAUGAUUAGUCUUAGGUUAGGGUUCAUCCUUCUGUAUUUAAGGUUAAAAUAGAAAUAAACCUGUGUAAAUAUUUAAAUUAGGGCUAUAAGACUUCCACAUGCAUCCUUCAGUGUCAUGGAUUUGAUUUUACUAUAGAAACAAGCGUCUUUAUCCAAAAUGCUUGGAGUUAAUUGAGAGAACUCACGGCCAAUAACUUGUCCCACGCUGAUCUUCGCUAGUGAUUUAACAAGUGACAAUGUUUCUUCAACAUUUGAACCAACAAAAUUAUUAAGUCAUGGAUGUCACUAGCAAUGGUUAAAACAUUAAAUAUUUCAGAGUUGUAACGUUUAAAUGGACUCUUUUAUUCAAUAUCUUAGAACUAAGUUUCCUUAUGAGAAGAUAAUAGUUUUGAAAGUAAUUUUACAUAUAAUUUUCCAUAUUUGAAUUAUUUUCUCGUUAGGGAUGAAUUUACCUGAUCACCAAGAAUCCCAAGCAAAGUUUCCCUCUUAUUUUCCAUCAAAUGAUAUGAAGUGCCAAAUUGAAAAGCAGCCCUUGCAACACAAGAAUUGUCACUUUGAAUCUCCGCUCCACAUUUGCAACAAUCUUCGGCCAACUUUCUCGAUACAAUAUUUGAAUACAAAAAUAUUAUACACAGAAACUAGUCAAGAAAAACAAAAUCAAAUAUUAUAAUGAAAGCAAGUGCAAACAAACAACCUAUCUCCAUUUGCUUCAAGCUUACUGCAACAAACCCUUCAACACCACGGACAAUAUUCCUCUGAAAAUGCUGUUCUACAUGGCAUAUAUUCCAAAUUAUUGUUCAGAUAAAACCAUAAAAACCAUCAUAAUUAUUCAACAUACAUUAAGCACUGUUUGGUAAAUACUUGUGACUCCAGUCUAGAAAAUAUAGUUGUUUGUACCAUAUUUGACAAAAUUAUUAUCUAAAAAUCAUAUUUAAUUAGCAAAAGCCACAAUAAAUCAAUACGAAAACAGAGAGGAUAGUACCUUAGCUGCCCCGGUGGAAUUGUACAGAUUUUGAAGUUGUUGGUGACACUCAAAGUUCAGCUUCAUCAACCGCAACAUUUUCAUUACCAAGACGCAGCAAAUGCUUCAAUACUGCCUGUACAAAUCAUAAAGAAAUAAUAAAAAAUAAAAUUGAGAAAUUUCACUAAUUAAACGUCUAAAUGGUUUUAAAAAAGAAAAGAAACGGACUUGCUGCUGCCUGGCGACUUGUUCGCGGACCUUGAUUGCCUGUUUCUUGAUAGCUUCCAUACUGUUUCUUUCAAAAAGCGACGACAGCUCAGCUCAGUUAAUUGAAAAAAGUGUGAUCUAGAAAAAUCAAAAGGGAUGAAUAAUUUUGGCAAAAGGCAAAGCCAAGUAAAGCCAGCUCUUUCCAGAAAACAAAAAAAUUAAAAAAAAAAAUUGUAAGUUUGAAAGGAGAAGAUGAUAGUGGAAGCGUGCAGUGUGGCUGCCAGCUAUUUGGAUUGUAUUGUCGGGUAAGGUAAUAGUAGAGAGAGAAUUUUUUAAGGAUCUAAAAUCGGGCACGUUGACUUUGUUGACCAAAUGGCACAGCCCAGAAAAUUUUUAAUACACUACAAGCAAGCUGUUUUAUUCCUCUCAUACUUUACGCUUGCAUCAGCUUAAAUCACUUCUUAAAUGCUUGCUUUAACCGAACCGCCUCGUACUAUUCUAUAUAUGUAACGGUUGCGCGGUUGUAGUUAACGGCUGAGGCUACGUGUUUGUUUGACGUGGUAGUUUUGUUACGACGUUACGAAUCUGUUGAACGUUCGGUGAUAGAGUAUUAUUUGUUAUUUUAAAGUGACAUAAAAUUAGUUACAAUACACCCGCUUGUUUUAUAAAAUAAAAAAUAAAUAAGUAAAUUGACUUAUAUUUUUAGUGGUUGAAUAUAUUUUGUGUUCUCUUGGGGCACUGUUGCAAUUGUUUCUUAAAUGUCAGUCACACCCACAUAUCAUUGACACAAGAAAUAGAAAUCUUAGAUCACUUGUUUAAUUAAAGAAUCACUCAUAAAAAAAUUUUGCCAUUUUGAUUUGAGGAUUCAUGUUUUGAACUACCAACUAAUGUUCAUCAAGGACAAAGUAUGGCUUGUAAGUAAAAAAAUUAUUUUUGGACAAAUUAUUUUUGUUGAUGGAAGAAUUUCUCAAGGGACUAUUUAAAUUAUUAAUAAAAAUGUCAGACACACCCACAUAUCAUCCCACAUAUCAUUGACACAAUUGAUUUUGAGAAUUCAUGUUUUGAACUACCACCUAAUGUUCAUCAAGAACAAAGUACGGCUUGCGAGUAGAAAAUUUUCUGAUUUUGGCCUAGAACAAAAAGAAAUUAAAUUGAAGGAGAAUCUACUACUUUCUCAUUAAGAAUGGCAUACGGGGCAUACGGGGCAUACCAUGGCACCAUACAACACCAGGAGUCUCCGUUCUCUGCUUUUUCAAACUCUGAAGGGGGCAAUAUUGUAAAAGUCAAACCAAGCUUUUGACAAAGAAAAGCUUUAUGAUAAAAGCUUGACAAAAUUGACCAAAACGUGUUAAAAUUUGGCACCAAACUUGGAAAUUUCAACAAACAUAUAGCUGGCAUGCAAGCUUUCUAUAGCUGGCAUGCAAGCUAGCACAAAUGGGCAAAUUGCCGUGUUGAAUUUUGGCCAUUCUUUAGGCUAUAAAUAGAGAAGUGAUGAGAGCUUGAAUUGCAUCCCGAAAACUUAAGAGCAUCCCAUUUAUUUAAGAGCUUAAGAGGAAUUGCAAGUGAAGCAAUUCUAGAGUUAUGAAAGUGUGAGCAAUUGGAGAGUGUGUGUGAGAGUGCUUUGGGUGUAUUUGGGUUUUGGGAAGUGAGGUUUUCAUUACUCAAAUAUUGUACUCCAAUAAUUGUUAGUAAUACAAUUAUUUUUCUCUUGCUCUCGUGGACGUAGGCAUAAUUGCCGAACCACGUAAUUAUUGUGUCCUUUAUUUUUCUGUGAUUAUUUGGUGCGCUUGAUUCCGCAUUCCGCGCACAAUAAGCGGUAUCAGAGCCGACGGUUCGUAUUUGGGGGGAUACGUACUGUUCACGUAUAUGAUACUAUUCACGUAUACGACACUAUUCCUAUAUACGGUACUGUUCACGAAUAUGGUAGAGACGGCCAUUUGUACUUGGGAGACAGUCUAUUGUAAGUAGUGUGUAUUUUUGCAUGUCUAGGAAAGUUCUGUGAACAAGGCGAUAAGAGUCUAAGGAUUCUGGUUUUUAAUUGGGACCGAGUUCCCGUCCAGUCUCCUGGGAACUUUCCCGGUGCAUUUAUUCACGCGAAAUUAACAUCAUAGAGAAUGUUUUUCAAGUGGAAUAGUUCGUUGAGAAAAUGGUAGAAUGUGAAACUUCCAGAAUUGGGGAGAGAUCUACCGAGACUAUUUCAAGAGAUACUUCAGGUGGGAAGCGAGAUUUGUCAAAUCGCUAUUCAACACCUGUUAUAGGAGACCAAAAGAUCGAUGUUGAAAAGUUUGAUGGGAAAAUCAACUUCGGCAUGUGGAGGCGCGAAGUUAUGGAUGCCCUUAUUCAAAUCGAUCUCGAUGUUAUUCUGAAAAAUAAAAAACACUUGUAUGAUGAAGAAAUUUGGGAUCGUAUGAACGAGAAAGCUUGUGGUCAGAUCAGAUCUUGUUUGACCAAGGAGGUGAAAUACUUGGUGAAAGAUGAGGAGUGUACGAUGACUUUGUGGCGUACAUUGGAGGAGAAGUACUUGCUGAAAAAUCCUGAAAAUCGUCUUCAUGCAAUUAGGGGUGGGCAAAAUAUCCGAUCCGACCCGACCCGAUCCGAUCCGAUCCAAAAAAUAUCGGGUUCGAAUCGGAUCAGAUUGUUGAUAUAACCCGAUCGGAUCAUGAUCGGAUCGAAUGAAACCCAAUCCGAUCCGAAAAACCGAUCGGGUUGCCAAAGAAAAAAAAAGAAAUUAAAGGUAAAAAAAGGAAACCUAAACCCAAAGACUAAAGAGCACAUGCACGUGAAGAACAUUCAACACUCUUUAAUAGCUAAAAGACAAAAUCACAUUUUAGCCAAGCUAAUAACAUUCUUCAGUUGCAUCAAAACGGAAAAAAAAAAGAAAAAAAACAGAGAAGACUCUUCCUCCCUUCCUCAACUUCUCAAUCUCAUCUCAAGAACACUCUUCACAAUUUCAUGCACACAACCACGCACACAUAUCGGAAAAGCAAAGGGCAGCCAGAUCGAUUUUUCCCGCAGUCACCGCUGACGCUAACUGCUCCGCGAGGACCGCAAAUGGAUCUGCUGCUACCGGAUUUGUUGCUACCAGAUCUGUUGCUACCGGAUCUGUUUCUACCGGAUCUGCUGCUACCGGAUCUGCUGCUCCACGCCGCCAUUCCUCCACCAUCACCUGAUCUGAUCCAAGAUCCAUUCAACCCGGUAAUUGCAAGGCUGCAACCCGAGUUUCCUUUUCCUCUUUUGAAGCUCUGUUGGUAUAAUAGUACUAUACCAGAUUGUUCGCCAUUUAGCAGUAAUAUAUCAUAUAUUAUUAUAUUACAUGUGAAAUUGUUAAUUUGUAAUUAUGUAUUGUUAAAUGUUAAUAAAAAAAUAAGAAAAUUGUAAAUCUGAACCCGAUCCGAACCGAAUUUAACCCUAUUUAUUGACCUGAUCCGAUCCAAUCCGAAUAUAUAUCGGAUCAGAUCGGAUCGGGUUAUAAGUUCGGGUUGUGUUCGGAUGAAUUUGUGUUCAACCCGAUCAAUCCGAAAUCCGAUCGGGUUGAUCCGAAUCCGACCCGAACCCGUAUUUGCCCACCCCUACAUGCAAUGAGCCAAGUAUAUGGCUUUCGAAUGAAGCCUGAGGUGUCAAUGCACGAUCAUGUCUCAAGAUUUGAAAAGUUACUUGUUGAUUUGAAGAAUCUUGAUGAAGAUAUUAAGGAUGAAGUCAAGGCUAUGAUUCUGUUACACUCACUACCAGAGGAAUAUAGUCAUUUUGUGACUACCUUGAUAUAUGGGAAGAGUGUGAUCGUCUUCAAAGAUGUUUGCACAGCAUUGACUAACUUGGAGAUUCGAAAUAAUGAUAAAAAUUCUGAACGAGCAUCGUCUGAAGCUUUGGUGAGCAGAGAUUGGGCGAUGGAGAAAAAGAAAAAGCGUGGUGGAAAGAAUUCUCGAUAAGCGUGGUGGAAAGAAUUCUCGAUCCAAAUCGAGAAGCAGAAAUAUAGCUCGAGACGACUGUGCCUUUUGUCAUGAAAAGGGUCAUUGGAGGAAAGAUUGUCCAAAGGCUCAAAAGAGAUAUGGGAAUAAACCAGCAGCAGCAAACAUGGCACAGAAAGAUGAGGACUCUGAUUAUUCACUAAGUAUUACUCCUGCAGCAUACAUGGCUAGUUCGAGCGAGUGGAUACUUGAUACUGGAGCAACAUACCAUUUGUGUCCUAUUAAGGAAUGGUUUACGGAUUUUCGUAAUCUGGAAUCCGGUGCAGUUGUGAUGGGGAAUGAUCAACCUUGUCGCACAAUGGGGAUAGGAACAAUUCGACUCAAAAUAUUUGAUGGAAUGAUCAGAGAACUCAAAGAGGUUAGAUUUAUUCCAACUUUAAAGAACAAUCUAAUUUAUAUGGGUGCUUUGGAAGCUAAAGGCUACAAGGUUACCAUUGAAGAUGGAACAAUGAAGUUUACACAUGGGGCUAUGGUGAUUAUGCAAGGGGUUCGACGUCACAAUUUGUACUAUUUGAAAGGAGGUACAACUGAUGAAGCAAAUGUUGUUGAGGUGCACAGUGACACCACCAAGCUAUGGCAUGUACGACUGGGACAUGCUGGAGAGAAGUCUUUGCAAACUCUGAUGAGGCACGGACUCUUAAAAGGUACUAAAACCUAUAAAUUAAAUUUUUGUGAGCAUUGUGUAGUAGGUAAGAAAACAAGGGUCAAGUUUGGUACGGCUAAUCACGAUACUCGUAAGAUCCUUGAAUAUAUUCACAGUGAUGUAUGGGGACCAACCAAGACUGCAUCAAUUGGUGGAAGCCAUUAUUUUGUUACAUUUGUUGAUGAUUUCUCUAGACAUAUGUGGGUGUACACUAUGCGAGCUAAGGAUGAGGUUCUAGAGAUUUUCGUGAAAUGGAAGAAAUUGGUGGAGACUCAAACUGGCAGAAGAUCAAAGUAUUACGAUAUGAUAAUGGUGGUGAAUAUACUUCUGAUCCAUUUUUGCAAGUAUGCUAGAACGAGGGUAUUAAAAGACAUUUCACGGUGAGACAUACUCCGCAACAGAACGGUGUGGCUGAGCGUAUGAAUCGUACUUUGCUAGAGAAAGUACGGUGUAUAUUAUCUCAUGCUGGUUUAGAUAAAACGUUUUGGGCUGAAGCCGUGAGCUACGCAAGUCACUUGAUAAACCGGUUGCCUUCUACUACAAUUGGAUGUAAAACUCCUAUGGAAAUGUGGUCUGGAAAGCAUGCACAAGACUAUGAUUCCCUUCGUAUAUUCGGGUGUCCAGCUUAUUAUCAUGUCAAAGAUGGUAAAUUGGAUCCUCGUGCUAGAAAAUCUAUCUUUGUGGGAUUCAAAGGUGGAGUAAAAGGCUUCAAGCUUUGGGAUCUCGAAGAUAAAAAGUUUGUGUGUAGCAGAGAUGUCACGUUUGAUGAAGCUUCAAUAAUGAAAGUUUCAAGUUCUCAGCAGGUGGAGAACAAGACCACAGAGGUAUUGCAACGGGUGGAGUUUGAUGCAACUCCAUAUGUACCAGUUAGUUCUACAUCAGAGAAUGAUUCAACUAUGGAGGUGACACCUAGGGUUGAAGAAGAUGUUGUUUUUUCUGAUGUCCCACAAAAUGCAGAAACAAUUGAAGAUGUAGAUAAUGAUGAUUUCAUUGCAACAAGGAGGCCAAGAAGAGAGAUAAAGAAACCCGGAUGGCUUACUAAAGACAUGGUGGUAGCAUAUGCACUUCCAGUUAUUGAUGAUGACAUCUCCAACACUUUCAGUGAAGCAUUACGCAGCAGUGAAAGUGAUCAAUGGAAGUUAGCCAUGGAGGAAGAGAUGAAAUCUCUCCAUCAAAACCAGACUUGGGAACUUGUAAAGUUACCAAAGGGGAAAAAGGCUAUUGGCAAUAAAUGGGUCUACACCAAGAAGCAAGGAUCUCCGAAUCAAUCAACUCCUCGAUAUAAGGCAAUGCUCGUUGCAAAAGGUUUUGCUCAGAAGGAAGGUAUUGACUACAAUGAAGUUUUAUCUCCAGUUGUAAAACAUACUUCCAUUCGUAUCCUACUUGCCUUAGUUGCAGAAUAUGAGUUAGCGUUGGCUCAAUUGGAUGUUAAGACGACGUUCUUACAUGGAGAUUUGGAGGAGGAAAUCUAUAUGAUUCAGCCUUGUGGUUUCAAAGUUGCUGGAAAGGAGAAUCAUGUGUGUAGAUUGAUUAAAUCUUUGUAUGGACUGAAGCAAUCGCCAAUGCAGUGGUACAAAAGAUUUGAUCAAUUUAUACAAGGGCAGAAAUUCACUAGAAGUGAACACGAUCAUUGUGUUUACUUUAGAAGACUACUAAAUGGAGCUUUCAUCUAUUUGUUACUCUAUGUCGACGAUAUACUUAUAGCUUCGAAGAAUAAAGAUGAGAUCGAGAGACUGAAGAAUCAGCUGGCUUCUGAGUUUGAGAUGAAAGACUUGGGUGAUGCACAGAGAAUACUUGGAAUAGAGAUUUGUAGAGACAAGAAGAAUGUGAGCGUAUAGUUGACUCAAAAGUCUUAUUUGAAGAAAGUGCUAGAAAAAUUCGGUACGGAUGACAAAACUAAACUGGUAUGUACACCUCUAGCUCCUCAUUUCAAAUUAAGCUCUUCUUCAUGUCCUACAUCUCAAGAAGAACGUGAUUAUAUGGCUCGUGUUCCAUAUGCUAGUGUUGUGGGUAGUCUUAUGUAUGUUAUGGUAUGCACAAGGCCCGAUAUAUCUCAAGCAGUGAGCAUGGUUAGUAGAUACAUGCACAAUCCGGGUAAAAAUCAUUGGCUUGCGGUGAAGUGGAUUCUCCGAUAUCUGUAUGGGACAGUUGAUGUUGGGUUAUUAUUUAAGAAGGAUUGUGGUCAACAAUGUGUUGGAUAUUGUGAUUCUGAUUUCGCCGGAGACCUAGAUAAGCGAAGAUCAACAACGGGCUACGUAUUCACAUUGGGUGGAGGUCCGGUUAGCUGGAGGUCGAUUCUACAAUCGACAAUUGCUCUGUCCACUACAGAAGCAGAGUACAUGGCAGCAACUGAAGCUGUAAAGGAAGCUAUCUGGUUGAAAGGCUUGUUAGGUGAUUUGGGAGUAAUCCAAGAGAACAUUGCGGUCUUUUAUGAUAACCAAAGUGUGAUAUUCCUCGCGAAGAAUCAAACAUAUCACUCUCGGACGAAGCACAUAGAUGUGAAAUAUCAUUAUGUGAGGGAGAUUAGCGAGGGUGGUGAUGUGUUGUUGAAAAAGAUCAAUACCAAGGAUAACCCAUCAGAAAUGUUGACAAAUGUGAUUUCUGGAGUUAAGUUUCAACAUUGCUUGAAACUAAUUCAAAUUCUUCGAAUGCAUUAAGUUUGGGAAAUUUUGAACUACGGUUGGCUUGAUCCCAAAUUUGUGGGUACGUAGGCAGUCACAGAGAUGCAGUCACUUUUGGGACGAUGGAUCGUUAGUAGUCGGCUCAGAUUUGGACAAAUUUUCGCCGAGGUGGAGAUUUGAGAUUUGUAAAAGUCAAACCAAGCUUUUGACAAAGAAAAGCUUUAUGAUAAAAGCUUGACAAAAUUGGCCAAAACGUGUUGAAAUUUGGCACCAAAACUUGGAAAUUUCAACAAACAUAUAGCUGGCAUGCAAGCUUUCUAUAGCUGGCAUGCAAGCUAGCACAAAUGGGCAAAUUGUCGUGUUGAAUUUUGGCCAUUCUUUAGGCUAUAAAUAGAGAAGUGAUGAGAGCUUGAAUUGCAUUCCGAAAACUUGAGAGCAUCCCAUUUAUUUGAGAGCUUAAGAGGAAUUGCAAGUGAAGCAAUUCUAGAGUUCUGAAAGUGUGAGCAAUUGGAGAGUGUGUGUGAGAGUGCUUUGGGUGUAUUUGAGUUUUGGGAAGUGAGGUUUUCAUUACUCAAAUAUUGUACUCCAAUAAUUGUUAAUAAUACAAUUAUUUUUCUCUUGCUCCCGUGGACGUAGGCAUAAUUGCCGAACCACGUAAUUCUUGUGUCUUUUAUUUUUCUGUGAUUAUUUGGUGCGCUUGAUUCCGCAUUCCGCGCACAACAAAUAUUCCCUAAUUUCCCCUUGAAAAGUAUUUCUCCAUCUCUUUUUCGAAAUUUCACAAUAAACCGGCACAUUGUAAAAGUUAUGUUCUAACCUUAUGAUAAAUGCUCUAGACUUCAAAUGGAUUUUAUAUAUGAGAGUUUGUUGCAGCAGAUAUAUUGACUUAUCAAAUAUGAAUCAUUGUCUCGAUGAACUAUCUUUAGAUAAAAGAAUAUUAGAACCACUGUAGAAUAUCUUUACCCUGCUGGUUCUAACAAAAAUCUGCAUGUGGCAGCAAUUACUAGAUCUACAAUUUCCCAAAUAAUAUUUUGUGUUUCUUAAAAAAUUUGAAAUACAUAGUUGCACACCGUGAGACAGUGCUACAAUCUACUGAGAUCUAAAUUAUAUGAGACCUUAAGCUACUAAUGUUUGCAUAUUUCUACACGUCAAAUUAACAUUACCAUCUAUAAUCCAAAACGACAGAUGAUAAACGGCUUUUGGCCACUUAUUACUAGCAUCCACAAAUAAUUAUUUUGCAGCAAUCAGCUUAUUUUAUAGAAAUUGAUUUAGUCAGCAACAAACACUAUAAUUCUUGAAAUUAAUUUUUGUUCUUUGUAAUUUUCUAUGGUUUUUCAUAAAUCAAUUAAUCUGCAGUGCCAAGAUGAGGUUUAGCUUUUCAAACUAAAUAAUCAAGCAAGCAAAAAUACAAAUUCAGAGAUUAGGGAGUGAACUAGCUAGGUGGUUUAGAACUGGGCUGGCUAGCUCACUAUAUUCCAAUUUGUACAGUGAAUUCAUUGAAUCAUGAGAAAACAAUGUGGUCAUAGCUCAAUAUGAGAUGAUUUCGGAAGGGCAUACUGUUUCCAAGUUAAGUUGAUCCAUUAAGAGAUGGAGUGGUAGGGGUGUCAAAAAAGCCCGCUCGGACCGGACCCGCCAAUCCGGUCCGGGCAAAACCCGAACCGCAUGCACAUAAAAACCGGACCCGGGUUUGAAAUUCUCAAACCCGGACAUUUCCGAGCCCGGGUCCGGGUUCAACACAAAAAAUCCGGAACCCGGACCGGACCCGGUUUUUUAAUAAAUUUUAAAAAAAAUAAAUAUAUUAUAUAUAAAUAUAUAAUUAUGAAUUUAUGAUAUGUUGGAUGUUAUUUAAAUUUAUUGUGUGAUUAUUGUGUUGUUGAAUUUAAUUUAUUUAUUUUAUAUAUAGAUUGAAUGAGUUUAAGUUAGAAAUUGGAUGAAUUUAGGUAUUAGAAAGUAGAUUGAAAUAAUUUUUAUUUAUCAUUUGUGAAAAAUUUGCAUUGUUAGUGUGUUAUAUAUUUGUAUUUGACUAUUUUCUUUUUUAAAGUUUGAGAUUGAAUGAGUUUAUUUGAUUAUUUUCUUUUUUAAAAUUUGUAUUGUUAGAGAAAUGAAAGAAAAAAUUGAAGAAAAAAAAUUGAAGUUAUCACAUGCGGGUUUAAAAAAUCCGGAUCAAAACCCGGACCCGGAAGGUGCCGGGCUCAAGCCCGGACCGCACCCGGAAAAACCGGAUUUUAACCCGGAUCCGGUCUUGCAUUUCUCUCAUCCGGUCCAGUCCCAGGCAACACCAAAACCUAUGGAGUGGAUUGUGUGGAAAGUCUAAAUAACAAAUCCUUGUUCUUGAGUUUUACGACGUCGUUACUCCUUCAAGCGGCAGAUUAUGCAAGUGAGUUAAAAAACACAAUGCAUCAAUCACGGGGAUGCUACAUCAAAAAGACGGGAUCAUAGUGUCUAUGCAUUGAACAGUUACAGUUGCUGCUACAUCAAAAACACAAUGCAUCAAGAACACUUUCGCUCUGUCUAUAUCCUUAUUGACCCCAAAAAGGAUUAAUAAUUGAAGACGACUAUACAGAGUUAAUCUCACACUUUCGUUCUCUCAAUUUCUUUCAGAUGUCCCUCUGAAAAUAGCUGCCAAAACAGUUGGUAAGCUUUUAUACUCUGUUUUCUGGAAACAGAGUCCUAACUAACUGAACUGACGGUGCAGAGUAUGUCAACAUGCAUAAUUAAUCGUUUUAACAGUAUUUUUGAGUUGUCUUCGCAGUGAUCAUCAACAAACUCAUCACAAGAUUUUUGGAGCACCCUAGGACUAUCACUAGAUUCUAAAAUGACUAGUUCACUAUUCUUUUACAGUCCUUUCACCAGUAAAAUUAUUCGACUUCUGGAACUGGGAAUGAAGUGCAAUGAUGGAGCAACAUUUACAAUGUCUCUGGUUUCUCCUGACUCUCAGAUUUUUGUAGUGAGAACAUAUAACAAAAAAAGGCCUCCAUCAACAUAUGUAGACUCCGGGAUAUGGAUUGGAUCGAGUUUUUGUUUGAUAUUGAAGAACCUCUUUACUAUCGCGAUUUAGAAUAUGUGCAAGGAGUUGUCUACCGUUUUUUGCCUUAUGCUAUGAUCGGUGCUUUUGACGUUGCCCUGAAACGGUGGAAAAUACUUCGAUAUCCUCCGUUUGAUGAUGCAAAGAACUGGUUAAUGUACGAUUACCUAAUUGACUCUGGAUCAAGUAACAACAACAAUUUAUUAAUAGUAAUAGCAUAAACUAAGAAGAUUUUGGAGAGGGAGAUGUAUGCGUAUACUGUUUACAGGUUUGAUCCAUUGGGGAUGAAGUGGUCUCAAGUUGAAAGUGAUUUAUUAAAUAACAAGUCAUUGCUCUUGGGUUAUACCUCAUUAUGUCUUCAAGUGGAAGAUAAGAUUAUGCAAGAUGAAGAUCGAGUUUUAGUUUGAUAUUGAAGAAUUUGAACAGAGAGCCCAUAGAAAGUACCUAAAUAAGCAUAUUCUUGAGGUAAAAUAUGGAGGAGGAGUUGUUUACUGUGUGCUGCGUAGUUAUGCUAUGAUCGGUGCUUUCGGCAUUGCGCAAACAGUGGAAAAUACUUCAUUUCCUCGACAUGAUAAUGAAAAGAAAUUGGUUGCCGAUUACCUAAUUGACUCAGGUGGCAACAAUCUAUUAAUAGCACAAUUUGAUGUGAUGCCAGUUAGGUAUAUGAUUUAGAGGUUUGAUUCAUCAGUGAUGAAGUGGACUGAAUUAAAAGUUUAAAUAAUAAGUAGUUGUUAUUGGGCAUAUCCUCAUUACUAUUUUAAGUGAUCAAAGAUGAAGAUGAAAAUUGUGCAAGUGAGUUCAAGAAUACCACACAUCAUUACUUCGGAUACUUCUUCAAACCUGGAUGGGGUUAUAAUUUACUCCCACGAAUUUCAACCCAAUUUUAUGAUUGGAGUGUCUCACCAUGACUCAGAAAAAAUUCUGAUUCAACCUCCUCCACCAAUGGAUUUUGAUAAAGUUACUUUGUGAUCAAGCAUAAAUUCACAGUUUGAUUUUGUUGCUACCACAUUUUUUUUAAAAUGUGGCCACGUGAGGAGAGCGGACCAGAGUGUCACUUCCUCAACAAGCACUUUAAAGAUGGACUUUAGAAGAAGAUAUAACUGCAAUUGUUUUCGUGUGUGUGUGUAUACAAAACUACAGAACAUUCAGUUCAUAAAAGAAAUUUUUGCUAACCAUGAUAUGUGGUAGUGUUUUUUAGGCAAUGUAGAAACAGAGUUGUUCAACUUACAACAGAUAUUCUCCUCAAGUUCGACUUAAUUAAUCUUACGAUGACACAUAUAACUUGCUUCAAAAUUAGAAAUUAUAAAUUGCCGAUUUACAAUGCAUAUAACUUGGAAGAAUUGGUGUUAAAAGAACAACUACACGCAUAACUUGGAGAGCAAUUGCGACAGUAGCAAAGGAUAUAUUAACUAAACUGGCCAUUGAGCAAUUAAGAGGAGCCAUCAAACAUCUUACUAGUUCUGGCAGCAGUUUAUUAACUAAAAUAGCAAUAUGAUGUGAGAAAAAGGAACAUACGUAGACAUACUUGGCAACAGUUCAUGAGAAGUAGCAUCGCAUUAAGGUAAUGACUUUACUGCCGUUAUCGUGCAAGGUAAUACUUCAUUUCUCCCUUUCUUUUUUUCACUUUAACAAAGUUGAAGUCAGUGAAAUUAUGACUCGACAUAAAAAAAAAGUCAGUGAAAGGCCAAUACCCUACUACAACAACAGGUACAAAUUAAAAGCUUCAUUCUAGAAAAGAUGACGCAUUAUUCUUUAUCCCUAAGGCUUAAGCCCACCACAGUGGAAUUUCAUAUUAAUUUCCGAAUGACUCGAGCAAUUCUUGAUUCAAACUCGUCCACCAAGCUGGGAUUUCGAUUGAGUGAGUUACCUUCUGCUCAAGCAACUUAAAGUCGUCGUUUGAUUUUGCUGCCACCCCAUUUUUUAAAAUUAAUUUCAAUUCCACCUCAAGGAAUUCUUAUCACUGAACAGUUGAAGUUAAUUUACUUUGAACUUUUGAAAAUUAUAUUUUUGAUGUUUUGCACUUUAUGGUUACUUAAAAUAAAAUUUGACGGUGUUUCUAUGAUUAAUUAUUUGUGAUAGUCUGUACUUAGCAAGAGUUCACGAGAAGUUUGUCUAAAUGCUCUUCACUAGAAGGACUAUAUCUUAUUAAUAAAAAUCUCUUGGGGAAGAUUCCACGCUGGUUGGAUAAUCUCUCAAUGUUAAAGCAUAUUAUAUUGUCCAAGACCUAUCUUGAAGGUCAACCUAUUCCAUUGGAGUUUUGUCAUCUUUAUUCUCUUCAAAUUUUGGACAUUUGAAAAAACAAUAUAUUUGGAAAUUUACUAUUUUUUUUCCACUCUCUCCCUAAUUAACAAGUUCACUUGUCGAAUAAUAUGUUACAUAGGCAUCUAAAAUGAAAGUACAUUUUCUAAAUGCUCUUCCUUAGUGACAUUAGAUCUUAGAUAUAACUGUUGUUGAUGCUGAAAUCUGCUCGCCUUUUACCCGACCAGAUCUUUUCACCAACGUUUAUGUGGUCAAUCGAGAAAAUGUCGCCUUCUUUCUGUUUCAACGAUUGCUUGAGUCCCUGGGACUAGAACCACCCUUUUUCUUCUUUCUGAUGCCUAUGUUCACAAAAACAGAUCAGAGACGCCGAUGGUUUUACCGACGUAAACCCUCCGAUGCUUAAGUUAGCACGAGAUGUUUACGGGAAAACUAUGUAAUUUAGAUUGUGUGAUUUCUUAAAAUACUCUCACAAAUUUGUAUGGAAUGUAAUCUGGUUUCAAUUUGGCAGAGUUUUCCCUUUGCUCUCAAUUUUUUCUGUCUCCUUUUUCAUCGGUUUCCUGGCUUCUUAUAGCCGUUGUCCCACGUUUCUGCGUACUCUUCAUGCCCCCCUUUUUCGAGUGAUGGCAGACCCUCAUGGGUCUCCAACCACUGGAUUGUGGGUAAACGUGGAAUGCCAUGUCUCUCCCAACAGUUCGGGAUAUAGUGAAACUGUCGCAAUUUCGUGAGAUCGUGUGCCCUUUCUUUGGGUGAUGGGUAUCUGGUCGGUAUAUGUCUCUGGUUGGUGCUCGUCUCUAGUUGGCACAUGUUUGUAUAAGAUGUUUUAUCAGGACUCUUCUUGUGCCAUUCAGUUGAGGAGAUUCGCCUCGGGGUGGGAGAUGAGGGCAUGGCCGAGCUGGUACUUUUUAUUACUUAACAACUGCUUGAAUGACAGCAUUUUGAGAUUUGGUUGUUAACUUUCUCAAUUAAGAAACCUUAUCUUGACUCCCAAUAAUCUUGAAGGUGAAAUGCAAUUUCAGUUGUGCUAAUUGUACCAAUUGCGAUUAAUAGAUCCUUCAAAUAACAAAUUUUAGAUAACGUUGCACUUCAUGAUAGAAUGUAAGAUAAAACUUGUUUUUUUUUUUCUUUUUUAUAGUAUUGACAUUUGAACGCUAUCAAAAUAGAAUGUAAGAUAUUGUUCAUACUACAAUAUUAUUGUAGCAAAACUAGCUGAUAGCAGUAUUCAUACUACAGUGCUAUUGUUUCUAUCAUAGUAAUAUUUUGUUGGUGGCUAAAUAUUAUUUUUUUUAUUAAAUAAAAAAGUGGGUAAUACUCAAAUUAAUUUUUAAUUUCCAAUCUCUCUCGAGUUCUCAAUUCAAGUAGCCAAUCAAAUAAAAAUAUUUAAAAUUAAUUAGAUCAUCCAUGGGCCUUUUUUUUUUUUUUUUUUUCAAAGGAGAUGGAUUCUUAAAACUACAGGUAAUGAAAUUAACUAACAAAAACAGGUUUAAAUGUCCAUUUUAAAUUUUUUUAAUAAUUUUUUGUUUACUAUUUUACCAGCUAUAUAAAGAGUGCCACGCCAAUACAUCAAUUGAUUUAGAAAUUACAUUUGGGGUUUUUUUAAUCAUAUAAAGGUGAUUAAAUAAUUUUGUAAAAUUCAUUUGGCUUGCACUUGGUCGCCUCUGUUCUCUGAAUGGUCAUGACGUUAUCAUCAUCUUCUUCUUCACUUGUACUAACAUUAAAUUCUUCUUGUUCACUUGUACUAACAUUUUAAUUUCCAAUCUUUCUCAGCUAUAUAAAGAGUACUCUUUCUCGGAUUCUAGGUAGUCCCACACAGCUCCAUCUCACUCCAAUUGUCACCCAACAAGACCAAUCGCUUAAUCAAGACACAGAACAAAAAGAGGAUGAGAAAUUGGAACAAGAACUUGAGAAUUGGAAAUCGAAAACGUACGCAUUGACCGUGCCUUUGAGAGUCGUUUCUCUUCAGAAUUCAAUACCUUAAUCUUGGGUUAAGGAUUUUAUGCGAAGUCAAGGAAAGAGAUUGAGUUCUCAGAUGAAUUUGUGUGCUAGCAUUGAUGGGAUCUUAACAAUUUAUCUGUGCCUUUUAACAAAGUUAAGGCUAAGUCAGCUCUUAUAUGGCUGCUGAUUUGGUUAGUGUUGGUGAUCCAUGGCUCAGUUUUGCGAUUAAAAAGAGAUUGAUUGAACCAAUAGUUGGAGCUGAAGAUCAAGAUUGGUUCAAAUGCUUAAGUCACAAAUGGAAGGUAACAUCUUUAUCAUUGUCCCGAUAUUUUUUAUUGUCUUACAUUGAAGUUUGGUAAUGGAAUUUGUUCUCUAUUUAUUUCCCUUUGUAGUCAUUUUAUUUAUUUUUUUGUUUGCAUUUAUUUGCACUUACGAAGUCUCAGGUAUAUCUACGCAGGAAUGAUGCAGGAGAAAUUGAUCCUCUAGGUAAAAUAUGCGCGGCACCAUAUCAGUGGGGCACAGCGGUGAUAGCUUACAAGGAAAGUAAAUUUCGAAAGCUUAAUUUGGCUCCGAUUGCGGUAAUAAUUGUCUUUAAACUCAUUUAGUUUUAUAUCAAACAAAACCAAGACUGCCUUUCUCUUCAAUAUUUUUUAUGAUAAUAUCUUUAGAAGCAUCUUAUUGAUGGGUAAUAAUGGUACCCCUUAAAGAGUUUAUAAACUCAAUGAUAUUAUCUUCUGCAAAUGGUUCAUUAAACUUUGUCGUUGUAGUCAAAUGUACACUCAGAGCAAUGAGAAGCUAUGCCACUGUAGCAUGUAGUGAUGGCACUUAAUAAGUGAGUUGCUAGGAUGUGAACUAGAAAAAUUAAAUAUUGUCUCCCUGGGUAUGCUAGCUCAUAAGUCAGGGUUAAUAUUAGAACUCAAGAUACUUUAACCAUGAGAAGCUAUUGACUGCCAAUUAAAAUAUCCUUUAAAAUGUCUAGGAAGUUAUGAAGGUGGAAGUAUCUUCCGAUUUCUAAGGCCACAUGGUAGAUAUCAUCCAGGAUCCUAGUACAGUGCAGUUAUCCUCCUGCUAGAUGCAAUUAAUAAAUUUGGUCAAUGCCACUGAAACAUGCUAACUGACGUCACAAUGCGACAUGAGCACUUCAAAAUGGGACAGACGGUCGGUAGCACUAAAUUUUUCUUGCCUAAGAUUGAGCAAUUGGUCUAACUACUAACCCCUUUUGUAGGUUGAUCAUUAUUUUUUCAAUUGUUUUCAGUCUGACCCAAAAUGUUACAGAAUCUUGAUCUGAAUAUUGUCACUGAACACUGUCAAUGUCGUUUAGCGUAGCCAACUAACUUGAGUUUGGUAAAACAAACACACAGUGUGUCUCAUGUCUCACAAUUCAAAUUAUCAUUUGUAAUGAUGGAGAAUUUUUCCAAUGUAUGAAGUAUGCUUUGAUACGUGGGUUACCUUGGAGAAGGUAUCUCAAAAUAAAGAAUAUGGGGAGAAAACAGUUCAGUAGUUUAUUAUUCUGUAGUCAAGUUUUGUCUCAAAAAUGGUCCAAAUUUAAAUGAAUAAGGACAGGGGAUCUUCAUUCUUUUUUCCCUUUUUUAUACCGAGAUAUCUCUCAACCUUUACAUAAUCCCCACUGGAUAUCUGCUUCUAAUAAUUAAAAUAAAAAUUUCACCCACACAAAUAAUGUAAUACCCCACACCCGAUUAUUUUUUUACUCUCCACCUAUAUAAAUUGAGCGCGAUUAAAAGUUCGAGUAGUCGGAUGUAUUUUCAUCACGGGACCGGUAUAAGUUUAAUUUGUAUCAAGUUUAAGUGGAAAAAAAAAGAGAAAGAAAAAGAAAUCGGGUUUUAUAUAUGGAAAUGGGGGAAACUGUUUUUGAUUUACAAAGAAAGAGGGAGAAGGCACGAGAGAGAGAGAGAGAGAGAGAGAGUGUUUGACCCGGUUUGACCCGCAACCCGACCCGGAACCCGCGACCGUGACCCGGAAUUUUCUCUCGAUUCCGGCCACCUCACCGGCCGUGCUUGGUACCGAUUUGAAGCUUGGAAGCCGCCCGACCUAUCCCCGCUGUCCUCGUUGCCGGAAACUGACCAGAACGCCGGCGAUUUGAGCUCGAAAACUCGCGGCCAAGGCUCGUUUUUGCCGCCGUCGAUUUCGCCGGAUUUUGGGCACACUUCCAGCUGGGUUCUACUCCUCACGUCACCAGCAUCAUUUUCCGACCAACCUCGUCACCUGAAACGGCCGGAUUGCCGGCGAUCAACCACUUGGGAAGCUCGUGGUUUUUGGAAGCUCGAUUUGCCGCCGCUGCCGCGCGUGGAAGGUCACCACCGCCACCAUUGGACUCAGCAUGGCUUGAACUUUCAGUUCUGAGCUUCUCGUCGCCGUCGGAUGAAUUCCGGUGACCGUUGACCGGCAAGGGUAUUUUGGUAAUUUCACAGUCUAAGGGCAAUUUUGUAAUUUCAGAUUUUGUGGGUAUUUUAGUAAUGGCUGUAAUUGAGGAUAAAGUUGGUAAUUUAUGAUUUUGAGGUUAAUUUGGUAAUUUUGAUAUGAGGGUAUUUUGGUAAUAUUGAAUUCAAGGGUAAUUCGGUAAAUUCAUAAAACUUGAGGGUGAAUCUGUAAUUUGUGGAAUCAUGGGAUAAAUUGGUAAUUUUAAGUUAGGGCAGUGUGGUAAUUUGAGAUUACGAGGGUAAUUCGGUAAUUUAAGACGUUAAGGACAUUUCGGUAAUUUUAUGCCCCAAGGGUAAUUUCGUACUUUCGGACAAUGUGAUUAAUUUAUGUAAUCUGAAUUGAGGACAAUAUGGUAAUUGACGAAUAUGAGGAUAAUUUGGUAAAAUAAUGAAGUUUGAGGAUAAGUUGGUAAAAUAUUGAUGUUGGGGGUAUUUUGAUAAUUUUGGCAUGUAGGGGUAUUUCGGUAAUUUUGUGCAUGCGGGAAUAGUUUAUUGUUGAUAAAUAUUCGUUUCGAGAUUUAUUAUAUAAAAUUGGUUGUAUUUCAAGUUUACGGAGAAUGUUUAUGUCGUUUCCCUGAUUAGGAGGAUCUGCGAACGAGAAUCAACCCGCGGACGUUGUUGAUACCGAGUCUAGACAUCAUCACUGUGAGUGGAAUAUACAAAACCUAUUUUCAUAGUAUAUGCUGAUUUUAUGAUAAGUAUUUAAUGCUUCGAUUAAAUGAUUUUCCGGCAAAUUAAUUUUUAUCUAUGUGUCGGUCUUUAUUGUUAUUGAGAAUGAGUUUGAUUAAUGAUUUUAUUAGCGUUUUUGAGUAAAGGCAUGAUAUUAGAAUUGAGCAGAUUUUGAGAUAUGUUGAAUAGAAAGAAAAUGAGAUUUCAGAUGAGAUUCUAUGUUUAUGUAUAUGUUAUUUUUGAAAUCAUUAGACAGUACCCUUCCCUCCAGAUACAGAGAAACAGAUAAUAUGAGAUGAGAAAAGAGAUACAGAUAAGAUGAGAUAGAGGCCUUUGGGGCCCGUCAGGACACACAUAGAGGCUUUGGGCCGUGUGUUCGGGCGCUUUUGCCUUUUGGGGGCUUAUGCAUGCGCAGUACAGAUAUAUCAGAUAUGAGAUGAGAUCGUCCCCAUCUAUCCGUUGUAGCUCCGGGGCGUGACGUUACCCAGAUAGUACGUCAUUGCCCGUCCGUCGAGGUCCGGAUAUGAUCAGAUUAUCCCCUGGGUACUUGCUUGAUGAUAGUUUUCAGUAUUCAGUAUUUUAUAUGAUAAGUAUUAUGAUUCCAUUGAAUUUAUGCAGAUUUUAAUGUGAUAUAGUAUUUCAAUGAACUAAUUUGAACUUAAUAAGUUUAUGUAAGUUCUUAUGAUAUUUUGAUGAAAUUGUCUGAGCAAAUUGAUUUAUGAAAUUGAUUUGAGGAAGUGAUUUGAGAAAGUGAUUUGAGAAAGAUUAAAUGAUUUUAAAUAAAUUUAUUAAAUUGUCAGCAACUACUAUCCACUCACUGAGCUCACUGAGUUUUAUACUCACCCCUCUUUUAUUAUAUUUCCCCCCCCCACAGGAGAUUUACAGGUACAUCAGUCAACCUAGUAGCGAACGUUAGUGUGAUAUUGUGGCCACGUGAUGGUGCUAGGAGUCGUGAAUUUAAUUAUUAUUAUAUUUGGGAUUUUUGCGAGUUGUGUUUAUUUAUUAUUUUAUGUUAUUAAGGAUAAUCGAUGUAUUUUAAUAUUAGGAUGAUUUGGAUGAUGUUUGAUAUAUUGAUUUGAGAAGUUGGUUAUGGAGGAUGGUUGGAUAUUAAAUUAUUUUGGGAGUGUUGCUUUAUAAUUUGCAGGAUUGGAUAUGUUUUAUUUAUAAGGGAGAUUCUGCCGAAAUUUUUAUAGAAUAGUUUCGAUUUUACGAGUUUAGAUAGACUCGCCCUGGGGAGUUGCGGGGCGGGUCGUUUCAAAUAAAUACUGACCAAGCUCUAACAAUAAAAAGUAACAUCUUUAGUCAAGUGAUUUACAGUUCCUCAUCAUCUUAGUGAGACUAUCAGUAUGUUCCAAAAACAUUAUAAAACUGGUUUGUUCCUGUUUAUUGAUGUUUAAAUGAUGUUCAUUGUGACAUGUAGAAAUGAUGAGGCGAAGUUUAUUUGGCCAUCAAUUUGUAAGAUCUUGUUUGAAGUUGUUUUCUGAAAUGAACUGCCAAAUGGUAGUUUUUUUGGGCAUUUGAUGGCUCUUUUUUCCUCAUUUUAAACAUGUGCCUGCUUGGAACAAGAAGGAUUAGGCUGCAGAGUUGUUAUAUAUUUUGACAUGCUCUGGUCAUUGCACAAUUUGUUCACACUGGAAACUAGAAUGAGAAAUUUGUUGCAUUCUAUGCACAAUAACAUGAUUCAUGAAAAUGGAUUGUAGGACUGGAAAGAUCUGUGGCAGCCUGAGCUCGCAGGACGAAUUUCAAUGGUUAAUUCUCCCCAAGAGGUUAUUGGUUUAGUUUUGAAGUAUAUGGGAGCGUCAUACAACUUGAUUCGCAAGUUGCUGGUGGGAAGAUUGCUGUUCAGCAGAAUCUGGCAUUACUGGCAAACCAGGUACUCUCAAAGAAAUGAUAUCUGGUCAUUGCAUGUUAUUGCCUGACAACUGAUUUUGUUUGUAAAAGUCUGCUUCUUCAUACAUAUGAAUGCAUAUGUUUGUGUUUUCUUCUCCUUUUCAUACAUAUGAAUGCAUAUGUUACUUCUUUUCCUUUCCAUACAUAUUAAUACAUAUGUUGGUGUUCUCUCCUGAGAUGGAUGCAAUAAAGGCUUUUCUGAAGAAAUGGCAAGGGAUGUGAGAUUCUGUCUCAUAAAAUUAACAAAAACCCAAAACAAUGAAAACCCAUAAUAAUGUGGUGUGGGUAAAUUGACACCAUUUGGUUCGUUUCCUUGAUUUGAAUACGCGGGCAAUAGAGACUAACAAAAUGAAGUGACAACAAGAAGUCAGUGUCCUUUGAUGGAUGCAUUUUUAGGCAGAAAUAGGUUUGUAAUUGACCAAAUUUGUCUGGCAUGCCAAUUUCAAAAAAAUUAAAUUAUGUGGUUAUUAGCUGUAAUGAAGGGGGAUAGUUGGUCCAAUCAGGUGGAUCCAGGAAAGUUCAACAAAGUUCUGGUAUGGCGUAGAAAUUGGUUUGUGCAACUCAAGAGUCUUUCUGGUGAACGAUGAUGGGUUUUGAUUUAUAAAUGUUAUAAAUCUACUGUGCAUAGUAUUCUAGUAGAAUCAUCUAUAAGUUCUAGUUAUUGAAAUUGUCUACCUUGUUCAGUUUGAGUUAAGGGCACAUGUAAUAUGAAAAAUAGUUGUCGCAUCUUUUAGGUUACCUAACAUUUGAUCAAUCCUAUUAUGAGGGCUUCAAGAUGUCUAACAAUAUGUGGAAUGCCCAUGCUCCUCCCCAUUGUUUAUCUUAUAUAAUAAUUUGUUUUCGAUGCUAAUAUCUUUGUCGAUACCGGUAACAAUAUUAUAAUAUCUGCGUUUAUUGGGUUUUACAUAGGUUCGACUGUUUGACAGUACACACUAUCUGAAGGCAUUUGGAAUUGGAGAUGUAUGGAUUGCUGUUGGGUGGAGUAGUGAUGUUCUUCCUGCUGUCAAACGUAUGUCUAAUGUUGCAGUUGUUGUUCCCAAGUCUGGUGCUAGCUUAUGGGCUGAUCUUUGGGUAUACCCAUGCCUGCCAUUCUACUUCAAUAUUCACAUUGUUAUCUCCUUCAUAUUAGCGAUCAGUAAACACGAUAAUGUGACUAAUAAGUUUGUAUUCUCUUUAUAGCCAAUCCCUGCUGCCUCAAGACUUGAAACAAAACAAAUUGGAGGGCGAGUCAGAGGUCCAUUUCCAUUAAUCCAUCAAUGGAUAGAAUUCUGCUUGCAAACAGCAUGAUCAUUGCCUUUCAAGCAAGAGGUUAUCCCGAGCGCAUCUCCCUCUGCUCUUGAGAGUACUCUGGUUAAGUUGCCUGAAGAACUUUUGAAGGGUAAACCAAGUCUGGAUACUAACUUAAUUGCGGGAGUACCCCCGGCUGAAAUUCUGGCCAGAUGUGAGUUUUUGGAGCCAUUAUCUGAAGCUACUUUGUCAGAUUAUGAGUGGCUGGUUGCUAAUCUGCAAAAACCUGCUCCUGUCUUGAUGAAAAGGGUGCAACGUUACUUGUCAUCAUUAAUCUUUAGCUAAAGGUACAUUGAAAAGUUAAUGGCACUGCAUACCAGUCAUUAUAAUUGGGUCAGGGCAAUUAGGUCAGAGCAUAACUUCAUUAGGAAAAGAGGCUUCAGCUACGUUAAAUAUUACAGGAUGUACAGAGAUGGCUGAAGUUGUUGAGGUUUUACGAGAAACGAAAGAUGAGUGUUUGUUUGAACAAAGUUGUUGCCAAUCUUGCAGAGUUCGAGAAGAAAGAUCACAGAGCGAAUGCCACCGAUUUCUUCAUCAUUGUAGCCUCCAUAGUUGAAGUUUCCUCAUUUGAAGCUGUUUAUGCAUUAAGCUUAUUCCCUGCUCAAGUACAGGAAACUGAAGAAUUAACCAGACAUGAUAUGCUGAAAGAGGGAAGUUUUCUUCCUUGAAUGUGGCCUUGUGAUUUGUAGUGAAGUAAUAGGAUGAUCACUAGCAAGAACCCUAUCAAGGUAGACUUUAUAAUGUCAACAUAUUAUUAAGCAUUUGUCAAUUUAGCACUUUCGCAAUGAUACAUUCAUAGCAUGAAAUUAAUUAUAUGAUCCUGAUUAAUCAAUUAAUCUUCAUGAGAUUUAACCUAGUUAAAACUAAGUACAAUCAUCGUUAACAAAUACUGAAAUUGGGUAAAUAUGAUCUCGACAUUGAAGAAUUUGAAAACACAACCCACAGAGGAAAUUACUUAUUGCAUGGGGAUGGAGAUGGUUACUGCAGGGAUAUAGAAUAUGUGCAAGGUGUUGUCCACUGCUCGUUGGGUUAUGGUGUGACUUGCGAUUUCAAGGUUGCCCUGAAACAAUGGAAAAGAUUAACAUAUCCUCCAAUGAAUAAAAACGGCUUGACUAAUUCAAAUUACUCAGGAUCAGGUGGCAAUAAAACAGUCCAUUUACUUUUCCAGGAUCAGAUGUUGAUAAUAAUAGUUUAUUAAAUGAAAAAUCAUUGUUCUUGGGGGUUGGUUGUAUACGUCAUUACUACUUCAAGUAGAAGAAAAAGGUUGUGUAGGUGAUUUCAGAAAUAAAAUACAUUCUGAGAGAUGAUGGUCCACUAUUGCAUGCCCCCCAGAUUUAAUAAUCAUCACUUUUCCUUAAAAAACUGCUACGCUUUGAUUUUAGUGCUGAAUAUUUAUUGAACUCUGAUAGAGGGAGUUUGAAGUCAAACUCGUAAUUACAGGUUAUCUAAUUGCGAGUUGCUGUCCAUAGCUGUUGAUUUGUAGUGAUUAUUUAAUUGACUGAGGUAACAACAAUUUUUUUUUUAAUUUUCAGUAAAAUAAAUUCUCCUAGUUAAUUUGUUUCAAGUUAAAUUAUUAAUUACUUAAACUCUGUUUUAAGUCUUUAAUUUUAUGUCUUGGCGUAUAUGCAAAAUUGGAUUCUUGAGCGUGCUGGACACGACCAACAAUGAAAUUGACAGUAAAUAAACAUUACAACGUGUGGACUCCGGUAGCUACAAGUCUACAACUUCACAAAUAAUAAUUGAGUAAGCGCCUUUGAUUCUCGGGACCCUUCAAUGAAUUUCUAGUCCCGUUGACUCCGCCGACUAAAGUUCUGUUAAAAAAAAAAAUACAUAGAAUUCCACCAAAUGCAAAACGCGUGGAAUUUAAUUUUCGGCCAUGUGGACCGAAACAUAAUUUAACAAAAAAAGAAAAAAAAUGAUAAGAUUUCUAAAACGUGUGGAAGGUGAUCCAUAUUUUACUGAAACGACUUGUUAAAAUUUUCAAAGAUUUAGAAUAUUUGGUUAUAAAUUACGCUCAUGUUAAUUUUUCUGCCAUUGACUAUCAUAUUCUAGACUUAAUGGUACCUUUCUUGAUGAAGGGUACUUAGUCUCUCUUCUCGUCUUAUAAAAAUUAUAUUAAUUGAUUUCUUGUUAUAAUUAAUAGUCUUUAGGAACGGAUAACUUUAUUGUUUUCAUGACCAAAUUAUGCCUCCUAAGCUUGCGACUAUUAAUAAAAUUAAUAUUUAAUAUUUAUGUUAAAAGAUAUAAGAUUUUAUGCAUUCAUUAAUUGUUAUUAGCUAAAUGAUGAAUUAUUUUUUAAACCCAAUCAGUUGAUGCAUCUGCAAGAGUUUUUUCUUUUAUUGACCAUAAUUAUAUUCCGGGUACAAUAAAUUGUCAUUGGUGCUUGGAAAAUAUGACUUCUUACUUCAAGUUUGAUAUGUCUCUCUCCAUAAGCUUACUGGAAAUAUAUCCUCAUCUACUGUCAUUUAUCUAAUAUCAAUUGAAAGAUCUCACUUUUUCAAACUAUCACUUCCAAGUCUCAUUGUCACUUAGCCAUUCUUGGACCAUUCAAAACCAAUCUGUUGAAAUAAUCAAAUAUAUGCAAAAUUAGAGUCACGAUUGUUGGUCCCCCAAAUUCUAAUUAUAUAUCUUCUAUAUAUCUCAUUGUCAGGUCACGAACUUGUUGGCAUAUUUUCCAAAUUCCUCUUCCAUCAGCUCUCACAUGUUAACUUGAGUGGAAAGUUUCCAAGUUGAUUGCUAGAAAGCAACGCAAAAUCAGACACACUUGAUCUAUCCCCUAAUUCUCGUUUCUACGUUGAAAAAGAAAGUAUAUAUAUAUAUCUAUGUAAAAAUAAAUAAUAAACUGAGUAAAAGUACAUUUGUUUAAUUAACAUCUGAUCGGGGCAUUUUUGGUGUAAUUUCGUGCCGUGUAAGCCACAACUAAAAUCAAACAGCCCCUUAGCAUACUUCUUCCAUAUUAUCUGCUACUUUUGUGGAUCUUAUAGGGUGGGCAUGUGGACAGAAUUUAAAAGUUUUAAUAGUCUCAAAGAAUAAGAUAUGUUAAAGCUAAAGUUGUUGCACCUUCUAAUUAAAUAAAGUUGCAUAAUUUCACCAACUUGAAAGAAUUGACAUUAAUGGACUGGUCCCCUCUCCAUAUAUGAAGCCUUCUUAAAAGUUAAUUUUUAUUUCAGAAAAAAAAAGUUUAAGUUACAUAUAUUACAGUAAGAUUUUUUGAGACCAAUUCCCUUCUUCAAAUGAUAAUGGAAAAGUAUUAAUUUAAAAAUAGCAUGAAUAUGUAUUGAUUAUAUCUUGAUUUUCAUCAAUUAUAGUCAGAGUUUCUCCAAAUCAAUUCCCUUAUUCAAAUAAUACAGAAAAUAAUUUAAUAGUAAAAUAAAUAGGUGUUGAUUAUAUAUCCUAAGUUUCAUCGAUUAUGUGAUCAAAGUGGCAUUGUUGAUUUAUUUCUUGUUCAAUGUUAAUUAAUUUUAGGGGAAUAUUCGGCCAACCUCUGUAAUUUCAGAGUGAUCAUUAAUUAAUUAAACGAUACAAAUAUCUAAAGUGAUUAGAUGUUUGCUGACAAUACAAGUUCAUGGCUUGAAAUUUGAUCUCUAUCGAUUGGUUUACAAAUGGACGCACUUGUGCCUUUGUGGCGAUAAUUGAACAGAGAUGUGAAGUUGUAAAGAUUUGGCAGUAGUAAAUUGUUAUAAAGACAUAAUGACAAGUUCCCAUGAUUAGUAUUUUUUUCCAAAAACUUUGUUACAACAAAUUCAUCUCGCCCAAAAAUUCUAUUUUGCUAACUAACAAUAAUUGAGCACUUGGCCGCAUUGACUCCACGUCUCCACCUACUUUGUAAGUAAAAACAUGGAAAUGUAAUCUCCACAAAAUGCCAAACGUGUGGAAUUUAAUUUUUGGCCUUGUGAAUCAAAAUGCAAAUGAAAGAAAAAGAGAGAAAAAAACAAGGCCCAAAGACUACGAAAAGAUAUAAAAGUCUUUGGGCCUUUUUAUAACGGCGAAUUUUUUAAAAGGCAAAAAUAACAACACUUCUAUGGUUUGUUUUGAUAAUCACAUUUACAUAUACUCUCUAAUUUUCAAAAUGGACACAUAAAUCUUUUUUUUUUCUACAAAUGUAUAUUAUUCGUAUUUUUUAUUAUUUUUAAUAUCAUAUUGUUAUUUAUUAUAAAUGUUUAAAGUAAAUUUUUAGGUUAAAAUAUAAUAAAAGGGUAUAAUCGUUCUCUUAUUAAACACCCAUACUUUUAGUUUCUAUCCAUUUGUCAUCUCAAUCUCUCUCAAUUAUUCUUUAUUGCUAGCUCAAAACGCGUUGCUGUUGCAAAUUAUAGCAAAAAGACAAAUAUGGAAAAGAAAAAAGGGAAGAAAAUUAGUGCAUGAAAGACUUGGAGAAAACAACGAAGUAAGUCAACUAUAAUCUAGCUGGGUGUAUAAAUUGUUUGAUGCUUUAUAAGCAAAUAACAAACAGAGACAGACAGUGUGUGUUCGUUUUUUCAUAGUUAAAGAUAUAGUUAGAAUGGGUGGUUCAAAAUCAAAAAUGGCGAUAAUGUUUGUUAUGUUAUUAAUAAUAUUUAAAAGUGGGUGGAGUGAGGGAUGUUUGGAUCACGAGAGAUUUGCUCUUUUGCGACUGCAACAUUUCUUCAAUGAUCCUCGUAAUUCUCUUUACAACUGGGUCGAUGAUGAGGGAGCUACUGAUUGUUGUCAGUGGGAAAGGGUUGAGUGCAGCAACACCACAGGCCGAGUGAUAGCGCUAGACCUUUUUGAAAUGUAUUCGGGAGAGUACAGCUGGUAUCUGAAUGCUUCUUUGUUUACUCCCUUCCAACAACUUGAGUCACUUGAUUUAACUGCCAACAAAAUAGCCGGUUGUGUUGAGAAUGAAGGUGCUUCGUUUAAUUUAAUUAAUUUACUUUCUCCCCCCUAAUUUAAGUUGAAUAUCAAGACCGAGCAACUAUACGCAUAUUCAUUUAGUCGACAAUUUUGACUUUUUUUUAAGUGAUUAAUUAAUUUUAAAAUUACACCAAUAUCUAUGAUCUUUUUUUUUUUUAAUUUUGCUUGCAGGUCUAGAGAGGCUAUCAAGAUUGAACAACUUGAAGAUGCUUAAUUUAAGUGAAAACUCUUUGAACAAUAGCAUUUUAUCAUCUCUAACUCAUCUUUCAUCAUUAAGCUCAUUAAAUUUAUUUUUAAAUAGAUUGGAAGGAAGUAUUGACUUUAAAGGUACAUAAUUAAAACUUCAUCCCUUCUCCAAGCUCUUUCAUUAACUUGCUAAAAUAAGACUCAAGGCUUUGAAUUCAAUUUUUUUUAUGAUUAGUAUUAAAAAAAACAGUUUUAAGCAAUUUAUAAAUACAAGUUUUAAUGGUUAUCGUAAUUUCAUCUUGUAAUUUCAUAUGUCUUGAAUUUAAGAUUAAAAAAAACUCUAAUAGCGAACCAAACACCUCCACAACUUAUUAUUAUUAUUAUUAUUAUUAUUAUUUGUGGUGAGGUUGGAAACAUUCAACUUAAUUUGUACUUAUUACAGAAUUUGAUUCUUUGAGAGAUUUAGAGGAGCUAGACAUUGGCGGGAACAAGAUUGACAAAUUUGUGGUCUCAAAAGGUACUACAAAUACCACAAAAAAUGUAAACUUUUACAAAUUAGCUGGAUUCUUUGCCAUUUGGUUUAUUAUUUUACAGGUUUGAGUAAGUUGAAGUCUCUUGAUUUAAGUGGUAUCAAACUCAACCGUAGUAUCUUAUCUUCUCUAACUGUCUUUUCUUCAUUAAGAGAAUUACAUCUACGUAAUAUCAUAUUCAAAGGAACAUUUGAUGUUCGAGGUAAGCCUAAGCCUUGCUUUCUCAUUUUCUAUAUGCCAACUAGAUUUGUGUAUCAUCGGCAUAAUUUAAUAUUUAAUUUGAUAAGUCUGAAGGAAUUACAUGCUAAUUUAAACAUACUUUUAUUUACUUUGUCAAUUAAUUAAUUAAUUAAUUACUAUUUGACAUUGGACGGUUCCUCUCUCCAUAUAAGCCUUCUGCAAAGCAUUGCAUCAUUCACUUCGUUAAAAAAUCUGUCGAUGUCUGAUUGUGAAGUCAAUGGUGUCCUACGUGGUCAAGGUAAAAGAAAAGUGUUGAUUGUGAAUAAGCUGUUAAUUAAUUAAUGUUGUUGCUCCUUGCUUCUAAACAGAGUUGCGCAAUUUCACCAACUUGGAAUAUUUGAAUUGGAUUCUUCCUCGCUCCAUAUAAGCCUUCUACAAUUGCUUGAACAAUUUAUUUAUUUAUUUAUUUAUUAUUAUUGUUGUUGUUGUUGUUGUUGAAGUGGGGUGGGCAAGCGUUCACUCAGUUAAUAUGUGGGGAAUUAAAUAUUACAAUCCAAGGUAGAAUUGUGGAAAAUUAAAGCUAAAUGAGAAAUAUGGAAAGAAAGGAAGAAAGUUAAGGGCAUGAAAGACUGGGAGAAUACUAAAAACCACCAAAUAAGUCAACUGAAAACUAGCUGAGGCCUGGGUGUACAAAUUGUUAGAUGUGUUUGUUAUAAAUAACAUAGAGCCAUCUUGUUGGUUGCAGAGGCAGAGAGACAGAGAGUGUGCAUUUUGUCCAGUUAAAAAUGAUAAAAUUUAUCAUUUGUUUAUAUUGAUUUAUUAACUCUAUUUUAAGUCUUAAGUCUUGGCGUCUUGGCAUGUUUGCAGAAUUUGAUUCCUUGAGCAACUUAGAGGAGUUGGACAUGAGCGGCAAUGAAAUAGACAAUUUCGAGGUUCCUCAAGGUACACAAUUAAAAUAUUAUUUAAUUACAUUAAUUUAAUUCGUUUGAUUAGGGAAGGCCCAAAAUGUACAAAAACAUAAUUAGAAAAAAUAAAGAAACAGAGAAUUCAUAUUAUUUCAAAUAACAAAAGGUAAUACUAUUAUUUCAAAAACAGAUUGUAAUAAAGAUUUGAUUCCAAUUCUUUAAUCUUUACAGUGAUUGAAAAACGAUACUACUUCCCAAAGCAUAAAAUACGAAUUGACUCUCAAUUAAAUUAAUCAUUUAUUUCGUUUAGGUCUAAAUUUAGAAAAAUGAAUUUUGAUUCUCUUGAAUCAUUUCCUAAUUAUUAUUAUUCAACAGGUUACAGAGGUUUGAGGAAGCUGAAAAGCCUGCAUCUAUCGGGAGUUGGAAUUAGAGAUGGAAGCAAGUUGUUACAGUCAAUGGGAUCAUUUCCAUCCCUCAACGCUCUUUACCUGAGCAAUAAUAAUUUUACCGGUACAACGUCAACUACUCAAGGUAAGUAAAAGGUACAGAUGUGGCCAAAUUUAUAAAUAAACUGUUAAUUAAUUAAUUUUCUGUAUUAUUAAUAAAGCUAAAUUUUUUGCUCAUUCCUUCUAAUUCUAAACAGAGUUGCACAAUUUCACCAACUUGGAAUAUUUGACAUUGGACGAUUCCUCUCUCCAUAUAAGCCUUCUGCAAAGCAUUGCAUCAAUAUUCCCUUCGUUGAAAAAACUGUCGAUGUCUUAUUGUGAAGUCAAUGGUGUCGUACAUGGUCAAGGUAAAAGAAAAGUGUUGGUUGUGCACUCACUCAGUGGUGUCCUACGUGUUCAAUAUUUUUAUUUAUUUAUUUUAUUGUUUAAUGAGAUGCUUCCACCCUCCCCUUUAAAUCUAUAAUAUUAAUUUUCGAUUAAUAUAUAAUUAUAGAAACCAAUCACUUAUAAAAGAAUGCUAUGCAUUUGCCAAUUUUUUUAUAUUUUACUGAUUGAUGAAUUAAUAAAUUUUCAGGCCUCUGUUCGUUGGUGCAUCUACAAGAGUUGUACAUUGCAACUCUUGUAGUAAUUAAUUAAUUAAGUAUUAGUUAAUUAAUUAAUUAAUUAAUUUUCUGUAUUAUUAAUAAAGCUAAUUUUUUUGCUCAUUCCUUCUAAUUCUGAACAGAGUUGCACAAUUUCACCAACUUGGAAUAUUUGGCAUUGGACUCUUCCUCUCUCCAUAUAAGCCUUCUGCAAAGCAUUGCAUCAUUAUUCCCUUCAUUAAAAAAUCUGUCGAUGUCUAGUUGUGAAGUCAAUGGUGUCGUACGCAGUCAAGGUAAAAGAAAAGGGUUGAAUGUGAACUCACUCAAUGGUGUCCUACGUGUUCAACAUUUUUAUUUAUUUAUUUUAUUGUUUAAUCUUUCUGCUAGGUUUUCCUCAUUUCAAGAGUUUGGAACAUUUUGACAUGGAUUUCACGCGCAUUGCACUCAACACUAGCUUUAUUGCACUCAACACUAGCUUUCUUCAAAUCAUCAGUGAAUCGAUGCCUUCUCUUAAGUACUUAUCACUAUCAUAUUAUACUCUUGGAACUAAUAGCAGCGGGACUCUUGAUCAAGGUUAACGAGAUGCUCCCACCCUCCCCUCCUAAUCUAUAAUAUUAAUUUUUUAUUUAAUAUAAUUACACAAACGAAUCACUUAUAAAAGAAUGAUAUGCAUUUGUUAAUUUUUUUAUUGUACUGAUGGAUGAAUUAAUAAAUUUUCAGGCCUCUGUUCGUUGGUGCAUCUACAAGAGUUGUACAUUGCAAGCAAUGAUUUAAGAGGUAGCUUGCCUUGGUGCAUGGCAAAUAUGACAUCCCUCAGAAUAUUAGAUGUUUCUUCUAAUCAACUUACUGGAAGCAUCUCCUCAUCUCCCCUCGUUCAUUUGACAUCCAUUGAAGAGCUGAUGCUUUCAAACAAUUACUUCCAGAUCCCAAUUUCACUUGAACCACUUUUCAAUUACUCAAGACUCAAGAUUUUCAAUGCUGAGAACAACGAAAUAAAAGCUGAAAUAACUGAGUCACAUUCUUUGAUCGCCCCAAAAUUCCAAUUAAAUACUCUCUCAUUGUCUUCCAAUUACGGAGACGGUUUCAUAUUCCCCAAAUUCCUUUACCAUCAACAUGACCUGGAGUAUGUUGAUCUCUCACACAUAAAGAUGAAUGGAGAAUUUCCAAAUUGGUUGUUGGAAAACAACACAAAAUUAGAAACUCUUUUUCUGGUUAAUGAUUCUCUUGCAGGACCUUUUCGGUUGCCAAUUCAUUCACACAAGCGGUUAAGACAGUUGGAUGUCUCCAACAACAACAUUCGAGGCCACAUUCCAGUAAAAAUUGGAGAUGUUUUACCAAGUUUAUACGUUUUCAACAAUUCCAUGAAUGCUUUAGACGGUAGCAUUCCCUCUUCAUUUGGUAAUAUGAAAUUCCUCCAAAUUCUGGACUUAUCCAACAAUCACUUGACUGGUGAAAUCCCCGAGCACUUGGCCGUGGGUUGCGUCAACUUGCAGUUUCUUGCAUUAUCAAAUAACAACCUACAAGGUCAUUUGUUCUCUAGAAAUUUUAACUUGACAAACUUGCAAUGGUUACAAUUGGAGGGCAAUCGCUUCGUAGGUGAGAUCCCACAAAGUUUGUCUAAAUGCUCCUCACUAGAAGGAUUGUACCUUAACAAUAAUAGUCUUUUAGGUAAGAUUCCACGAUGGUUGGGUAAUCUGACACGGUUACAAUAUAUUAUAAUGCCCAAUAAUCAUCUUGAAGGCCCUAUUCCAGUGGAGUUUUGCCAGCUUGAUUCGCUUCAGAUUUUGGACAUUUCAGACAACAACAUAUCUGGAAGUUUACCAUCUUGUUUCCAUCCUCUCUCUAUCAAACAAGUUCAUCUUUCAAAAAAUAUGUUACAUGGACAGCUAAAAAGAGGUACAUUCUUUAAUUGCUCUUCCCUUGUGACAUUAGAUCUUAGCUAUAACCGCUUGAAUGGCAGCAUUCCGGAUUGGGUUGAUGGGCUUUCUCAGUUAAGCCACCUUAUCUUAGGUCACAAUAAUCUUGAAGGUGAAGUGUCAGUUCAAUUGUGCGAAUUGAACCAACUACAAUUGUUAGAUCUUUCUAAUAAUAAUCUUCACGGUCCUAUUCCUCCUUGCUUUGAUAACACCACACUUCAUGAAAGUUACAGCAAUAGUUCUAGUCCUGAUGAGCAAUUUGAAAUAUUUUUUUCCAUCGAAGGCCAUCAGGGAUUUUUAGAAAAGCAAAACCAUGAAAUUUUUGAGUUCACAACAAAGAACAUUGCGUACAUUUACCAAGGAAAAGUGCUUAGCCUCCUAUCAGGACUUGAUCUUUCUUGCAACAAGCUAAUUGGUCAUAUUCCUCCUCAAAUUGGAAAUUUGACAAGGAUUCAAACAUUGAAUCUCUCGCACAAUAACUUGACAGGAUCGAUCCCAUCAACAUUUUCAAACUUGAAGCAUGUCGAAAGUUUGGAUCUUUCCAACAACAAAUUGAAUGGGAAAAUCCCUCAUCAACUAGUGGAGUUAAAGACAUUGGAGGUUUUCAAUGUGGCAUACAAUAACUUAUCAGGCGAAAUUCCAGAAUGGAAAGCACAAUUUGCAACCUUCAACGAGAGUAGCUAUGAGGGAAAUACUUUUCUUUGUGGACUGCCAUUGCCCAUUUGCAGAUCACCAGCAACUAUGCCGGAGGCUUCAAUUGGCAAUGAACAAGAUGAUAAUUUAAUUGAUAUGGACAGUUUCUUUAUCACAUUUACAACAUCGUACGUAAUUGUGAUAUUCGGAAUUGUUAUUGUUUUAUAUGUAAAUUCUUAUUGGCGACGUAGAUGGUUUUACUUUGUUGAAAUGUGGAUAACUUAAUGUUACUAUUUUGUUGUAAACAAUCUUAUUGCAACAAGAUAUUGUCAUUGAAAUUAAUUAGCAGUUUAAUUACGAUUCUUUAAGUUCUAAUCAAGUUUGCUUAGGAAAUAAUUUUUUUUUUAUUUUUUUAUUAAAAUUGUAGUAGUAUUUAGCGCUAUAUAGCUUCCAACUUGGUAGAAAGCUCCAUUUUUUGUUGGCUACAGUAAAAGCAUGUUGUUUUAUUCUUCUUAUACUUUACGCCUGCAUCAGCUUAAAUCACUUCUUAAACGCUUGCUUUAACUGCACCGCUUCGUACUGCUCUAUAUAUGUAACGGUUAUGCGGUUGUAGCUCACGGCUCAAGCUACGCGUUUGUUUGACGUGGUAGUUACGUUAUGAUGUUUCGAGUCUGUUAAACAUUCGGUGAUAAGAUUAGUUACAACAAACCUACUAGUUUUAUAAAAUUCAAGUGAGAUGGAAUAAAAUAAAAAAUAAAUAUAAAAUUGGCUUUUAUUUUUUAGGUUAACCAUAUUUUGUGUUCUCUUCGGGCACUACUACAAUUGUUCCCUAUACAUCAGUUACACUCACGUAUCAUCGACACGAAAAAUGAAAUCUAAUAUCACCUGUUUAGUUAAAGAAUCACUCAUGAAAAAAAAUUACCAUUUUGAUUUGAAGAUCCAUAUUUUGAACUACCAAUUAAUGUUCAUCAAGAACAGAGUGUGGCCGUUAAGUAGAAAAACUAUUUUUGGACAAAUUAUUAAAUUCCAAUAUUGUAUCCAUAUGCAAACGAUGCCUGAAGCAGAGCCUCCAAACAAUGACCAGGGCACAAAACAAGAGUGUAGUAAUCAAGUGUAUUGUCUCAUAAUCAAUUAAAAGCAGAUAUACAGGAUACCAUAUUCAAUUCCAAAAUAACAAAAGCAUAAUGAGGAUGAGAAGAACAAUGAUCACUCAAAUAUUUCUUCACUUUGGUUGUCAAUUAUCUAUUCAAAUUAAUCAGUGUCAUUAUGGACUUAUUUAUUUAGAAGAGCGGGUGAUAAAUAUAUUCAAUAAUGUGAACAAGAAGUUGAUUAACUUUUAUGAUCAUUUGGAAGGUCGGCGUGUCAUCACUCGUCAAACACAUUGCAUCGAUCCACCAGCAUGAACCGACCGGAUUAUGCCCAAAAGUUGAAAUAUCAAUAAAAAAAACAAUUAAUUAAAGGUCGAAGAUGGGUCCUUUACAUAUGUUUUUGUUUUCGUAUUAGGUAGGAGGUUAUUAUAUUAUAUCAUGUAAUUAAUUUAUUAUUACUCAACACUAAGUAAUAACUUAACUAUAUAAAGACAACAAGAAGAUAAAAUGAUAUAUAAAAAAAAAAAGAAUUUCAAAGAGAUAGCAACAUACAAUAGACUGAAGCCAUUUGAUCUGCUCAUUGAUUUCAGCCUUAAACUUGUAAAUAGUUACUGUCAAAUAUUCUAUUCAUACGAAAAAAAUGUUUAGAUAUCUUACUAUAAAUAUAGCCGUUUGACUGUCUUAAUAAAGUCACACACAACCAUUCUUAUUAAAUUAGCAAGAUCAAACACUGCCCUGGAUCUUGAACAGAUCAACACAAGAUGCACAACUUAUGAUUGAACCCAGAAACAAUCAAAUCUUUAGCAAGAACAAUUAAUCAGAGUCAAGAAACAAGUUUAAUGAAUAUAAACCUAUAAUUGAAACAAACAUAGCCAAGAAAAAAAUACAGAUUUUACACGGUUCAGUUGUACCUAGGAUGGCACAACCUACACCACGAGAGAAGCUUUCUGGUGAGAUUUUAUUGAUGAUCAAAGAAGAAUCUUUUGACAAAGCUAAUAAUAGAGAUUUCAGAGAAUAAGCUGUAACCCUCUCUCCCUCUUCAAUCUCUCUCUAUUUUGUUCCCAUUGAUGACCCCAAUCUGCUUAGUUAUCCAGCUUUAUAGCUGCAUCAGUAACAAACCAGCAAACCCAGAUUGAGCAGAUUGACGACACGUGGAUAACGGCUUUAACGAACCUGGUUAAGAACUGCUCACAUGUUCGUCACGCGUGCUGCUUAAAUGAUGGCCAAAACGACUUCAAACAAAUGUCGUUUUGAGGCUUAUGAAUUACAAGUGAUAACACGAGCUUGUCUCAUGACUUUUAAAUGCAACAACGUGCCCACAACGCCGUCGUUUUACUCUGUUGAGUUUGAUUCAUUACUAAGCUUUACGACUGGCAAUGGAGAAGAUGAUAAUUUAAUUGACACGGACAGUUUUUAUAUCACUUUUACAACAUCCUAUGCAAUUGUAAUAUUGGGAAUUAUUGAUGUUUUAUUCUGUGAAUCCUCAUUGGCAAAAACUAGUGGUUUUAUCUUUGUUGAAAUAUAGAUGACCUCUCGUUACUGUUUUAUUAUAAACAUAUAGUUUCGUAAGUGAAACUAUAUGUUUAUAAUAAAAUUAACAUAUAGUUUUGUUACAUUUCUGCCUCAUUAAGAUUCUCAAAUACCAGUCAGGUUUGCUUAAGAAAUAAAUUUUUUCCAUUAAAAUUGCAGUAGUAUUUCCAAGCAUAUCGCAUUUUCUAUGAGUUUUCAUAAAUUAAUUAAUCUGCGGUGCCAAUAUCAGAUUUAGUUUUUCAAACUAAAUAAUCAAGAAAGCAAACAUACAAAUAUACAGUUUAGAGGGGUAAACUAGGUAGGUGGUUUAGAUUUUAGAACUAAGCCAGCUACCUCGCUAAAUUCCGAUUCGUACAGUGAACUGCAAGAAACUGAGAAAACAAUGUAUUUAUAAUUUAAUAGAAUCAUAAGAAAACAAUGCAGUCAUUGCUCAAUAUAAGAUGAUGAUUUCGGAGAGGCACAUUGUUUUCAAGUUAAUUUGAUCCGUUUAUAAGAGAUGAAGUGGAAUGAAGUUGAAAGUUUAAAUAACAAAUCCUUGUUCUUGAGUUUUACGACGUCGUUACUCCUUCAAGUGGCAGAUUAUGCAAGUGAAUGCAGAAACACAAUGCAUCAUCCGCGGGGAUGAUACAUCAAAAGGCGGGAUUUGUUUAUGCCUGCAGAUUAGCAAUUUCACUCAUAUAGAAAAUUAAUUUUUUAUAUAUACUAAUCAACACUAAAUUGAUUAUGUGUUGUAUGUUUAUAUGCUAAUCAACACGAAAUUAUAUUGAAUUAUUAACAUUCAUAUUCCUAAUAAAAAUUAUUUUCCAUCAGUAUUCAAAAUUUUCACUUAUAGAAAAUGCGUUUUACGUGAAUACUAGUUAUUGUGUAAAUUUGAAUGAUAGCGAAAAAUAAACCUAUUUGAAAACUGUAAGGGUGUGUUGGGAUAUUUUACAACUGUCGGAAUCUGGUAGGAUAUUGCACCAUUUGCCCAAUAUUUUUAGACGUACUCCAACCGGUAUUCAAGAUAAGUAAAAUUUACAAGCGUGGCAAAAUAAAAAAAAAUUAAAUUCGUAACUUGUAAACGAAUUUUCCUGACAUGUAUAGUAAAUGAAGUUGUUGAUCCUUUCUUUGGAUUAUUUCAGCUCUGGUUGUUGGUCACCGAUGAGCCGAAGUCUUAUUUUAAUUUUAUUUAAACUCAUCAUAAGAUUCGUGGAGCACCUAACUAACUUAACUGACUGCGCAGAUCAUCUCAACAUGGCAUAUUUAACCAUCAUUCAAGUGAUGGGUUUAAUAAGACUGCUUUUGUUCUAUCAACUAUCAAGUUCCUCUGCCUCUAAGCAGAAUUACUAUUGAAGGGCCAAAAGGAAAAUGAAAACGUGUGAGCUCCAACAACCACCCCACAAAUUCAAUGACGAUGCUCGGAGAGGGUUAGGUUGGGCCUCUGAGAAAAAAAAAAAUUAUUUUGUUAAAAAGUUACCCUUAUUGAAACCUGUAUAAACAUUUUAUAUUAAUUAGUUAUGUCGCCUCUUCAACGAUGAUCAAAUUCUUAUCUGAGCUCAUCAUUUAAUGAGUAAACAUGUAUUUUAAUGAUCUCAAUUAAUAUUUAGAACAAAUAUUUUAAGAAGUAAAGCUCAUUAUAUCUUCCAUUAUUAUGUAUUUCUUUAAUUUCUUAUUUACAUAAUUAUAUUGUACAUUAAAAAUGUAUUGAAUUUGAAGAAAAAAAAAUUCAACUCAAAAAAAAAAAAUGCUGGUAGCUUCGUAAUAAUUACUGUAUUGACUGCACCAGAUAAAGUUUUGUAAAAUAAUAAGUUCUCAUAAGUGGUUUUUCAUUUUUAAUUUUCUUUUCCGGCACACCUGAUCAAGAAUUCUAUUUUGUUAACUAAUCAAUUGCAAAGCAUAAGUGUUGAACGGUACAAAAAAUUUAAAAAAAAUACACUUAAAACGUGGGGUGGGUAACGGCUCACUCAAAUCGUUAGGUAGAAUUGUGGAAAACUAAAGCGAAAUGAGAAAUAUAGAAAGAAAGGAAGAGGUGAUGUUUUUCUAUGAAUUUCUAUGGGUAACGGCUCACUCAUCCUUCUAUGAAUUUCUAGCUGUAUUGACCCCAACUGCUAAAGUUUUGUAAAAUAAAAAUAAAAAUAAAAAACUGGAAUUUCAACAAAAUUCAAAACGUUUGAAAUUUAAUUUUUGGCCAUGUGGAACAAAAUGUAAAUUAAGUAAAAAAUAUAAAUCUCAAUUGCUUAGUAUGGUUAGGAUUUUGUGAGCAUCACUAAAAAGUGAAAACUAUGAAUGAUAGAGGUGAUGUUUGCAACAUGAAUAAAUGAUGAACUGAAUCAAUUGAUGAUCGUAAUUACAUAAUGAACAAAAUUUACAAAAUCAACAAAAGUUAAUAAAAAAUUAUUUUAAUAAUAAAAAAUCAAUAAAACUUAUUAUUUAAGGGCGCUCUAACCAUGGAAUACCAUAAUCAUAAUCUUCUUUUAAGAAAAUUAUAACUUAUUAUUUUACAGGAUUGAUCCAUUUGGAAUGAAGUGGUCUCAAGUUGAAAGUAAUUAAUUUAUUGAAUAACUUUCGACUUAUUAAUAGUUAUAUCAAAGGGUGUUUUACCUCAUCAUGUCUUCAAGUGGAAGAUGAAGACUAUGCAAGUGAAUUCAGGAAUAUUGCAUGCCUGUUGUCUAAAGCAUUACCUCACAAGGUUUCAUGAGAAACGAAAGAUGUGUUUGCUUUGAACAAUUAAAGUUACUGCUACGAACCUCCCCAAAGGUCAAGAAGACAGAACAGGAAGCUAAUGCCAUCAAUGUCUUGUUCAUUAUAGCUGCUGGGUAGUUAGGUGUAGUUUCCUCAUUUGAAGCUGUCUAUACAUAGGCAUUUCCCCUGCUUAUGUACAAAUAAAUGAACAACCUUGAAGCUUUAUUAUUCGCAACAAAAAGGGAUUACUAAUUGGAGAAGACAAUACAGAGUUUUCUCUCACACUUUCUCUCUGUCAAUUUCAUCCAGAAGUCCCUCUGAAAGCUUCUCCCAAAACAGUUAGUCAUCUUUUAUGCUCUGUUUUCUGAAAACAGAGUCCUAACUAAAUUAAUUGACUGUACAGUGCAUUUCAACAUAGCAUAUUUAACCGUUUUAACAGUUAUUUGGACCGUCUUCAGAGGUAACAUCAACAAACUCAUUCAUAUGCUUAAUAAUGAACGAAUAGUCUUGGAUCGAUGUUUUGCAGCAAGAGCAACACGACACAAUCUGGAUUCAACCUCCUCCUUUCUAACAGGGGAUUUCGAUUUGAGUUACUUUGUGCUCAAGCAAAUUCACAUCAUAGUUUUGAUUCUUUAGAUAUGAAUUCAUCUCAUUACAUAUAUCAGAUUAAGUGUAACAAAAUUUGUAAUUUACUGCGAAAAGAAUAUGCACUAAAAAAUGAUUUCAAGACUAUUUGACUACAAAAAGCAGCUGUCAGAGUGCACUAAAAAUUUCUGUAGGAUAUUUUGUAGCUGUUUAAUAUGUUAUGAUGGGCAUAUAAUUCUCAAAUUUUGAUGCCUCUCAGCGAAAAAUAUAUCAAAGUUACGGAUGAUAUCACGUAAAACAUGCAUGGCUCAGGCUCAGGCUCAGGUAAGAAAGCCACAGAAAAGGAAAAUCUCACUGUCACGACUCACGUCACGCAUCAUUCAAGUGAUGGAUUUAACAAGACUGCUUAUGUUCUAUCAAAUUCCUCUGCCUCUCAGAAGAUAACUUUUCUGGGCCAAAUUUCUCAUCUAAAGCAUAUUAUGCCCCAAAGUCACAGAUAACAAAAUGGGGCACUACCGAUUAUGAAAGAGAACUAGUAGUUGUCAGAAGCCUAAGCCAAAUUCCGGUAGUAAGAAGAGGCCUUUCUUGAGUUUAGAUUAUGUGUUCGAGUUUUAAUAAAUGCCUAAGUUAAUAAUAAUAACAACAGUAAUAAUAAACUAAAAAGCAUAAUUACUAUUGAAUGGUAAAAAAAAAAAUGAAAAUGUGUGAACUCCAAUAACCACCCCAGUGGCGAAUUUUGGAGAGGGCUAGGCCGGGCUUCUUAGAAAUUAUUUUUAUUUAAUUACAAAAUCACCUUUACUGAAACCUAUAUAAAAUUUUUUAUAUUAAUUAAUUAUGUUGCCUCUUCAAUUAUCAUUAAAUUCUUGUCCGUUCAUAAUUUGAUGGACAAAUGUGUAUUUCAAUAAUUUCAAAUAAUGUCUAGAACAAAUAUUUUGAAUUAUAAAACUCAUUAUGUCCUGCAUUACUAGAUGUAUCUAUAAUUUAUUAUUUACAAAUUAUAUUGUAUGAUAAAAAUGUAUUGAAUUUUUUUUUAAAAAAAAAGUUCGGCUCACUCAGAAAAAAAUGUUAUUAGCUUCGCCACUGCACAAAUCUAGAAUAAUAAUUAUUCCUUAUUAUAUUGACUGCACCAAGCAAUAAACUAAUAAGUUCUCAUCAGUGGUUUUUAAUCUUUUUAAUUCUUUUUACCGCACACCUGAUCAAGAAUUUUAUUUUGUUAACUAAUCAAUUGCAAAGCAUAUAUAAGUGUUGAACGGUACACAAGAUUGGAAAAAAAAAUCUUAAAAAACGUGCGGAUUCGGGUGGCCACACCAGAAAUCUAUUACAAUAAUUAGCUUUGAUGCUGGGAAUCUUUUAAUUUCUGGCCGUAUUGAAGUUUUUAAAAUAACAAGUUCCCCUUCUCGUUUUUUUUUUUUUUAAAUAUAUAUGCUUAUAACAAUUUUAGAAUAAUGAUUCAUUUGUAGAAGAACUUAUGAUUUCCCAUUAAUAUUAAUAUUGAAGUGGGGUGGGUCAAAUCUCAAUUGCUUGAAGAAUUUAUGUAUUAUUAAAUAUUACCAUCCAAGGUAGAAUUGUGGAAAAUUAAAGCAAAAUGACAAGUAUGGAAAGGAAGGCUGAAAGUAAGGCAUGACGAAAGGCUUUGAGAAGGCUGAAGACUACCAAAGAAGUCAACUGAAAACUAGCUGGGGCCUGAGUGUAUAAAUUGUUAGAUGCGUUUGUUAUAAAUAACAUAGAGCCCUUUUGUUAUUUAUAGUUAUAGAGAAAGAGAGAAUGUGUGUUUUUUAAUAGUUAGAGAUAUAGCUAGAAUGGGUUGCUCAAAAUCCAAAAUAGUGACAAUGUUAGUUCUCGUAUUGAUAAUAUUGGGGGGGGGGGGGGGGGGGGGGGGGGGGGGGUGUUGGGAGGUCGAGUGAGGGAUGUUUGGAGCAUGAGCAAUUUGAUCUUUUGCGGCUUAAACAUUUCUUCAAUUAAUAUCGAUCUGGGAGAGUGGUAUCUGAAUGCUUCUCUAUUUACUUCCUUUCAACAACUUUGGUAACAAAAUAGCCGGCUGCAUGCGUUGAGAAUGAAGGUGCUUCAUUUAAUUUAAUUUACUUAAUUUCUCCCUCCUAAUUAAUGUCUAUAAUCAUUAGGAGGAACAAGGGAUUUUAUUAACUCAAAUAUAUCUAAUGGAGCUCAUUCUUUGGUUUUACUUGCAGGGCUAGAAGCAGGUGUCAUCUAACAGCUGCUUUGAUAAUUUCCCUCCCCUUCAUCUUUGAUGGAAAGAUGAAAUAAAAACAAAUUGGUGAAAAUGGUAUUGGUACCUGAGGCUAUGUAAUCUAAUUCAAAAACUGCACCAUCAAAACGAUUACAUAAGUCUCAGAAGAAUCAAAUAUCAGUUUGCAAAAUAUCAAUUGCUGGAGGUUUGAUUCUAACUUCCGCUCUUCAUUUUUAUGGGCAUAUUGUGUUGUACUUGGCAUCCGAAAAUCAUAUUUUAGUUUACUUGCACUCAAUGCUUGGAUUAAAGUUUUUUUUUGGGGGGGGGGGAUUGAAGAAGACUAAAAUUACACCAAAAAAGAGUUGAGCGAGAGCGGGUUUUGUCUUCAUUUAAGGAGCUCUUUAUAAAUUUUGGGAUUUUUUUCCUGAGAAAAUUUAUGCCAACUCAUUCUUUGCUUCUUUUCUGAAGGGACACAUGCAACCGAAAGUAUAUUCUUGAAUUCUCCAGGAUAAGAGACAUACGUUUAGAUUCUGGAGCAUUUAAAACAAUGUCAAAUUUUAGAUUGCUGAAAUUUUAUAUAUCCGAGUAUGAUGGUGUUCCAAUUAUAAGCUCCAGGGUGCAACUUCACUGAGGUUUAGAAUGCCUUCCUAUAGAAUUGAGAAAUCUCCAUUGGCAUAAAUAUCUUUUUGAAAAUACUGACAUCAGAUUUUGAAUUGGAGAACCUGAUUGGACUCAGCUUGCCCUGUAGUAAGGUUAAGCAAAUUUGGAAAAGAGAAAAGGUAUAAUGUAUUACUAUUACCAAAGUAUCUAUUUUUCUUUCUUUAAGUAUUUAUAAUGAAUAACUUUGAAAUUCAAUGAUGCUCAUUUAGUAUAGUUAUGUAUCUUUGGUUAUAGGAAGCUGUCAAGUUAAAAUCUAUAGACCUUCACCACCCCUUUAUCUCAAUAGGAUCCCAGAAAUACUAAAUCUUAAAAAAAUAAAUCUUUCAAAUUGUGAAAGCAUGCUUACGUUACCCCCGUAUAUCCACAAUUUCAACUAGCUGAGUAUGUUGUGUUUCAGGGAUGCAAAAUUCAUUUUGUUUCUCAUUGAAAGGAUUGACUUGUCCGGAUGUAUUAGGGUUAGUAAACCAACUAAUCCCAUAAUUUGUUGAUGUAGGGUCCUAACAAAUUAUUGCAGUAGAUUGUAGAUCAGUACACUAUUCGAAAACGUAUUUGAUCCACACAGUGAAGUGGAUAUUGGACCAAUUUGAUGAUAAUGAAUUUCUUUCAAUCUCAAUCUUUUUUCUUUUUAGCAACAUGACUAGUCAUUGUGCAAAUUCAAACUCUGACAAUAAUUUCUCAAUCGGUUUCUAAGAUGAUGACCAUGCAUGUAUAUGUAUAUUGCGUGUGUAUAUGUGUGUGUGUGUAGAGAGAGAGAGAGAGAUCACACGUGUGUGAUUUCCUUUUGCCAAUAGGAUAUGCAAGAGAGCUUGAUCUUACCCAAUAGCGAAACAAACUUCCUAAUAAGUGAAGGUAUAGUAUAAAUACUUAUACUUUCAUGUUAUUUUGUUCAUCAGUAGCUUGAUUAUUUUAUAUGCGUCUUCGAUUUUAAUUUUCUUUCCCUAUAAUCGCUAUUAUCUUUGAACUGGUCAUAAUUUGCCCAUAAGAUUUCUCAUGUUGUUUUGAGGUGCAACGGAUUUUGAAUUAGUGACAAGCAGUGGAAGCCAGAAGGCAAAUUAUGAAAAUGGAUAAAGAUCUAUAAUUAGCUGUUAUGGGAUGUCACAUAUCAUAUUGAUGGUAACGUUAUAUAUAUGUACAUAUAAUUAAUGGGGUUGGCUCACGAGCCCAUUAAUUAAUGGUUAUAUUAGCUUAUAUACUUCAAACAAUGUACUAUGAAGCAAUUUCACAAAUACUUGUUAGCUUAUGUUGAGCUUUAUUGAAUCAGUAGUUCACAGUUCAAUAAAAUGCAGGUUUGCUAUUUGAAGUACAUGGUUAUGGUGCGUACAUUCUUCAUAAGGCUAACUACUAAUUUAUCAUUGAAACUUGAAAAAUGUGAUAGAGAGAUGUAGAUAACAGCCGCAAAACACUGAAUUGAAAAUCAGGGCUACUAAAUUCUAUUAAAAGUCCUUAAAAUAGACAGCGAUCACCCUGAAAUGUAUAUACUGAAACUAAGAAAAUAUUAAUCGCAAAGUUAUGCAUUAAUAGAACUAUUGACUACUUAUCUUUAGCAUAAAGUAUAUUUUUAACUACAGCUUUCUGCUUUGUUCUAAGAACUAGGCAAAAGUGGUGUAUCUUCAAUCCAAUCAACAUAUAUACCACUUAUCUUCCUCUUCACUUCUGUCUAUUUUGAUUUGCACUUCAUAUCCUGCACUUGCUGCUUAGAAAUAGUCUUUAUUCUGGACAUUUGAAAGUAGAAAAAGUACUUGAAACAAUCAUUGGCACAGCCCGAGAUUCCAUUGAAUCGUGGACUCCAAGCUUUCAUAGUUCUAUAAAGAAGAUGACAAAACUUCAUACAACUGGCAUUCUGCUUUUAACAUUUGCACAACCUGAGCGAGUUAGCAAGCCCCUUGUUGCGUUCCCAUUGAAUAGACCUACUUCUGUUAUCCGCAGAAGAUCCACCACUCAAAAUGUUUAUCACCAGGCUAUUCCUUAAAACUGAGCCUAAACUGAGUAGAACUUCCGCACAUCUCUCAGCAUUUACAUGAAGAAAUCGGACAACUAUCCUCAUCUCUCAGCACAUCUCUUCAGCAUUCUACAAAGUUGCAUUUCACUAAGCAAUCUAUCCUCUCCAUUCCUAGCAAAGUGACAUUGAUUCCCGUAUUUGUAAUCGCCUAACUUGGGUUUUGGGCAUAGCGUGGUCUUAAAAUUACCACCCCAAUACUUUGUUCAGUGCCACUGGCAUCCACAAGCUCUAGCCCUGUUAGUUGAAUCAUAUUCAAUGGGACAGUGAGGCAGCAUUUCACUAACAUUAUUCAAUUUGACUACUUAUAUUGACGCAAAUAUUAGAAUUUGAAAUCACUUCUUUUAUUGGAAUAUUAUAUUAAUAUGACCCCAAAUGAAAGUUCUUGAAUGGAAAUGAUUUUUAUUUACUUUUCGAACAGAUUCAAGAAAAACCCAGGAGAACACAAAAUUUACACAGUAAUAUGAUUAAGAGCUGAGAACGUAUAUGUAGUAAAUGUCUAUCAAAAACACCCAAGGGUUUCUUUAAAAAUUAGUAACUAGUAAACAAAAAGAAAGAAUCAUUUUACAUUUUUAGCAACUUUGGGGUGAGUGAGUGAGUGAGAAAUUGAAACCCUCAAGUGAUGACAACAGUAAGAUUCCAGUAUGAAGUGAAACCCCAAUUUGAAAUGUAGGCAUGAGUUGCUGAGUCAGUAGAUGAAGCUAUAAAUAGGCAUUCGGUUUCCUUCUUUUCGGUUUGGAGGGCCAUGGAAUAGUGUAUUGGAGUGGGCUCCAAGUAAUAGCCUCUAUCACUGGAACGACACAUCUAUAAAAUGUGAUACAUGGGGAAGGAUUGGGCAUUUUAUUCUUAGAUUAGCCCCUUAUUUAGGGUGUAUAUUAAGCAGAUUAUAUAUUACAUGGAGAUGGAGUUUAUGAAAUAGAUUAAAAAGAAAAGGAAAUUUUUGGUGCCCUAAAGUUUGCCACUUGGAAUAUUUCGGUGUCUAAAAAUUCACUCACCACUUAUUUCAUGUUUGAUUAUAUGUUGAAAAGAUAUUAAAAUAGUAUAAUGCUAUUAAGGCUUAACGUAUAUUUUUUAUUAGUAGAGUGGUAGAAUUUUUAAGAAAUAAAUUAUUAAAUUAUUAUAACUAACAUAUUAUUUUAAAGUUGUGUUAUGAAAAAAAUGAAAUAAAAAUGUACAGUAAAUAAGAAUAUUUUAAAACUUUUAUCUUUUUAAAAUUAGUUUUUAACAUAAGGUGAACUAUUUUUUUUUUUUAAAAUCACAUAUUCUAGUUAAAAUCAAAUAUGUAUUUAUACGAAGCUUGUAAAUUUUUUUUUUUAGUACUGAUAUUUUGAAUAUUAUCAAUAAAAAAAAGGUAAUGUUCAUGCUGCAUUAUUUUUGUAGCACACAAAAGGACAACACCGUUUAUGUUAUAAUACUAUCGCUUCUGUUAUGAUAAUUUUUUUUGUGGCCAAAUAUCUUUUUUUUUUUUAAGUAAAAAAAGUGGACAAAAUGCAAAUCAGUUUUUAAUCCUCAAUCUCUCCCAAAAUAUAUAUUUCGGUGUCUAAAAAUUCACUCACAAAACUAUAGCUGACAAAAAGUUACUAACAAAAAGUUAGGUCCAUGGGUUGUUAAAACUAUAGCUGACAAAAAGUUACUAACAAAAACAGAAUGUCCAUUUUAUAACUUUCUUAAAAAACUUUCCUUAACUUUUUUAAACAAAAAGUUAUUUCCAAUUUUUAUUUUGUUAUAAUGUUUAUAACAAAAUUCGUAGUUAACUAAACUCUUCUUAUACCCUUUCUCAACUGCCAUACCCUAACCCACUAAACCACGCUCAAUUAAGGCCAUCAGAUUCUCCGGGCCCACAUUAAUCCAACUGCUCACAGAGACCGACAGCCUCUCUAUCUCCAUUUCAAGCUCCCUCUUCAACUGGCUUCUGCUACCGUCCUACUCUUUCUCGGCUUCGGAGUCCGUAUUUGCUCGGCCUGUCCCACGAAGCUCCCUCUCACUCCAAUUGUCGCCCCACAAGACCAAUUGCUUAAUCAAGACACCGAACAAGAAAAGGAUGAGAAGUUGAAACAAGAAUUUGAGAAUUGGAAAUAAAAACGUACGCAUUGACCGUGCCUUUGAGAGUCGUUUCUCUUCAGAACUCAGUGCCUCAAUCUUGGGUUAAGGAUUUUAUGCGAAGUCAGGGAAAGAGAUUGAAGUUUCAGAUGAAUUUGUGUGCUAGCAUUGAUGGGAUCUUUAACAAUUUAUCUGUGCCCUUUAACAAAGUUAAGGCUAAGUCAGCUUCUUAUAUGGCUGCUGAUUUGGUUAGUGUUGGUGAUUCAUGGCUUAGUUUUGCCAUUAAAAAGAGAUUGAUUGAGCCAAUGGCUGGAGCUGAAGACCAAGAUUGGUUCAAAUGCUUAAGUCACAAAUGGAAGGUAACAUCUUUGUCUUUGAUCCUCGAGGUAAAAUAUGGGCGGCACCGUACAGGUGGGGCACAACGGUGAUAGCCUACAAGAAAAGUAAAUUUCGAAAGCAUAAUUUGGCUCCGAUUGAGGUAAUAAUUUUCUUUAAACUCAUUUAGUUUUAUAUCAAACAAAAUCAAGACUGCCUUUCUCUUCAAUAUUUUUUAUGAUAAUAUCUUUAGAAGCAUCUCAUUGACGGGUAACAAUGGCAUCCCUGAAAGAGUCUAUAAACUCAAUGAUAUUAUCUUCUACAAAUGGUUCAUUAAACUUUGUCGUUGUACUCAAAUGUACACUCAGAUCAAUGAGAAGNNNNNNNNNNNNNNNNNNNNNNNNNNNNNNNNNNNNNNNNNNNNNNNNNNNNNNNNNNNNNNNNNNNNNNNNNNNNNNNNNNNNNNNNNNNNNNNNNNNNNNNNNNNNNNNNNNNNNNNNNNNNNNNNNNNNNNNNNNNNNNNNNNNNNNNNNNNNNNNNNNNNNNNNNNNNNNNNNNNNNNNNNNNNNNNNNNNNNNNNNNNNNNNNNNNNNNNNNNNNNNNNNNNNNNNNNNNNNNNNNNNNNNNNNNNNNNNNNNNNNNNNNNNNNNNNNNNNNNNNNNNNNNNNNNNNNNNNNNNNNNNNNNNNNNNNNNNNNNNNNNNNNNNNNNNNNNNNNNNNNNNNNNNNNNNNNNNNNNNNNNNNNNNNNNNNNNNNNNNNNNNNNNNNNNNNNNNNNNNNNNNNNNNNNNNNNNNNNNNNNNNNNNNNNNNNNNNNNNNNNNNNNNNNNNNNNNNNNNNNNNNNNNNNNNNNNNNNNNNNNNNNNNNNNNNNNNNNNNNNNNNNNNNNNNNNNNNNNNNNNNNNNNNNNNNNNNNNNNNNNNNNNNNNNNNNNNNNNNNNNNNNNNNNNNNNNNNNNNNNNNNNNNNNNNNNNNNNNNNNNNNNNNNNNNNNNNNNNNNNNNNNNNNNNNNNNNNNNNNNNNNNNNNNNNNNNNNNNNNNNNNNNNNNNNNNNNNNNNNNNNNNNNNNNNNNNNNNNNNNNNNNNNNNNNNNNNNNNNNNNNNNNNNNNNNNNNNNNNNNNNNNNNNNNNNNNNNNNNNNNNNNNNNNNNNNNNNNNNNNNNNNNNNNNNNNNNNNNNNNNNNNNNNNNNNNNNNNNNNNNNNNNNNNNNNNNNNNNNNNNNNNNNNNNNNNNNNNNNNNNNNNNNNNNNNNNNNNNNNNNNNNNNNNNNNNNNNNNNNNNNNNNNNNNNNNNNNNNNNNNNNNNNNNNNNNNNNNNNNNNNNNNNNNNNNNNNNNNNNNNNNNNNNNNNNNNNNNNNNNNNNNNNNNNNNNNNNNNNNNNNNNNNNNNNNNNNNNNNNNNNNNNNNNNNNNNNNNNNNNNNNNNNNNNNNNNNNNNNNNNNNNNNNNNNNNNNNNNNNNNNNNNNNNNNNNNNNNNNNNNNNNNNNNNNNNNNNNNNNNNNNNNNNNNNNNNNNNNNNNNNNNNNNNNNNNNNNNNNNNNNNNNNNNNNNNNNNNNNNNNNNNNNNNNNNNNNNNNNNNNNNNNNNNNNNNNNNNNNNNNNNNNNNNNNNNNNNNNNNNNNNNNNNNNNNNNNNNNNNNNNNNNNNNNNNNNNNNNNNNNNNNNNNNNNNNNNNNNNNNNNNNNNNNNNNNNNNNNNNNNNNNNNNNNNNNNNNNNNNNNNNNNNNNNNNNNNNNNNNNNNNNNNNNNNNNNNNNNNNNNNNNNNNNNNNNNNNNNNNNNNNNNNNNNNNNNNNNNNNNNNNNNNNNNNNNNNNNNNNNNNNNNNNNNNNNNNNNNNNNNNNNNNNNNNNNNNNNNNNNNNNNNNNNNNNNNNNNNNNNNNNNNNNNNNNNNNNNNNNNNNNNNNNNNNNNNNNNNNNNNNNNNNNNNNNNNNNNNNNNNNNNNNNNNNNNNNNNNNNNNNNNNNNNNNNNNNNNNNNNNNNNNNNNNNNNNNNNNNNNNNNNNNNNNNNNNNNNNNNNNNNNNNNNNNNNNNNNNNNNNNNNNNNNNNNNNNNNNNNNNNNNNNNNNNNNNNNNNNNNNNNNNNNNNNNNNNNNNNNNNNNNNNNNNNNNNNNNNNNNNNNNNNNNNNNNNNNNNNNNNNNNNNNNNNNNNNNNNNNNNNNNNNNNNNNNNNNNNNNNNNNNNNNNNNNNNNNNNNNNNNNNNNNNNNNNNNNNNNNNNNNNNNNNNNNNNNNNNNNNNNNNNNNNNNNNNNNNNNNNNNNNNNNNNNNNNNNNNNNNNNNNNNNNNNNNNNNNNNNNNNNNNNNNNNNNNNNNNNNNNNNNNNNNNNNNNNNNNNNNNNNNNNNNNNNNNNNNNNNNNNNNNNNNNNNNNNNNNNNNNNNNNNNNNNNNNNNNNNNNNNNNNNNNNNNNNNNNNNNNNNNNNNNNNNNNNNNNNNNNNNNNNAGAGAGAGAGAGAGAGAUCACACGUGUGUGAUUUCCUUUUGCCAAUAGGAUAUGCAGAGAGCUUGAUCUUACCCAAUAGCGAAACAAACUUCCUAAUAAGUGAAGGUAUAGUAUAAAUACUUAUACUUUCAUGUUAUUUUGUUCAUCAGUAGCUUGAUUAUUUUAUAUGCGUCUUCGAUUUUAAUUUUCUUUCCCUAUAAUCGCUAUUAUCUUUGAACUGGUCAUAAUUUGCCUAUAAGAUUUCUCAUGUUGUUUUGAGGUGCAACGGAUUUUGAAUUUAGUGACAAGCAGUGGAAGCCAGAAGGCAAAUUAUGAAAAUGGAUAAAGAUCUAUAAUUAGCUGUUAUGGGAUGUCACAUAUCAUAUUGAUGGUAACGUUAUAUAUAUGUACAUAUAAUUAAUGGGGUUGGCUCACGAGCCCAUUAAUAAUGGUAUAUUAGCUUAUAUACUUCAAACAAUGUACUAUGAAGCAAUUUCACAAAUACUUGUUAGCUUAUGUUGAGCUUUAUUGAAUCAGUAGUUCACAGUUCAAUAAAAUGCAGGUUUGCUAUUUGAAGUACAUGGUUAUGGUGCGUACAUUCUUCAUAAGGCUAACUACUAAUUUUCAUUGAAACUUGAAAAAUGUGAUAGAGAGUAGAUAACAGCCGCAAAACACUGAGAUUGAAAAUCAGGGCUACUAAAUUCUAUUAAAAGUCCUUAAAAAUAGACAGCGAUCACCCUGAAAUGUAUAUACUGAAACUAAGAAAUAUUAAUCGCAAAGUUAUGCAUUAAUAGAACUAUUGACUACUUAUCUUUAGCAUAAAGUAUAUUUUUAACUACAGCUUUCUGCUUUGUUCUAAGAACUAGGCAAAAGUGGUGUAUCUUCAAUCCAAUCAACAUAUAUACCACUUAUCUUCCUCUUCACUUCUGUCUAUUUUGAUUUGCACUUCAUAUCCUGCACUUGCUGCUUAGAAAUAGUCUUUAUUCUGGACAUUGAAAGUAGAAAAAGUACUUGAAACAAUCAUUGGCACAGCCCGAGAUUCCAUUGAAUCGUGGACUCCAAGCUUUCAUAGUUCUAUAAAGAAGAUGACAAAACUUCAUACAACUGGCAUUCUGCUUUUAACAUUUGCACAACCUGAGCGAGUUAGCAAGCCCCUUGUUGCGUUCCCAUUGAAUAGACCUACUUCUGUUAUCCGCAGAAGAUCCACCACUCAAAAUGUUUAUCCAGGCUAUUCUUAAACUGAGCCUAAACUGAGUAGAAACUUCCGCACAUCUCUCAGCAUUUACAUGAAGAAAUCGACAACUAUCCUCAUCUCUCAUCUCUCAGCAUUCUACAAAGUUGCAUUUCACUAAGCAAUCUAUCCUCUCCAUUCCUAGCAAAGUGACAUUGAUUCCCGUAUUUGUAAUCGCCUAACUUGGGUUUUGGGCAUAGCGUGGUCUUAAAAUUACCACCCAAUACUUUGUUCAGUGCCACUGGCAUCCACAAGCUCUAGCCCUGUUAGUUGAAUCAUAUUCAAUGGACAGUGAGGCAGCAUUUCACUAACAUAUUCAAUUUGACUACUUAUAUUGACGCAAAUAUUAGAAUUUGAAAUCACUUCUUUUAUUGGAAUAUUAUAUUAAUAUGACCCCAAAUGAAAGUUCUUGAAUGGAAAUGAUUUUUAUUUACUUUUCGACAGAUUCAAGAAAACCCAGAGAACACAAAAUUUACACAGUAAUAUGAUUAAGAGCUGAGAACGUAUAUGUAGUAAAUGUCUAUCAAAAAACACCAAGGGUUUCUUUAAAAUUAGUAACUAGUAAACAAAAAGAAAGAAUCAUUUUACAUUUUUAGCAACUUUGGGUGAGUGAGUGAGUGAGAAAUUGAAACCCUCAAGUGAUGACAACAGUAAGAUUCAGUAUGAAGUGAAACCCCCAAUUUGAAAUGUAGGCAUGAGUUGCUGAGUCAGUAGAUGAAGCUAUAAAUAGGCAUUCGGUUUCCUUCUUUUCGGUUUGGAGGGCCAUGGAAUAGUGUAUUGGAGUGGGCUCCAAGUAAUAGCCUCUAUCACUGGAACGACACAUCUAUAAAAUGUGAUACAUGGGGAAGGAUUGGGCAUUUUAUUCUUAGAUUAGCCCCUUAUUUAGGGUGUAUAUUAAGCAGAUUAUAUAUUACAUGGAGAUGGAGUUUAUGAAAUAGAUUAAAAAGAAAAGGAAAUUUUGGUGCCUAAAGUUUGCCACUUGGAAUAUUUCGUGUCUAAAAAUUCACUCACCACUUAUUUCAUGUUUGAUUAUAUGUUGAAAAGAUAUUAAAAUAGUAUAAUGCUAUUAAGGCUUAACGUAUAUUUUUUAUUAGUAGAGUGUAGAAUUUUUAAGAAAUAAAUUAUUAAAUUAUUAUAACUAACAUAUUAUUUUAAAGUUGUGUUAUGAAAAAAAUGAAAUAAAAAUGUACAGUAAAUAAGAAUAUUUUAAAACUUUUAUCUUUUUAAAAUUAGUUUUUAACAUAAGGUGAACUAUUUUUUUUUUUAAAAUCACAUAUUCUAGUUAAAAUCAAAUAUGUAUUUAUACGAAGCUUGUAAAUUUUUUUUUUAGUACUGAUAUUUGAAUAUUAUCAAUAAAAAAAAGGGUAAUGUUCAUGCUGCAUUAUUUUUGUAGCACACAAAAGGACAACACCGUUUAUGUUAUAAUACUAUCGCUUCUGUUAUGAUAAUUUUUUUUGUGGCCAAAUAUCUUUUUUUUUUUUAAGUAAAAAAAAGUGGACAAAAUGCAAAUCAGUUUUUAAUCCUCAAUCUCUCCCAAAAUAUAUAUUUCGGUGUCUAAAAAUUCACUCACAAAACUAUAGCUGACAAAAAGUUACUAACAAAAAGUUAGGUCCAUGGGUUGUUAAAACUAUAGCUGACAAAAAUUACUAACAAAAACAGAAUGUCCAUUUUAUAACUUUCUUAAAAAACUUUCCUUAACUUUUUUAAACAAAAAGUUAUUUUCCAAUUUUAUUUUGUUAUAAUUUUAUAACAAAAAUUCGUAGUUAACUAAACUCUUCUUAUACCCUUUCUCAACUGCCAUACCCUAACCCACUAAAACCACGCUCAAUAAGGCCAUCAGAUUCUCCCGGCCCACAUUAAUCCAACUGCUUCACAGAGACCGACAGCCUCUCUAUCUCCAUUUCAAGCUCCCUCUUCAACUGGCUUCUGCUACCGUCCUACUCUUUCUCGGCUUCGGAGUCCGUAUUUGCUCGGCCUGUCCCACGAAGCUCCCUCUCACUCCAAUUGUCGCCCCACAAGGACCAAUUGCUUAAUCAAGACACCGAACAAGAAAAGGAUGAGAAGUUGAAACAAAAGAAUUUGAGAAUUGGAAAUAAAAAACGUACGCAUUGACCGUGCCUUUGAGAGUCGUUUCUCUUCAGAACUCAGUGCCUCAAUCUUGGGUUAAGGAUUUUAUGCGAAGUCAGGGAAAGAGAUUGAAGUUUCAGAUGAAUUUGUGUGCUAGCAUUGAUGGGAUCUUUAACAAUUUAUCUGUGCCCUUUACAAAGUUAAGGCUAAGUCAGCUUCUUAUAUGGCUGCUGAUUUGGUUAGUGUUGGUGAUUCAUGGCUUAGUUUUGCCAUUAAAAAAGAGAUGAUUGAGCCAAUGGCUGGAGCUGAAGACCAAGAUUGGUUCAAAUGCUUAAGUCACAAAUGGAAGGUAACAUCUUUGUCUUUGAUCCUCGAGGUAAAAUAUGGGCGGCACCGUACAGGUGGGGCACAACGGUGAUAGCCUACAAGAAAAGUAAAUUUCGAAAGCAUAAUUUGGCUCCGAUUGAGGUAAUAAUUUUCUUUAAACUCAUUUAGUUUUAUAUCAAACAAAAUCAAGACUGCCUUUCUCUUCAAUAUUUUUAUGAUAAUAUCUUUAGAAGCAUCUCAUUGACGGGUAACAAUGGCAUCCCUGAAAGAGUCUAUAAACUCAAUGAUAUUAUCUUCUACAAAUGGUUCAUUAAACUUGUCGUUGUACUCAAAUGUACACUCAGAUCAAUGAGAAGCUAUGCUACGUUAGCAUGUAGUGAUGCACUUAAUAAGUGAGUUGCCUAGGAUGUGAACUAGAAAAAUUAAAUAUGUCUCCUUGGGUAUGCUAGCUGGUAAGUCAGGGUUAAUAUCAGAGCUUAAGAUAGUAUAACCGUGAGAACCUAUUGACUGCCAAUUAAAAUAUCCAUUGAAAUGUCUAGGGAGUUAUGAAGGUGGAGGUAACUUCCAAUUUCUAAGGCCACAGAGUAGACAUCAUCCAGGAUCCUAGGAAAGUCCAGUUAACCUCCUGCUCGAUGCAAUUAAUAAAUUUGGUCAAUGCCACUGAAACCUGCUAACUGACGUCACAAUGCGACAUGAGCACUUCAAAAUGGGACAGACGGUCAGUAGCACUAAAUUUUUCUUGCCAAAUGAGCAAUUGGUCUAACUACUAAUCCCUAUUGUAGGUUGAUCAUUAUUUUUUCAAUUAUGUUCAGUUUGACCCAAAAAGUUGCAGAAUCUUGAGCUAAAUAUUGUCACUGAACACUGUCAAUGUCAUUUAGCAUAGCCAACUAACUUGAUGUUAAAACAAACACACAGUGUGUCUCAUGUCUCACAAUUCAAAUUAUCAUCUGUAAUGUUGGAGAAUUUUUCCAAUGUAUGAAGUAUGCUUUGAUACGUGGGUUACCUUGGAGAAGAUAUCUCAAAAUAAAGAAUAUGGGGAGAAAACAGUUCAGUAGUUUAUUAUUCUGUAGUCAAGUUUUGUCUCGAAAAUGGUCAAAAUUUAAAUGAAUAAAGGACAGGGGAUCUUCAUUCUUUUUUCCCUUUUUUAUACCAAGAUAUCUCUCAACCUUUAUAUAAUCCCCACUGGAUAUCUGCUUCUAAUAAUUAAAAUAAAAAUUUCACCGCUCUAACAAUAAAAAGUAAACAUCUUUCCUCAAAUAAUUUACAGUUCCUCAUCAUCUUAGUGUGAGAAUAUCAGUACAUUCCAAAAACAUAAUAAAACUGGUUUGAUCCUGUUUAUUGAUGUUUAAAUGUUGUUCAUUGUGACAGGUAGAAAUGAUGAGGCGAAGUUUAUUUGGACAUCAAUUAGUAAGAUCUUGUUGAAGUUGUUUUCUGAAAUGAACUGCCAAAUGGUAGUUUUUUGGGGCAUUUGAUGGCUCUUUUUUUUUCCUCAUUUUCAACAUGUGCCUGCUUGGAACAUGAAGGAUUAGGCUGCCAGAGUUGUUAUAUAUUUUGAGAUGCUCUGGUCAUUGCACAAUUUGUCACACUGGAAAUUAGAAUGAGAAAUUUGUUGAUGCUGUUUUGAGAGAUCUGCAUUCUAUGCACAAUAACAUGAUUAAUGAAAUGCAUUGUAGGACUGGAAAGAUCUGUGGCAGCCUGAGCUCGCAGGAAGAAUUUCAAUGGUUAAUUCUCCCCGAGAGGUUAUUGGUUCAGUUUUGAAGUAUAGGGGAACAUCAUACAAUUCAAACUAUAUUGAUUCGCAAGUUGCUGGUGGGAAAGAUUGCUGUUCAGCAGAAUCUGGCAUUACUGGCAAACCAGGUACUCUUACAGAAAUCAUAUCUGGUCAUUGCAUGUUAUUGCCUGACAACUGAUUUGUUUGUAAAAGUCUGCUUCUUCAUACAUAUGAAUGCAUAUGUUAGUGUUUUCUUCUCCUUUUCAUACAUAUAAAUGCAUAUGUUAGUGUUGUCUUUUCCUUUUCACACAUAUUAAUACAUAUGUUGGUGUUCUCUCCUGAGAUGGAUGCAAUAAAGCUUUUGCUCCUAAAUUUAGCUGAAGAAAUGCAAGGGAUGUGAGAUUCUGUCUCAUUAAAUUAACAAAAACCCAAAACAAUGAAAAUCCAUAAUAAUGUGUGUGGGUAAAUGGCUCCAUUUGGUUCGUUUCCUUAAUGUGAAUGCGCGAGCAAUAGAGACUAACAAAAUGAAGUGACAACAAGAAGUCAGUGUCCUUUGAUGGAUGCAUUUUUAGGCAGAAAUAUGUUUGUAAUUGACCAAAUUUGUCUGGCAUGCCAAUUUCAAAAAAAUUAAAUUAUGUGGUUAUUAGCUGUAAUGAAGGGGAUAGUAGGUGCAAUCAGGUGUAUCCAGGAAAGUUCAACAAAGUUUUGGUAUGGCGUAGUGAAAUUGGUUUGUGCAACUCAGGAGUCUUUCAGGUGAACGAUGAUAGGUUUUGAUUUAUGAAUAUUAUAAAUCUACUGUGCAUAGUAUUCUAGUAGAAUCAUCUAUAAGUUCUAGUUAUUGUAUACUUUGCCUGGUUUGAGUUAAGGGCACAUGUAAUAUGAAAGAUAGUUGUCGCAUCUUUUAGGUUACCUAACAUUUGAUCAAUCCUAUUAUGGGGCUUCAAGAUGUCUAACAAUAUGUAGAAUGCCCAUGCUCCUCCCCAUUGUUUAUCUUCUACAAUAAUUUGUUUUAGAUGCUAAUAUCUUUGUCGAUACGUAACAAUAUUACAAUAUCUGCGUUUAUUGGGUUUUACAUAGGUUCGACUGUUUGACAGUACACACUAUCUGAAGGCAUUUGCAAUUGGAGAUGUAUGGGUUGCUGUUGGGUGGAUUAGUGAUGUUCUUCCUGCUGUCAAACAUAUGUCUAAUGUUGCUGUUGUUGUUCCCAAGUCUGGUGCUAGCUUAUGGGCUGAUCUUUGGGUAUACCCAUGCCUGCCAUUCUACUUCAAUAUUCACAUUGUUAUCUCCUUCAUAUUAGUGAUCAGUAAACACGAUAAUGUGACUAAUAAGUUCGUAUUCUCUUUAUAGGCAAUCCCUGCUGCCUCAAGACUUGAAACAAAACAAAUUGGAGGCGAGUCAGAGGUGCAUUUCCAUUAAUCCAUCAAUGGAUAGAAUUCUGCUUGCAAACAGCGAGAGCAUUGCCUUUCAAGCAAGAGGUUAUCCCGAGCGCAUCUCCCUCUGCCCUUGAGAGUACUCUGGUUAAGUUGCCUGAAGAACUUUUCAAGGGUAAACCAAGUCUGGAUACUAACUUAAUUGCUGGAGUACCCCCGACUGAAAUUCUGGCCAGAUGUGAGUUUUUGGAGCCUUUAUUUGAAGCUACAUUGUCGGAUUAUGAGUGGCUGGUUACUAAUCUGCAAAAAUCCACUCCUGUACUGAUCAACAAGAUGCAACAUUACAUGUCAUCAUUGAUCUUUAGCUAAAGGUACAUUGAAAAGUUAAUGGCACUGCAUACCAGUCAUUAUAAUUGGGUCAGGGCAAUUAGGUCAGAGCAUAACUUCAUUAGGAAAAGAUGCUUCAGCUACGUUAAAUAUUACAGGAUGUACUGAGAUGGCUGAAGCUGUUGAGGUUUUACGAGAAUCGAAAGAUAGUGUUUGUUUGAACAAAGUUGUUGCCAAUCUUGCAGAGUUCGAGAAGAAAGAUCACGAAGUGAAUGCCACCGAUUUCUUCAUCAUUGUAGCCUCCAUAGUUGAAGUUUCCUCAUUUGAAGCUGUUUAUGCAUACGAUUUUCCCCUGCUCAAGUACAGGAAAUUGAAGAAUUAACCAGAUGUGAUAUGCUGAAAGAGGGAAGUUUUCUUCCUUGAAUGUGGUCUUUGUGAUUUGUCUUGAAGGAAUAGGGUGAUCACUGGCAAGAACCCUAUCAAGGUAGAUUUUAUGAUGUUAACAUAUCAUUAAGCAUUUUGUUACAUCAGCAAUGAUGCUUUCAUAGCAGCAUGAAAGUGUUUAAAUUUAACUGAAUGAUCUUGAUUGAUCAAUUAUGAGUUUUAAUCGAGUAAAAACUAAAUACAAUAAUCGUUAACAAAUAUUGAAAUUGGGUAAAUAUGAUCUUGAUAUUGAAGAAUUUGAAAUCACAACCCACACAGGAAAUCACCCUUCGCGUGGGGAUGGAGAUGUUUACUGCAGCGAUAUUGAAUAUGUCCACCGCUCUUUGGGUUAUGGUGCGACUUGCCCUGAAACAAUGGAAAAGAAUAAUUAAUAAUUUAACGCCAAGACAUAAAAUUAAAACGUGUGGACUCCGGUAGCUGCCCUACAAGUCUACAACUCUACAAACAUUAACUCUACAAACAUUAAAACGUGUGGACUCCGGUAGCUGCCCUACAAGUCUACAACUCUACAAGAAUAAUUUCUAGCCCUGUUGACUCCACUAACUAAAGAAAUUUCAAAACGUACAUAGAAUUCCACAACAAGCAAAACGUAUGGAAUUUAAUUUUUUGCCGUGUGGAACAAAAUACAAUUUAACAAAAAAGGAUAAGAAAAAUGGUAAGAUUUCUAAAAUGAGUGGAAGGUGAUUCAUAUUUUACUGAAAUGACUUGUCCUGAACAUUAAGACGAUUGAUUUUUUUUUUUUAAUAACAUCAACUUCCAUAUCUUUCUAACCCCUAGAAUAUGCUCACGUUCAAGUCUAUCUUGGUAAUUUGAAAAAGAAAAUCAAAUCAAAUCAACACCAAAACAAUGAAAAGUAAAACUUUUGAAUUUCAACUUUAAACUUUUGUUAACCCCUAGAAUAUUCAGCGUUUUCAAAUUCUUCCGAUUGCAUAUCUUCUUCCUCCAUCAAUGCAAUAUUUGAACGAUUAUGAAAGAGUUUAAGAACAUAAAAAAUCUCCAAGGUUUAUACGGUAUAACAAAUUUAAAUUCUCAAUUACAAUAGAUAAUAAUUAAACUAAUAAUUUUUUAUGUACUUAUUUUAGUAAUUUCACCUAAGAAUAAUAUUGUAAUUAGAAAAAAAAAUCUAAUAAGUAGGGUGGUCUUAUACAAAAUCAACUGUACUGUGAUGAGUUUCCUUUUGUUAAUAAUUUUAGUCUAAUUUCAAUUGUACUGUGAUCGCUUCUCAAGGUAAGUGAAAGUUACAGAUGUGGCAAAAUAAAUAAUUAAGUUAACAAAAUGCUAACUAAUUUUCCUCAAUACCUAGGGUUGUACAAUUUCACCAACCUGGAAGAAUUGACAUUAAUGGACUGGUCUCCUCCCCAUAUAAUUAUAAUCCUUCUAGAAAGCUAUUUUUUAUUAAAUAUUUGCUUUUAAGUUAAUUUCAAUUAAAAAAUGUUUUAAGUUAUAUAUACUCUAAUGAGAUUCUGAAUUCCUUUAUUCCAAUAAUAAUGAAAACGUAUUAAAUUAGAAAUGAAAAAAUUGGUGUUGAUGAUUCAACCUAUUUGGAUAGAUUACGUGAAUAAAAUUAAAAUUUUGAUUUAAUUUUUGUUUAUUGUUAAUUCUCAGGCUAUCUUAAUUUCAAGAAUUUAGAAUGUUAAUUUGGUCAUGGAUUUCAACCCGUGAGUGUCAUAUUCUAGACUUAAUGGUACCAUUCUUUGAUUGAGGGCAAUGACUCUCACUCCUCUUGUAAAAAAAUAUUUUCAACUAUUUUGAUGACUUAAAAAUUGAUAGAUUUAUUGUUGUCAUGACCAAAUUAUUCAUUUUAAUGAAAUAUAAUUAAUGCAUCAAAGUUACCAGGUUUAUGUUCUAUCUUAAUGCGCUUUUUUUUUUUUUCAGUUAUAGCUUCUGCUUACGUCUGUUUCAUUUUUUUUUAAUAAAAAAACAAGGGAAGGUUUUUCCGAGUCAUCCAUUAUUUGAUUUCCGUCAAUCAAGAAAACGACCAAAUUAAUUUCUCUCCAAAAUUUCCAAAAGCUAGAAAAUUUUGUUAUUUGAAAAUAACAUGAUUAAUUAUAGAGUGGAUCAAACCGCGUUAUUGUCUUUCAUAAAAUUGAUGUCUUUUUAAGAGUCAAUACUUUUUAUUUACGCAAACCAGUCGACAUCAAUUUAAACUUCCAUAUUUUUAUUAUUAUUAUGUUAUUUAUUUUAAUCGCCGAUUAUUUGAUUAGCCACUAUAUAUAUCAAGAAAGCGACAAAAUUUAUUUCUCAUGACUUCCAAAAACUAGAAAAACAACAUCAUUUAUUAUUUUUUUGCAACCCUAAUUGACAUCAACUUUAACUUUAUUAUGUUAUUAUUUCAAUCCCCCAUUAUGACCUUUCUAAUCCUCCAUUAUGCAUCUUUUAUAGUGCAAAUUUAAUUGCACAUCUAAAUAAAUUGAUUAUUGUUACUCCACCACCAAUAUUUCAAAUAGUCACUAGACCAUUUCUGCCUUUAAUUUUCCCUUAACUAUUGACUGUUUUUAGCAUCUUAAAAUAUACAUUUAUUCCUUGAUUAUGUGAUAAAAUUAUGAAAAUAUCCAUUUUAGCUUAAAUUAAUUGGAAUAACCAUAAGCGUAACAUAAAUUAAUAGAACAAAAUUAUCAAGUGUAUGUUCUAUCUUACUUUUUGAAGAAUUUAACAUAUAUAAUGCUAUACUAUUAAUAAAUUUUUCAUUUACUAUAUAUGUUCACAUAUUUUAUAUAUUUAUUAAUUGUUAUAUAGUCACAGGAUGAAUGAUUUUUCAGGUCUACAUGAGUUGGUGCACAUGCAAGACUCAAUUUUGACAACAAUGAUCUAAGGGGUAAUUUACCUUGGUGUUUGACAAACAUAACCUCUCUUCAUGAUUUACUUCCAAUCUACUUACUGUAAAUAUCUCCUCAUCUCCUCUCAUUUAUAUGAUAAGUGAUAACCCUUGAAGAUCUCACAUUUUCAAACGAUCAUAUUAGGGUUUUUAUUAUUAGCAUCAUUGUGUCAACAAAAUAUAUGUUGCAGUAAGAUUUUUUCAGACCAAUUCCCUUCUUCAAAUAAUAAUGGAAAAGUAUUAAUUUAAAAAUAAAAUGAAUAUGCAUUGAUUAUAUCCUGAUUUCCAUCGAUUAUAGCGAGAGUUUCUCCGAAUCAACUCCCUUAUUCAAAUAAUACAGAAAAAAUAGUAAUUUAAUAGUAAAAUUAGCAAGUGUUGAUUAUAUAUCCUAAGUUUCAUCGAUUAUGUGAUCAAAGUGGCAUUGUUGAUUUAUUUCUUGUUCAAUGUUAAUUUUUAGGUUAUCUAAAUUUCAAGGAUUUAAAAUCUUUGUUCAUGGAUUACACGCUUAUUAAUUUUUCUGCCAUUGACUGUCAUAUUCUAGACUUAAUGGUACCUUCCUUGAUCAAGGAUAAUUACUCUAUGUUCUCCUCUUAUAAAUUCCUCUUCCAUUAACAUCACUAGGAGUAUGUUGAUCUCUCAGACGUUAACUUUAGUGGAGAGUUUCCAAAUUGAUUGUUACAAAACAACACAAAAACUAGACACACUUGAUCUGUCUAAUAAUUCUCUUUCGAUAAAAUUAAUUAAUUUUAGGGGAAUAUUCGACCAACCUCUAUAAUUUCAUAUUGAUCAUUAAUUAAUUAGACGAAAAAAGUACUUGUGCUUUUGUGGCGACAAUUGAACUAGAGAAGUGAAGCUGUAAAGAUUUGGCAGUAGUAAAUUGUUAGAAAGACAUAAAGACAAUUUCCCAUUUUAUAAUUUUUUCAAAAAACUUUUUUACAACACAUGCACCUGGCCAAAAAUUUUAUUUUGCUAACUAACAAUAAUUGAGUAGCUGACCGUAUUGACUCCGCCUACUUGCUAAAGUAAAAAAAUAGAAAUAGAAUUUCCACAAAAUGUCAAACAUGUAAAAUCUAAUAUUUGGCCAUGUGGAACAAAAUACAAAUGAAAAAAAAAAUAGAAAAAAGGCCUAAAGACUUUUAAAAUGUGUGGAAAUCUUUCGGCCCUUUUAUAAUGGUGUGUUUUUCAAAGGAACAACUAAUAAUAAUGACACUUCUACGGUUUGUUUUGAUAAUUACACAUAUACUCUUUAAUUUGAUAAAUGGUUACACAAAUUUUGUUUACAAAAAUAUAUUAUUCAUGUUCUGUAUUAUUUUUUAACAUCAUAUUUUUAUUUAUUAUAAUUGUUUAAAGUUAAUUGUUAGGUUGAUAUAUAAUAAAAACGUAUAAUCGUUCUCUUACUAAACACACAUACUCGUAGUUUCUAUCCAUUUGUCAUCUCAAUCUCUCUCAUUUAUCCUUUCUUGAUAGCUCAAAACGCGUCACUGUGGAAAAUAAUAGCAAAACGACAAAUAUGGAAAGAAUGGGAAGAAAAUUAAUGCAUGAAAGAGUUGCAGAAGACAACCAAAUAAGUCAACUAUACGCUAGUUGGGUGUAUAAAUUGUUAGAUGUGUUAUAAACAAAUAGCAUAGAGCCUUGGUUGGUUACAGAGAUAGAAAAACUGUGUGUGUUUUUUAGAACUUAAAGAUACAGUUAGAAUGGGUGGUUCAAAAUCAAAAAUGGUGAUAAUGUUUGUUCUGUUAUUAAUAAUAUUAGAAGGUGGGUGGAGUGAAGGAUGUUUGGAUCAUGAGAGAUUUGCUCUUUUGCGACUCAAACAUUUCUUCGAUGAUACUGGUAGUUAUUUUUACUACUGGGCAGAUGGUGAGGGAGCUACUGAUUGUUGUCAGUGGGAAAGGGUUGAGUGCAGCAACACCACAGGCCAAGUGAUAGUGCUAGACCUUUUUGAAACGUAUUUGGGAGAGUACAGCUGGUAUCUGAAUGCUUCUUUGUUUACUCCCUUUCAACAACUUGAGUCACUUGAUUUAUAUGGCAACAAAAUAGUCGGUUUUGUUGAGAAUGAAGGUACUUCGUCUAAUUCAAUUAAUUUACAUUUCGCUCUCCUAAUUUAAGUCGAAUAUCAAGACUGAGCAGCUAUAUGCAUAUUCAUUCAAUUGACAAUUUUUACAUAUUUUUUAAAAUGUUUAAUUUUGAAAUUACACCAAACAUCAUAUGUGGUUUUGAUUUUACUUGCAGGUCUAGAAAGAUUGAACAACUUGAAGAGGCUUGAUUUAAGUUAUAACUUGUUCAACAAUAGCAUCUUAUCAUCUGUGGCUCAUCUUUCUUCACUAACAUCAUUAGAUUUAUCUGGAAAUAGAUUGGAAGGAAGUAUUAAUGUUAAAGGUACGUAAUUAAAACGUCAUCGCUUCUCUCAACUCUUUCAUUAACAUGCUAAAAUAAGAUUCAAGGCUUUGAAUUCAUUUUUUUUUAUGAGUAAAUAUUAGAAAAAUAGUUUUAAGCAAUUCAUAAAUACAAUUUUCAAUGUUUCUCAUAAUUUCAUCUUGUACUUUCGUAUGUCUUGACUUUAAGAUUAAAAAAAAAAAAUUACUCUAACUGUGAAGCAAAUACCCCAUGACUAAUUUAUCAUUUCGUCCAGUUAAAAAUGAUAAAAUUUAUCAUUUGUUUAUAUUGAUUAAUUAACUCUAUUUUAAGUCUUAAGUCUUGGCGUCUUGGCAUAUUUGCAGAAUUUGAUUCCUUGAGCAACUUAGAGGAGUUGGACAUGAGCGACAAUGAAAUAGACAAUUUAGAGGUUCCUCAAGGUAAACAAUUAAAAUAUUAUUCAAUUACAUUAAUUUAAUUCGUUUGAUUAGGGAAGACCCAAAAGGUACAAAAUAUAAUAAUAAUAAUAAAAGAAACAGAGAAUCUAUAUUAUUUCAAAAAAUAAAACGUAAUACUAUUAUUUCAAAAAUAGAUUGUAAUAAAGAUUUGAUUCCGGUUCUUUAAUCUUUACAGCAAUUGAAAAACGAUGUUGCUCUUUUCCUGAAGCAUAAAAUAUGAAAUGACUCCAAUACAAUUAAUCAUUUAUUUCGUUUACUCUAAAAUUAGACAAUGAAUCUUUAUUUUCUUCAGUCUUAUCCUAAUUAUUAUUAAUAAACAGGUUACAAAGGUUUGAGGAAGUUGAAUUAUCUUGAUCUAUCGAAUGUUGGAGUUAGAGAUGGAAGCAAGUUGUUACAGUCAAUGGGAUCAUUCCCAUCCCUCAACACUCUUUACCUGAAGGAUAAUAAUUUUACCGAUAUAGCGACAACUACUACUCAAGGUAAGUAAAAGAUACAGAUGUGGCCAAAUUUACAAAUAAAUUGUUAAUUAAUUAAUUUUUCCGUAUUAUUAAUAAAGCUAAAUUCGUCGCUCCUUCCUUCUAAUUCUAAACAGAGUUGGCAAUUUCACCAACUUGGAGUAUUUGACAUUGGACUUGUCCUCGCUCCAUUUAAGCCUUCUACAAUUACUUGAAGAAUGAAUUUAUUUAUUAUUAUUAUUGUUGUUGUUGUUGUUGUUGAAGUGAGGUGGGCAAGCGUUCACUCAAUUAAUAUGUGAGGAAUUAAUAAUUACAAUCCAAGGUAGAAUUGUGGAAAAUUAAAGCAAAAUGAGAAAUAUGGAAAGAAAGGAAGAAAGUUAAGGGCAUGAAAGACUAGGAGAAGACUAAAGACCACCAAAUAAGUCAACUGAAAACUAGCUGGGGCCUGGGUGUACAAAUUGUUAGAUGUGUUUGUUAUAAAUAACAUAGAGCCAUCUUGUUGGUUGCAGAGGCAGAGAGACACAGAGUGUGCAUUUUGUUAAUUAAAAAUAUAUAUAAAAUGGGUGGUUCAAAAUCCAAAAUGGUGAUAAUGUUAGUUUUGUUAGUAUUAAUAAUAUUAGAAGGGAGGUGGCGUGAGGGAUGUUUGGUGCAUGAGAGAUUUGGUCUUUCGAGACUUAAAACAUUUCUUCAAUUCUCCUUAUAAUUUUUGUCACGACUGACCGUUGUCAAUGGGAUGGGGCUGGGUGCAGGGUUGAUUUACGUUAGAACAAUAUAGCCGGUAGUGUUGAGAAUGAAGGUGUUUCAUUUAAUUUAAUUAAUUUACUUUCUCCCUCCUAAUUUAAGUGGAAUAUCAAGACUGAACAAUUAUAUGCAUCUUCGUUCAGUUGACAAUUUUGACAUUUUUUUUAAGUGAUUAAUUUUGAAAUUACACCAAACAUUAUUUGUGAUCUCUGUUUUGACUUUACUUGCAGCGCUAGAGACGUUAUCAAGAUUGAGCAACUUGACGAUACUUGAUUUAAGUUAUAACUUGUUCAAUAAUAGCAUCUUGUCAUUUGUUGCCCGUCUUUCAUCAUUAACAUCAUUAGAUUUAUCUUACAAUGGAUUGGAAGGAAGUAUUAAUGUUAAAGGUACGUAAUUAAAACGUCAUCGCUUCUCCCAACUCUUCCAUUAACAUGCUAAAAUAAGAUUCAAGGCUUUGAAUUCAAUUUUUUUUAUGAGUAAUAUUAGAAAAAUAGUUUUAAGCAAUUCAUAAAUACAAUUUUCAAUGUUUCUCAUAAUUUCAUCUUGUACUUUUGUAUGUCUUGACUUUAAGAUUAAAAAAAAAUUACUCUAACUGUGAAGCAAAUACCCCAUGACUAAUUUACAAUUUUGUCCAGUUAAAAAUGAUAAAAUUUAGGGAAAUUAUCAUUUGUAUACCCUUAGUUUACUCUAUUAUCAAAAAUACUACAACACUUUGAGGGUGUAUCAAUCGUCCACCCUAAGUUGACAAAAUGUAUUAGCCAACCACCAAACCGUUAGUUGCCGUUUAAAUAUGAUAACAUCAUAAGGGUAAUCUGGUCUUUUCAUAUGAUACAAGUGAUAAUUUAAGGGUAUACAAGUGAUAAAAAGAGAGUUUAAGGGGAUACAAGUGAUAAUUUUCAAGGGUAAAAUCGUCAAUUUACUGUAAUUCCGUUAACUUUCAAACGGCAAUUAACAGUUUGGUGGUCGGUUGAUACAUUUCAUCAACUUAGGGUGGACGAUUGAUACACCCUUAAAGUGUUGUAGUAUUUUUGAUAAUAAAGCAAAUAUAGGGUAUACGAAUGAUAAUUUCCCUAAAAUUUAUCAUUUGUUUAUAUUGAUUUAUUAACUCUAUUUUAAGUCUUAAGUCUUAAGUCUUGGCAUGUUUGCAGAAUUUGAUUCCUUGAGCAACUUAGAGGAGUUGGACAUGAGCGGCAAUGAAAUAGACAAUUUCAAGGUUCCUCAAGGUACACAAUUAAAAUAUUAUUUAAUUACAUUAAUUUAAUUCGUUUGAUUAGGGAAGACCCAAAAUGUACAAAAACAUAAUUAAAAAAAAAUAAAGAAACAGAGAAUUCAUAUUAUUUCAAAAAACAAAAGGUAAUACUAUUAUUUCAAAAAAAGAAUGUAAUAAAGAUUUGAUUCCGGUUCUUUAAUCUUUAUAGCAAUUGAAAAACAAUGUUGCUCUUUUCCUAAAGCAUAAAAUAUGAAAUGAGUCAUAAUUGAAUUAGUCAUUUAUUUUGUUUAGAUCUAAAUUUAGACAAUAAAUUUUGAUUUUUUUUUCAAUUCUAUCCUUAUUAUUAUUGUUAAACAGGUUACAGAGGUUUGAGGAAGUUGAAAAGCCUCUAUCUAUCGAAUGUUGGAGUUAGAGAUGGAAGCAAGUUGUUACAGUCUAUGGGAUCAUUCCCAUCCCUCAACACUCUUUACCUGAAGGAUAAUAAUUUUACCGAUAUAGCGACAACUACUACUCAAGGUAAGUAAAAGGUACAGAUGUGGCCAAAUUUAUAAAUAAACUGUUAAUUAAUUAAUUUUCUGUAUUAUUAAUAAAGCUAAAUUUUUGCUCAUUCCCUCUAAUUCUAAACAGAGUUGCACAAUUUCACCAACUUGGAAUAUUUGACAUUGCACGGUUCCUCUCUCCAUAUAAGCCUUCUGCAAAGCAUUGCAUCAAUAUUCCCUUCGUUAAAAAAUCUGUCGAUAUCUUAUUGUGAAGUCAAUGGUGUCGUACAUGGUCAAGGUAAAAGAAAAGUGUUGGUUGUGCACUCACUGAGUGUUGUCCUACGUAUUCAAUAUUUUUAUUUAUUUAUUUUAUUGUUUAAUGUUUCUGCUAGGUUUUCCUCAUUUCAAGAGUUUGGAACAUUUGGGCAUGAUGUCCACGCGCAUUGCACUCAACACCAACUUUCUUCAAGUCAUCAGUGAAUCGAUGCCUUCUCUUAAGUACUUAUCACUGUCAUAUUCUACUCUUGGCACUAACAGCAGCAGGAUUCUUGAUCGAGGUUAAUCAGAUGCUCCCACCCUCCAUUCUUAAUCUAUAAUAUUAAUUUUCAGUUAAAUAUUUAAUUACACAAACCAAUCACUUAUUAUAAAAGAACAAUACGCAUUCAUUAAUUUUUAUAUUAUAUUAAUUGAUGAAUUUAAUAAAUUCCAGGCCUCUGUUCGCCGGUGCAUCUGCAAGAGUUAUACAUUGGUUCUAACGAUUUAAGAGGUAGCUUGCCUUGGUGCAUGACAAAUUUGACAUCCCUCCGAAUAUUAGAUGUUUCUUCCAAUCAACUUACUGGAAGCAUCUCCUCGUCUCCCCUCAUUCAUUUGACAUCCAUUGAAAAGCUGUAUCUUUCAAACAAUCACUUCCAGAUCCCAAUUUCACUUGAACCACUUUUCAAUCAUUCAAGACUCAAGACUUUUUAUGCUGACAACAACGAACUAAAUGCAGAAAUAACUCAGUCACAUUCUUUGACCGCCCCAAACUUCCAAUUAUCACGUCUCUCAUUGUCUUCCGGUUAUGAAGAUGGCGUCACAUUCCCCAAAUUCCUUUACCAUCAACAUGAUCUGGAGACUGUUGAGCUCUCACAUAUAAAGAUGAAUGGAGAAUUUCCAACUUGGUUGUUGGAAAACAACACAAAAUUGAGACAACUUUCUCUCGUCAAUGAUUCUCUUGGAGGACCUUUCCGGUUGCCAAUUCAUUCACACAAGCGGUUAGGAAUGUUGGAUAUAUCCAACAACAACUUCCGAGGCCACAUUCCAAUAGAAAUUGGAGAUGUUUUACCAAGUCUAUACCUUUUCAACAAUUCCAUGAAUGCUUUAGACGGUAGCAUUCCCUCUUCAUUUGGUAAUAUGAAAUUCCUCCAAAUUCUGGACUUAUCCAACAAUCACUUGACUGGUGAAAUCCCCGAGCACUUGGCCGUUGGUUGCGUCAACUUGCAGUCUCUUGCAUUAUCAAAUAACAACCUACAAGGUCACAUGUUCUCUAGAAAUUUUAACUUGAUAAACUUGAAAUGGUUACAAUUGGAGGGCAAUCGCUUCAUAGGUGAGAUCCCACAAAGUUUGUCUAAAUGCUCCUCACUAGAAGGAUUGUAUCUUAACAAUAAUAGUCUUUCGGGUAAGAUUCCACGAUGGUUGGGUAAUCUCACAUGGUUACAAUAUAUUAUAAUGCCCAAUAAUCAUCUUGAAGGCCCUAUUCCAGUGGAGUUUUGUCAGCUUGAUUUGCUUCAGAUUUUGGACAUUUCAGACAACAACAUAUCUGGAAGUUUACCAUCUUGUUUCCAUCCUCUCUCUAUCAAACAAGUUCAUCUUUCAAAAAUAUGUUACAUGGACAGCUAAAAAGAGGUACAUUCUUUAAUUGCUCUUCCCUUGUGACAUUAGAUCUUAGCUAUAAUCGCUUGAAUGGCAGCAUUCCGGAUUGGGUUGAUGGGCUUUCUCAGUUAAGCCACCUUAUCUUAGGUCAUAAUAAUCUUGAAGGUGAAGUGCUAGUUCAAUUGUGCGAAUUGAACCAACUACAAUUGUUAGAUCUUUCUAAUAAUAAUCUUCACGGUCCUAUUCCUCCUUGCUUUGAUAACACCACACUUUAUGAAAGUUACAGCAAUAGUUCUAGUCUUGAUGAGCAAUUUGAAAUAUUUUUUUCCAUCGAAAGCCCUCAGGGAAAUGUAGAAAAGCAAAUCCAUGAAAUUUUUGAGUUCACAACAAAGAACAUUGUGUACAUUUACCAAGGAAAAGUGCUUAGCCUCCUAUCAGGACUUGAUCUUUCUUGCAACAAGCUAAUUGGUCCUAUUCUCCUCAAAUUGGAAAUUUUGACAAGGAUUCAAACAUUGAAUCUAUCACACAACGACUUGAUAGGAUUGAUCCCAUCAACAUUUUCAAACUUGAAGCAUGUCGAAAGUUUGGAUCUUUCCAACAACAAAUUGAAUGGGAAAAUCCCUCAUCAACUAGUGAGUUAAAGACAUUGGAGGUUUUCAGUGUGGCAUACAAUAACUUAUCAGGCGAAAUUCCAGAAUGGACUGCACAAUUUGCAACCUUCAAUGAGAGUAGCUAUGAGGGAAAUACUUUCUUUGUGGAUUGCCAUUGCCCAUUUGCAGAUCACCAGCAACUAUGUCGGAGGCUUCAAUUGGCAAUGAACGAGAUGAUAAUUUAAUUGACAUGGACAGUUUCUUUAUCACAUUUACAACAUCGUACGUAAUUGUGAUAUUUGCAAUUGUUAUUAUUUUAUAUGUAAAUUCUUAUUGGCGACGUAGAUGGUUUUACUUUGUUGAAAUGUGGAUAACUUCAUCUUACUAUUUUGUUGUAGACAAUCUUAUUCCAACAAGAUUUAUCAUUGAAAUUAAUUAGUAGUUUAAUUACGAUUCUUUAAGUACUAAUCAAGUUUGUUUAGGAAAUAUUUUUUUAUUAAAAUUGUAGUAGUAUUUAGCAUUAUAUAGCUUCCAACUUCCAAGCACUUCACAUUUGUCUCUACACUUAAAAAACUGAGUGAUCAUGUUUUGCAGAUCUGGAUUUGGAGCAGGAUGGAUCCAAACCCAUAUCUGUCCACCGUAACUUAUAGCUUCCCUAUACUGUGCAGCAUACUUAAAAUAAGAGAACCAUCUCCAAUGUUAAAAGCAUUCACUCUAUAACAUUCAUUUAGAAAACUAUAUUCAGAAUAUUUUAUAAUUAAACACAAGAAAUGAAAACACACAGAUACACUUGAUCGCCUAUUUUACUCUAAAAAAGAACGAUUAUUGUGCUAUCAUCAUCUUCUUCACUAGCAACAUUAACACCAAAUCGAUGGACCCAUACAUUUCAUCAAGAAAGGUCUAUAUCCAAUAAAGUUGAAGCCUAACAAAAAAUUCAAGAAGAUUCAUGCCUCGCCACAACAAGGGCACAACAACAUCAAAGUAGAGAUUAAGCAGUAAUUCUCAAAGCUAAAACUCUCAAAUCCACCCACCAGAAUUUCAUAUCUCCUCAACAAUUUAAGAACUAAAGAUAAUUAGGAUUUAACAUUAGUUUUUUAUAUAUUAGUCAUAAUUUACAAAUCAAUGAAGAUGAAGAUUAUGCUAAUAAAAUUCAAAUUAUACCAUACAUUCUCUAGAUGUUACCAAAAAUUUCUAAGUCAAUCCCACAUAUUUCAUAAUUUUAAGACUAGAAAAUUUCACUAGUUAGAAGUUUCAUUACCUUCAAGUGGAAGAUGAAGAACAUUAUACAAGUGAUUCAGAUUAUAUCAUACAUACUCCAAAUGCAACUAGAAAUUAACAAGUUCAUGCACACAUAUUUCAUAACAUUAUGAUUGAAAAGUUUCACAGAGAAAAUUCUAAAUUCAAUCUCUUGCAUGAAGGCAAUUUGAUUGAUUGAGUUACUUCUUAUCAAGCUACUAAUAUAACAUUCAAGUCAGGAGAAAAUAAAUUAAAACUGGGAAGAAAUAACAGUAAAAAAUUUGUUGCUCAACAUGAUGUGUAUUUUUUUUCAAGGCAAUUUGGAAACACAAUUGUUACCACAGAUAUUCUUCUCAAACUUGGAGAUAAAUACAAAUAUUAAAAUGCAUAUGAUCGCACAUAUUACUUCGAGUUUAGUAAGAUUUCAUUAAAAGAAGCAAUCAAACCACUUAUCAAUUGUCGCAGUCGUUCUAUAAACUAAAAUAGCAAUAUAAUACAAGAAAAAGAACAUAUAGAUACUUGGCAAGAGUUCAUUAAGAAGUCACAUCACAUUCAGGUGAGGAGUUUGCUUCUGAUAUCUUGCUAGCUGGGGCUUUUUCUUGUCUUUCUACGUAUGCCGAGGGAAACCAACCAGCUUGGCCCUUGCAUUCACCUUCCGACCAUCCAAUAGGAGCCACCUUGAGAAGUUAUAACUAAAAUGGUGAAUUAAACAAAAGUUGACCGUUCAAAGACCUAAGGGGAAAACUAAUUCUUUUACGUAGGAGGAGUGAAUUAGUUGUGAUCACUGAAAUAACAGCAUAACUAUGGAAGCAUAACAAGAUAUAAAUUCACACGUCUAUAAGGGUAAACUGGGUGGUUGAGAACUGAGCUAGCAACCCUACUAUAUUCUGAUUUGCACUUCAAUGUAAAAGGGAAUAUAUGGUAGGAAGAAAGAAAACCAACCAUCAUUUGUUAACUCAUUGCUUUUCAAUCAAAAUUUUAAGAACAAAAUGCCAUGUGCUUUGAACAUCAAAUAAGUAUAAGCAUUAGUUCUAAAUUCCACAUAUCAUAAGUUGUUAGAAGGAUAAGUUAAUAGCAGAGUAGAAAAAUCUAUGUGUUGGUAUUUAGAGGGGAAAGUACCUGGCGAACCACAACAUAAUCAUCAAUUGAAAGACUUAGCUCUCCAUUUGCUUGAGCAUCAAAUGGAUGUAUAACCUGCAAGAUAAUGGGAUAAAUAGAACUUAAAAAAAGCAUAACAAAAGCGGCAACAGUAGCAGCAACGUUCAUUGUAACCACUAUGAUCAUGGCCAACAAGAUAUAUUAGAAACAAAAUUCCAUUUUUACUACGACAUUAAUAUGUACUAUACGAUAUCAUGACGAUUGGGUUACUAAGAGCUAUCAAAGUCUAAUAAGUUCUGUAUAACUUUAUGUAGUUAUUUAAAUUAUGGAUCAGAUUUUAAAUUUGAAAUUUUGACUGCUCUCCACAAAACAUGGCCUAUGCACAAGAAAGUCAUAGAUAAUGAGGAUUACAAGUGUCCGACAUCUUUUGAGUGAUGGAUUUAACAUGAGAGCUUAUGGUCAGUCAAUUUCCUCUGCCUAGCAAUAUAAGCUUUCUCGGCCAGAUUUAUCAUCAAAUACAUAGAUUGCCCCCAAGUCACAUCCAUAUAAACAUAGUUUUUCUAGGUAAACCAAGUAAGGAGUAUCAUAAUUCAGACAUAAUCAUAAAAAGGCCCAUCUAACUUAAGAGAAAAUCUCAAAAAGAGGGAUGCUGAGCUAUCAGUCUUGUAUCUAUAAGCAAUAUCAAGACUUUACGUCACCUGCUACAUCGUGAGUGGCUACACAACUUUCAGUGGUUUGUCUUUCUUUGGCACGCCUAACUCAGCUUUCAUGUUGCUGAGAUAUUGAUAGUAGAGACACAUGAUACUUCUAGCUCAUGCAUUCUAUCUAACUCAUCCAACAACUAUCUCUUUUUUAAUUCAUUAGUGUUUGCUAAACCUCAUGCUUAAAAGUCCUGUUCUCCUAAACAAAGUUUCCUAAGAAUGACUUCCUUAGCACCACAGUUGGACACUUUAGAGCAAUUUUAUUUGGGGGAAAAGAAUUUUCAAGGUGUUAACUAAUAAAUUUUAAAAAAUAAUUACAAUUUGUCCUACGAUCAUAUGACAAUUUAUCUGGGAUGAAAGGAUACAGAUAGACAUCUUCCACUUUCAAGACUAAUCACUACUUCCGUAGAUGUUGUGCAAUAAUACAAAUACUUGACCAGAUGGUAGUGAUGGUAGAAAAAAAUUUUAUUGCUCCAAAAUUAAAAUAAGAAUGCAAUAUGUUAAGCAAAAGGCUGUGCAACAUCAAAUUAAUUGAUAAGUUUGUAAUUCAGUAAAUUAACAACUUUCAUGGUAAAAUACAACAAAUUUCUUUUGAAAAAAAAUAAAUAAAUCUUAAAAGACAACAUUCAAUUUUGUGCACAUCUUAUUUCUUAAGAUUUUUCAGGAGGAGGGCAAUAGAGGGACUUUCACCUAUGCAAGAGAGCAGAAGCCUUACUUUCCCUAUAAAGUAGACGUCAUUCUGAUUAAUAUGCGUUUGCAAAUCAGCUCCGUUUGAAUCAGUAUUCUGAUAGACACACGAGGAAUUUACAUCCAUUUCCAAAGUCACAUGUUGCGAGGAGGACUCAUUUGAUUGCUCCUAUACGAUCAUCUAAUUCAAGUAGCAAGGGUUGGAAGAGAAUAAAAAGUCACAAUUAUUCUUUUGCAUAAGUGAGACGAAAAUGAUAAAUGCAAUAUUAUCAGCAGUAAACAAGAAGAGAACGCUCCAAGAAAUAGAUAGAUGCAGACAAGCAAGUUAAAAUGCAUAGUCCCAAACCUCCGCAUACAACUUCUCUAAAAUAGCAAUAACGUGUUGAUGCUAUGUUUUCUCAGCAUCUACCUGCAAAGGCCCGAGACCAGGAAAACAACAAUAAAACCACUAGCUGAAGGAGAAAGCAAAGAAAGAAAUACACUUGACAUAAAUCUUGACAAGAAGCACAAAUUAAGACAUAACAAACCCCAAUCAUAUUGUUUAGAACUACCAUUCGUUAUUUCGUUAUUGUAACAUUUCGAACAAGUGUUGACUUAAUUCAACAUUGUUGGAAAGAUAGGCUUUUAGAAGCAGAAGAAAGCCUCUCAAACCAAAGUGCUGGUCCUUGUAUUGAUCAAGGGAUGUAAACAUAUUACAUUUGCAGGAUGAGAUUUAAUCACUCCCCUGAUUUAUUCGGGUUGCAGUAAAACUAAGCGAGCAACUGUUUGACUUUCAAGCAACAGCUAAAUCAGCUAUUAAAAUUCAAAUAAAAUCAUAAUAGAAUAAUAACAGGCCAUCUUGCAUCAAAAAUUAAGUUUAAUUUGUGAAUUGUUUUCUAUAGACAUGUCAGUUUCUGCUAUUGAAAUGUUAAAAGCAUUGAAAAAUUAUUCAAUAAAUUAUGCAAGCAUUAAAAUAGAGGACAUAUUAAAAAGUUUCUAAUUACAAUGUUAAUAUUUCCUAUAUUUUAGCAUUUGCAUAUUUUAAUUUAUUUAAAAGCUACGUUGAUCAACUUUGGGCAUGAAGAUUUUAGCUUAUACGAGACUUGAUUGGAAUAUGCAUAAGAGUGUUAAAAUAUGAUGCAUCCAAUGAAAGACAAACCACGUGUAGUCUUUUAAUUAAGCCAAAGUAGCAGCUCAAACAAAUGACACUUGGACCAACAUGCAAUCAUGAAGUGGCCGGAAAAAGGACAAAUGCAACUUUGGCUUAAAUAAAAAAUAACAUGUGACUCGACUUUUGCUGGACAUGCAUCAUGUUAUCACAAGACAACAGAAAUCAGUAUGAUAGUACUAAAAGUUGACAAUAACAUGAAGAUAAGAGGCAGAAUGUCAACACAUGCAUAGGCACACACAAGAAAGUAUUAACUUAUAUACCAUAGCAAAAAGUCUUUGAUAUGUCAUCUGUUGCUGCUGUGAUUCAACUGACAGCAUGGCAGCUGUUGCUUCUCUACCAAGAGCCAUUAUUGUAGAUUUAAGCUCGGUCAAUCUUGCUUCUGCAUUUCGAAGCUUCACAGCACUCUCUGCUGAUAUAUCAGAUUCCUAAUCUUUGAUCGGCGCCUAAAUACUUCAGCUGCCUGGUGAAAAUAUUCAAUAUAAAUCUAACAUAAUUCUNNNNNNNNNNNNNNNNNNNNNNNNNNNNNNNNNNNNNNNNNNNNNNNNNNNNNNNNNNNNNNNNNNNNNNNNNNNNNNNNNNNNNNNNNNNNNNNNNNNNNNNNNNNNNNNNNNNNNNNNNNNNNNNNNNNNNNNNNNNNNNNNNNNNNNNNNNNNNNNNNNNNNNNNNNNNNNNNNNNNNNNNNNNNNNNNNNNNNNNNNNNNNNNNNNNNNNNNNNNNNNNNNNNNNNNNNNNNNNNNNNNNNNNNNNNNNNNNNNNNNNNNNNNNNNNNNNNNNNNNNNNNNNNNNNNNNNNNNNNNNNNNNNNNNNNNNNNNNNNNNNNNNNNNNNNNNNNNNNNNNNNNNNNNNNNNNNNNNNNNNNNNNNNNNNNNNNNNNNNNNNNNNNNNNNNNNNNNNNNNNNNNNNNNNNNNNNNNNNNNNNNNNNNNNNNNNNNNNNNNNNNNNNNNNNNNNNNNNNNNNNNNNNNNNNNNNNNNNNNNNNNNNNNNNNNNNNNNNNNNNNNNNNNNNNNNNNNNNNNNNNNNNNNNNNNNNNNNNNNNNNNNNNNNNNNNNNNNNNNNNNNNNNNNNNNNNNNNNNNNNNNNNNNNNNNNNNNNNNNNNNNNNNNNNNNNNNNNNNNNNNNNNNNNNNNNNNNNNNNNNNNNNNNNNNNNNNNNNNNNNNNNNNNNNNNNNNNNNNNNNNNNNNNNNNNNNNNNNNNNNNNNNNNNNNNNNNNNNNNNUAACCCUCUCUCCCUCUUCAAUCUCUCUCUAUUUUGUUCCCAUUGAUGACCCCAAUCUGCUUAGUUAUCCAGCUUUAUAGCUGCAUCAGUAACAAACCAGCAAACCCAGAUUGAGCAGAUUGACGACACGUGGAUAACGGCUUUAACGAACCUGGUUAAGAACUGCUCACAUGUUCGUCACGCGUGCUGCUUAAAUGAUGGCCAAAACGACUUCAAACAAAUGUCGUUUUGAGGCUUAUGAAUUACAAGUGAUAACACGAGCUUGUCUCAUGACUUUUAAAUGCAACAACGUGCCCACAACGCCGUCGUUUUACUCUGUUGAGUUUGAUUCAUUACUAAGCUUUUACGACUGGCAAUGGAGAAGAUGAUAAUUUAAUUGACACGGACAGUUUUUAUAUCACUUUUACAACAUCCUAUGCAAUUGUAAUAUUGGGAAUUAUUGAUGUUUUAUUCUGUGAAUCCUCAUUGGCAAAAACUAGUGUUUUAUCUUUGUUGAAAUAUAGAUGACCUCUCGUUACUGUUUUAUUAUAAACAUAUAGUUUCGUAAGUGAAUAUUUUAUUAUAAAAUUAACAUAUAGUUUUGUUACAUUUCUGCCUCAUUAAGAUUCUCAAAUACCAGUCAGGUUUGCUUAAGAAAUAAAUUUUUUCCAUUAAAAUUGCAGUAGUAUUUCCAAGCAUAUCGCAUUUUCUAUGAGUUUUCAUAAAUUAAUUAAUCUGCGGUGCCAAUAUCAGAUUUAGUUUUUCAAACUAAAUAAUCAAGAAAGCAAACAUACAAAUAUACAGUUUAGAGGGUAAACUAGGUAGGUGGUUUAGAUUUUAGAACUAAGCCAGCUACCUCGCUAAAUUCCGAUUCGUACAGUGAACUGCAAGAAACUGAGAAAACAAUGUAUUUAUAAUUUAAUAGAAUCAUAAGAAAACAAUGCAGUCAUUGCUCAAUAUAAGAUGAUGAUUUCGGAGAGGCACAUUGUUUUCAAGUUAAUUUGAUCCGUUUAUAAGAGAUGAAGUGGAAUGAAGUUGAAAGUUUAAAUAACAAAUCCUUGUUCUUGAGUUUUACGACGUCGUUACUCCUUCAAGUGGCAGAUUAUGCAAGUGAAUGCAGAAACACAAUGCAUCAUCCGCGGGGAUGAUACAUCAAAAGGCGGGAUUUGUUUAUGCCUGCAGAUUAGCAAUUUCACUCAUAUAGAAAAUUAAUUUUUUAUAUAUACUAAUCAACACUAAAUUGAUUAUGUGUUGUAUGUUUAUAUAUGCUAAUCAACACGAAAUUAUAUUGAAUUAUUAACAUUCAUAUUCCUAAUAAAAAUUAUUUUCCAUCAGUAUUCAAAAUUUUCACUUAUAGAAAAUGCGUUUUACGUGAAUACUAGUUAUUGUGUAAAUUUGAAUGAUAGCGAAAAAUAAACCUAUUUGAAAACUGUAAGGGUGUGUUGGGAUAUUUUACAACUGUCGGAAUCUGGUAGGAUAUUUGCACCAUUUGCCCAAUAUUUUUAGACGUACUCCAACCGGUAUUCAAGAUAAGUAAAAUUUACAAGCGUGGCAAAAAAAAAAAAUUAAAUUCGUAACUUGUAAACGAAUUUUCCUGACAUGUAUAGUAAAUGAAGUUGUUGAUCCUUUCUUUGGAUUAUUUCAGCUCUGGUUGUUGGUCACCGAUGAGCCGAAGUCUUAUUUUAAUUUUAUUUAAACUCAUCAUAAGAUUCGUGGAGCACCUAACUAACUUAACUGACUGCGCAGAUCAUCUCAACAUGGCAUAUUUAACCAUCAUUCAAGUGAUGGGUUUAAUAAGACUGCUUUUGUUCUAUCAACUAUCAAGUUCCUCUGCCUCUAAGCAGAAUUACUAUUGAAGGGCCAAAAGGAAAAUGAAAACGUGUGAGCUCCAACAACCACCCCACAAUGAAUGACGAUGCUCGGAGAGGGUUAGGUUGGGCCUCUGAGAAAAAAAAAUUAUUUUGUUAAAAAGUUACCCUUAUUGAAACCUGUAUAAAAAUUUUAUAUUAAUUAGUUAUGUCGCCUCUUCAACGAUGAUCAAAUUCUUAUCUGAGCUCAUCAUUUAAUGAGUAAACAUGUAUUUUAAUGAUCUCAAUUAAUAUUUAGAACAAAUAUUUUAAGAAGUAAAGCUCAUUAUAUCUUCCAUUAUUAUGUAUUUCUUUAAUUUCUUAUUUACAUAAUUAUAUUGUACAUUAAAAAUGUAUUGAAUUUGAAGAAAAAAAAAUUCAACUCAAAAAAAAAAAAAUGCUGGUAGCUUCGUAAUAAUUACUGUAUUGACUGCACCAGAUAAAGUUUUGUAAAAUAAUAAGUUCUCAUAAGUGGUUUUUCAUUUUUAAUUUUCUUUUCCGGCACACCUGAUCAAGAAUUCUAUUUUGUUAACUAAUCAAUUGCAAAGCAUAAGUGUUUGAACGGUACAAAAAUUUAAAAAAAAUACACUUAAAAACGUGGGGUGGGUAACGGCUCACUCAAAUCGUUAGGUAGAAUUGUGGAAAACUAAAGCGAAAUGAGAAAUAUAGAAAGAAAGGAAGAGGUGAUGUUUUUCUAUGAAUUUCUAUGGGUAACGGCUCACUCAUCCUUCUAUGAAUUUCUAGCUGUAUUGACCCCAACUGCUAAAGUUUUGUAAAAUAAAAAUAAAAUAAAAACUGGAAUUUCAACAAAAAUUCAAAAACGUUUGAAAUUUAAUUUUUGGCCAUGUGGAACAAAAUGUAAAUUAAGUAAAAAAUAUAAAUCUCAAUUGCUUAGUAUGGUUAGGAUUUUGUGAGCAUCACUAAAAAGUGAAAACUAUGAAUGAUAGAGGUGAUGUUUGCAACAUGAAUAAAUGAUGAACUGAAUCAAUUGAUGAUCGUAAUUACAUAAUGAACAAAAUUUACAAAAUCAACAAAAGUUAAUAAAAAAUUAUUUUAAUAAUAAAAAAUCAAUAAAACUUAUUAUUUAAGGGCGCUCUAACCAUGGAAUACCAUAAUCAUAAUCUUCUUUUAAGAAAAUUAUAAACUUAUUAUUUUACAGGAUUGAUCCAUUUGGAAUGAAGUGGUCUCAAGUUGAAAGUAAUUAAUUUAUUGAAUAACUUUCGACUUAUUAAUAGUUAUAUCAAAGGGUGUUUUACCUCAUCAUGUCUUCAAGUGGAAGAUGAAGACUAUGCAAGUGAAUUCAGGAAUAUUGCAUGCCUGUUGUCUAAAGCAUUACCUCACAAGGUUUCAUGAGAAACGAAAGAUGUGUUUGCUUUGAACAAUUAAAGUUACUGCUACGAACCUCCCCAAAGGUCAAGAAGACAGAACAGGAAGCUAAUGCCAUCAAUGUCUUGUUCAUUAUAGCUGCUGGGUAGUUAGGUGUAGUUUCCUCAUUUGAAGCUGUCUAUACAUAGGCAUUUCCCCUGCUUAUGUACAAAUAAAUGAACAACCUUGAAGCUUUAUUAUUCGCAACAAAAAGGGAUUACUAAUUGGAGAAGACAAUACAGAGUUUUCUCUCACACUUUCUCUCUGUCAAUUUCAUCCAGAAGUCCCUCUGAAAGCUUCUCCCAAAACAGUUAGUCAUCUUUUAUGCUCUGUUUUCUGAAAACAGAGUCCUAACUAAAUUAAUUGACUGUACAGUGCAUUUCAACAUAGCAUAUUUAACCGUUUUAACAGUUAUUUGGACCGUCUUCAGAGGUAACAUCAACAAACUCAUUCAUAUGCUUAAUAAUGAACGAAUAGUCUUGGAUCGAUGUUUUGCAGCAAGAGCAACACGACACAAUCUGGAUUCAACCUCCUCCUUUCUAACAGGGGAUUUCGAUUUGAGUUACUUUGUGCUCAAGCAAAUUCACAUCAUAGUUUUGAUUCUUUAGAUAUGAAUUCAUCUCAUUACAUAUAUCAGAUUAAGUGUAACAAAAUUUGUAAUUUACUGCGAAAAGAAUAUGCACUAAAAAAUGAUUUCAAGACUAUUUGACUACAAAAAGCAGCUGUCAGAGUGCACUAAAAAUUUCUGUAGGAUAUUUUGUAGCUGUUUAAUAUGUUAUGAUGGGCAUAUAAUUCUCAAAUUUUGAUGCCUCUCAGCGAAAAAUAUAUCAAAGUUACGGAUGAUAUCACGUAAAACAUGCAUGGCUCAGGCUCAGGCUCAGGUAAGAAAGCCACAGAAAAGGAAAAUCUCACUGUCACGACUCACGUCACGCAUCAUUCAAGUGAUGGAUUUAACAAGACUGCUUAUGUUCUAUCAAAUUCCUCUGCCUCUCAGAAGAUAACUUUUCUGGGCCAAAUUUCUCAUCUAAAGCAUAUUAUGCCCCAAAGUCACAGAUAACAAAAUGGGGCACUACCGAUUAUGAAAGAGAACUAGUAGUUGUCAGAAGCCUAAGCCAAAUUCCGGUAGUAAGAAGAGGCCUUUCUUGAGUUUAGAUUAUGUGUUCGAGUUUUAAUAAAUGCCUAAGUUAAUAAUAAUAACAACAGUAAUAAUAAACUAAAAAGCAUAAUUACUAUUGAAUGGUAAAAAAAAAAAAUGAAAAUGUGUGAACUCCAAUAACCACCCCAGUGGCGAAUUUUGGAGAGGGCUAGGCCGGGCUUCUUAGAAAUUAUUUUUAUUUAAUUACAAAAUCACCUUUACUGAAACCUAUAUAAAAUUUUUUAUAUUAAUUAAUUAUGUUGCCUCUUCAAUUAUCAUUAAAUUCUUGUCCGUUCAUAAUUUGAUGGACAAAUGUGUAUUUCAAUAAUUUCAAAUAAUGUCUAGAACAAAUAUUUUGAAUUAUAAAACUCAUUAUGUCCUGCAUUACUAGAUGUAUCUAUAAUUUAUUAUUUACAAAUUAUAUUGUAUGAUAAAAAUGUAUUGAAUUUUUUUUAAAAAAAAAGUUCGGCUCACUCAGAAAAAAAUGUUAUUAGCUUCGCCACUGCACAAAUCUAGAAUAAUAAUUAUUCCUUAUUAUAUUGACUGCACCAAGCAAUAAACUAAUAAGUUCUCAUCAGUGGUUUUUAAUCUUUUUAAUUCUUUUUACCGCACACCUGAUCAAGAAUUUUAUUUUGUUAACUAAUCAAUUGCAAAGCAUAUAUAAGUGUUGAACGGUACACAAGAUUGGAAAAAAAAAUCUUAAAAAACGUGCGGAUUCGGGUGGCCACACCAGAAAUCUAUUACAAUAAUUAGCUUUGAUGCUGGGAAUCUUUUAAUUUCUGGCCGUAUUGAAGUUUUUAAAAUAACAAGUUCCCCUUCUCGUUUUUUUUUUUUUUUAAAAUAUAUAUGCUUAUAACAAUUUUAGAAUAAUGAUUCAUUUGUAGAAGAACUUAUGAUUUCCCAUUAAUAUUAAUAUUGAAGUGGGGUGGGUCAAAUCUCAAUUGCUUGAAGAAUUUAUGUAUUAUUAAAUAUUACCAUCCAAGGUAGAAUUGUGGAAAAUUAAAGCAAAAUGACAAGUAUGGAAAGGAAGGCUGAAAGUAAGGCAUGACGAAAGGCUUUGAGAAGGCUGAAGACUACCAAAGAAGUCAACUGAAAACUAGCUGGGGCCUGAGUGUAUAAAUUGUUAGAUGCGUUUGUUAUAAAUAACAUAGAGCCCUUUUGUUAUUUAUAGUUAUAGAGAAAGAGAGAAUGUGUGUUUUUUAAUAGUUAGAGAUAUAGCUAGAAUGGGUUGCUCAAAAUCCAAAAUAGUGACAAUGUUAGUUCUCGUAUUGAUAAUAUUGGGGGGGGGGGGGGGGGGGGGGGGGGGGGGGGGGGGGGGGGGGGGGGGGGGGGUGUUGGGAGGUCGAGUGAGGGAUGUUUGGAGCAUGAGCAAUUUGAUCUUUUGCGGCUUAAACAUUUCUUCAAUUAAUAUCGAUCUGGAGAGUGGUAUCUGAAUGCUUCUCUAUUUACUUCCUUUCAACAACUUGGUAACAAAAUAGCCGGCUGCAUGCGUUGAGAAUGAAGGUGCUUCAUUUAAUUUAAUUUACUUAAUUUCUCCCUCCUAAUUAAUGUCUAUAAUCAUUAGGAGGAACAAGGGAUUUUAUUAACUCAAAUAUAUCUAAUGGAGCUCAUUCUUUGGUUUUACUUGCAGGGCUAGAAGCAGGUGUCAUCUAACAGCUGCUUUGAUAAUUUCCCUCCCCUUCAUCUUUGAUGGAAAGAUGAAAUAAAAACAAAUUGGUGAAAAUGGUAUUGGUACCUGAGGCUAUGUAAUCUAAUUCAAAAACUGCACCAUCAAAACGAUUACAUAAGUCUCAGAAGAAUCAAAUAUCAGUUUGCAAAAUAUCAAUUGCUGGAGGUUUGAUUCUAACUUCCGCUCUUCAUUUUUAUGGGCAUAUUGUGUUGUACUUGCAUCCGAAAAUCAUAUUUUAGUUUACUUGCACUCAAUGCUUGGAUUAAAGUUUUUUUUUGGGGGGGGGGGAUUGAAGAAGACUAAAAUUACACCAAAAAAGAGUUGAGCGAGAGCGGGUUUUGUCUUCAUUUAAGGAGCUCUUUAUAAAUUUUGGGAUUUUUUUCCUGAGAAAAUUUAUGCCAACUCAUUCUUUGCUUCUUUUCUGAAGGGACACAUGCAACCGAAAGUAUAUUCUUGAAUUCUCCAGGAUAAGAGACAUACGUUUAGAUUCUGGAGCAUUUAAAAACAAUGUCAAAUUUUAGAUUGCUGAAAUUUUAUAUAUCCGAGUAUGAUGGUGUUCCAAUUAUAAGCUCCAGGGUGCAACUUCACUGAGGUUUAGAAUGCCUUCCUAUAGAAUUGAGAAAUCUCCAUUGGCAUAAAUAUCUUUUGAAAAUACUGACAUCAGAUUUUGAAUUGGAGAACCUGAUUGGACUCAGCUUGCCCUGUAGUAAGGUUAAGCAAAUUUGGAAAAGAGAAAAGGUAUAAUGUAUUACUAUUACCAAAGUAUCUAUUUUUCUUUCUUUAAGUAUUUAUAAUGAAUAACUUUGAAAUUCAAUGAUGCUCAUUUAGUAUAGUUAUGUAUCUUUGGUUAUAGGAAGCUGUCAAGUUAAAAUCUAUAGACCUUCACCACCCCUUUAUCUCAAUAGGAUCCCAGAAAUACUAAAUCUUAAAAAAAUAAAUCUUUCAAAUUGUGAAAGCAUGCUUACGUUACCCCCGUAUAUCCACAAUUUCAACUAGCUGAGUAUGUUGUGUUUCAGGGAUGCAAAAUUCAUUUUGUUUCUCAUGAAAGGAUUGACUUGUCCGGAUGUAUUAGGGUUAGUAAACCAACUAAUCCCAUAAUUUGUUGAUGUAGGGUCCUAACAAAUUAUUGCAGUAGAUUGUAGAUCAGUACACUAUUCGAAAACGUAUUUGAUCCACACAGUGAAGUGGAUAUUGGACCAAUUUGAUGAUAAUGAAUUUCUUUCAAUCUCAAUCUUUUUUCUUUUUAGCAACAUGACUAGUCAUUGUGCAAAUUCAAACUCUGACAAUAAUUUCUCAAUCGGUUUCUAAGAUGAUGACCAUGCAUGUAUAUGUAUAUGCGUGUGUAUAUGUGUGUGUGUGUAGAGAGAGAGAGAGAGAUCACACGUGUGUGAUUUCCUUUUGCCAAUAGGAUAUGCAGAGAGCUUGAUCUUACCCAAUAGCGAAACAAACUUCCUAAUAAGUGAAGGUAUAGUAUAAAUACUUAUACUUUCAUGUUAUUUUGUUCAUCAGUAGCUUGAUUAUUUUAUAUGCGUCUUCGAUUUUAAUUUUCUUUCCCUAUAAUCGCUAUUAUCUUUGAACUGGUCAUAAUUUGCCCAUAAGAUUUCUCAUGUUGUUUUGAGGUGCAACGGAUUUUGAAUUUAGUGACAAGCAGUGGAAGCCAGAAGGCAAAUUAUGAAAAUGGAUAAAGAUCUAUAAUUAGCUGUUAUGGGAUGUCACAUAUCAUAUUGAUGGUAACGUUAUAUAUAUGUACAUAUAAUUAAUGGGGUUGGCUCACGAGCCCAUUAAUAAUGGUAUAUUAGCUUAUAUACUUCAAACAAUGUACUAUGAAGCAAUUUCACAAAUACUUGUUAGCUUAUGUUGAGCUUUAUUGAAUCAGUAGUUCACAGUUCAAUAAAAUGCAGGUUUGCUAUUUGAAGUACAUGGUUAUGGUGCGUACAUUCUUCAUAAGGCUAACUACUAAUUUAUCAUUGAAACUUGAAAAAUGUGAUAGAGAGAUGUAGAUAACAGCCGCAAAACACUGAGAUUGAAAAUCAGGGCUACUAAAUUCUAUUAAAAGUCCUUAAAAUAGACAGCGAUCACCCUGAAAUGUAUAUACUGAAACUAAGAAAUAUUAAUCGCAAAGUUAUGCAUUAAUAGAACUAUUGACUACUUAUCUUUAGCAUAAAGUAUAUUUUUAACUACAGCUUUCUGCUUUGUUCUAAGAACUAGGCAAAAGUGGUGUAUCUUCAAUCCAAUCAACAUAUAUACCACUUAUCUUCCUCUUCACUUCUGUCUAUUUUGAUUUGCACUUCAUAUCCUGCACUUGCUGCUUAGAAAUAGUCUUUAUUCUGGACAUUGAAAGUAGAAAAAGUACUUGAAACAAUCAUUGGCACAGCCCGAGAUUCCAUUGAAUCGUGGACUCCAAGCUUUCAUAGUUCUAUAAAGAAGAUGACAAAACUUCAUACAACUGGCAUUCUGCUUUUAACAUUUGCACAACCUGAGCGAGUUAGCAAGCCCCUUGUUGCGUUCCCAUUGAAUAGACCUACUUCUGUUAUCCGCAGAAGAUCCACCACUCAAAAUGUUUAUCACCAGGCUAUUCUUAAACUGAGCCUAAACUGAGUAGAAACUUCCGCACAUCUCUCAGCAUUUACAUGAAGAAAUCGACAACUAUCCUCAUCUCUCAGCACAUCUCUCAGCAUUCUACAAAGUUGCAUUUCACUAAGCAAUCUAUCCUCUCCAUUCCUAGCAAAGUGACAUUGAUUCCCGUAUUUGUAAUCGCCUAACUUGGGUUUUGGGCAUAGCGUGGUCUUAAAAUUACCACCCAAUACUUUGUUCAGUGCCACUGGCAUCCACAAGCUCUAGCCCUGUUAGUUGAAUCAUAUUCAAUGGGACAGUGAGGCAGCAUUUCACUAACAUAUUCAAUUUGACUACUUAUAUUGACGCAAAUAUUAGAAUUUGAAAUCACUUCUUUUAUUGGAAUAUUAUAUUAAUAUGACCCCAAAUGAAAGUUCUUGAAUGGAAAUGAUUUUUAUUUACUUUUCGAACAGAUUCAAGAAAACCCAGAGAACACAAAAUUUACACAGUAAUAUGAUUAAGAGCUGAGAACGUAUAUGUAGUAAAUGUCUAUCAAAAAACACCCAAGGGUUUCUUUAAAAUUAGUAACUAGUAAACAAAAAGAAAGAAUCAUUUUACAUUUUUAGCAACUUUGGGGUGAGUGAGUGAGUGAGAAAUUGAAACCCUCAAGUGAUGACAACAGUAAGAUUCAGUAUGAAGUGAAACCCCAAUUUGAAAUGUAGGCAUGAGUUGCUGAGUCAGUAGAUGAAGCUAUAAAUAGGCAUUCGGUUUCCUUCUUUUCGGUUUGGAGGGCCAUGGAAUAGUGUAUUGGAGUGGGCUCCAAGUAAUAGCCUCUAUCACUGGAACGACACAUCUAUAAAAUGUGAUACAUGGGGAAGGAUUGGGCAUUUUAUUCUUAGAUUAGCCCCUUAUUUAGGGUGUAUAUUAAGCAGAUUAUAUAUUACAUGGAGAUGGAGUUUAUGAAAUAGAUUAAAAAGAAAAGGAAAUUUUGGUGCCUAAAGUUUGCCACUUGGAAUAUUUCGGUGUCUAAAAAUUCACUCACCACUUAUUUCAUGUUUGAUUAUAUGUUGAAAAGAUAUUAAAAUAGUAUAAUGCUAUUAAGGCUUAACGUAUAUUUUUUAUUAGUAGAGUGUAGAAUUUUUAAGAAAUAAAUUAUUAAAUUAUUAUAACUAACAUAUUAUUUUAAAGUUGUGUUAUGAAAAAAAUGAAAUAAAAAUGUACAGUAAAUAAGAAUAUUUUAAAACUUUUAUCUUUUUAAAAUUAGUUUUUAACAUAAGGUGAACUAUUUUUUUUUUUAAAAUCACAUAUUCUAGUUAAAAUCAAAUAUGUAUUUAUACGAAGCUUGUAAAUUUUUUUUUUAGUACUGAUAUUUGAAUAUUAUCAAUAAAAAAAAGGGUAAUGUUCAUGCUGCAUUAUUUUUGUAGCACACAAAAGGACAACACCGUUUAUGUUAUAAUACUAUCGCUUCUGUUAUGAUAAUUUUUUUUGUGGCCAAAUAUCUUUUUUUUUUUUAAGUAAAAAAAAGUGGACAAAAUGCAAAUCAGUUUUUAAUCCUCAAUCUCUCCCAAAAUAUAUAUUUCGGUGUCUAAAAAUUCACUCACAAAACUAUAGCUGACAAAAAGUUACUAACAAAAAGUUAGGUCCAUGGGUUGUUAAAACUAUAGCUGACAAAAAGUUACUAACAAAAACAGAAUGUCCAUUUUAUAACUUUCUUAAAAAACUUUCCUUAACUUUUUUAAACAAAAAGUUAUUUCCAAUUUUUAUUUUGUUAUAAUGUUUAUAACAAAAUUCGUAGUUAACUAAACUCUUCUUAUACCCUUUCUCAACUGCCAUACCCUAACCCACUAAACCACGCUCAAUUAAGGCCAUCAGAUUCUCCCGGGCCCACAUUAAUCCAACUGCUCACAGAGACCGACAGCCUCUCUAUCUCCAUUUCAAGCUCCCUCUUCAACUGGCUUCUGCUACCGUCCUACUCUUUCUCGGCUUCGGAGUCCGUAUUUGCUCGGCCUGUCCCACGAAGCUCCCUCUCACUCCAAUUGUCGCCCCACAAGACCAAUUGCUUAAUCAAGACACCGAACAAGAAAAGGAUGAGAAGUUGAAACAAGAAUUUGAGAAUUGGAAAUAAAAAACGUACGCAUUGACCGUGCCUUUGAGAGUCGUUUCUCUUCAGAACUCAGUGCCUCAAUCUUGGGUUAAGGAUUUUAUGCGAAGUCAGGGAAAGAGAUUGAAGUUUCAGAUGAAUUUGUGUGCUAGCAUUGAUGGGAUCUUUAACAAUUUAUCUGUGCCCUUUAACAAAGUUAAGGCUAAGUCAGCUUCUUAUAUGGCUGCUGAUUUGGUUAGUGUUGGUGAUUCAUGGCUUAGUUUUGCCAUUAAAAAGAGAUUGAUUGAGCCAAUGGCUGGAGCUGAAGACCAAGAUUGGUUCAAAUGCUUAAGUCACAAAUGGAAGGUAACAUCUUUGUCUUUGAUCCUCGAGGUAAAAUAUGGGCGGCACCGUACAGGUGGGGCACAACGGUGAUAGCCUACAAGAAAAGUAAAUUUCGAAAGCAUAAUUUGGCUCCGAUUGAGGUAAUAAUUUUCUUUAAACUCAUUUAGUUUUAUAUCAAACAAAAUCAAGACUGCCUUUCUCUUCAAUAUUUUUUAUGAUAAUAUCUUUAGAAGCAUCUCAUUGACGGGUAACAAUGGCAUCCCUGAAAGAGUCUAUAAACUCAAUGAUAUUAUCUUCUACAAAUGGUUCAUUAAACUUUGUCGUUGUACUCAAAUGUACACUCAGAUCAAUGAGAAGCUAUGCUACGUUAGCAUGUAGUGAUGGCACUUAAUAAGUGAGUUGCUAGGAUGUGAACUAGAAAAAUUAAAUAUUGUCUCCUUGGGUAUGCUAGCUGGUAAGUCAGGGUUAAUAUCAGAGCUUAAGAUAGUAUAACCGUGAGAACCUAUUGACUGCCAAUUAAAAUAUCCAUUGAAAUGUCUAGGGAGUUAUGAAGGUGGAGGUAACUUCCAAUUUCUAAGGCCACAGAGUAGACAUCAUCCAGGAUCCUAGGAAAGUCCAGUUAACCUCCUGCUCGAUGCAAUUAAUAAAUUUGGUCAAUGCCACUGAAACCUGCUAACUGACGUCACAAUGCGACAUGAGCACUUCAAAAUGGGACAGACGGUCAGUAGCACUAAAUUUUUCUUGCCCAAGAUUGAGCAAUUGGUCUAACUACUAAUCCCUAUUGUAGGUUGAUCAUUAUUUUUUCAAUUAUGUUCAGUUUGACCCAAAAAGUUGCAGAAUCUUGAGCUAAAUAUUGUCACUGAACACUGUCAAUGUCAUUUAGCAUAGCCAACUAACUUGAUGUUAAAACAAACACACAGUGUGUCUCAUGUCUCACAAUUCAAAUUAUCAUCUGUAAUGUUGGAGAAUUUUUCCAAUGUAUGAAGUAUGCUUUGAUACGUGGGUUACCUUGGAGAAGAUAUCUCAAAAUAAAGAAUAUGGGGAGAAAACAGUUCAGUAGUUUAUUAUUCUGUAGUCAAGUUUUGUCUCGAAAAUGGUCAAAAUUUAAAUGAAUAAGGACAGGGGAUCUUCAUUCUUUUUUCCCUUUUUUAUACCAAGAUAUCUCUCAACCUUUAUAUAAUCCCCACUGGAUAUCUGCUUCUAAUAAUUAAAAUAAAAAUUUCACCGCUCUAACAAUAAAAAGUAACAUCUUUCCUCAAAUAAUUUACAGUUCCUCAUCAUCUUAGUGUGAGAAUAUCAGUACAUUCCAAAAACAUAAUAAAACUGGUUUGAUCCUGUUUAUUGAUGUUUAAAUGUUGUUCAUUGUGACAGGUAGAAAUGAUGAGGCGAAGUUUAUUUGGACAUCAAUUAGUAAGAUCUUGUUUGAAGUUGUUUUCUGAAAUGAACUGCCAAAUGGUAGUUUUUUGGGGGCAUUUGAUGGCUCUUUUUUUUUCCUCAUUUUCAACAUGUGCCUGCUUGGAACAUGAAGGAUUAGGCUGCAGAGUUGUUAUAUAUUUUGAGAUGCUCUGGUCAUUGCACAAUUUGUUCACACUGGAAAUUAGAAUGAGAAAUUUGUUGAUGCUGUUUUGAGAGAUCUGCAUUCUAUGCACAAUAACAUGAUUAAUGAAAAUGCAUUGUAGGACUGGAAAGAUCUGUGGCAGCCUGAGCUCGCAGGAAGAAUUUCAAUGGUUAAUUCUCCCCGAGAGGUUAUUGGUUCAGUUUUGAAGUAUAGGGGAACAUCAUACAAUUCAAACUAUAUUGAUUCGCAAGUUGCUGGUGGGAAGAUUGCUGUUCAGCAGAAUCUGGCAUUACUGGCAAACCAGGUACUCUUACAGAAAUCAUAUCUGGUCAUUGCAUGUUAUUGCCUGACAACUGAUUUUGUUUGUAAAAGUCUGCUUCUUCAUACAUAUGAAUGCAUAUGUUAGUGUUUUCUUCUCCUUUUCAUACAUAUAAAUGCAUAUGUUAGUGUUGUCUUUUCCUUUUCACACAUAUUAAUACAUAUGUUGGUGUUCUCUCCUGAGAUGGAUGCAAUAAAGGCUUUUGCUCCUAAAUUUAGCUGAAGAAAUGGCAAGGGAUGUGAGAUUCUGUCUCAUUAAAUUAACAAAAACCCAAAACAAUGAAAAUCCAUAAUAAUGUGGUGUGGGUAAAUUGGCUCCAUUUGGUUCGUUUCCUUAAUGUGAAUGCGCGAGCAAUAGAGACUAACAAAAUGAAGUGACAACAAGAAGUCAGUGUCCUUUGAUGGAUGCAUUUUUAGGCAGAAAUAUGUUUGUAAUUGACCAAAUUUGUCUGGCAUGCCAAUUUCAAAAAAAUUAAAUUAUGUGGUUAUUAGCUGUAAUGAAGGGGGAUAGUAGGUGCAAUCAGGUGUAUCCAGGAAAGUUCAACAAAGUUUUGGUAUGGCGUAGUGAAAUUGGUUUGUGCAACUCAGGAGUCUUUCAGGUGAACGAUGAUAGGUUUUGAUUUAUGAAUAUUAUAAAUCUACUGUGCAUAGUAUUCUAGUAGAAUCAUCUAUAAGUUCUAGUUAUUGUAUACUUUGCCUGGUUUGAGUUAAGGGCACAUGUAAUAUGAAAGAUAGUUGUCGCAUCUUUUAGGUUACCUAACAUUUGAUCAAUCCUAUUAUGGGGGCUUCAAGAUGUCUAACAAUAUGUAGAAUGCCCAUGCUCCUCCCCAUUGUUUAUCUUCUACAAUAAUUUGUUUUAGAUGCUAAUAUCUUUGUCGAUACCGGUAACAAUAUUACAAUAUCUGCGUUUAUUGGGUUUUACAUAGGUUCGACUGUUUGACAGUACACACUAUCUGAAGGCAUUUGCAAUUGGAGAUGUAUGGGUUGCUGUUGGGUGGAUUAGUGAUGUUCUUCCUGCUGUCAAACAUAUGUCUAAUGUUGCUGUUGUUGUUCCCAAGUCUGGUGCUAGCUUAUGGGCUGAUCUUUGGGUAUACCCAUGCCUGCCAUUCUACUUCAAUAUUCACAUUGUUAUCUCCUUCAUAUUAGUGAUCAGUAAACACGAUAAUGUGACUAAUAAGUUCGUAUUCUCUUUAUAGGCAAUCCCUGCUGCCUCAAGACUUGAAACAAAACAAAUUGGAGGGCGAGUCAGAGGUGCAUUUCCAUUAAUCCAUCAAUGGAUAGAAUUCUGCUUGCAAACAGCGAGAGCAUUGCCUUUCAAGCAAGAGGUUAUCCCGAGCGCAUCUCCCUCUGCCCUUGAGAGUACUCUGGUUAAGUUGCCUGAAGAACUUUUCAAGGGUAAACCAAGUCUGGAUACUAACUUAAUUGCUGGAGUACCCCCGACUGAAAUUCUGGCCAGAUGUGAGUUUUUGGAGCCUUUAUUUGAAGCUACAUUGUCGGAUUAUGAGUGGCUGGUUACUAAUCUGCAAAAAUCCACUCCUGUACUGAUCAACAAGAUGCAACAUUACAUGUCAUCAUUGAUCUUUAGCUAAAGGUACAUUGAAAAGUUAAUGGCACUGCAUACCAGUCAUUAUAAUUGGGUCAGGGCAAUUAGGUCAGAGCAUAACUUCAUUAGGAAAAGAUGCUUCAGCUACGUUAAAUAUUACAGGAUGUACUGAGAUGGCUGAAGCUGUUGAGGUUUUACGAGAAUCGAAAGAUAGUGUUUGUUUGAACAAAGUUGUUGCCAAUCUUGCAGAGUUCGAGAAGAAAGAUCACGAAGUGAAUGCCACCGAUUUCUUCAUCAUUGUAGCCUCCAUAGUUGAAGUUUCCUCAUUUGAAGCUGUUUAUGCAUACGAUUUUCCCCUGCUCAAGUACAGGAAAUUGAAGAAUUAACCAGAUGUGAUAUGCUGAAAGAGGGAAGUUUUCUUCCUUGAAUGUGGUCUUUGUGAUUUGUCUUGAAGGAAUAGGGUGAUCACUGGCAAGAACCCUAUCAAGGUAGAUUUUAUGAUGUUAACAUAUCAUUAAGCAUUUUGUUACAUCAGCAAUGAUGCUUUCAUAGCAGCAUGAAAGUGUUUAAAUUUAACUGAAUGAUCUUGAUUGAUCAAUUAUGAGUUUUAAUCGAGUAAAAACUAAAUACAAUAAUCGUUAACAAAUAUUGAAAUUGGGUAAAUAUGAUCUUGAUAUUGAAGAAUUUGAAAUCACAACCCACACAGGAAAUCACCCUUCGCGUGGGGAUGGAGAUGUUUACUGCAGCGAUAUUGAAUAUGUCCACCGCUCUUUGGGUUAUGGUGCGACUUGCCCUGAAACAAUGGAAAAGAAUAAUUAAUAAUUUAACGCCAAGACAUAAAAUUAAAACGUGUGGACUCCGGUAGCUGCCCUACAAGUCUACAACUCUACAAACAUUAACUCUACAAACAUUAAAACGUGUGGACUCCGGUAGCUGCCCUACAAGUCUACAACUCUACAAGAAUAAUUUCUAGCCCUGUUGACUCCACUAACUAAAGAAAUUUCAAAACGUACAUAGAAUUCCACAACAAGCAAAACGUAUGGAAUUUAAUUUUUUGCCGUGUGGAACAAAAUACAAUUUAACAAAAAAGGAUAAGAAAAAUGGUAAGAUUUCUAAAAUGAGUGGAAGGUGAUUCAUAUUUUACUGAAAUGACUUGUCCUGAACAUUAAGACGAUUGAUUUUUUUUUUUUUUUAAUAACAUCAACUUCCAUAUCUUUCUAACCCCUAGAAUAUGCUCACGUUCAAGUCUAUCUUGGUAAUUUGAAAAAGAAAAUCAAAUCAAAUCAACACCAAAACAAUGAAAAGUAAAACUUUUGAAUUUCAACUUUAAACUUUUGUUAACCCCUAGAAUAUUCAGCGUUUUCAAAUUCUUCCGAUUGCAUAUCUUCUUCCUCCAUCAAUGCAAUAUUUGAACGAUUAUGAAAGAGUUUAAGAACAUAAAAAAUCUCCAAGGUUUAUACGGUAUAACAAAUUUAAAUUCUCAAUUACAAUAGAUAAUAAUUAAACUAAUAAUUUUUUAUGUACUUAUUUUAGUAAUUUCACCUAAGAAUAAUAUUGUAAUUAGAAAAAAAAAUCUAAUAAGUAGGGUGGUCUUAUACAAAAUCAACUGUACUGUGAUGAGUUUCCUUUUGUUAAUAAUUUUAGUCUAAUUUCAAUUGUACUGUGAUCGCUUCUCAAGGUAAGUGAAAGUUACAGAUGUGGCAAAAUAAAUAAUUAAGUUAACAAAAUGCUAACUAAUUUUCCUCAAUACCUAGGGUUGUACAAUUUCACCAACCUGGAAGAAUUGACAUUAAUGGACUGGUCUCCUCCCCAUAUAAUUAUAAUCCUUCUAGAAAGCUAUUUUUUAUUAAAUAUUUGCUUUUAAGUUAAUUUCAAUUAAAAAAUGUUUUAAGUUAUAUAUACUCUAAUGAGAUUCUGAAUUCCUUUAUUCCAAUAAUAAUGAAAACGUAUUAAAUUAGAAAUGAAAAAAUUGGUGUUGAUGAUUCAACCUAUUUGGAUAGAUUACGUGAAUAAAAUUAAAAUUUUGAUUUAAUUUUUGUUUAUUGUUAAUUCUCAGGCUAUCUUAAUUUCAAGAAUUUAGAAUGUUAAUUUGGUCAUGGAUUUCAACCCGUGAGUGUCAUAUUCUAGACUUAAUGGUACCAUUCUUUGAUUGAGGGCAAUGACUCUCACUCCUCUUGUAAAAAAAUAUUUUCAACUAUUUUGAUGACUUAAAAAUUGAUAGAUUUAUUGUUGUCAUGACCAAAUUAUUCAUUUUAAUGAAAUAUAAUUAAUGCAUCAAAGUUACCAGGUUUAUGUUCUAUCUUAAUGCGCUUUUUUUUUUUUCAGUUAUAGCUUCUGCUUACGUCUGUUUCAUUUUUUUUAAUAAAAAAACAAGGGAAGGUUUUUCCGAGUCAUCCAUUAUUUGAUUUCCGUCAAUCAAGAAAACGACCAAAUUAAUUUCUCUCCAAAAUUUCCAAAAGCUAGAAAAUUUUGUUAUUUGAAAAUAACAUGAUUAAUUAUAGAGUGGAUCAAACCGCGUUAUUGUCUUUCAUAAAAUUGAUGUCUUUUUAAGAGUCAAUACUUUUUAUUUACGCAAACCAGUCGACAUCAAUUUAAACUUCCAUAUUUUUAUUAUUAUUAUGUUAUUUAUUUUAAUCGCCGAUUAUUUGAUUAGCCACUAUAUAUAUCAAGAAAGCGACAAAAUUUAUUUCUCAUGACUUCCAAAAACUAGAAAAACAACAUCAUUUAUUAUUUUUUUGCAACCCUAAUUGACAUCAACUUUAACUUUAUUAUGUUAUUAUUUCAAUCCCCAUUAUGACCUUUCUAAUCCUCCAUUAUGCAUCUUUUAUAGUGCAAAUUUAAUUGCACAUCUAAAUAAAUUGAUUAUUGUUACUCCACCACCAAUAUUUCAAAUAGUCACUAGACCAUUUCUGCCUUUAAUUUUCCCUUAACUAUUGACUGUUUUUAGCAUCUUAAAAUAUACAUUUAUUCCUUGAUUAUGUGAUAAAAUUAUGAAAAUAUCCAUUUUAGCUUAAAUUAAUUGGAAUAACCAUAAGCGUAACAUAAAUUAAUAGAACAAAAUUAUCAAGUGUAUGUUCUAUCUUACUUUUUGAAGAAUUUAACAUAUAUAAUGCUAUACUAUUAAUAAAUUUUUCAUUUACUAUAUAUGUUCACAUAUUUUAUAUAUUUAUUAAUUGUUAUAUAGUCACAGGAUGAAUGAUUUUUCAGGUCUACAUGAGUUGGUGCACAUGCAAGACUCAAUUUUGACAACAAUGAUCUAAGGGGUAAUUUACCUUGGUGUUUGACAAACAUAACCUCUCUUCAUGAUUUACUUCCAAUCUACUUACUGUAAAUAUCUCCUCAUCUCCUCUCAUUUAUAUGAUAAGUGAUAACCCUUGAAGAUCUCACAUUUUCAAACGAUCAUAUUAGGGUUUUUAUUAUUAGCAUCAUUGUGUCAACAAAAUAUAUGUUGCAGUAAGAUUUUUUCAGACCAAUUCCCUUCUUCAAAUAAUAAUGGAAAAGUAUUAAUUUAAAAAUAAAAUGAAUAUGCAUUGAUUAUAUCCUGAUUUCCAUCGAUUAUAGCGAGAGUUUCUCCGAAUCAACUCCCUUAUUCAAAUAAUACAGAAAAAAUAGUAAUUUAAUAGUAAAAUUAGCAAGUGUUGAUUAUAUAUCCUAAGUUUCAUCGAUUAUGUGAUCAAAGUGGCAUUGUUGAUUUAUUUCUUGUUCAAUGUUAAUUUUUAGGUUAUCUAAAUUUCAAGGAUUUAAAAUCUUUGUUCAUGGAUUACACGCUUAUUAAUUUUUCUGCCAUUGACUGUCAUAUUCUAGACUUAAUGGUACCUUCCUUGAUCAAGGAUAAUUACUCUAUGUUCUCCUCUUAUAAAUUCCUCUUCCAUUAACAUCACUAGGAGUAUGUUGAUCUCUCAGACGUUAACUUUAGUGGAGAGUUUCCAAAUUGAUUGUUACAAAACAACACAAAAACUAGACACACUUGAUCUGUCUAAUAAUUCUCUUUCGAUAAAAUUAAUUAAUUUUAGGGGAAUAUUCGACCAACCUCUAUAAUUUCAUAUUGAUCAUUAAUUAAUUAGACGAAAAAAGUACUUGUGCUUUUGUGGCGACAAUUGAACUAGAGAAGUGAAGCUGUAAAGAUUUGGCAGUAGUAAAUUGUUAGAAAGACAUAAAGACAAUUUCCCAUUUUAUAAUUUUUUCAAAAAACUUUUUUACAACACAUGCACCUGGCCAAAAAUUUUAUUUUGCUAACUAACAAUAAUUGAGUAGCUGACCGUAUUGACUCCGCCUACUUGCUAAAGUAAAAAAAUAGAAAUAGAAUUUCCACAAAAUGUCAAACAUGUAAAAUCUAAUAUUUGCAUGUGGAACAAAAUACAAAUGAAAAAAAAAAUAGAAAAAAGGCCUAAGACUUUUAAAAUGUGUGGAAAUCUUUCGGCCCUUUUAUAAUGGUGUGUUUUUCAAAGGAACAACUAAUAAUAAUGACACUUCUACGGUUUGUUUUGAUAAUUACACAUAUACUCUUUAAUUUGAUAAAUGGUUACACAAAUUUUGUUUACAAAAAUAUAUUAUUCAUGUUCUGUAUAUUUUUUAACAUCAUAUUUUUAUUUAUUAUAAUUGUUUAAAGUUAAUUGUUAGGUUGAUAUAUAAUAAAAACGUAUAAUCGUUCUCUUACUAAACACACAUACUCGUAGUUUCUAUCCAUUUGUCAUCUCAAUCUCUCUCAUUUAUCCUUUCUUGAUAGCUCAAAACGCGUCACUGUGGAAAAUAAUAGCAAAACGACAAUAUGGAAAGAAUGGGAAGAAAAUUAAUGCAUGAAAGAGUUGCAGAAGACAACCAAAUAAGUCAACUAUACGCUAGUUGGGUGUAUAAAUUGUUAGAUGUGUUAUAAACAAAUAGCAUAGAGCCUUGGUUGGUUACAGAGAUAGAAAAACUGUGUGUGUUUUUUAGAACUUAAAGAUACAGUUAGAAUGGGUGGUUCAAAAUCAAAAAUGGUGAUAAUGUUUGUUCUGUUAUUAAUAAUAUUAGAAGGUGGGUGGAGUGAAGGAUGUUUGGAUCAUGAGAGAUUUGCUCUUUUGCGACUCAAACAUUUCUUCGAUGAUACUGGUAGUUAUUUUUACUACUGGGCAGAUGGUGAGGGAGCUACUGAUUGUUGUCAGUGGGAAAGGGUUGAGUGCAGCAACACCACAGGCCAAGUGAUAGUGCUAGACCUUUUUGAAACGUAUUUGGGAGAGUACAGCUGGUAUCUGAAUGCUUCUUUGUUUACUCCCUUUCAACAACUUGAGUCACUUGAUUUAUAUGGCAACAAAAUAGUCGGUUUUGUUGAGAAUGAAGGUACUUCGUCUAAUUCAAUUAAUUUACAUUUCGCUCUCCUAAUUUAAGUCGAAUAUCAAGACUGAGCAGCUAUAUGCAUAUUCAUUCAAUUGACAAUUUUUACAUAUUUUUUAAAAUGUUUAAUUUUGAAAUUACACCAAACAUCAUAUGUGGUUUUGAUUUUACUUGCAGGUCUAGAAAGAUUGAACAACUUGAAGAGGCUUGAUUUAAGUUAUAACUUGUUCAACAAUAGCAUCUUAUCAUCUGUGGCUCAUCUUUCUUCACUAACAUCAUUAGAUUUAUCUGGAAAUAGAUUGGAAGGAAGUAUUAAUGUUAAAGGUACGUAAUUAAAACGUCAUCGCUUCUCUCAACUCUUUCAUUAACAUGCUAAAAUAAGAUUCAAGGCUUUGAAUUCAUUUUUUUUUAUGAGUAAAUAUUAGAAAAAUAGUUUUAAGCAAUUCAUAAAUACAAUUUUCAAUGUUUCUCAUAAUUUCAUCUUGUACUUUCGUAUGUCUUGACUUUAAGAUUAAAAAAAAAAAUUACUCUAACUGUGAAGCAAAUACCCCAUGACUAAUUUAUCAUUUCGUCCAGUUAAAAAUGAUAAAAUUUAUCAUUUGUUUAUAUUGAUUAAUUAACUCUAUUUUAAGUCUUAAGUCUUGGCGUCUUGGCAUAUUUGCAGAAUUUGAUUCCUUGAGCAACUUAGAGGAGUUGGACAUGAGCGACAAUGAAAUAGACAAUUUAGAGGUUCCUCAAGGUAAACAAUUAAAAUAUUAUUCAAUUACAUUAAUUUAAUUCGUUUGAUUAGGGAAGACCCAAAAGGUACAAAAUAUAAUAAUAAUAAUAAAGAAACAGAGAAUCUAUAUUAUUUCAAAAAAUAAAACGUAAUACUAUUAUUUCAAAAAUAGAUUGUAAUAAAGAUUUGAUUCCGGUUCUUUAAUCUUUACAGCAAUUGAAAAACGAUGUUGCUCUUUUCCUGAAGCAUAAAAUAUGAAAUGACUCCCAAUACAAUUAAUCAUUUAUUUCGUUUACUCUAAAAUUAGACAAUGAAUCUUUAUUUUCUUCAGUCUUAUCCUAAUUAUUAUUAAUAACAGGUUACAAAGGUUUGAGGAAGUUGAAUUAUCUUGAUCUAUCGAAUGUUGGAGUUAGAGAUGGAAGCAAGUUGUUACAGUCAAUGGGAUCAUUCCCAUCCCUCAACACUCUUUACCUGAAGGAUAAUAAUUUUACCGAUAUAGCGACAACUACUACUCAAGGUAAGUAAAAGAUACAGAUGUGGCCAAAUUUACAAAUAAAUUGUUAAUUAAUUAAUUUUUCCGUAUUAUUAAUAAAGCUAAAUUCGUCGCUCCUUCCUUCUAAUUCUAAACAGAGUUGGCAAUUUCACCAACUUGGAGUAUUUGACAUUGGACUUGUCCUCGCUCCAUUUAAGCCUUCUACAAUUACUUGAAGAAUGAAUUUAUUUAUUAUUAUUAUUGUUGUUGUUGUUGUUGUUGAAGUGAGGUGGGCAAGCGUUCACUCAAUUAAUAUGUGAGGAAUUAAUAAUUACAAUCCAAGGUAGAAUUGUGGAAAAUUAAAGCAAAAUGAGAAAUAUGGAAAGAAAGGAAGAAAGUUAAGGGCAUGAAAGACUAGGAGAAGACUAAAGACCACCAAAUAAGUCAACUGAAAACUAGCUGGGGCCUGGGUGUACAAAUUGUUAGAUGUGUUUGUUAUAAAUAACAUAGAGCCAUCUUGUUGGUUGCAGAGGCAGAGAGACACAGAGUGUGCAUUUUGUUAAUUAAAAAUAUAUAUAAAAUGGGUGGUUCAAAAUCCAAAAUGGUGAUAAUGUUAGUUUUGUUAGUAUUAAUAAUAUUAGAAGGGAGGUGGCGUGAGGGAUGUUUGGUGCAUGAGAGAUUUGGUCUUUCGAGACUUAAAACAUUUCUUCAAUUCUCCUUAUAAUUUUUGUCACGACUGACCGUUGUCAAUGGGAUGGGGCUGGGUGCAGGGUUGAUUUACGUUAGAACAAUAUAGCCGGUAGUGUUGAGAAUGAAGGUGUUUCAUUUAAUUUAAUUAAUUUACUUUCUCCCUCCUAAUUUAAGUGGAAUAUCAAGACUGAACAAUUAUAUGCAUCUUCGUUCAGUUGACAAUUUUGACAUUUUUUUUAAGUGAUUAAUUUUGAAAUUACACCAAACAUUAUUUGUGAUCUCUGUUUUGACUUUACUUGCAGCGCUAGAGACGUUAUCAAGAUUGAGCAACUUGACGAUACUUGAUUUAAGUUAUAACUUGUUCAAUAAUAGCAUCUUGUCAUUUGUUGCCCGUCUUUCAUCAUUAACAUCAUUAGAUUUAUCUUACAAUGGAUUGGAAGGAAGUAUUAAUGUUAAAGGUACGUAAUUAAAACGUCAUCGCUUCUCCCAACUCUUCCAUUAACAUGCUAAAAUAAGAUUCAAGGCUUUGAAUUCAAUUUUUUUUUAUGAGUAAUAUUAGAAAAAUAGUUUUAAGCAAUUCAUAAAUACAAUUUUCAAUGUUUCUCAUAAUUUCAUCUUGUACUUUUGUAUGUCUUGACUUUAAGAUUAAAAAAAAAUUACUCUAACUGUGAAGCAAAUACCCCAUGACUAAUUUACAAUUUUGUCCAGUUAAAAUGAUAAAAUUUAGGGAAAUUAUCAUUUGUAUACCCUUAGUUUACUCUAUUAUCAAAAAUACUACAACACUUUGAGGGUGUAUCAAUCGUCCACCCUAAGUUGACAAAAUGUAUUAGCCAACCACCAAACCGUUAGUUGCCGUUUAAAUAUGAUAACAUCAUAAGGGUAAUCUGGUCUUUUCAUAUGAUACAAGUGAUAAUUUAAGGGUAUACAAGUGAUAAAAAGAGAGUUUAAGGGGAUACAAGUGAUAAUUUUCAAGGGUAAAAUCGUCAAUUUACUGUAAUUCCGUUAACUUUCAAACGGCAAUUAACAGUUUGGUGGUCGGUUGAUACAUUUCAUCAACUUAGGGUGGACGAUUGAUACACCCUUAAAGUGUUGUAGUAUUUUUGAUAAUAAAGCAAAUAUAGGGUAUACGAAUGAUAAUUUCCCUAAAAUUUAUCAUUUGUUUAUAUUGAUUUAUUAACUCUAUUUUAAGUCUUAAGUCUUAAGUCUUGGCAUGUUUGCAGAAUUUGAUUCCUUGAGCAACUUAGAGGAGUUGGACAUGAGCGGCAAUGAAAUAGACAAUUUCAAGGUUCCUCAAGGUACACAAUUAAAAUAUUAUUUAAUUACAUUAAUUUAAUUCGUUUGAUUAGGGAAGACCCAAAAUGUACAAAAACAUAAUUAAAAAAAAUAAAGAAACAGAGAAUUCAUAUUAUUUCAAAAAACAAAAGGUAAUACUAUUAUUUCAAAAAAGAAUGUAAUAAAGAUUUGAUUCCGGUUCUUUAAUCUUUAUAGCAAUUGAAAAACAAUGUUGCUCUUUUCCUAAAGCAUAAAAUAUGAAAUGAGUCAUAAUUGAAUUAGUCAUUUAUUUUGUUUAGAUCUAAAUUUAGACAAUAAAUUUUGAUUUUUUUUUCAAUUCUAUCCUUAUUAUUAUUGUUAAACAGGUUACAGAGGUUUGAGGAAGUUGAAAAGCCUCUAUCUAUCGAAUGUUGGAGUUAGAGAUGGAAGCAAGUUGUUACAGUCUAUGGGAUCAUUCCCAUCCCUCAACACUCUUUACCUGAAGGAUAAUAAUUUACCGAUAUAGCGACAACUACUACUCAAGGUAAGUAAAAGGUACAGAUGUGGCCAAAUUUAUAAAUAAACUGUUAAUUAAUUAAUUUUCUGUAUUAUUAAUAAAGCUAAAUUUUUGCUCAUUCCCUCUAAUUCUAAACAGAGUUGCACAAUUUCACCAACUUGGAAUAUUUGACAUUGCACGGUUCCUCUCUCCAUAUAAGCCUUCUGCAAAGCAUUGCAUCAAUAUUCCCUUCGUUAAAAAAUCUGUCGAUAUCUUUGUGAAGUCAAUGGUGUCGUACAUGGUCAAGGUAAAAGAAAAGUGUUGGUUGUGCACUCACUGAGUGUUGUCCUACGUAUUCAAUAUUUUUAUUUAUUUAUUUUAUUGUUUAAUGUUUCUGCUAGGUUUUCCUCAUUUCAAGAGUUUGGAACAUUUGGGCAUGAUGUCCACGCGCAUUGCACUCAACACCAACUUUCUUCAAGUCAUCAGAAUCGAUGCCUUCUCUUAAGUACUUAUCACUGUCAUAUUCUACUCUUGCACUAACAGCAGCAGGAUUCUUGAUCGAGGUUAAUCAGAUGCUCCCACCCUCCAUUCUUAAUCUAUAAUAUUAAUUUUCAGUUAAAUAUUUAAUUACACAAACCAAUCACUUAUUAUAAAAGAACAAUACGCAUUCAUUAAUUUUUAUAUUAUAUUAAUUGAUGAAUUUAAUAAAUUCCAGGCCUCUGUUCGCCGGUGCAUCUGCAAGAGUUAUACAUUGGUUCUAACGAUUUAAGAGGUAGCUUGCCUUGGUGCAUGACAAAUUUGACAUCCCUCCGAAUAUUAGAUGUUUCUUCCAAUCAACUUACUGGAAGCAUCUCCUCGUCUCCCCUCAUUCAUUUGACAUCCAUUGAAAAGCUGUAUCUUUCAAACAAUCACUUCCAGAUCCCAAUUUCACUUGAACCACUUUUCAAUCAUUCAAGACUCAAGACUUUUUAUGCUGACAACAACGAACUAAAUGCAGAAAUAACUCAGUCACAUUCUUUGACCGCCCCAAACUUCCAAUUAUCACGUCUCUCAUUGUGCAUCCAACGAAAGACAAACCACGUGUAGUCUUUUAAUUAAGCCAAAGUAGCAGCUCAAACAAAUGACACUUGGACCAACAUGCAAUCAUGAAGUGGCCGGAAAAAGGACAAAUGCAACUUUGGCUUAAAUAAAAAAUAACAUGUGACUCGACUUUUGCUGGACAUGCAUCAUGUUAUUACAGACAACAAAAAUCAGUAUGAUAGUACUAAAAGUUGACAAUAACAUGAAGAUAAGAGGCAGAAUGUCAACACAUGCAUAGGCACACAAAGAAAGUAUUAACGUAUAUACCAUAGCAAAAAAGUAUUUGAUAUGUCAUCUGUUGCUGCUGUGAUUCAACUGACAGCAUGGCAGCUGUUGCUUCUCUACCAAGAGCCAUUAUUGUAGAUUAAGCUCGGUCAAUCUUGCUUCUGCAUUUCGAAGCUUCACAGCACUCUCUGCUGAUAUAUCAGAUUCCCUAAUCUUUGAUCGGUGCCUAAAUACUUCAGCUGCCUGGUGAAAAUAUUCAAUAUAAAUCUAAUAUAAAUUCUCAUCUUGCCUUAUGCAUGCAUAUGUUACCUCAAAGCUUACCUGGGCUUCAACUUCAUGUCGAAGUUUGUCAUAACGAUGAGUCAGGUGUCGAGCAUCUUCCAAAGGUGCUCCGUUGAUUAACGCCCGUAGUGGCUCAGAUACCUACAUGUCCAAAAACCUGUAACAUAGUUAGAAAAAUGAAAAGAAAGAGCGAAACCUCAAUUAAAAAGUCCUCCAACAUAAUCAUGGAAUUUGGCCUACUUCAAGGAUAUAUAUAUAGGAUAAUUUAUGCAAUUUUGGGUCUUAGGAUGAUUCAUAUUAGGUUAGUGUUCUUCUCUUCUGUAUUUAAGGUUAAAAUAGAAAUAAACCUAUGCAAAUAUAUAAAUUAGGGCUGUAAGAACACAUGCAACAUGGAUUUGAUUUUACUAUAGAUGCAAGUGUCUUUAUCGAAAAUGCUUGGAGUCAAUUGAGAGAACUCACGGCCAAUAACUUGUCACACGCUAGUCUUUGCUAGUGAUGUAAGAAGUCACAAGGUCUCUUCAGCAUUUGAACCAAUAAAAUUAUUAAGUCAUGGAUGUCACUAGCAAUGAUUUUAAUAUAAAAUAUUAAAUAUUUCAAGUUGUAACUUUAAAAUGGAUUCUUUUAUUCAAUAUCUUAGAACUAAGUUUCCUUAUGAGAAGAUAAUAGUUUCAGUAGUAAUGUACAUAUAAUUUUCUAUAUUGAAUUAUUUUCUAGUAGGGAUGAACUAACCUGAUCACGAAGAAUCCCAAGCAAAGUUUCCCUCUCAUUUUCCAUCAAAUCAUGUGAAGUGCCAAAUUGAAGAGCAGCUCUUGCAACGCAAGAAUUGUCACUUUGAUUCUCCACUCCAUACUUGCAACAAUCUUCGGCCAACUUUCUCGCUACAAUAUUUGAAUACAAAAAUAUUGUACACAAGAACUAGUCAAGAAAAUUAAAAAAAAAAUCAAAUAUUUAACGAGAGCAAGAGCAAACGAACAACCUAUUUCCAUUUGUUUCAAGCUUACUGCAACAAACACUUCAACGCCACGGACAACAUUCCUCUGACAAUAUUCCAAAUUAUUGUUCAGAUAAAACCAUAGAAACCAUCAUAAUUGUUCAACAUACAUUAAGCUAAAGGAGGAUGGUGCCUUAGCUGCCCUGGUGGAAUUGUAUAGAUUUUGAAGUUGUUGGUGACACUCAAUUUCAGAUUCAUCAACCGCAACAUUUUCAAUACCAAGAUGGAGCAGAUGCUUCAAUACUGCCUGUACAAAUCAUAAAAAAAUGAAAAAUAAAAUAAAAUCGAGAAAUUUCACUAACUAAAAGUCUAAAUUAAUUUUUUAAAAAGAAAAGAAACGGACUUGCUGCUGCUUGGCGACUUGUUCUCGGGCUUGAUUGCUGUUCUUGAUAGCUUCCAUACUGUUUCUUUCAAAAGCGACGACGGCUCGCUCAUGGGAGUGGAAAAAAAAGUGUGAUCGGGAAAAUAAAAAGGCAUGAAUAAUUUUUGAAAAAAAGCGAAAAUCAAGGAAGCCAGCUCUUUCCAGAAAUAAAAAAGAAAAAAAAAAGAAAUUAUAGUUUGAAGGAGAAGAUGAUGUGGAAGUGCGGUGUGGCUGACAGCUACUUGGAUUGUAUUGUCGGGUAGGUAAUAGUAGAGAAUUUUUUUUUAAGAAAAUAGUAGAGAAUUUUUUAGAAGCUAGAACAGAGCAUGACAUUAGACUUUUGUUGACCAAGGAUGUUGUUUUAUUCUUCUAUACUUUACGUUUGGUUUGGUUUUUCAAACUAAAUAAUCAGUAGCAAAAUACAAUUUAGAGAUUAGGGGGUGAACUAGCUAGGUGGUUUACAAAUAUUCUAUUUGUAAGGUGAAUUAAUUGAAUCAUGAGAAAACAAUGUGACCAUAGCUCAAUAUGAGAUGAUUUCGGAGAGGCAUAUUGUUUUCAAGUGAAUUUGAUCCAUUAAGAGAUGAAGUGGAUUGAAGUGGAAAGUUUAAAUAACAAAUCCUUGUUCUUGAGUUUUACGACGUUGUUACUCCUUCAGGUGGCAGAUUAUGCAAGUGAAUUCAAAAACACAAUGCAUCAAUCACGGGGAUGCUACAUCAAAGACGGGAUCAUAGUCUAUGCAUUGAACAGUUACAGUUGCUGCUACCAAUUGCCUCGGCAAAGAUCAAGAAGACUGAACGGGAAGUUAAUGCCAUCAAGGAGUUGUCUAGUGUUCUUUUCCUUAUGCUAUGAUCGGUGCUCUUGAGGCUGCCCUGAAACACAGGAAAAUACUUCGAUAUCCUCCAUUCGAUGAUGCAAAGAACGGUUAAUGUAUGAUUACCUAAUUGACUCAGGAUCAGGUAACAACAACAACAAUUUUUAAUAGUAAUAUCACAAACGAAGAAGAUUUCGGAGAGGAGAUGUAAGCGUAUACUGUUUACAGGUUUGAUCCACUGGGGAUGAAGUGGUCUCAAGUGGAAAGUGAUUUAUUAAACAACAAAUCAUUGUUCUUGGUUAUACCUCAUGAUGUCAUCAAGUGGAAGAUGAAGAUCGUUUGAUAUUGAAGAAUUUGAACAGAAAGCCCAUAGAAAGUACUUAAAUAAGCAUAUUUUGUUGGGGUAGAAUAUUAAGAAAGGAGUUGUCUACUGUGUGUUGCGUAAUUAUGCUAUGAUCGGUGCUUUCAACAUUGCCCUGAAAACAGUGGGAAAUACUUCAUACCCUCGACAUGAUGAUGAAAAAUUGGUUACCGAUUACCUAAUUGACUCAGGUGACAACAAUCCAUUAAUAGCACAAUUUGACGUGAUGCCGUUUAGGUAUAUGGUUUUCAAGUUUGAUUCAUCAGUGAUGAAGCGGACUAAAAUUAAAAGUUUAAAUGAUAAGUCAUUGUUCUUGGGCAUAUCGUCAUUACUACUUCCAGUGAUCAACGAUGAAGAUGAAGAUGAAAAUUGUGCGAGUUCAAGAUUACCAUUUAUCAUUACUUGGGAUAUUACUUCAACAUAGAUGGGGUUAUAAUUUACUCCCACGAACAUCAACUCAACUUUAUGAUUGGAGUGUCUCACCGUGACUCAGACAAAUUCUGAUUCAACCUCCUUCACCAAUGGAUUUUGAUUAGUUAUUUUGUGAUCAAGCAACUUAAUUAAACUCACAGUUUGUUAGUCUAAUUUUAGUUUUACUGUGACCACUAUUCAAGGUAAGCGAAAGUUACAGAUGUGGCAAAAUCAAUAAUUAAAUUCAUAAAAUGUUAAAAAUAAAACUUAUAAAUGUUGCAUGACUACUUACUAAUAAAUAAAUAAGUUAGAAUGUAGUUAGUUAAUUUUACACCAUAUUAUAUAUUAUUCGAUAAUAAUAUAAAAUAAAAAUAAUUAAAAAAUAAAUAAUUGAAUAAAUAAAUAUGGCUUUCUAAACAGUAAAAAUUCUAGAGUUAAAAUUUAUAUUAUUAUUUUAUUUUUUAAAAUUGACAUUUUUCUAUUGUCUUACAUGUACAAAGAUUUUGAGAGUUGAGAAGAAUAUAUUUAAUGAAGCUUGAUAACAUUUGAUGGGAUAGCAAGUAAGGGUAAAUAAGAUAUUUUUAUUUGUUAUUUAUUUGAAUUAUAUCUAUUUGUUCAAGUUAAAAUACUAAAUAUAAAUUGGAGGUAGACAUUUUAACAGAUCAUCUAAGCUCUCAAAUCUGAAAUUUUGUGUAGAUUUAAAUUCAUAAUCCCCAAUUAUUUGAUCAGCAACUAUCAAGAACUAACCAAAUUUAUUUCUUCAUGACUUCCAAACACUAGAAAAUUUUGUUAUUUGAUAAUAAUAUCAUUAAUUAGAGUUUAUCAAACCGCAUUAUUUUCUUUCAUAAAAUUGAUGCCUAUUAGUGUCACACUUUAUUUGUAUUACCUAGCGGACAUCAACUUUUUUUUUAAUUUUUUAAAUUAAAAAGACCAUUUGAUUUUAACCCAUGUUCUUGGCCUUAGGGAAGCUGACUUCUUUUAUAGUCAGGCGAUGAGUUAAGAAGUGACAUAGCAUUCAGGCGAUGAGUUUAUUUUUGUUAUCUUGCUAACAGUUUUAGUCUAAUUUUAGUUUUACUGUGACCACUAUUCAAGGUAAGCGAAAGUUACAGAUGUGGCAAAAUCAAUAAUUAAAUUCACAAAAUGUUAACUAAUUAAAUUCAUAGAGUUGCACAAUUUCAUCAACUUGGAAGAAUUGACUUUAAUGGACUGGCCUUCUCCCCUAUAAUUCUAAUGCUUCUAGGAAGCAAAUUUUUAUAAAUUAUUUAUUUUUGAGUUAAUUUCAAUUUCAAAAAACAAAUUUUUUAAGUUAUUGAUACUCUAAUGAGAGUAUCUUCAUAACAAUUCCCUUGCUCCAAUAAUAACAAAAAGGUGGUUACUUAGAAAUAAUUAAAAUAAAUAAGUGUUGAUUAUAUAUCCUAAUUUGCAUCGAUUUUUUUUUACCUUAAUUUCAGGAAUUUGGAAUAUAAGUUUGUGAAUGGAGGAUGAUCACGCGUGUGUUAAUUUUUCAGUCAUUGACUGUCGUAUUCUCGACUUAACGAUAGUGUUCUUGAUCAAGGGCAAUGACUCCCACCCCUCUUUUAAAAAUAUUGUCAAGUAUAUUGAUGACAAAAUCUCUUAUAGUUAAUAGUCUUUAAAAAUUUAUAGAUUUACUAUUGUCAUGACCAAAUUAUUCAUGUUUAAUGAAAUAUUAAUGCAUCAAAAUAGAUAUCUUCGGAAUCUAAUCCGAUCGGCUCAAUCCGUUUCAUUCGCAAAAGUGCAAUCCGCAAAAAUUUGAUCUGUGGAUUAGUGGAUUGGAUUGGAUUGAAAGUUUAAAAAUCCAUAGUCGAUAAAUUGGAUAUCGAUUUACUUCUCUAAAUAUGCAAAAAUUCAUGAAUUCGCAAAAAAAAAAUGUAUUUACUAAUAAAUAAAUAAGUUAAAAUGUAGUUAGUUAAUUUAACACCAUAUUAUAUCUUAUUCGAUAAUAAUAUAAAAUAAAAAUAAUUAAAAAAUGAAUAAUUGGAUAAAUAAAUAUGACUUUCUAAACAGUAAAACUUCUAGAGUUAAAAUUUAUAUUGUUAUUCUAUUUUUUUAAAUUGACAUUUUUCUAUUGUCUUACAUGUACAGAGAUUUUGAGAGUUGAAAAGAAUAUAUUUAAAUAAAAUAUUUUUAUUUGUUAUUUAUUUCAAUUAUAUCUAUUUUGUUCAAGUUAAAAUACUAAAUAUAAAUUGGAGGUAGGCAUUUUAACAGAUCAUCUAAGCUCUCAAAUCUGAAAUUUGUGUAGAUUUAAAUUCAUAAUUUUAGUUAAUUUUCAUAUAUUCAUAUAAACAAAUUUAUGAGAUUUUUUUCUUUUCAACAUGUUAUAUUUUUAAACUUUCAAUGUAUUAUUUUAGCUAUAUUUAAACAAUUAAUUUAUUUAAUUUUAAAUUUGAUCAGUAUAAAAUGUUUUUAUAUCAAAUUUUUUUAUUUAAAUAGUUCGUGGAUUGGACAAAAUUAAACAUUUUUAAUUCUUAAAUGAUGGAUUGGAUAUGAAUUGGAUCAAAUCCACAUUCGAUCCGCAGUUAUAUGGAUUGAAUUUGAAUUGAAUUUCAUCAAUCUAUGGAUUAUAUUGGAUUAAAAAUUUAUAAUCCACAAAAUCGUUGAUUAGAUAUGGAUUGAUGUCCAAUUCGCAAAAUCUAAUUGCCGAACACUCCACUAUCAAAAUUUUCAAAAUAUGUUUUAUCCUAUAAUUUUUUUUUAAAGUCAUAGUCUAAUGGCAGCUCAAUUUCUACUGCAUUCAUAUAAGCGGAGUUCAAAUCUCAUACCUCUUAUCUCCACACGAGAUUUAACCAGUUGAAAUAGCUAGCACCCACAAAUAUACUAGUACAGCAUCUCUUAACGUUUAACAUACGUAUAAUUAACGCCAUAGCUAUUGAUAAACACAUUGUUCAAUAUAUAUGAUCAAGAAUCUGAUCCUGCGAGCAACAGCAGUAAGAAGAACCAUUAUAAUGCCUAGCUCUUAUCCCGGUUAAUCCUCUGGCCCGAUGCUUCAUCAUAGUGAUUUAAAAAACAAACAACAGCUCUCUAAAAGAGAUGAAGAUAUCAUCUACGUAAAGAACAUGAAACGGAGAUUCACAACCCAUAAGAACUGAGAUAAAUUGGACCAGACCGGUAAUCUUGAGAUAAGUUAAACUGUGACCUAAGUUGAAAUCAGAGGACCAGAAUUUUAAAAUCUUUCGGCUAAGCCCCUGAGCAAUUUUCUAGAGUACGGCUUCUGCUUACCUCUGUUUAAUUUCUCUUUAUAUUUUUCUUUCAUUUCAUUAAUAAAGUCAAAUAAUAAAUCAAAGAACGAGGGAAGAUUUUUCCAAGUCAUGCAUUAUUUGAUUACCAUCAAUCAAGAAACCGACCAAAUUAAUUUCUCUCCGUGAUUUUUAAAAAUUAAAAAAAAAAUUAUUUGAACAUAACAUCAUUAAUUAUAGAGUGGAUCAAACUGCGUUAAUCAUGAAACUGAUACCUAUUAAGAGUCAAACUUUUUACUUAUGCAUACUAAAAGACAUCAAAUUGUUCCGAUCCCCAAUUAUUUGAUCAGCAACUAUCAAGAACUGACCAAAUUUAUUUCUUCAUGACUUCCAAACACUAGAAAAUUUUGUUAUUUGAUAAUAAUAUCAUUAAUUAGAGUUUAUCAAACCGCAUUAUUUUCUUUCAUAAAAUUGAUGCCUAUUAGUGUCACACUUUAUUUGUAUUACCUAGCGGACAUCAACUUUUUUUUUAAUUUUUUUAAAUUAAAAAGACCAUUUGAUUUUAACCCAUGUUCUUGGCCUUAGGGAAGCUGACUUCUUUUAUAGGUGAUAUCUGCUUGAACUUUGGUGUGUUAAUUAUUUCAAUCCCCAAUUAUGUAAUUUUUAAAUUAUAGCCUAACGGCGGUCUCAUCACCACGUGUGUGAUUUUCUUUUGCCAAUAGGAUCUGCAGAGAGCUUGAUCUCAUCCAAUAGCAAAAUAAACUUCCUAAUAAGUGAAGGUAUAGUAUAAAUAUUUCACCCCCAUAUUAUUUAUUAGCAGCUUGAUUAUUUUAUAUGCAUCUUUGAUUUUAAUUUUUUUUCCCAUAAUUGCUACUAUGUUCGAACUGGUCAUGAAUUAUCUAUAAGAUUUUUCAUGUUGCUUUUAGGUGCAUUGGAUUUUUUGAGUUUAGUGCAAGAGUAGAGGAAGGCAAAUUAAGAAAAAGGAUAAAGAUCUAUGAUUAGCUAUUUUGGGAUGUCUCAUAACAUAUUGAUGCUAACAUUAUACAUAUGUAUAUCUAAAUAAUGGGCUUGGAUCAAGAGCCCAUUAAUAAUCAUAGAUUAGCUUAUAUAGUUCAAAAAAUGUACCAUAAAGCAAUUUUACAAGCACUUGUUAGCCUAUGUUGAGCUUUAUUAUCAAUAGUUCAUAGUUCAUCAGUGCACUGCAAGUUUACUAUUUGAAGUAAAUGUUGUGGUGCGUGCAUUCUUCAUAAGGCCAACUAUUGAAUUUAGCAUUGAAACUUACAAAAUGUAAUAGAAAGAGGUAGAUAACAGCCAUAAAACACUAAGAUUGGAAAUCAGGGCAACUAAAUACUAUUACAAGCCCUUAGAAAAGACAGCGAUCAUCCUGAAAUAUAUAUACUGAAAGUAAGAAAUGUUAAUCGCAAAGUUAUGUGCCAACAGAACUAUUGACUACUUGUCUCUAGUAGAAAGUAAAUAUUUUUAACUUCAGCCCUCUACUUUGUUCUAAGAACAAGGCAAUAUAAGGAAACAUCGGUGUCUAAAAUUUGCCGCUUGGAAUAUUUCACUGUCUAAACAUUCACUCACCACUUAUUUCAUUAAUGAAUUUUGUCUAAUUAUAUGUUGAUAAAGAUAUUAGAGUAAUAUAAUACAUUUAAGGCUUAACUUAUAUUUUUUAUUAGUAGAGUGUAGAACUUUUAAGAAAUAAAUUAUUAAAUUACUAUAACUAACAUAUUAUUUUAAAGUUAUGUUAAGGAAAAGAAUGAAACAAAAAUAAAUAAAUAAAUAAGGGUAUUCUAAAACUUUGAUCUUUUUAAAAGUAGAUUUUGACAUAGAUAAAAUAAUUUUUAUAUUUUUUAAAUCACAUACUCUAGUUAAAAUCAAAUUUGUAUUUAUAAAGUUUGUAAAUUUUUUUUUUUUUUUAGCACUGAUAUUUGAACACUAUCAAGAUAAGAAAUAGGGCACUGGUCAUGCUACAACAUUAUUAUAGCACAUAAAAAGACAAUACCAUUUAUUUUAUUGUACUAUCAUUGUUGUUAUAAUAGUAUUUUGUUAGUGGUCAAAUAUUAUUUUUUUAAGUAAAAAAAGUGAACAAUGUAAAUUAACUUUUAAUCUCUCCUAAAAUUCUAAUUCCUAGUUACGAAACAAAAUUGUUUAAAACCAUAGGUGAUAGGUGAUAGAAGUUACUAACACAAGCAAAUUUGACGGUCCAUUUUAUAAAAUUUGUUAUUUACCAUUUUACCACCUAUAUAAGGAGUGCCGCAUCGACAUAUCAACUCAUUUGCAGAUUAUUUUAAUUUUGUAAAAUUCAUUUAACCUGCACUUGGUCGCCCCUAUUCUCUGAAUGGUUAUGGCGAUAUCAUCAUUAUCGUUACUUGUACCAACGCUAAACCCUUCUUAUUCCCUUUCUCGCCUGUCAUACCCUAACAUUAUAUCCCGUGUCCACACUAAAGACAAGUAGUCAAUUCAAGCCAUCAGAUUAUAGUGGACCCACAUCAAUCCAACUACUUACAAUGACCGACAGCCUCUCCAUCUCCAUUUCAGGUUUCCUCUUCAACUGGCUUCUGCUUCCGCUGUAUUUGCUCCAUUUCUUGGAUUCGGAGUCCGUAUUUGGUCGGUCGGUCCCGCACAGCUCCCUCUCACUCCAAUUGUCACCCAACAAGACCAAUUGCUUAAUCAAGGCACAGAACAAGAAGAGGAUGAGAAAUUGAAACAAGAAUUUGAGAAUUGGAAAUCGAAAACGUACGCAUUGACCGUGCCUUUGAGGGCAAUUACUUUUCUUGAGAAUUGAAGUUUGGUAAUGUAAUUUGUUCUCCAUCUGUGUUCCCUUUGUAGUCAUUUCAUUUAUUUGUUUGUUUGCUUUUAUUUGCACUUACGAAGUCUCAGGUAUACCUACGCAGGAAUGAUGCAGGAGAAAUUGAUCCUCGAGGUAACAUAUGGGCGGCGCCAUAUCGGUGGGGCACAGUGGUGAUAGCUUACAAGAAAAGUAAAUUUCGAAAGCAUAAUUUGGUUCCGAUUGAGGUAAUAAUUGUCUUUAAGCUCAUUUAGUUUUAUAUCAAACAAAAUCAAGACUGCCUUUCUCUUCAAUAGUUUUGAUGAUAAUAUCUUUAGAAGCAUCUCAUUGACAGGUAAUCGUGGUACCCCUUAAAGAGUCUAUAAACUCAAGGAUAUUAUCUUCUGCAAAUGGUUCAUUAAACUUCUUAGAUGUAGUUAAAUGUACACUGAGAACAACGAGAAGCUAUGCCACUGUAGCAUGUAGUGAUGGCACUUAAUGAGUGAGUUGCUAGGAUAUGAACUAGAAAAAUUAAAUAUUGUCUCCCUCUCCCUGGGUAUGCUAGCUCAUAAGUCAGGGUUAAUAUUAGAGCUUGAGAUACUAUAACCAUGAGAAGCUAUUGACCACCAGUUAAAAUAUCCAUUAAAAUGUCUAGGGAGUUAUGAAGGUGGAGGUAUCUCCCAAUUUCUAAGGCCAUAUAAUAGACAUCAUCCAGGAUCCUAUAGAGUGCAGUUAGCCUCCUGCUUGAUGCUAAUGUCAAACAAUUAAUAAAUUUGGUCAAUGUAACUGAAACUUGCUAAUUGACGUCAGAUUGCGACUUGAGCACCUUAAAAUGGGAUAGACGAUUAGUGGCACUGAAUUCUUCUUGCCUAAGAUUGAGCAAUUGUUUUAACUACUAUCUCCUAUUGUAGGUUGAUUAUUAUGUUUUAAUUAUGUCCAUUUUGACCCAAAAAAUUACACAAUCUUGAUCUGCAUUUUGUCACUGAGCAGUGUCAAUAUCGUCUAACAACUAACUUGAUUUUGAUAUGACAAACACACGGUGUGUCUCUCAUGUCUCACCCAUGUCUCACCAUGAUGGAGAAUUUUUCUAAUGCAUGAAGUAAGCUUUGAUAUGUGGGUUAGCUUGGAGAACAUAUCUCAAAAUGAAGAAGAUGGGGAGUUAAUGGGAAGAAACAGUCCAGUAGUUUAUAAUUCUGUCGACGAGCUGUAUCUCUAACAUGGUCAAAAUUUAUGUGAAUAAGGACAGGGAAUCGUCAUUCCUCUUUUCCUUUUUAUACCGGGAUAUCUCUCAACCUUUAUAUGUUGCCCGCUGGAGAUCUCCUUCUAAUAACUAAAAUAAAAAUUUCAUCCACUCAAAUAAAUGUUGACCAAGCUUUCACAAGAAAAAGUAACGUCUUUAGUGAAGUAAUUUACAGUUCCUUAUCAUCUUCGUGUGAGUCUAUCAGUAUGAUCCAAAAACAUAAUAAAUCUUGUUAGAUCCUGUUUAUUGAUGUUUAAAUGUUGUUCAUUGUGCAAUGUAGAAAUGAUGACGUGAAGUUUCUUUGGUCAUCAAUUAGUGAGAUCUUGUUUGAAGUUGUUUUCUGAAAUGAACUGCAAAAUGGUAGUUUUUUUUUUUUUCUUGGGUGCAUUUGAUGGCUCUUUUCUCCUCAUUUUAAGCAUGUGUCUGCUUGAAAUGGGAAGGAAUAGGCUUCAGAGUUGUUAUAUAUGUUGAUAUGCUCUGGUCAUUACACAAUAUGUUCAAAUUGGAAAUUAGAAUGAGAUAUUUGUUGAUGCUUUUUGAGAGAUCUGCAUUCUAUGCACCAUAACAUGAUUAAUGAAAACGGGUUUAAGGACUGGAAAGAUCUGUGGCAGCCCAAGCUUGCAGGAAGGAUUUCAAUGGUUAAUUCUCCUAGAGAGGUUAUUGGUACAGUUUUGAAGUAUAUGGGAGUAUCAUACAAUUCAAACGACAUUGGGAGGAUUGCUGUUCAGCAGAAUCUGGCAUUACUGGGAAACCAGGUACUCUUAAAGAAACGAUAUCUGGUCAAUGCAUAUUAUUGGGUGACGGCUGAUUUUGUUUGUAAAGUGUGCCUUUUCAUACCUAUGAAUGCAUAUGUUAGUGUUGUGUUCUCCUUUCCAUAAAUAUGAAUGCAUAUGUUGGUGUUCUUUUCUGAGAUGGAUGCAAUAAAGGCUUUUUCUUCUAAAUUUAGUUGAAGAAAUGGCAAGGAAUGUGAGAUUCUAUCUCAUUAAAUUAACAAAAACCCAAAACAGUGAAAACCCAUAUUAUGUGGAUGAAUUGGCGACAUUUGGCUUGUUUCCUGAACGUGAAUUAGCAAGCAAUAGAGACUAAAAAAAUGGAGUGAUAAUAACAAGUCAUUGUCAUUUGAUGAAUGCAUUUUUAAGCAAAAAUAGGUUUGUAACUGAAUAAAUUUGUCUGGCAUGCCAAUAUCAAAAAAUUAAAUUAUGUGGUUAUGAGCUGUAAUGAAGGGGGAUUGUAGGUGCAAUCAGAUCGAUCCAAGAAAGUUCAACAAAGUUCUGGUUUGGUGUAGUGAAAUUGGUUUGUGCAACUUGAGUCUUUCAGAUGAACAAUGACGAGUUUUCAUUUAAAAAUGUUAUAAAUCUGCCAUGCAUAGUAUUCUAGUAGAAUCAUCUAUAAAUUCAAGUUAUUGAAAUUGUCUAUUUGUCCAGUUUGAGUUAAGGACGCAUGUAAUAUGAAAAAUUGUUGUCGAAUAUUGUAGGUUAGCUAAUAUUUGAUCAAUCCUAUAGGGAGGGCUUUAAGAUGUCUAACAACAUGUAGAAUGCCCCUGCUUCCCCCACAAUUUUUAUCUUAUACAAUUUUUAUCUAUAAACAGUAUUUGCCAGACCUUAACCGUUCAGAUUCCCCUUCUCGACUAUCAUACCCUACGCCCCAUCUCCGUGUCUCCGAUAAACAGUGCUCAAUUAAGGCCAUCAGAUUAUCCCGGUCCCGCAUUGAUCAACGGCUCACAAUGGCCGACAACCUCUCUGUCUCCAUUACAAGCUCCCUCUUCAACUCGCUUCUGCUUCCACCUACUCUUUCUCGGAUUCGGAGCCCGUAUAUGCUCAGCUGGUCCCACAAAGCUCCCUCUCACUCCAGCUGUCAACCGACAAGACCAAUUGCCUUAUCAAGACACAGAACAAAAAGAGGAUGAGAAAUUGAAACAAGAAUUUGAGAAUUGGAAAUCGAAAACGUACGCAUUGACUGUACCUUUGAGAGUUGUUUCUCUUCAGAAUUCAGUGCCUCAAUCUUGGGUUAAGGAUUUUAUGCGAAGUCAAGGAAAGUGAUUGAAGUUUCAGAUGAAUUUGUGUGCUAGCAUUGGUGGGAUCUUUAACAAUUUAUCUCUGCCCUUUAACAAAGUCAAGGCUAAUUCAGCUACUUAUAUGGCUGCUGAUUUGGUUAGUGUUGGUGAUUCAUGGCUUAGUUUUGCCAUUAAAGAGAGAUUGAUUGAGCCAACGGCUGGAGCUGAAGACCAAGAUUGGUUCAAAUGCUUAAGUCACAAAUGGAAG
rnacentral:lncRNA from 1 species